ACAGCAAUGCCCACAUCAUCAAAUAGCGCAGCACACAAUUCACAGCAGGUGCUUUUAUAUAUUUCUUCAAUUAAACAUAUUUCUCACCCUUCACAAAACAUUUACAGCAAUUCCCACUACAUCAAAUAGGAAACAGCCAAUUGACAGCAGGUAAAAAAUCAAUUGUUGUAUUAAAGGGAAUGAAACAAAUUAUACAAGACCCAAAACCCAAAAAAAAAAAAAGAGCAGUAAAUCAGGAAGGAAGGGGUAUGAGGAUGAAAUACGUACCGGGGUUUCUGAGGGUGGCAUGAACAGUAUAGUGGCGGGAAAGGAGUAGCUUGACUAACCAAGAUGCCAGGUAUCCCCCUGCUCCUGUAACACACACUGUCCUGUCCUUCUCAGCCUCCCACGCUGCCAUGUCUGAUUGCUUACUAGUAGCAGUAGUGGGAUUAGUAUUUUAGCACCAAAUUCACUAUAGACUGAUCAAGAAGGUGGGUGAAGUUCUAUUCUUUUCUUUUUGUGAAUAUUAAUUCUUUUUUGGUUGGACAAGGCAGAGAUUUCGUCGAUCCUUAAGGAGAGGGCGAUUGGAGGAGGAAGAGGAGGAGGGGGAGGAGGUGGUGGUGGAAUUUGAAUGGAUAAGUCCUGUAUGUAGGAGCUAGCUGAUUCCAGCAGUCUCUGUCAAUACUAGUAGUGAUCAGCAGCUAGCAGGCGUGGGGGCUUGUAUAUAGCAGCAGACCAAAGGUGCUGUUGUGAUUUGCAUGGCUCAUAGAUGACGUAGGGUUUCAAGGUUUCAGUGGGGUGUGGGGUGGUGGGGGGGGGGGAACGGUAAUAAUGGUAAAUGUAUGUCAAAUGAAAUUUGAGUGUAUUAUUGAGAGAUUUCUAGCAAUCUGUUAACAAAAUUUAUUUUAUCUAAAAAAGGAGUAAAAGAGCGUAAUAUUAUUAAGUUAUAAUAAAAUUUGAUGCAUAUAUCAAUAAAAUUAGAUAUUCUGUGCAUUUGAAUACAACAGUAUACUAUGAUUGUACCAUUGUCAGAUGUUUAACAAAUUUAUUAAUGGAUAUUAAAGUGUUAGAUUUUAUCUCAUAUUUUCCCAAUUUAUGACUCAGAUUUUAAAUUGAUUAACUCAUUAGAGAAUAAAAAACUCAUCCCGUUGCUAAACUGGACAAGUAACAAAUACUCAUGUCCAUAAUGGGGUUUUGCUUCUUAUUGAAAUUCUAUAAUGUGAACCAAACCCUAAAUCCCUCCAUCCUGAAAUAUAAACUAAACUACUCAAUAUUCAAAGCAAAUUCCGCUCAGUAAAAGUUUGUUCGAAUUUGAUUUGCAAACUAAUUUAAUCAAGUUACAAUAAAAUUUUAUGUUUAAAAAAAUUUUAACUGCAGCUCGAGCAUAGCUCGAUAAUCAUAAAAUUGGAUUUUAUAGAUAAAAAUUACUCGAAUUCGACUCAAUAAAAAUUCUUUUGAACUUGCCUCAGUAAAUAAACGAGUCAAUCCUAAAUACUAUCUCAAAAUUCUUUAAAAUAAAUAAACAAGAUACUUGGUUUGAUUAGACACAUUCACAGCCCUAUUUUUCAUAUGCUCGAUAAUAACAUAUUUCUGCACUGGACCAGAUCAGGAAUAGGUAUCUAACUCGUUGAGUUUUGGGACAUGUUUAUCAUUUUUUAAAAUCUUUUUUUUAUUUCUUGUUUUUUAGGAAAAAAACUAAAGGAUGUGUUUGGAUUAGAGACCAAUGAACUUUUUUCCCCCCCGUGCCUAAUUGCAGAUUAAAAGGAAGAACUAGUUCUUAGAUAACGUUUCUAAGUACAACUCUAUUACUCAGAAAACUGGUCUACCUGACUGUGGGUUUUCCUUUAGUCAUGCCAUUUUGUCAUUAGUGAUGAUUGCUUCUUCUAAACCUUAGCUCACUGCACACGCCAAGCGUAUGAAAGCCAAACUUAAAUUGAACUCGUCAAGUUGCAAAAUAAGAAAAUUUGGGUUACGUUUGGUAUGAGUAGUAAGGGAAAAUUUAAUUCCUAUAUUUAUGAUUCUUGACUAAUGUGAUUGUAGAAUUGUUGACUGAAAAUAAAAGGAAACUGACAAAGAAAUGUCAUGUGAUUGCAUGUGCAUGGUUAAAACAAUACAAAUUAUAACCAAUUUGAUCCCUUGUUUUUAAGGUUUUGAUCGUUUUGGUUCCUUAGUAUCAUGACAAGCCAAUUUUGCCUCUUAACUUUAAAAAUAUGGUUAGGGAGGUCCUUUUGAUAGAAAUUUGAGUCGCUAAUGAAGUGAAGAGACCCUUUAAUGCCUUUCGUGUCACAUCCGUCUCAACAGUAUAUUAAAGUUUCAAAAAAUCUCAAAUAAGUCAUAAAACUCAUAAAAAUAAACCCAAAACUCUUUAUCGUGAAGAAAAUAAAUUUUUGUAACUUUAAAAUAAAUCAAACACAAAACUUUAAACAUAAUUAUGGAUUUUGUGCCAUUUCCGAGUUGAAAUAUCAUGAAAAAGAGUACCUAAAGGUGAAAGAAAAAAUGCAUAAAUUUAUGUUUGACAUAGUAUAAAAAACUUUUAUUUCAUUAUAUUGAAGAGUUAUGGGUGAGUUUAUAGUUUUAGGCUUUUGUUUGAAUGCUUGGUGUUUUCUGCAAGAUGGUACGAAGUACCCUCUAAGGUCUCUUAACUCCGUUAACAACUCUAAAUUAGCCUUGACCAAAUUCUUAAAAUUUAAGAAAAAUUGGUUCGCCAUAAUACAAAGGGACUAUAUUGUUUGGAGAUAAGAUACCAAAUUAAUUAAUUUUUAUUCUUUGCGUAAUUCAAGUGAUUUCUCCGUUAGCUUCCCACAAUUUUGCUGCAUUAGUCUCUUUUGAUGGAGAUAGAGCACUAAAUUUGUUGAUAUGACAGACCAUAUUGGCUGAGACUUCAAAGAUAGAUGACCAAAGCAACAACAUUUCCUAAGUAGUUCAUGAAUCAAUUUCAUUGUAUAGUUAGAUAUGAUAGAGAAGAUGUGUCUUUUUUAAAAAUGAAAGGAAAUAAUAUUAAGUUAUAGAUGAUUUCUUGAAUAAAAGGGCAAUAAUAUUAUUGUACUCACUUUUUUCAUUAUUUUUAACUUAGACUAGUUUUCAUGAGGGGUAAAAUAUACAUAUUUAAUGUUAAUGGGAGCAAAGUGUGAUUAUCCACUAAGUUUAGGGGACGCAAAAUGUUAUUAACCCUUUUUAUAACUCACAAUUGUAUUAGAACUUAACUUACGCUGUAACCGUUAGGAUUUUCUUAUAAUCAUUCGACAACUCAGUAACCAUCCUAUUGUAUAAUAACUAUCCUACACCUCAUCAAAGCCUGGGUUUCUUAAACCGACAAAACUAGACAACAAGCCGAGGCCAUUCCGUUUCUUAAAUUUUUGGGCAUCUAAGCCUGGGUUUUUGGAUGUGGUCCGAUGCAACUGGAACGUGGCUUUCUCGGGGCCUCCGUUAAUGGUCCUUGCUGCUAAGCUUCGAAGUGUCAAGAUGGCGUUACGUGCCUGGUCUCGGGAGGUUUUCGGAGAUAUCUUUGGCUCGGUACGGGUGGCAGAGGACAUGGCCCUCAACGCUGAGUUGAGCUAUGACACUGAUCCAUCGGAAGACAAGCUUGUAGCAUUACAGAAGGCUCGGGCUCAUCUUCGGCGGUCGCAAGGGGUGGAGCAUAUGUUUUGGCAACAAAAAUCAAGGGUCAAAUGGUUGAAGGAUGGAGAUCGAAAUUCGAGAUAUUUCCAUGCAGUGGUGGCAGAGCGCCACCAACGGUCGGUAAUCCAUCGGAUUAAAUCAUCCACUGGGGAUUGGCUGGAGUCUGCGGAUGCCAUUGAGAGUGAAGCCGAAUCCUUUUUUAAACGGUUAUUUACGGCAGAGUCCCCUAGUGCAUCCUUUAAUGCUCUUGACGUUAUACCGAAAUUGCUGACGGACCAGGAUAAUGACAUGCUAGACGAGAUCCCUUCUAAGGAAGAAGUUAAGUCAGUGAUUUUUGCAAUGGAUGGUGGGAGUGCGGCUGGGCCGGAUGGGUUCUCGGGUAGGUUUUUUACGUGUGCAUGGGACAUUGUGGCAGAGGAUGUCCAUGCGGCUGUGGUAAGUUUCUUCUGUGGAGAGGUGCUGCCUAGGAGUAUAUCUUCCACUUCAAUAGUGCUGGUUCCGAAGGUCCAGUCUCCGCAGGAUUUUACCCAAUUCCGUCCGAUUAGCUUGUGUAACUUUAUCAAUAAGGUGAUAUCCAAGGUCUUGUCGGACAGAUUAGCAUGGAUCUUGCCGAAGAUUAUUUCCCCUCAGCAGAGUGGCUUUGUGAAAGGUAGGCAUAUCUCUGAUAAUUUUCUGUUGGCUCAGGAGCUUAUAUCUGGUAUUCGUCGCUCUAAUAGGGGAGGGAAUGUGGUGUUAAAGUUGGACAUGGCCAAGGCUUACGACCGCAUUUCAUGGGUUUUCUUGUUACAAGUACUGCGUCGAUUUGGUUUCACGGAGAGGUGGAUUGAUAUGAUUUGGCGAUUAAUCUCCAAUGUUUGGUUUUCGGUUCUGGUCAACGGCUCUCCUUGUGGCUUUUUCCAAUCUACUAGGGGGCUCCGACAAGGUGACCCCAUUUCACCGGCUCUUUUUGUUAUUGGGGCAGAGGUCCUGUCUAGGUUGCUUAACUCUUUGGUUGGCCAGCGUGGAUUCCUGCCGUUUAAGAUUCCUUCCACAUGUCCUGUCAUUACACAUCUAGCUUUUGCAGAUGACGUAAUUAUUUUUUGUAGCGGGGUUAAGAGUACUUUGCGGCAUGUUAUGAGGGUUUUGGGGUUGUAUUGUAGUACGUCUGGGCAGCAGGUAAAUUGUCUGAAGAGUUGCUUUGUUACUCAUGAUAAGUUGAGCCCUGCUCGUCGACGAGUGGUGUCACAAGUUUCUGGUUUUCAGGCCAAGUCCCUCCCACUUAAGUAUCUUGGAUGCACUCUCUAUUUCGGAAGACGGAGAUGUAGCUACUUCUUGGACAUCUGCUCCUCAGUUGCAAAGCGGGUUCUAUCGUGGAAGGAAAAGUUAUUGUCGCCUGGUGGGCGUUUGGUUUUAAUCAGGAGUGUUUUGUCGUCGUUGCCUCUGCACAUCCUUGCUGUCACGGAUCCUCCAAAGGGUGUGCUUCAUACCCUCGAGAAGGUUUUUGCAAAUUUCCUUUGGGGAAGGUCUGAGGGGGGUUAUCGCUACCAUUGGAUUAGAUGGGAGACUAUGUGCAAACCGCUUGAUGAAGGGGGGAUUGGUGUUCGGUCCCUGGCGGAUGUGUUGGAGACAUUUUCAGUGAAGCUAUGGUGGUCCUUCAGGCAAUGUUUAUCCCUCUGGGCGAAAUUUAUGCACGAUAAAUACCUCCAAGGCGGUCAUGUGUGUGAAGCGGAACUUCAGCGCUUUCAAUCUCCCACCUGGAGGAGGCUAGUCAGGUGCCAGGCUCUGGCAGAUUCCCAUAUCCGGUGGGUGUUGCAGAAUGGAAUGGUCGACUUUUGGCAUGAGAAUUGGAUGGGUGAAGGGUCGUUGUGUCAACAGGUUGAGAAUUUUGGUGAUCACGCCGUAGCGGACUUCGUGUUGAAUGGGAGCUGGAACGUUUCGAUGCUUCAUCAAUGGCUACCUGAUAGCAUUGUUUCUACGAUUAUGCAAAUACGCCCUCCUGAUAUUUUUUCUACAACCCCAGAUAGGAUGGUGUGGGACUUGGAGACAACUGGUUCCUUCUCCUUCUCAUCUGCAUAUAAUUUGGUCCGACAGGAAUCCAACAUUUCCAUCUUCUCCUCUAAUAUUUGGUUGUCAGCUUUGCCUGUAAAAAUCUCUUUUUUUAUGAUUAGGAUGUUAUCGGGCCGCCUGCCUGUGAUGGAAUCGCUGCAGAGGCGGGGUGUCUGCGGUCCAUCUCGGUGUUCUUGCUGUGUCAACCCAGCGGUGGAGUCAGUUGAUCAUGUCUUGUGUGUUGGAGAUGUCCCACGGUGGGUAUGGAAUUCUUUUCAGGUAGAGGCAGGAGACUUUGCACAUGUCUCAACGGUAAAACAUGCAGUCAUUCAAUGGUGGAUGCGCCCGGCUAAGAACAAGUUGAUGAAAUUGUUGUAUCAGAUAUUGCCUUCGCUUAUUUGUUGGCAUCUCUGGAAGGCUAGAAAUGUGGCGGUGUGGGAAGGAAAGGUGUUGUCAGCGAUACAGGUACAUGGCUUUAUUCUUUCGGAUCUCUGUGAUAUUCUUCAGAUGCACUUUAAGGAUAUGGGGGUGGGACGUUAUUCGUGGCAUCGACUACACAUUUCGCUGAUGGGGUGGAAGAAGGAAAUGAGGGUCACUUUAGUCAGGUGGCUGCCUCCGGCUUCUACCCUCCUAAAACUGAACACUGAUGGGUGCUCCUUAGGGAAUCCGGGGAGGAGUGGAGGUGGUGGGAUUUUGCGAGAUAGUGCAGGUUUUUUCAGACUUGGUUUUGCGGGUUAUUGGGGAGAGACGACGAGCCUACAUUCAGAAUUGAAGGCCUUGUUAUUUGGGGUUAAGUUGUGUGUCACGCAAGGCUUUUGUUGCUUGCACCUGGAGUCUGAUUCCAUUCUUUUAGUCCAAAUGGUCACAGGGGUUGGUAGAUGCCCAUGGGCCUUGCAACGAGAGCUGGACAAGUUGCUUGCCUUUCGGAAUGCUUUUCAAGCUGUCUCCCACUGUUAUCGCCAAGCGAAUGUGCCAGCAGAUCGGCUUUCUAAGAUUGGGACAGAUACCCGCUCUACUGUUAUCUAUAACUCGUUUGCGCAAUUGCCGCGUUUGGUUCGAGGAGACCUUAGGUUGGAUAGGCUUGGCUAUCCUAACUUCCGUGCUUCUUGAGCGCCGGCGUGCUUGUGUUUAGUGAUGUUUCCAUGUACUCGUUCAGCAAAAUGGGGGGAAAAGGGGAGGAUAGGUCAAGUCUUUUGUUCAUGGCCAUGCUGCAAAUCUUGUAACUUUUAUGAUUCUGUUUGAAUAAUAACGAUGAGGGCUGUCCUCUUUAAUAAAAAAAAAAAAAAAAAAGAUGAAGAAAAUUUCUUUCUGGCAUCUUAAUGCCUUAUAUCCAGUAUUGAGGGAAAAAAAUUAGUCGCAUUACAGUCUGAGAAUUUGAAUCCAGCAAUUUCAUGGUCUGACGUAGUCACCCAAGUAGGUUCUCCUUAAAACAGGGUCUUGAGGCAAAAUACACAUCAAAUAGGUCAUCUGUCGAUCUUUGAUUAUGUCUACACGUUCAAAAGAUAGGCUUAAUCAUAUUAGUGGAAAUAACUCAUAGUUCAUCAUAUAUUAAUUUGCUAUUCAAUUUAGUUUGAAUACAUGAUCAAUGUUAUCAUAUGCCAAAAAAGAUUGAGGAUACUUUUGACCUAGUUCUUUGCACUAACUUGAAAUCUACCAAUUGUUCUUUCUUUGAUGCACUUGCAAAAUCUCCUGCAAAAGUAAAAUAACUCAGUUGGUGAAUUUUGGCUAACUGAGAGGCCCUAUCUUCUUUUUACUUCUUUAGCACAAGCGAAGAAUGAAUUUAUGCAUAAUAACCGUGUGAUUCUAAUGAGAUAUGAUUUUUUUGGUUUUGCAUGCUGGUUAAACAAUUGUUCAAGCUCUUAUCUCGGUUUUUGAUACUUCACCAGUAUGUUGCUGCUUCAUUAGAAGAAUUUUCUAUUUUAUGACUGGCAAGUGAUUUGGUAUCUUAGCAGUUCAUCGAUUUUGGUGCUUUGUUUACAAUUUAAUUGGCUUCAAUGGUCCAUACAUAUAGGAACUUGGAAUUUACCCUUUUAUUUCCUUUUGCAUGAGCAAAGAUUAGUAAUUUUUAAUCAUAAUUUUCGAUUCCUCUAUUCUGGCCAUAGUGAAGAAAUCUACCUUUUUGUACUUGUGUAUAUGCACACCAAACAUCAUUGGGCUGUCUACUUUUGACAUUAUUCUUGAAUUACUCAGUUUAGAAUGUGUAUUAGCUGCUGGAAGCAAAUGCAUCAUCGUUGGCAAUUACUAAACAGAAAAUAUGCAUGCCAUUACUAUUUUCACUGAAAUUAGCAUCUAACUUAUAGUGAUCUAAUUAAAGGUUAACCACAUUGGUUUUGACUAGAACUAAGAGAUCACUAGCCCUCUUAUUUUUGGAUUUGCAUUAAUCCAGUAUCAUCAAACUUCUUCAAAUGGGCUCUUUAGCUACUAACCCCUUCAAAAAUAAUUUAGGCUUACGGUUCUGUUGAUGUCGCAAUUGCAGGAGGUUCAGAAGAUAACGAAAGGCUCAUCUAAGAUUUCUUAAGGUGUUUGGCUUAUAUCGCUAGAUUUACCUAAUCUAUUUUCAUCCUUCUCCGAUGUCAUUAUUGUUAAAGUUCAAUUCAUAAGUUGGUUGUGUUAGAAAAUUGGCUUAAUUUCUUUUUAGAUAGGUUUUUGUUUUGUGCGAAAGUAACUAGUUUUCUAAUUGGUUUUAGUUACUCGAAAUAGUAGCCAAGAAAUUUCUUAUUUUGUUUAGAAUUAGAAGUUAUUUCUUAUUUUGUACAAGUCUAGGAAUUAAAAUUAAUUUCCUGUUGUUAUUUGGAUUUUUUGACCAAAUAAUGUUUUUAUAAAUAUGUGGGUUGGCAUGCUAUAAAAGAAACACAUAAGGGCACACAAGGACGACAUGUAACCUUAUACAUAGGUGGUGAGAGAGAGUUCUUGGGAGAUGAGAGAUGGUAUACAAAGGUUGGACUUGAGUUCGAGUUGUAUUCUUGUAUAAGGUUUUUCUCUCAUAACAAAGAACAAGUUUCUCUCCGUGGACGUAGGUUCAAUGGAGUCAAACUACGUUAAAUAUUGUGUGUUGUUUAUCUUUCAUACUUGUGGCUUGUUUCUCAUUAAAUUAUUAUGUACUUGAUAUCUUAAUAGUUAUUUAUUCUGCAUUUAGUUCCUAACAAAUAGUAUCAGAACUUGGUUGCGAGAUUGGGCUGCUCACAAGCACUUGGAUCCCAACAAACUGAACAGUUGGAUCAAGAGUUUGGUUGUUCAAGGUUGGAUCCUAGUUAACUAUUGAUAUCAAGUAGGUUGGUGACUGUUACCAAUUGAACAAUUUAAUGGGCGGUAUCCUUAUUUCAAGAGUUUGGCAAAAAGCAUUGAUGGUGAAUGAUGAAAAGUCGAAAAGCAUAGAGAUACUUGACGGUGAAUCUAGGCAGGUGAUUCAAGAGUCAAGGAAAAGGUGGAAUCCAAUGUCGAUUUUGGACGUGAAUUGGUGGAGAUUUUCUCACAACUUCAAUGGUUGAUACUUCAUCCCGAUGGUUUUUAGAUUUCACUUAUGUUUUUUGAGUGGUACAGAACGUGUCCCAAAAAAACAAAGAGAUUUAAUUUCUAUGCGCCUGAAGACUCUGACAGUUACGAGUCUUUUGUUACAGGUGGAUUUUUGGAAACCACACGUGGCGAGAUAGUCCUGAGAAAGGGAAGAAGUACGAUGAUUUUACCACUUGGUUGCCUCAAUGAUUAAGGUUAGAGUUCACAGAAGGAGAUUUUGGGUUGCAAGUGGUGGUGAGAAAAAAUCCUGUAAAGGGAAAUGGUGAAUUGAGGCAUCUUCUCACAAAUCAACUAGAGGUUGUACUGGGUGUAAAUACACAUAUUCAUUUGGCGAUUAAAUUAAUUUGGUAUCAGAAUUGUAUUGAUUCGAGUGUGUAGUUCGGUACCAUAUUAUUUGGUAGUUGAAGGUAAAUAAUUGUUAAAAGAAAUUUUCGCCGAGAUGGAGAUUUGUUAGGAAAUUGACUUAAUUUCUUUUCAGACAGGUUUUUGUUUUGUGUGGAAGUAACUAGUUUCCUAAUUGGUUUUAGUUACUUGAAAUAGUAGCCAAGGAAUUUCCUAUUUUGUUUAGGAUUAGAAAUUAUUUCCUAUUCUGUACAAGUCUAGAAAUUAGAAUUGGUUUCCUAUUAUUAUUUAAUUUUUUGGCCAAAUAAUAUUCUCUAUAAAUAGAUGGGUUGGCAUACUACAAAGAGACACACAAAAGCACACAAGAGACGACAUGUAGCCUUAUACAUGGGUGGUGAGAGAAGAUUUUUAGGAGAUGAGAGAUGGUAUACAAAGGUUGAACUGGGGUUCAAGUUAUGUUCUUAUAUAGGAUUUUUCUCUUAUAAUAAAGAACGAGUUUCUCUCUGUGGAUGUAGAUUCAAUGGUGGAGCCGAACCACAUUAAAAAAUAGUGUGUCAUUUAUCUUUCAUGCAUGUGGCUUGUUUCUCAUUAAAUUGUAGUGGACUUGAUAUCUCAAUAGUUGUUUAUUCCACGCUUGGAUCCUAACAAACUGCUAAACCAAGAUUGAUGUAAUUGCGUCCUGUACUUGAGAUAAUAGAAAUAAUGAAAACAAGAGAGUUUGCAAUUCAAUUGAUUAAGGGAAGAACAGAGAAAAUCCCUGAAAAUGGGAAUUAAAGGAAACAAAGGAAACCCUAAAACUAGUUUCCAAGAACAAUUCUGUCGAAGACAGAAAACAAAGAAAAUAGUAUCAAAGGCUAUAUCGUUAUUUAGAAAACAAGAAGCACUUGAAGGUGAAUGUUGCAGAAAGUAGAAGAUCCCACUACAAUUUACUAGUUCAAGGAGCUAUAAUUAAGAAAGAAAGAAGAAACUCAGAGAAUUAGAGAUUGUUAUUGAUUGAUGAAUGAGUAGGAAGAAUGUAGAUGAAGAUGAUAAUCAAUUACAAGUAAUGGAAAUCGGAAAUCCAAGAACUGCCUUCAACUUACCACUCUCCUCUCUUUUAUUCGGCUACUACACUUGUCCAAGUCAGCUAAUUCAUUACAACCAACCGACAUACAAGAAUUAUAAGGAUUAUUCAUUAAGUCCCUAUCAUACUUGCUUUAUUACAAAAAAAAUAACCCUAUCAAUAAAACUAAGGUAACAAAUACUUCCCCCUCAGAGAAUCCUUGUCCUCAAGGAUUAAAUUCAGGAAAUUGUUGUUUAAGGUCAAACCAGAAUUCCCAGAUAGCAUCUUCAAGAAAAGAAUUGCUUCACUGCACCAAAACUUUUGUAGCAAGAGAGUUACCACAUUUCACCAAUUUCUGAUCAAGUAUGGCUAUAGGCUCCAUUAAUAAUUAUCCCUGUGUAUUGAUUGCAAAAGGAAUGUGUGAGGUAACUAGUGAGUGCCCACUUUCUUCUUUAGAAGAGAUACAUAAAAAAUAGAGUGUAUUUUUGCCAUAUUAGGCAGCUAAAGCUGAUAUGCAACAGGGUGUACUCUUUUGAUCGCUUGGAAAGGUCCAAAAAACUUAGAAGCUAACUUCUGACAAGAGUGUACCUUCAAAGAGUGUUGCCUCUAUAGUUGUAGUUUCACAUAUACCCAAUCUCUUGCCUAGUACUGUCUGUUAGACCUGUGUUGGUCAGCUUGUUGCUUCAUCCUAUUUUGUGCCUUGUGAAGGUUGUACUUUAAGUGAUGCAAAACUAUCUCCCUUGCUGCCAAGAUUCUAUCCACCACUUCCACUACUAAAUUCCCAAGUAGACAAGGCAUAUGCAGAGAUGGUGCAUGACCAUACACCACCUCAAAUUGGAUAACCUUAGUGGCAGCAUGAAAUUUGGUAUUGUACCAAUAUUCAGCCAAGGGUAACUAGAUAGACCACUGCUUUGGAAAAUCUCCACACAUUCACCUCAAAUAUUACUCCAAACACUUGUUUACCACCUCAGUUUGACCAUCUGACUGAGGGUGGUAGGUAGAAGAGGUAUUAAUCUGCACUUUCAGUAACUUAAAAAGUGCUAAUGAGGACCACAUCCUUGUCACUAACAAUGCUCUGAGACAACCCGUGAAGUCUAUAGAUCUGAUCCAGGAAUAUGUGGAAAUAUAAAUGCUGAAUAAGCAUGUGACAAUGCCAAGAAGUGUGCAUACUUACCUAACUUGUCAACCACCACCAAGAUGGCUUGUUUACCAUGUGCAUUAGGUAAACCUUCCAUAAAGUCCAUGGAAAUUCACUCCAAACCUUUUGAGGCACACGUAAAAGUCGUAAUAAACCCAAAUAAGCAGUAUUGUCAUAUUUGUUGCACUGAUAGACAUCACAUGCAGCCACAUAGUUGACUAUGUCUUGAUACAUUCUUCUCUAAUAAACCACUGACUUCAACUUCUUUUAGGUAGCAUAAACUCCUGAAUGUCUCCAACAGCACUAGAAUGCCACAAGUGAAUUAUAUUAUUCUUGAAUUGACCGUCAUUUUCUACCACUAGUCUCCCCAUCCUUCUUAACUGCCAGUUGCUCCAUGUGUAAUAAGGUGCGACCUUAGAAAGAUCAAAUUGUAAUUGAGUGAUGAAGGUCUAUAGCCUUAUAUCUCUUUGCCAUCCCUUUUUAAUCACUAUCAAAAAUCACUGUUAACAAUGAUGAUGCAAGAGCUUCUCUUGGUUCUGCUAGUUUUCUAAAGAGAGUAUCUCUCAUCAUAUUAUAUGCUUCUUUCCUGUAUUGAAGCUCAUAAUCAAAUCUUACUAGCUUAGCCAUCCAUUUCUGCUGCAUAAGAGUGUUCAAUCUUUGUUCCAUCAUAUAUUCAAUGCUCUAAUGGUCAUUUUUAAUGAUAACGUACCUUCCAAGUAGAUAAGGUCUCCACUUCUAUACAGCAGCAACUAUGGCCAAUAUUUGCACUUUUCCAAUAUAUUAUUAUAUGCUAUUCUCCCACACACCUAAAUCUUACAUUGUCCCCAAUGUAAAAUAAAGAAUAAAAGAAAAGUAAUGGGGAUAACGAAACUUCCUUGAUAACUGAGGGGGCCGUGGAUAGCUACAGGUGAGGAGCAAAUGAUUGUGGAGCUCGACGUAUGUUGAUGGUUGGCGGCAGUGGAGUUCGGAUGGAGAAGGAUGGAAGAAAGAAAGAAAGAAGAAAGAAAAAGAAGAGAGAAAGAAAGAAAGAAAAAGAAAAGGAAAAAGAAAGGAAAAGGAAGAGAAAAGAAAAGGAAAAUGCGAAUGGGAAUUGCUCCAAUCCCAGCUGGUUUUUUGUACUACUACUUUGCUUCUUGUACGAAGCUUGAAGAUGCAGCACGCGCGGGAAUUUUUUUUUUUUUUACAUCUGAUUUUGAUUUUUUUUCUUUUUCCUUUUCUGUAUUUCCUUUUCUUUUCUUUCUAAUUUUUUUGCAAAAACAAUCAAAUGAGAUGGAAUGAUUUUUUUUUUAAAAAAGGUAAAAAUAUAAAUAGAGAUAAAUAAAUAAAAAUAAACAAUAAUAGAUAUUAACAAAUCAUAAAAUGAUUUAUGAAAUUUUUUUGGUGUCUACAUAUAUACACAUACUAAUAAUUUUUAUAUUUAUAUAUUUUUCCUAUUUAAUCUUACCUAUAAUUCUUCCUUAUUUUAUUUACUUUCUCUAAUUAAUUUUAUAUUUCAAAAAUAUAACAUCUAAAAAUUUAUAUUAACGAAGAGGGCAUCUGUUAGACAGGUCCUAUUUUAUGUAGCAUAUUUGUACUACAUGGAAAAAACUUUUUUAAUAGGUAUCCCGUUUUUUAACAUGAAAAAUACCUUUUGACUACAUUCUGACUAGCGCCAAAAGCUAUCCACUUUUGACAUGUUGCCCAUGUGGGGUCCUUGAUGAUUGGUGUCACAAUUUUAACACAUGGUCGUACUAGGUACAAUGUGGUCAAUAUUGGAUUAGGAGCACUAAUUCAAAAAAAUUGGUGUAAUUGUACGGUUGUUAUUUUUUUUAUAUAAAAUUUGGCACAUAUUUAUAUAAAUGUUUAUAUAUUUUUAUACAUUUUCAAAAAAUAUUUUAUAUACUUUUUUAAAAAUAUAUAAAUUUUUGUAUAUAUAUUUUAAAAAUUUUGGUAUUUAUGAGCAAAAUUCUUACAUACAAUAAAAUAAUAGCAUGAUAUGAGAUGAAUAAUAAUUGAAUAGUACUGCAGUUGCCCCAUUUACCGGUGACGCUACUCGUAACUUGAUGUUCAAAAAGUACCACCAUAACUUUUGCUGAACUAAAUUUGAAAAAGCAUUUCAUCCAAUUUGAAUGGUAUCGAAUAUAAAAUAAUGUUCAAAGUUGAUUUGACAAGUUGGUGAACCAAAUCGAACGAGCUUUUACCAGACUGAACUUAAUUCGAAUAUCAGUAGUUUGAUUCAUCUUUCAACCUUUAUACCGACCAAAAAAAAAAAAUUCAAUUACCAAUCAAGUAUAAUGUCUUAUUUUUUUACCAAGUUUUUAAGGGUGUGCACACCAUUGUUCUCCCUUUUCCUUUGACAUGUAAGGCCACUUUUCCUGCUUCAUGUGUUGCCUAAUUUAAGUUUCGUUUUAUGUUGACUCCUAAUUUAGCGUCUUCUUGAAAGCUCCGACUAUUGCUCGGAAAAAAAUAUUGCUGUUGAAAACAAAGUUUUUUGCCAAAAUAACACUCUUUCUAAAAAAUAUUCCCAAUGUGAUUCACUUUCAAAUUUUAUUCCCAAAUCGAUGUUAUUGUUGCCACCUAAUUACCCUGAUUGCCAUGUAGGAUAACAAGAAAGGAAAGCUUUAAUCUAGUUUAUAGUUUCCAAUAAAAACUAAAAAUUUAAACUGUUUUAUUAUAGAGGCACAAGAAAAUUGCAUAACUUUGAUAAUUUCCUUAUAAUUAUUUAAAAUAAAUUUUACCAUUAUUGACCUUGCUAUUAUUGCUCUCUACAAUUUUUUUAAAUGUAUCAAACUUAUUGCAUAUAUUUUUUCAAAAAUAAAUUUGCAAAAUACAAAAAUUGCAAUGAACAUUAUAAGCAAUAAUAAGAAAAAGUUAAAAAACUUCAAGGUUAUCAUAUUUGUUCAUGUUAUGCUUUCUACUCCUUGAAAAGUACUUUUACAAAAAGUAAUCAAACUAUUGCAAUUAAGAUAAUGCUAAAGUUUAUCAAAAGUAACACAAGCCAUUAAUUGAUGUUGAAUAAAUAUGCAAAAAUACUUCAAGUAUACGAGAUUAUUUGAUUAUGUGAUAGAGAGGCACUACAAAUGAACAUGCUUACAUUGAGCAUGAAUUUAUGUUGUUACGUAGUUUUCCUCUUAGACAUUUUAUCAAGCACACGGUGUGAGAAAUCAUUUGUUAAAAGAAUUAGUAUUCAAAAUUUUUUGAAGGCCAUAAGAAUGUUCCAAAAACUGCACAACAGAAAAGACGAGAAUAAUCUUCAUUUACCUUGAAAUUAUUAAUUCGAGGAGAAUAUUUUCAUAAUAUCAGGAAUGAUAAUGAAGUUUUAGAUGUUGUUAAUAUAAAUAUUGACUUUUAACAAUUACAUUUGACAAGGAAAAAUAACGAAAGGACAAAAAAUAAUAAAGGAAAAAAAAGUGGGUAGGUUCAGAGAGAGAAUCAGGGAAGAUAUUAAUUGGAAAAGAGAGAUAGUACGUGUCUCUAUCUCUAUCCUACCACAUAUGCAACCUAUGUGGAAAAAAAAGAAUUAUAAAGGUAAUAAAUUUUAAAAUUAGGUUACUUUGGGUAUAUGUUUCAAAAGAAGAGUUAUUUUGGCAAUAAACUCGCUGAAAACAUCAUCACAUAUUUGGAAAGAUUUACUUGUUGCUCUGGAUUUUAGGUUUGAUCUUUAUUUCAUAAAGCAUUUUGUUAGAUUUCAAUGGCUUAAAAAAAUGAUGACUUUUGUUAGAAUAUUGAGCUCUCAGACAUUCAGUGCAGGCCUAAUAUUUUUUUUUUAGUACUGAAUUUGUUUUGGAUACGUUAGUAUUUCUUGAAUUUUAGAAAAUGCUUCUCUUUAAUAAAUGUAAGUUCAUUUUAAUCUUGAUUCGCAAGCUUUUUCUCGUAAAUGGUUUGCCAUUUCUUAUUAGUUGUUACAGUAAAUUUAACAUGCAUAUAUGCUUUUUGUCAAAAUUCAAUCAUUUCAAAAUCUAGAAGGGAACUUCUAAAAUACCUGCAUCCUCCUUUUUCUUUUUUCUUUUUUAUUUUUCCCCCUCUUGGCUUUGUAUUCAGAAUCAGAUUGUGUUCAAUUAGUUGGAAUUUGGCUUUGGAGUUAGAAGGGAUUUCCAUUUUUUCCUAGGUAUUCCACAGCUUGCAUACCAAAAGCACAGAGGCGGAAGAAAACCUAUGAUUAAAUCAUACAACAGGCUUGUAAGAAAAUGCCCACUUUGAAAAAAAUGAAAAGUUGAAUUUCCUAUUUUCAAAUUUACAUGCAAAAAAUGAAAAAUGACAUGCAAGAAAUAGUCUACUAUUUCGCAAUGUUUCAUAGUUAUGAGAAAUAUAUUACAAAUAAAUCCACAUAAAUGGUGGGAAUAAUAACUCAAAUAUGGUGGGACAAAUAAACAUACAGGGUGACCCCUGCCAGCUGAGAUAACUAGCUGGUUUAUUUAAUUUAAUAGUUUGAAUACAAUAGUAAAUCAAUGCCAUAGCUCAGAUACUGACUAAAUUUUUCUCCCUGAAGAAUUCAACAGCAUCUUUUAGGCUGACCUCCAAAGGAGUGAAUCCAACUCCCAACCUUUUUGCCUUCUCAUUGGAGGCUCUGUAGUUUGGGCUGAUAAGGUUGGUAUUGUUUGACAUUCUGCUGUAUGCGGGACAAUACACAAUUAUGGCAAACAUAAAUAAAGCUUAGGUAAUGAAAAUGCAAAUGUAAAUUCAAAUGCUUGAAAAUCUACUGGACAAUUGCCUCAUAUCUACUGUAAAUUGUGCCUUUUUUACGAAGUUUCAAAAGACCUUUUAAAAGAUAACUUUAGUUGUGAUAUGAAUGAAAUUUAUUUUUCUCUAAAAAAAAGCCUAAAACGGAAUUUCUAUUUUGGAGACAAAGCCAAUUUGGUGAUAUAUCCUAGUCCAAAGAAGACCAUCUUCUAGAAAUCAACCUGAGAAAGAGCUCAUUUUUUAUGGAACAUGAGACCAAAAGAAAAAAAAAAGAAGGCAGAAAAUUUAGGAUUUAGUGUCCUUUAAAAGAGAGUAUAAAAAUAUGUGAUACAUUUUGGACGUAUACAAGGCCAUCAGCAAAAGCCUGCAAAGACCUAAACAAGGAAAACAAGACUUACUUAUCAGGAAAUUGGUGAGUUGGGUAAUGCUCAUGCAAAAUCUUGAUGAUCUGAGAGGCAUUUGCACAUCUUUCAACCAGACAAUAUCUUCCACUUGCAGAAGGGGUUUCAAGGGCAAGAACAUGUGCAUAGGCAACAUCUCUAACAUCAACCCAGCUACAUGUUGCCUUAGGAAAUGGUUCAACCCCUGCAUUUGGCACCUAAGAUCUUUAAACACAUUUUUUUGCAGGCUCUUCAGCAACAUAAGUGAAACUGUGCAUACAAUUAAAUACAAUGUUGUUUGCCAUGAAAAGAGUCAAAUUUAGAGGCCUUCCAGAAGAAAUGUGUUGUAUGUACUACUUUGUUCUGUUUUAGUAUCAGCAAAGCCACAGAGGGGAGGGAGAUGUGAGGAAUGAACUACUUGAGACAAUUCAGAUAAUUGGUGAAUAAUAAGAAAGAUUAAUCCCAACAAUUUUCUAGUUAAUCUGUCGAGUUAUUACCUGGAAUUUCUCAGAUUUAGAGUUAGGUUUCUCUUUCAAAGGAUAGUUUAUUUAUUUAUGUGAGGAAUAAACAAGCUUUAGCAAGUCUGAACAACAUAAACAGUGACUACUCCUAACAAAUUUUUCCUCACAAUUACCACCCAAAAAUUUCUUUUCCUUCCUGUUAAUCACAUAGAACCUCAAUGUUGUUGAAAGGAAGAUGCACACAACGUGAAUUUCAGAUGAAAGAUUGUCCUGCAAACCUUUAAAACAUCAUAAGCUGGUCAGAGUUUAUAGCUUGAUAUAUCAGUUCACAUUCUGACCUAUGUCUGUCAAUCAUGUGAUUAGCCAGCAGUGCCUUGAAAUGUUAUUAGUCAUAAGUUUUUUGUUCUACUGUAACAAAGAAAGUUGUGGUGCAUAAUAAAGCUAUAACUAACAUAGAUGGAAGAGUCAGUUAGACAAUGAUUACUAAGGUGAUUCAAUAAAUUUUGAAACAAACCCUUUAAUAGGUUGAGGAACAAAACAGCGCUCGAAUUAACAGAUGGCUGCAAGAGAGGACCAAUGACCAAUCCUGGAUGAAUUGUAAUCACGUCAAUGCCAUGAUCCUUUGCAAAUUUCCAUGCAGCAUUCUCGGCCAUGGUUUUUGAAAGUUCAUACCAAGACUAUCAACACCAAAAAAUCAGUAAAUGUUGGUAAGAUGGUAGCAGAAAGUAAUUAGAUUUGUAAACUUUAAGAAGUAACAUUAUAAAUUUCUACAAAUUUGACAAAUCCAGCAACUUACAUCAGUUGAAACUAUUAUUGCUGUAGCUACAAAGCACAGAGUGAAAGUAUCCACAUUUCCCAGGACAAGCUAUGCCAUAAGUGAAUAAGCAGAUUUCUCAAGGAUCCUAGGAAUGGUGUAAACUUUCUAUAUUCAAGGAAUGAUGCAAAGCACCAGUGUCGACAUAUCCUGGUCAUCUGACCUCUUAAUCCACAAGUUAACAGCAAAACUACAAGGGACCUUGACACUUUAACGCAUAUAGUCAUAUUCAUAAUAUUAUAGCAGAAGUUCCUUUCCAACUGACCGACCAAAUAUUGCUCAUCUUGGUGUGUAUUCUCAGACAAUAGUAUAGAAUUUGAUCAUGCAAGAGAUGCAUAAUUAAGUAGGAAAACUUUCAUAUUGCUCUUUCCCCGACUAUUCCACACUACAUUAUUAAUUUUUCAUUAAAGUUAAGUUGUUACUUAGAUAGAAGGAAAGAAAUGGACUGACCAUUCUGGUUACAAAAAUAUCCUUCUUUUUGCCUAUUAAAGUACCACCAAGUCAUGAAGAUCCUAACUUAAUUAUCUCCACAGCUGGGCUAACUCCUCAUAUGUGUCCCAAUAACAAGUUAAAACUAAAGAAUUCCAGCAUUCCAUAUUAGAUUUUACUGGAAGAAGACAGAUAAUAUGUGUACCUUUUGCUCCUCACAGUAUGAUGGAUCGGAAAACCAACUUUCAUCAACUACCACAUCCUCCUUUAAUUCUCUGUUUUCUGAAACUGCAACCAUAGAGGAUGUUAUAACUACUCUUUUGACAGAAGAAGAAUUUGCACAUGACCGCAGCACAUUCAGUGUUCCACGUACUGCAGGUUCCAGUAGUUCUGCCUAUGAAAUCAAACCAAGUAAAAAAGGAAGUCAUUACCAGUCAUAGGUAAGACUAUGCUUUUUAACCUGCAAAAAACUUAUCAUUCUGGUAUUAUGUUUGAGAAUUUCACCACAAAUGCUGUAAACCUACAGCUUUAGUUACUUAGCUAAAGGAUGCAUAUAGUUGUCUUAUCUCCUCUUGCUGCUAAAAUAAGUUCUCAGGUCCUUUAUUGUUGUUUUUUCCCAUAUUAGUUACUUAAGACCGAUAGAGGAACAACUGAAAUAAGUCUCAGAUGUGGUCACCAAUUAAACCGUUUGGUACCAAAUAUCAACCGAUGAAAUUCUGUUCUGGCUUGAACAGGACAGACAGAAAAUAUAAAAGGUGUAGCUCCCAUGAAUCCUGCGAACAGAUUUUAGCGUGAACACAUAAUGCAUGUUGCAAUUUCUUUUAGUGUCUAUGAGUCAACCUUGUUCAUUGAAAUGACUAAAAUCAAAGUUCUACAAAGUUACUUAAAUAAAAAUCCAUAAACACAAUUUGAGAAACAGACAAUGAUAAGUGUACUGCAUAAAAUUUUAAGGCACAAUCAUUAAUAGAAGUUAAUCAACUUACAAAUGAAGAUACAUAUAAUUUGCAGAUGCUUGAACAUAUAUUGUAGUUUCUAUAAGCUUCUUAUUCAUUCUGGUAUGGGCACGCAAAAGCUAUUGGCUCUACACUGGCUGAAUAAUUAGUUGGUCAAAGCAGGGAUUCAUUUGCUCCAGGACAAGCUUAUAGCUUGCUCUAUAACCUUACCCUGACUGACUUACCCAGGAAAAUAGUUAGUCGGACCCAAUCUACUGCCCAAUUGUGGACCAUUUGCUAUGUUUAUGGCUCUUAAUGUUUUUAUUUCACAACAUUACACCCUUUGAAUUGUUUCUCUGAAGUACCAAUUUCCAGAUCAUUUCAUAGAAACAUCAUGUAUACUGAUUAAAAAGAGACUAAAGCCCAUAACACACGACAGUCUUUUUUGUGAAUGACCUGCAGGAACAGAUUAGUUUUGUAUGUACCAAAUGUAAAGAAAUAUUCUUCAGGUGUUUGACCUGAUUGCUACAUUAAUCUCCUCCCUUUGGUUAAUAAAAGAAAAAGUAGAGCCAUAGAAUUGGAAACAUUUGAAUCUAACUAUUUUUUUUUUUUGCCUUUACAGUUAUAACCUUGUCAUAAAUCACAUAUAGAGGAGUAGACUAUCACCCAAAAAAGCCAGUAAAAAUGCAACAGAGGAAGAUACUAAAAGAAGUCGCACAAUUAUAAAUCAGAAAGUAUGCUACGAUUUUCAAACUUCAAGAGAUAAAUAGCAGAUUGUGUAGACAGUAGAGAAUUUCCAAUCUUGUAAAGCAAAUGUACCUCUGGAUUGCUGAAUGAAAGUUUGAUUGGAGAUGCAGUAUGGAAAACCCCUUCACAUCCCUCGACUAUUGCAUCAAACGAUCCCUCUUCUAGUAAGUUUGCCGAGUACAACUGAAGCCUUUCCUUAGCUCCAUCAAGUGAUGUCAAAUGUUGUGUCCUUUCCGGAUCAUCUGUGUCAUGAUUGCAUCAGUAGAAUGUUCAGACAGCUAUAGUCAAAACCAUGCCGCCUUGGUAAAGUGACUAUGUUUUCACUAUGGCGCAACUCAAGAAGCAAUGGACUUAGAGCAAUAAUAAACGAACCUCAAAGCAAUGAUAAAUUUGACUAGCUAAAGGCAAGCGGGGAAAAACGAAAAGAAAUUGACGGGCAACAUAAUAUGACCACAAUAAUAUCAUAGCCCUAUGAUUUCUGGUUUUGAGAUGUGUACAUUUGUAACUUUCUUGAUAACAAUUAAUUCUUGAGAUAAUUAUCAGAGGGACAAUUGUAUGCCAUCUACCACUAUUUUUAUAACAAACUCAGUUCUUCAGAAGAAGGAUAUAGAUUCGAUAGGCUAAAGAUUUUUGAGUAUAACUUGAUCGUUGUAUCUGGAGCAUGAAACAUUACUGUUAAGGUAUACAUUAUAUAGUUUCAGGCUUUCAGCUACUCAAAUAUCAAUUAGGUUGGUCCACAUCAAUUUUUUUUUUGCAUGUGAUUUUCUUUUGAGCAAACAGAACAUGGGGAGCAUUUAGCUGUUGCAAGAAUAUCAUCUGGAGCUACAAAACAAUUUCACACUGCAGAGUUGAAUAAAAAUGUUGGGCAAAUUACAUAUAAUCCUCCUGUGGCUUUGUCUGUUGCCACAUGACCCUUCUAACAUUUUAAAAUAUCCAAUUCACCCACUAUGAUUUUAUGUAAAGCGGAAACUUGAUGGAGAAUAGCCUAUAUAAUGUCGUUAAUUGAAAUACCAUUAGUACUUUUACUUAAAUGCUAAAUCAAUCGACGAUUUAAUUACCUUAUAUAAAAGUAUAAGGGGAUUAUAUGGAUAAAUAUAAAAAUCACAGGAGGGAUAAAGUGGACAAUUAUAUAUAAGAGAAUUACAUUGAAAUUAAGACUUUAUCACACACGCUUUUAGAGCGCGUUUGGUAUAAAUGCCGUAACUAAUUGUGCAUUCCAUCAUUUUCCGCUUUACAUAUAACUAUGGGGGGUAUGUGGCUAUUUUGAAAUCUUAGGGGACCAUCUAGCAUUAUAUAAAAUCACCCUAAAAUAUAGUUAUAAGUAAUUUACCCUAAAAUGUUAGAUUCCAGGAGCAAUUAAACAACAAUCAGAACAGGGCAUCAAAAACUGCACAAGCCACUAAGAUAGUUGAUCAAGAACAAAAACUGGACUUACAGGCAUCUCGAACUGAACCUUUAACAAUAUAACCGCGCUCGAGCAGCAGCUUCACCAGCCAUGAAGCUAUGUAACCCGAAGCUCCGGUCACACACACCAUUUUCCCUUCUCCUGCUCCACUCAUUUUGUUAAUAUUUUUGUGUGUGAACCUGUCACCUGUUUGCCUUACUUCUGGACUUAAUGGAGGGAGGCAUAUAUGGUGUAUAUAUAUAUAUGGUGAAGAAGACGAAAGAUUGGAUAUGAGAUUACGUGGGAGACUAGGGAGAUCCAUAUGUAUUCUUGCAAUUUGCAUGCAUCAUCGCUGACAUACGUAUGGUAUAAUCGCGUCACAUCCCAUUUUAUCAAGGUCAAUUGAUCAGUGUAAAAUAGAAAUGAACAAUAAAUACAAUGGUAAAUUACCUUCUACACCCUAUGAUUUGAUGUUUUAUCACAUAACUCCCUAUAAUUUAAAAACCUAUAUAUGACCCUUUCGUAGUUUGGGUUAUUGUGUCACUUUAGAUUUUUCUGUUAAAACUAACGGUCAAUAGUAAAAAGUCAAAUUCAAACUACUAAAUUGACAAAUUCACCAUUUCACUACUUUUUUUUUCUUGUUUUCCUUUUCUUUCUUUCCUUUUUUUUUCUUGGAAAGAGAAGAGAUGACUUUGAAAACUUGUAUUUUGGCUUACAAAACCUUAAUUGUUUCCAAAUACAAAAGAGACAGAAGGGAAAUAAAAAUAAAUCAACAAGAAACAAAAAAUAUGGAAGGUAAAGAUAUAACAAAUAAAUAAGAAACAAAAAAACACCAAAUCUUUUUUACUAUGAAUAUCAUUAUAGGUUUUUAAACCAAAUCUUUAAUAGUAUUUUCUAGUUCUUAUUUAUCUAUUUUUUAUUUCAAUUUCUUCUUUUUGAUGUUUGGAGGAAAAAAAAACAAGUAAUGAAGGGAUAAAUUUGUCAAUUUAUUAGUUUGACUUUUUAAUAUUAACUGUUAGUUUUAACGAAAAAACUAAUAAUGACACAUUAACCCAAAUCAUGAGGGGGUUAUAUAUAGUUUUUAAACUAUGGGAGGUUAUUUGAGAAAAUAUCAAACUAUAGACGUUAAAAUGCAAUUUAGCCUAAAUCCAAAAUCAGGCGGUUGCAUAUGAAAAAAUACCAAGGUUCUUGACUUUGCUCAAUACAAUUCCAAGUCUAGAGACACAAUUUUUAAAUUCACUACCAGGAUAAACCAUUCUCCUUUUUUUUUCCAUUUUUUCGGGUUAAAAAGUACAAACUACUUGAACUAGAAACUAGUCCUGACAAAGUUUGUGGGUUUUUUGCAAGAGUUUUAGUUAAAUAUUGGUUACUUCGCCUAAUUUGCACCUAUUUUAUCAUGUAAAUUCAUGCACACUUUUAAAAAAAUAAUGCAUGCACUUAUAUUAUUGCCUUUCUUACAUUUAAAUACUUUUUUCAAUUUAAUUUUACUUUUCUGGCAAAACUAAAUCUGAAGCCCAUUUCAAGAAAUAUCCACCGAAUACCAGGUCAACAAACCGCCUUCGUAAUAAAGAACGAAAGGGACCGCAGCGGUCUUUAACACGCAGCGGUCUUUUUGCAUCUAAGAAAGCUUUUGAUUGGCUAGAAAUCCUUCUCUGAUUGAGAACUGGGAAUUGACUUGAUGAUGGCAACUCCAUUUAGAAAACUGGUCCACACCCUUGAAUGUGGUUUAAAUUUAAUAGGGAUAAUUUCAUAAACCUCCCCUGAGGUUUCUGACAUUUACACUCACCUCCCCUGUGGUUUGAACAAUUACACUAACCUCCCCUGAGGUUACUAAUCCUUUACAAAUUCAGUCCAAAUGAUUAAAAUAUUGUUUUAGAGAGUGAAAUUAGAAUUUUGUACCUGAUUUGCCCUUUGUGUUACAUAUCCAAUGAAUGACAAAGUAUUACAAAUUAAUUAAUAAUUAAUAAACUUUAAGGAGCGUAGUUUAUAGGAAAAAACGUAUUACUUAGUUAAAGUACCAGCUCUUUACGAGUAUUUUACUUUCAAACAUUUACUUUAUUACAAAUAUUUAUUCUCAAAUACAGAUUUGUAUUACUCUCAAAUAUUUAAUUUUUGUUAAAUAAAAAACCUACCAGUUUUUCUUCCGUAGAAAUAUUAAUAUAACAUUUUUUCAAUUUUAGUUAUAAAUAUUUAUGUAUUUAGUAUAAAUUAAAUGAUUCAGGAUUAAAUACUCAUAAAGAGCUAAUACUUUACUCAUGUAAUGGAUGAAAAUCAUAAAAAAUUAAUACUUUAUGGGCCAUUUCUUUUUUUAAAAAAUAUUUAAUUUAUGUUAAAUAGAUAACUUACUGAUUUUCUUUUUGCGAGAAUAUUACUGUAACACUUUUUAAUUUUUAAUUACAAACGUUAAUAUAUUUAUCAUAAAUUAAAUAUUUGAAAAUAAAAUAUCUGUAAAGAGUCGUUACUUUAAAUAGGUUAUGUGUAUUUGCCUAUAAACUAUACUCUUUAAAGUAAGGAGUAUAGUUUAUUGAUUUAGCUAGUAGAGAAUCUUUUGUAGGUGGCGGGUUAGUCCUCUUAAGAGACAAAAAUGGGUAUGCUUUUGGUAAAACGAUUAGUUUAUACGUGUAAGUACGAGCGUGCACAGAAAAGUGGUUGGAUCUAUUUAACUGUCCGCACAAUCAAUAAUCUUUGGUAAGCUUUCGACGAAACUUCAGAGAGAGAGAGAGAGAGGGGGGGACCACACUGGAUCGACGUAGUAUUAUGUAAACUAUUGGUAUAGUAGCUGUUAUGGUACUUAUGUCUAAAUGAAAUAUUUGUGCUUGAAUCUCGCACCUUCUAAAGAAGCCAGGCAAAAGGAAAAGAAACAUAUAAAUAUUAUUGUUCUUUGAAACAUUUUUAAAAAAGAUGGGUGAAAAUGAAAAAAAACUUUAAUUCCAAGACCAUUUAUUUUAUCAAUUACACUCCUUACUUAAAUUAAUAAACUACACUCCUUAACUUAAAUCAAUAAACUAUACUCUUUACUUUAAAGAGUAUAGUUUAUAGGUAAAUACACAUAACUUAUUUAAAGUACCCGCUCUUUACAGAUAUUUUAUUUUCAAAUAUUUAAUUUAUGAUAAAUAUAUUAACGUUUGUAAUUAAAAAUUAAAAAGUGUUACAGUAAUAUUCUCGCAAAAAGAAAAUCAGUAGGUUAUCUAUUUAAUAUAAAUUAAAUAUUUUUUUAAAAAAGAAAUGCCCCCAUAAAGUAUUAAUUUUUUAUGAUUUUCAUCCAUUACAUGAGUAAAGUAUUAGCUCUUUAUGAGUAUUUAAUCAUGAAUCAUUUAAUUUAUGCUAAAUACAUAAAUAUUUAUAACUAAAAUUGAAAAAGUAUUAUAUUAAUAUUUCUACGGAAUAAUAACUAGUAGGUUUUUUAUUUAAUAAAAAUUAAAUAUUUGAGAGUAAUACAAAUCUGUAUUUAAGAAUAAAUAUUUGUAAUAAAGUAAAUGUUUGAAAGUAAAAUACUCGUAAAGAGCUGGUACUUUAAAUAAGUAAUACGUUUUUGCCUAUAAACUACACUCCUUAAAGUUUAUUAAUUAUUAAUUAAUUUGUAAUACUUUGUCAUUCAUUGGAUAUGUAGCACAAAGGGUAAAUCAGGUACAAAAUUCUAAUUUCACUCUCUAAAACAAUAUUUUAAUCAUUUGGACUGAAUUUGUAAAGGAUUAGUAACCUCAGGGGAGGUUAGUGUAAUUGUUCAAACCACGGGGGAGGUGAGUGUAAAUGUCAGAAACCUCAGGGGAGGUUUCUGAAAUUAUCCCAAUUUAAUAACACCAUUUCAUCAUUUCUGACGACUGCUUCUUCUAUAUCGAUCCUAGCUCACUGCACACGCCAGUCGUGUGAAACUUGGCAAAAGAGUUACACCUCCGUCCUAAAAUUGUUUGUCGCAUUUCGAGAUCCAAUUUUUUAAAAAUAGCAGCUUGAUGAUGAUAUUUGUAGAUUUGUUUUAAAAAUUGUCAUCAAAAAUUCAAAUUUUAAAUUGAAUUUAGUAUGAAAUAUAGAUAAAGAUUGGAAUAACAUUGAAAAAAAGAGAUUAAAAGUUAUUUUGAUUUUGAUAAGAUGAUAAAUAUUUUAGAACGUUUCAAAAUAAAAAAAAAUAUAUGACAUUUUCAAUGAAACAAAAGGAUGGUGAGAAUAUAUAUAAGAUACUGAAAACUAGCAUCCAUCUGAAACAGUCAAAUCAAAGCCAACAUAUUACUUGUAGUUUGGUUAUAACCAUAUCUCAGCUUGCUGGUAGCCCAAAAAUUUAGCAAAAUGAAUUAGGAAACCAAGUGCGAUAGAGCAUAUUUCACCCAAAUAUAUUAAAAGUGAAAAAGAUUUAUUUUUAUUUAGUCAAUCUGAUUUUUUGUGUCCACAUGCCCAUAAAGCUCAAGGACCAAAAAGCCAAACAUACGAAGUGAAAAUGUGAAGAGCAAUAAUUUGAAAGCAAAUAAAAAAACGGGUAGAUGGAUAGAAAACCAUGUCGAAGGUCUCUUCUCUUUUGAGUACGUAAGUGGCAGCAAUCAAUUCCCAAAGAGUGGGCUCUGGAGUUGUUAGUUACGUUGAAAAAUCAUGAAGCAGAGUUGUUCGAGAUGUUAUCUUGGGCUAUUUGGCUUGGGAGGAACCAAAAGCUGCAUGAAGAUAAACGAGUGGACCCUUUUGAGUUUAGUUAGCUUUGCUUCGGGUGCGCUCCAAUAAUUCCAAGAAGCUAAUGUUACUCAGAAAUGUCCAUCCUUAUCAAAUCAAUCUCACUUGUGGCAACCUCCAGGCGAUGGCAAGUUAAGGUUUAAUUUUGACGGUGUGGUGUUUAAGGAAACUCAAUCUAUUGGUUUAGAUGACGGUGCGGUGUUGAUUUAUCUAGUUUAGGCCCUCCAAUUGUGGACGUCACGAGGGACUUAACUAGUUUAGAGACGUCUAGUAUUUGAGGGAUGAGUAGGAAUCACAAUAAAAUCACUCAUAUAUUAGCUAAGAUCGCAAAAUUCAUAUGUGAUCAUGUCUUUUGGUGGAGAGAUCAUCCAGAGUUUGUUGUGCCAUUUCUAAUGGCGGAUUUGUUAGAAAGUUAAUGAAAGUUCAAUACAGGUUAUGUUGAGUAAGACGUUGGAUUGAAAAUUCAAGAUUUUGAACUGAAAUUUCAAGAUUUUGAGAUGAAAAUAAAAGAUCACGCUAAACUUAAUGGAUUCAAAUCUUAAUAUGUGCAAAUGCGUUUAAUAACCAAAAUUGGACAUCUGAAUUAAUUAAGUGCUACUGAAUUUUCUAAACGAAAUUUGUUCUAAAAAAUAAGUGAUAAACUAUGCAUUUAUUACUGAAUGUGAUAUACACUUAAAUAUACUUGAUUUAAUACUUAACAAUCUAAUAAAUUAAUGGACUCAGAUUUUAGAUUUCAAUUUUAUCAAAGUAACCUAAAAAUAUAGACUAUAGAUAAAAUAACUGCAGAUAAUGAUUUAUGUUGAGUAAGCUUUCAAAGCUACGUUUCCCAAAACAAACUUUAGAUAAUCAUUCUCUAAUUUUUGCUUUCACUCUAGAAGAUGCGUACAAUAAUGGGUGUAUACAAAAAUGGAAGUUAAAUUGAUAACACUAAGCUCGCCAAUUCUCAUAAAAAAAAUGAUGACAUUGCCUGCAUUAAUUCUAGUAACGGACUGAAGACAAUAAUUAAUAGGUGACUAUAUGGUGCCUAAGGCACACAAUAAAAUGUGGACUUGGUACCAUUAUUUAUUUUUGUGAAAGGAUAAACCUAUUUUGUAAGGUGUCGCAAUUCAUCAUCAUGAAAUGAGUGGUAAUUUUAAAGCAUUAAUAGUGAAUUCACCUUCAUUUUUAACGUUCAUAUCGCAAAGCCUAUUAAAAAAUUUCCACCAGCACAAAUUCCACUUUUAAUAGGUUCGAAAAUUCACUCACAAAUUUAUCCACAAAUCCCAUUAACAAAAAAAAAAAAAGAAAAUGCAGAAAGUUAUCAACGGAACUUCUAUAGUGCGUUGACGCGCGACACGUGUUGGUUGGAGAUUACUAGAUGGGAGUGGGGUUAAUCAAAGGUGGUAUUUUAGUAUUAAGCCCAAAAACCACCGGUAACAAUGGUAUUGACCCAAUUUCUAGAGGAAUUGACCCACAUAAACUGUGAAAGAUUAUUUUCUCUGUCAUUUAAGGCAAUUUCUGAACAAGAUUUAGGCGUAUAAUAAAGAAAUUAUCAACCCCAACCCCCAAUAUUAUGCUAAUAUGCAAUUGGAAAAAAUUAAAUGAAUAUUUACUUGAAGUUAAGAAGUGGAUACCAAUCGGUAGAAAGUGUUUAUAACAUACUCCGAAAUGCCAAAGGACUUCCCAAAAAGUGGGAAGCAGGACAACAUCUGAAAUAUAGUCCAAGUUUGAAGUGCUUUAUGUCAAACAUAUUUCAAUAUAGAAAAAAAAAAAAUUACUGGUUAGCAUAUGUUUGUGCGCAGUAUUUGUUGAUUGGGAGACGGUUCUAAGGAGGCGGUUUUGCAACAAAUAAGUAAACGGGAUGUCGAUUACUUGGAGUUGUAUCUUAUGCUGGAAAAAUAAUUAGACAUGUCAGUUAAGUAAUAUUUCAAUUUAAAUAAAGUUAGUUAGGAACUAGAACUCGUAACAUGGUUGGAUAUGGUUAGUGAAUAGGAUAUGAAUGUUGGGGGAUAGAAUACAACUAGAAUUACUAAGACAAAUUAAGCGUGACACUUUGAAUUCAAAUUUUACUAACAUUGCAUAAUAACACCUUUGACUGAUAAUUUUUUUUGAUACGGAAACUGGAAAAAUUUUAUUAAGAAGAGGAUAGAUCCGUAUUAAUUGCGAAAGAAAGAAAAAAUGGUGGAGAAAAUCUCCAACUAUAAAUACCUGAAAUAGAACUAGCAUUACUAUCUAAGAAAUGAGCAGGCACAAUUAGAUUCCUAGGAAUCCAAUCAGCCUCCCAAGUAAUGAAAUUCUGUAAACUAACAAAGAUAUCAUCUAACAGCACUCCAUAAGCUGAAUCAUCGGAUUCCAUAUUUUUAAGCAUGUUGAUGAUCUUCAAAGAGUCACCCUCUAAAACAAUCUUAGAACCUUCAACUGAAGUAACGAGGAAAUUGCAGAUAUUGCAGCAUAAGUUUCAGUUACUUCAGGAGAAAAGAUACCUAAGAUUUUGUGAAAAAUACUAGCAACAAAUUUGCCCCAUUCAUUCCUCACAACAAUUCCAACUCUAAAGUUGUCGUCUUCAUAGAAUAUUGCACCAUCGAAGUUUGCACUGCACCAUCGAAGUUUGCCUUUAGAAAUCUUGCAGAGGGCUUUAUCCAAUGAAGUUGAGCAGUGGAAGAGCAUAUUGGAAUGUUUGGAAAUGUGUUUAUUUCAUGGUAUUUCUAUAAGAAAUUGAUAGAGAGGGAGAGACCAAACUGAGAGGAUCACGAUAGAACCAUCAAAUAAUGCAUCAUUUCGGUUAAACCGUAGAUUCCAAAGAAUUAUGGCUACCAAUUCCAUGUCCUGCUUUUUCAAAAGAUGAAGGCCAGACAACCGAGACGAAACUUGAUCGGUAGAGUCUAAUCUUAUCUUUAGUGUAAGAAAGCUAAGGGCCCAAGGUUAAAUUGCUACUGGACAGCACAAGAAAAGAUGAUUAACAUCAUCAAUAGGGGCCUUACAUAAAGAACAAGUAGGAUCAAAAUAGACUCCGCGACUAUUCAACUUGGAAGUUAUAGGUAGAAUGUCUUUGCAAAUUCACCACAAGAAUAUUUUAACUUUACUUGGUAUGUUGAGUUUCCACAAGCAGGGCCAAAUAUCAUCCAUAGAACCAUUACUACAUGAAGCUACAUCUUGUCAAUUUGUAGAUUAUAUUUUGAUAAGAUGAUAGGCAAUUUUCACUGUGAAGGAGCCAUUUUUAGAAUAGUGCCAAAUGAGCUUAUCUUGAUUUCGUCUAUCACCCAAUGGAAUACUCAUAAUCAACUCAAUCACAUCUAAGGAUAGCAACGGGGGCGGUGCCCGCGGGGGCUAUUGGGGCAGAGGUUGGGGCGGGGGGAAUUUUUCCCCCCAUUUAGAAACGGGGCAGGGGGCCCACCCAUUUGGAAAAAAAAGAGAGAUAUAUAUAUGUACAUAAUUAUAUAUAUAAUAGUAUUAUCAAUUAUACAUGUCUAUUAAUAAAAAUUAUUAAUUAUUUAUACUAAAUUUAUUAAUACAUUUAUAUUAAAUUCCUAACUACACUUAAUACAAUAACACUUUUUUUCUAAAAAAAACACAAUAAUAAUUUAGUGAUUGUAUUUGUAUCAAAAGUAAAAACAAUUAUUUUAGUUAUAUUUGUUUUAUCAUAUUAGAUCGUAUUCAAAUAACUUUUGUUUAAUUAUUUUUAUGAGUUUCAAUUGUGAAGUUAUAAUGAAUAAUAAUUUGGUGAUAUGUUGAUAUUUUAGUACUUGAUUACUUGCUCAAAUUUAAUUAUAAUAAAAUUAUAUAAUAAUUUUUUUAACCCCGCGGGGGAAGCGGGGCGGGGGCGGAGGACGGGACGGGGACGGGGGGGAAUUAAUAGGCAACGGGGCGGGGGUGGGGGAGGGGCCACCCCUAAUCACAUCCUGCCAAAAAAGCUCUUGAAGCAAAUCAUAUUUCCAUUUCCUGCUAUUUUCAUCAAUUAAACAAUCUAUAGUGGACAUUUCUAGUAGCACAUCAAAACGAGAUAUAAUUUUGAAAUUAGAAAGACGUGGAAUCCACCUCUCUUUCCAAAUUUUGAUAUGAUUCCCGUGUCCAUCUCACCAUCUACUACCAAAAACACCUUUGAUUGAUAAUUAAAUAGUUAAAAAAAUAUAUCUACUUAAUUUGUUUACUCAAUAGUUAUGUGAACUAAAACAUAAAAAAGAAGGUCAAUUAUUAUAUUAGUGUUAUAUUUGUAAUAUUAGUUCCCUAUAUAGUAGGUUGCCGAGUUGGGCAUAUUUAUAUUCUACCAAGUAAAUGCCCUAUCUUUUCGAAACGUGGCAAAAAAAUUGUGUUUGUUUUUUUUGGUAGAUUUCAUUCUUUUUCUUUUUUGGUAACAAUUAAUUUACUAUUCAUUUUCACUUCAUUAUUUAUAGUAAAUUUCAAUCAAUUAUCAAUUACUUACCUUAUAUGCAUUUUUAUUAAUUAUACCUUUAUUUUUUUUAAUCAACUUAUAGCUUUCCUUUUUAAUUAGGCACUCGUUAAUAUAUGUCUUAGGUGUUAAAUUUUUAGAAAUAUAAGAUGAAUUAGGGAGAGCAUAUAAAUGUAAGGGAAUUAAUUAGAAAAAUAUAUAAAUAAAAGAAAAAGUAGUAAUAGUUGCGUAUAUAUAUGGCAGGUUAGGUGGAAUGCAGGUGUGUUAACGAUUACCCAUAGGGCACCCAUUAGAAAUACUCAUCAAAAUUUGGAUUAAUUUUUUUUCCUUUCAUUGCAAUCAUUACUACCAUUUUUCCUAUCAUUUAUUACUAUACCUUCAUGUUUCUAAAUACCAAUAAAUGUAUUACUCUCUUACUUUUUAUUUGAUUGUGCUAAUUAUAGCUUUCCUUUUACUUAAUCAAUUAGUCAAUCGAUCAAUCAACCAAUGAUUUUAAUUCUCUUUUCAAUCGCACGAUCUUUCUUUUAUCCAUCAUUAGGGAGAUUUACAAUUUAGUCACAUAUUUGUUAUGUGUACAAUAAUUAUGCAAUCAUAAGCACAAACUAAUGCAAUUCUAAUAAUUUUGCAUAUAUGCAUUCAUAUUGUAUUGCAACACCUUUAAUAAUUCAUUAUAUGGUUACAAAAGCCAAAAAAAAUCUAGUAUUACCUAGACCUUAGAUAGUCCCCAAUGUAUACACUGAUACUGUAUAAAAUGAUUUUAAACCGUUAAUAUAUAUACUGAUUGCAUAUGAAGAUUCAUCCCUAAUUUAGACCUCUUAGAUAGUUUGCAUGCAUUAUAUUCCCUUUUUUUAAUUUCUUAUUUAGUUUACCUUAUUACCAUUUAUGAUUUUUUUUUAAUUUAAGCAACAUCUUCCAAUAUUUUAUCACCAUUUUAAGUUAGUUCAUUUUUAGGAGAUAGUAGUAUAAGUGUGGUAGUUUGUCCAAAUAACUUUGAAUAUGCAUAUACAACCCAAAAAUAAAAUGAUAGUUGUUUAUAUUCUUAUCACUCAACGAUGAUAGUGUUAUGUAAUUUAAAUGAUUGAGAUCUAUUGCCAUCCAAAUAUGAAUUUAAUAUGAGGGUAUGAUAACUAAAAAUGACUAUAGAAUCUCCCUAAAUACUAAAUAAUGCGAAUAGAGAUAUUCCCUCAAAAACUUGUAAAGUACUUAAUGUGUAUACGGGUAAAUUCUUGCAAUAGUGAAAGGAAAAUAUCUUACUAGCCUUGAAAUUUUGGCCCGUGUAUUGACUUUUGUUAGCUAAAUUAAACUAUCUUGGAGUGAAGACAUAAAAUCUGCGGCAAAUUUUGAGAGAGUUGUGAACAUAGCUUAUUUAGCGUACAUAUUUUUUCCCGAGUUUGAAUUCUCUCACUUACAUGACAAAAAGAAAAAACUAUCGUACAUUUAACUUCCAACUAACAAUGAUGUAUAGGUAAUAAAUUAUAUGUGAUAAGAGUAUAUUUUACGUAUUUUUAGUGUGCUUUAUUAAUUAGUUUUGGUGUGUUUUAUUUAGUUUUAUAAAUAAUUAACUAAGAUUCUAGUGAAAAUAUGCAUUUUGUGGUUAAAGUGUGAAAAUUGCAUUUCUAUUGAUUUUUAUGGUAAAAAUUUCAUAUUUUGUAGGUUUAAUGAUUCAAUCAUCAAAUGAAGUGCAUUGAGAAAAUAUUUGGAUGAUUGAAGAUGGAUUAAAAUGGUGAAAAUAAAAUAUGAAGUGUAAAAGGAAAAAUGCAAUUUGAAUCAAGAAAAGUCAGCUUUGACAACUCUGACACGUUUUGGUAUUUUAACUAUAUCUGGAGCUACACAGAUUGGAUUGAGGUGAUCUUUAUACCAUUUUGAAGCUAAGAGAUAGAUCUAAAUUUGGUAUGAAGACAUCAGAAUCUAAUUCAGCCGUUUUCAUUGUCCAAAAGUUGAAAUACCGAAAUUCAACUCAGCUGAGAAAUGCAACUUGAGAACAAAAGAAUCAAACAAAAGUCAGCUUUGGCAUCUGUUGGUAUUUUGGCUAUAUCUUGGGCUACAUACAUUGGAUUCAGAUGAUCUUUAUAUCAUUUUAAAGCUAAGAGACAGAUCUACAUUUGGUAUGAAGACAUCAAAAGUCCAAUUCGGCUGUUUUCCUGGUCAAAAUGUCAAAAUACAGAAGUAAAAGUCUGCUGCUGAGAGCUGAAAACGCGGAAUUGACCAGUCAGUGGUAUUUUUAUCAUAUAUCGGUCUAGACAGCUCUAAAUUGGAUGAUUCUUGAGGCAUUGGACAGCUAUUUCAAUGGGCUACAACUUCUAUGUUUUUCACAAGAGCUAAUUUAGCCGUCAUUAUAGAGAAAAUAACAGUUGAAGUAGCCAGAUUCUGGUCAGAAAUAGCUGCUGGUACAACCUGUUUUCUCCUUCAACAAUUUACAGCUAUGGAUGAACGUAUGACAACCAAUUAGCAGCUGUAAAAGGGAUGUUUCAAGCCUCAUUUCCUGAUUGCAUUCAUCUAUAUAUAGCCAUGGACUUGCAGGAUUCAAAAUAACUUGGGAGAAGGCUAGAGAAACUCACCAGAAAUGUAGUUUUCACUAGAGUUUCCUUGGUUCAUUAGUAUAGUAUAGGUAGAGUAGUUUAUCCAUCUUGUAUUUGUAGUUAGAUUUGGAUGAAGAUUGGAGGAGCAAAGAUGAAGAGGUCGAUCUCAUGUGACAAGGGUGAUAUCUCUUCUACUACUUUCUCUCUUGUAUUGGAUUUCAUGUUUAAUUAUAAUACAAGUUGGCUUUGUGUUUUUAUUAUGUUUAGUUAAAGUUUAUGCCUAGAGUUAUGGUUGAACUUGCUAUAUUUUGUUUGUGAGGUUUACUUGGCUAUUUGAUGAUAUUAUUUUGAGUACAUUAUUUAUCACUUUUGGUUAUCUAAUCAUGAUUAACUGGCCAUUAAUUAUGAUAAUCAUAAGGUGUUAAGUUUGCAAUGAAAAUUGGAAUUUAACACUAGUUCAAAGAAGUGAUAAGCCUAGGGAGUACACUCACGAAAGUAGAGGUGCACCUAUGUGGCUUAAGUGACUUGUUUCAUGUAAUUUCAUAGAAGAAAUGAACUUGUAAUUAAUUUCAUAACCACGAGAGUAGGUAUGGGUUAACUACAAGUAUAGUUGAUUCACUACGAAAGUUGGUUUCACAUACAUUAGGAAAUUACGCCAUAACUAGUCAAGAUAAUAGCAUUCACUUAACCGGUAAUCUCAUUUGCAAGAGUAGUAAGGAAUUCCAUAUCUCUAGGAGCUUUCUAGUGUUAUUUUCAAACAUUUUAUAUUUGUGGUAGUCUAAAUAAUAAAGGAGUUUGAAAACAUCGGUAAUUGCAUUCUUCCCUGUGGGAUCGACCCUUAAUACCCUAUACUCGCUCACGAUUCGUAUACUUGCGAUAAAUCGCGUGUGGGGUAUUUAGGAAUUUAUAAAUGUAAAACUUGAUUGGGAUGAGUUUAAUAUUAUAUGUAUACCCCGCGCACGUCAAGUUUUUGGCGCCGUUGCCGGGGAAGAUUUGGCAAUAUCGGUGUGAAGAGCAACUUUAUUAAUUUAGACAAUUUUUCUUAUUUUUGUUGUUUUUAUCUUGUGUGUUUUAUGUCAUUUUUUUUGAGUCAAUUUUUAUUAUUAUUUUUUUUUUCUGUUUUAGUUUGUGUCUUGGAAUCUAUCCUUCUUAACUAAUCUUACUUUUGAGAUUGUUUAAAAGUAAUUUUAGAUAAUGAGGAGGGUAGGUGAAUUGGGAGGACAAAGCUUGAGAAAUGAAAAAUUGGCAAUGGAUGGUUACCUAGUGCAAAACUCCUUCAACAGAGGUAACCAAGAAAUUACUGAAGGUAUGUCUUUUGAAGAUGGUUUGAAGUGCUUAAAGGCAAAAUUUGAUGCAAUUAUGUUACAAGUUCAAAUGGGCACAAUUAUGCAUGAAAUUGAGCAAGGGAGGAAUAUUAAUACUUUUAAUUCUUAUCAUAUGAUUUGUCACUUGUGUGAAGGUUAUCAUGCUACUAAUACAUGUAUGCAAGCACAAAAUGUGGGUUAUUAUGAUGAAUUAGAGCAUUACAAUCCUUGUUUUGAUCAAUAUAGUGCUAAUUGGAACAAUUCUCCUAUGGAUGGUUGGGAUAAUCAAUGUACUUAUAAUAAUUCCUCAUAUUUUUACGAUUACCAAUCUGAAUGUGUCCAAUAUGAAUCAAAACCAUCUUGGGAGUUGGCAAUUGAAAUGGUAGCUAAUGAUUCUAAACCAUCUUGGGAGUUAGCUUUAGAAAAAUUAGCUAAUGCAACUUCCGACCGUUUUGAUAGGGUUGAAGAAAGAAUAGAUGAACUGACUUCUCACUUUAGUAGAAUACAAGAGAAAUUGCACGCAUUGUGUGAAGUUAUUUCUUCUAAUGAUAUGAAAGAUGACCCUAGCAUGAAUGGUAGGAAUGUUGUAUGUGAAAAUGGAUUGCAUUUGGAUGAAAAUGAUGAAUUUCAAUUGUGUUUUAAUGAGCAAAUAUCCAUUUCACAUGAUAAUAUCUUUGGAACUAACUUUGAGCCUCAAGAGGUGAGUUUUAAUGACUCAUUUUUCACCCCUCUUGAGGAGUGCAUUGAAAGUAUAGGUUCUAAGGGUAUUGCUGCCCAAGAUCCUCUCAUGGCAUCCCCGUUGGUAAGUUCUCAAGUGGUGUAUUUUCAAGGUAAUAUUUAUGAAACACUUGGAAUAGGUAAGCCACUUCCAUCUCUCACAUCAUUAGAAUAUGUGACUUUUGCUAUAAAGUCACCUUUUAAUGAUCCACCACGACCUAAAAUGGUGGAUUAUUCGUUAACUAAACCUCCUUGAAAAAUGAGGUUCAAUAGUCGAGCCAACGACUAUAAAUAAAAGCGCUUAUUGGGAGGCAACCCAAUGUUUUGGCUAUUUAUGUUAUUUUGGUGUGAUUUUAUGUUUAAAGCAUGUGUUUGAGUUAUUUUGUUAUUUUUCAUUUGUAGGUAUUGGAAAUGGAAGCAAAAGUGACCAAAUGAGAUGAAAAAGACGAAAUUUGAUCAAGGAACUCAACCCCUCGAUUUGAAUAAUUGUUGUUUUUGAUCCGUUAAAAGGGGCUAAAAUGCAUGUUUUUAAUGUUUUACAUGUGUGCACAUUGAUAAAUUUUACAAACAAAUGAUUUAUGAUGCAUUUUGAGUGAUUGGGGUAUUAUUUGUAAAUUUUCAAAAGUUGAAUUUCUGCUAAAAUUCGCAGCAGAAAAUGCGUUUCUCAAGAAAACGCGCCUCUGAGUCGCGUGUUCACAGAAUCGCGUUUUCAAUUCUGCACCUGCAGAACAGAAACGCGCCAUUAAAACGCGACUUUAAGUCGCGUUUUGAAGGAAGUCGCGUUUUGUUGCCUGGAUCAAAGAUGAAAACGCGCCAUUGAAAACGCGACUUGAAGUCGCGUUUUCUCACAGAACCGCGUUUUCAGUACUGCAACUUUUGGGAAGAAACGCGCAUUCAAAACCGCGAGUUAAAGGCGCGUUUCUACUCACGUUUUCUGAGCAUUUUUUUUUUUGAAAGAAAAAAUGCAGGUUCCUUGGUUCUCUUUUUCUUCUUUUCCUCAUAUAUUUUCUUGUACCUUGAGUUGCUUAUUGUGUAUUUUUUAUAGGUACAUCACCAAAACAAGGGCUUGAAGUUACGGAUAGCCGUUUUGAUGUUUUAAGCCUUUGUUAUCACUUUGGUUUCUCAUUUUCCAUUCUUAGGUUUAUAUCACUAAUGGUUAUCAAAUGGAACUCAUGAAGCGAUGAAGAAAGGCGAACAACGUACCUUGAAGCUUCAUACUCAAUCACAUCAUAGGGGAGUAUUACUUUCUUUAUCUUCAUUUUCCUUUUUACACAUUGAGGACAAUGUGUAUGUUAAGUGUGGGGGGAGAAUUGAGAUUAUAUAUAUUGUAUGUGAUUGACUUAUUAGUUGCAAAUAUUGGACUUGUGUUAAAAUUUUCAAAAUUUUUCUACAAUCUUGUCCAAAAUUGCAAACUUGCCCCAAAAAGUUUCAAUUUUUUCGAUUUUAUCCAAAGGGGUAACAAGUUUCAUACCAUUAGUAGUUCAAAUUUCUUCUACAUUUGAGAUAAAUAUAUGUGAUUUGGAAACUUCUUUUCUCAUUUAACUUGGAAAUGACUAUUAUGUGAUUAUAAUUUUGCAUUUGUAGGAAAAUAUAUCUUGUGAAGUGGAGAAAAUUAUGCAUAUAUUUUUUUUGCAUAUUUGAUGAAAUUUCUUCUCUUUAUUGGAUUUUAUAAGUUAAGUGAUAAAUAUGGUCAAUAAGUGCAAUACUCUUCUCAUGAUUAUUCUUUUGAGGAAUUUAUUAUUAUCUUUGCUGUAAAAAGAAAAAAAAUGGAAAGAAAAAAAAAGAAAAAAAUCCAGUAUCAUCAAACUUCUUCAAAUGGGCUCUUUAGCUACUAACCCCUUCAAAAAUAAUUUAGGCUUACGGUUCUGUUGAUGUCGCAAUUGCAGGAGGUUCAGAAGAUAACGAAAGGCUCAUCUAAGAUUUCUUAAGGUGUUUGGCUUAUAUUGCUAGAUUUACUUAAUCUAUUUUCAUUCUUCUCCGAUGUCAUUAUUGUUAAAGUUCAAUUCAUAAGUUGGUUGUGUUAGAAAAUUGGCUUAAUUUCUUUUUAGAUAGGUUUUUGUUUUGUGCAAAAGUAACUAGUUUCCUAAUUGGUUUUAGUUACUCGGAAUAGUAGCCAAGAAAUUUCUUAUUUUGUUUAGAAUUAGAAGUUAUUUCUUAUUUUCUACAAGUCUAGGAAUUAGAAUUAAUUUCCUGUUGUUAUUUGGAUUUUUUGACCAAAUAAUAUUUUUAUAAAUAGGUGGGUUGGCAUACUAUAAAAGAGACACAUAAGGGCACACAAGGACGACAUGUAACCUUAUACAUGGGUGGUGAGAGAGAGUUCUUAGGAGAUGAGAAAUGGUAUACAAAGGUUGGACUUGAGUUCGAGUUGUAUUCUUGUAUAAGGUUUUUCUCUCAUAAUAAAUAACAAGUUUCUCUCCGUGGACGUAGGUUCAAUGGAGUCAAACUACGUUAAAUAUUGUGUGUUGUUUAUCUUUUAUACUUGUGGCUUGUUUCUCAUUAAAUUAUUGUGUACUUGAUAUCUUAAUAGUUAUUUAUUCUGCAUUUAGUUCCUAACAAAUGGUAUCAGAACUUGAUUGCGAGAUUGGGCUGCUCACAAGCACUUGGAUCCCAACAAACUGAAUAGUUGGAUCAAGAGUUUGGUUGUUCAAGGAUGGAUCCUAGUUAGCUAUUGAGAUCAAGUAGGUUGGUGACUGUUACCAAUUGAACAAUUUAAUGGGCGGUAUCCUUUUUCAAGAGUUUGGCAAAAAAGCAUUGACGGUGAAUGAUGAAAAGUCGAAAAGCAUGGAGAUACUUGACGGUGAAUCUAGGCAGAUGAUUCAAGAGUCAAGGAAAAGGUGGAAUCCAAUAUCGAUUUUGGACGUGAAUCGGUGGAGACUUUCUCACAACUUCAACGGUUGAUACUUCAUCUCGGUGAUUUUUAGAUUUCGCUUAUGUUUUUUGAGUGGUACGGCACCUGACCCAAAAAAAUAAAGAGAUUUAAUUUCUAUGCGCUAGAAGACUCUGACAGUUACGAGUCUUUUGUUUCAGGUGAAUUUUUGGAAACCACACGUGGCGAGAUAGUCUUGAGGAAGGGAAGAAGUAUGAUGAUUUUAUCACUUGGUUGCCUCAAUGAUUAAGGUUAGAGCUCAUAGAAGGAGAUUUUGGGUUGCAAGUGGUGGUGAGAAGAAAUCCUGUAAAGAAAAAUGGUGAAUUGAGGCAUCUUCUCACGAAUCAACUGGAGGUUGUACUAGGUGUAAAUACACAUAUUCAUUUGGCAAUUAAAUUAAUUUGGUAUCAGAACUGUAUUGAUUCGGGUGUGUAGUUCGGUACCAUAUUAUUUGGUAGUUGAAAGUAAAUAAUUGUUAAAAGAAAUUUUCGCCAAGAUAGAGAUUUGUUAGGAAAUUGAUUUAAUUUCUUUUCAGACAGGUUUUUGUUUUGUGUAGAAGUAACUAGUUUCCUAAUUGGUUUUAGUUACUUGAAAUAGUAGCCAAGGAAUUUCCUAUUUUGUUUAGGAUUAAAAAUUAUUUCCUAUUCUAUACAAGUCUAGAAAUUAGAAUUGGUUUCCUAUUAUUAUUUAAUUUUUUGGCCAAAUAAUAUUCUUUAUAAAUAGGUGGGUUGGCAUACUACAAAGAGACACACAAAAGCACACAAGAGACGACAUGUAGCCUUAUAUGGGUGGUGAGAGAGGAUUUUUAGGAGAUGAGAGAUGGUAUACAAAGGUUGAAUUGGGGUUCAAGUUGUGUUCUUGUAUAGAAUUUUUCUCUUAUAAUAAAGAACGAGUUUCUCUCUGUGGAUGUAGGUUCAAUGGUGGAGCCGAACCACAUUAGAAAAUAGUGUGUCAUUUAUUUUCAUGUUUGUGGCUUGUUUCUCAUUAAAUUGUAGCGUACUUGAUAUCUCAAUAGUUGUUUAUUCCAUGUUUGGAUCCUAACAGAUUGCUAAACCAAGAUUGAUGUAAUUGCGUCCUAUAAGAGAGUUUGCAAUUCAAUUGAUUAAGGGAAGAACAGAGAAAAUCCCUGAAAAUGGGAAUUAAAGGAAACAAAGGAAACCCUAAAACUAGUUUCCAAGAACAAUUCUGUCGAAGACAGAAAACAAAGAAAAUAGUAUCAAAGGCUAUAUCGUUAUUUAGGAAACAAGAAGCACUUGAAGGUGAAUGUUGCAGAAAGUAGAAGAUCCCACUACAAUUUACUAAUUCAAGGAGCUGUAAUUAAGAAAGAAAGAAGACAACUCAGAGAAUUAGGGAUUGUUAUUAAUUGAUGAAUGAGUAGGAAGAAUGUAGAUGAAGAUGAUAAUCAAUUACAAGUAAUGGAAAUCGGAAAUCCUAGAACUGCCUUCAACUUACCACCCUCCUCUCUUUUAUUCGGCUACUACACUUGUCCAAGUCAGCUAAUUCAUUACAACCAACUGACAUACAAGAAUUAUAAGGAUUUAUUCAUUAAGUCCCUAUCAUACUCGCUUUAUUACAAAAAAAAAAAAAAACCCUAUCAAUAAAACUAAGGUAACAAAUACUUCCCCCUCAGAGAAUCCUUGUCCUCAAGGAUUAAAUUCAGGAAAUUGUUGUUUAAGGUCAAACCAGAAUUCCCAGAUAGCAUCUUCAAGAAAAGAAUUGCUUCACUAUGCCAAAACUUUUGUAGCAAGAGAGUUACCACAUUUCACCAAUUUCUGAUCAAGUAUGGCUAUAGGCUCCAUUAAUAAUUAUCCCUGUGUAUUGAUUGUGUAUUGAUUGCAAAAGGAAUGUGUGAGGUAACUAGUGAGUGCCCACUUUCUUCUUUAGAAGAGAUACAUAAAAAAUAGAGUGUAUUUUUGCCAUAUUAGGCAGCUAAAGCUGAUAUGCAACAGGGUGUACUCUUUUGAUCACUUGGAAAGGUCCAAAAAACUUAGAAGCUAACUUCUGACAAGAGUGUACCUUCAAAGAGUGUUGCCUCUACAGUUGUAGUUUCACAUAUACCCAAUCUCUUGCCGAGUACUGUCUAUCAGACCUGUGUUGGUCAGCUUGUUGCUCCAUCCUAUUUUGUGCCUUAUGAAGGUUGUACUUUAAGUGAUGCAAAACUAUCUCCCUUGCUGCCAAGAUUCUAUCCACCACUUCCACUACUGAAUUCCCAAGUAGACAAGGCAUAUGCAGAGAUGGUGCAUGACCAUACACCACCUCAAAUUGGAUAACCUUAGUGGCAGCAUGAAAUUUGGUAUUGGACCAAUAUUCAGCCAAGGGUAACUAGAUAGACCACUGCUUUGGAAAAUCUCCACACAUGCACCUCAAAUAUUACUCCAAACACCUGUUUACCACCUCAGUUUGACCAUCUGACUGAGGGUGGUAGGUAGAAGAGGUAUUAAUCUGCACUUUUAGUAACUUAAAAAGUUCUUGCCAAAAAGUGCUAAUGAAGACCACAUCCUUGUCACUAACAAUGCUCUGAGACAAGCCGUGAAGUCUACAGAUCUGAUCCAGGAAUAUGUGCAAAUAUAAAUGCUGAAUAAGCAUGUGACAAUGCCAAGAAGUGUGCAUACUUACCUAACUUGUCAACCACCACCAAGAUGGCUUGUUUACCAUGUGCAUUAGGUAAACCUUCCAUAAAGUCCAUGGAAAUUCACUCCAAACCUUUUGAGGCACACGUAAAAGUCGUAAUAAACCCAAAUAAGCAGUAUUGUCAUAUUUGUUGCACUGACAGACAUCACAUGCAGCCACAUAGUUGACUAUGUCUUGAUACAUUCUUCUCUAAUAAACCACUGACUUCAACUUCUUUUAGGCAGCAUAAACUCCUGAAUGCCUCCAACAGCACUAGAAUGCCACAAGUGAAUUAUAUUAUUCUUGAAUUGGCAGUCAUUUUCUACCACUAGUCUCCCCAUCCUCCUUAACUGCUAGUUGCUCCAUGUGUAAUAAGGUGAGACCUUAGAAAGAUCAAAUUGUAAUUGAGUGAUGAAGUUCUAUAGCCUUAUAUCUAUUUGCCAUCCCUUUUUAAUCACUAUCAAAGAUCACUGUUAACAAUGAUGAUGGCAAGAGCUUCUCUUGGUUCUGCUAGUUUUCUAAAGAGAGUAUCUCUCACCAUAUUAUAUGCUUCUUUCCUGUAGUGAAGCUCAUAAUAAAAUCUUACUAGCUUAGUCAUCCAUUUCUGCUGCAUAAGAGUAGGGCUGUCAAUGGUCUGGGUCUAGACCCGGACCCGGACCGGAUCCGUCAAAUUUAUCCGGUAUGGGUAGGGAUUUAAUUCCGUUACCCGGACCCGGAUCCGGAGCCAUUUUGCCAAACAAAAAAACGGGUCGGAUACGAAAUAUAGUAUUCCGACCCGUAUUGGACCCGGAUCCGGAUAUAAAUGGAUUACUAAUUUAAAAAUAUAUAUAUUUAUUAAUAUAAUUUGAUUAGGAUGAUGUAUUUGAGUGAUCAAUAUAAUUGGACACCCGGAUCCUAAUCAAUAUAAUUUGAUUAGGAUGAUGUAUUUGAGUAAGGUUAAUUUGAUUUCUUUUCUUAUUUGAUUUUUUUUGUAUUAGUUAGAAAUUAGUUUAUAAAUAUAUGUUUUUUCUCAUUUUUGUUAGAAAUUAUAAAUUUUGUUAGUUUUUUUUCGGGUAGACCCGGAUCCGGAUCCGGGACCCGUCGGAUCUGGAUCCGGAACAUAGAGUAAAGACCAUCGGGUAAACGGGUCGGGUCCGGAUCCGAUAUAGUGUGCCGGGUCCGGGUCUGGAAUAAUGAAUUCCGGCCCGGACCCGCCCGUUGACAAGCCUACAUAAGAGUGUUCAAUCUUUGUUCCAUCAUAUAUUCAAUGCUCUAAUGGUCAUUUUUAAUGAUAACGUACCUUCCAGGUAGAUAAGGUCUCCACUUCUAUACAGCAGCAACUAUGGCCAAUAUUUGCACUUUUCCAAUAUACUAUCAUAUGCUAUUCCCCCACACACCUAAAUCUUAUAUUGUCCCCAAUGUAAAAUAAAGAAUAAAAGAAAAGUAAUGGGGAUAACGAAACUUCCUUGAUAACUGAGGGGGCCGUCGACAGCUACAGGUGAGGGGCGAAUGACUGUGGAGCUCGACGUAUGUUGAUGGUUGGUGGCGGUGGAGUUCGGAUGGAGAAGGAUGGAAGAAAGAAAGAAAGAAGAAAGAAAAAGAAGAGAGAAAGAAAGAAAGAAAAAGAAAAGGAAAAAGAAAGGAAAAGGAAGAGAAAAGAAAAGGGAAAUACGAAUGGGAAUUGCUCCAAUCCGAGCUGGUUUUUUGUACUACUACUUUGCUUCUUGUACGAAGCUUGAAGUUGCAGCAAGCGCGGAAAUUUUUUUUUUUUUACAUCUAAUUUUGAUUUUUUUCUUUUUCUUUUUCCUUUUCUGUAUUUCCUUUUCUUUUCUUUCUAAUUUUUCUGCAAAAACAAUCAAAUGAGAUGGAAUGAUUUUUUUUAAAAAAAGGUAAAAAUAUAAAUAGAGAUAAAUAAAUAAUAAUAGUUAUUAACAAAUCAUAAAAUGAUUUAUGAAAUUUUUUUGGUGUCUACAUAUAUACACAUACUAAUAAUUUUUAUAUUUAUAUAUUUUUCCUAUUUAAUCUUACCUAUAAUUCUUUCUUAUUUUAUUUACUUUUUCUAAUUAAUUUUAUAUUUUUAAAAAUAUAACAUCUAAAAAUAUAUAUUAACGAAGAGGACAUCCGUUAGACAGGUCCUAUUUUAUGUAAUAUAUAUCUCUACAUGAAAAAAACUUUUUUAAUAGGUAUCCCGUUUUUUGACAUGAAAAAUACCUUUUGACUACAUUCUGACUAGCGCCAAAAGCUAUCCACUUUUGACAUGCUGCCCAUGCAGGCCUAAUUUUUUUUAGUACUGAAUUUGUUUUGGAUACGUUAGUAUUUCUUGAAUUUUAGAAAAUGCUUCUCUUUAAUAAAUGUAAGUUCAUUUUAAUCUUGAUUCGCAAGCUUUUUCUUGAAAAUGGUUUGCCAUUUCUUAUUAGUUGUUACAGUAAAUUUAGCAUGCAUAUAUGCUUUUUGUCAAAAUUCAAUCAUUUCAAAAUCUAGAAGGGAACUUCUAAAAUACCUGCAUCCUCCUUUUUCUUUUUUCUUUUUUAUUCCCCCCCCCCCCCCCCCCCGGCUUUGUAUUCAGAAUCAGAUUGUGUUCAAUUAGUUGGAAUUUGGCUUUGGAGUUAAAAGGGAUUUCCAUUUUUUCCUAGGUAUUCCACAGCUUGCAUAACAAAAGCACAGAGGCGGAAGAAAACCCAUGAUUAAAUCAUACAACAGGCUUGUAAGAAAAUGCCCACUCUGAAAAAAUGAAAAGUUGAAUUUCCUAUUUUCAAAUUUACAUGCAAAAAAUGAAUAAUGACAUGCAAGAAAUAGUCUGCUAUUUCGCCAUGUUUCACAGUUUAUGAGAAAUAUAUUACAAAUAAAUCCACAUAAAUGGUGGGAAUAAUAACUCAAAUAUGGUGGGACAAAUAAACAUACAGGGUGACCCCUGCCAGCUGAGAUAACUAGCUGGUUUAUUUAAUUUAAUAGUUUGAAUACAAUAGUAAAUCAAUGCCAUAGCUCAGAUACUGACUAAAUUUUUCUCCCUGAAGAAUUCAACAGCAUCUUUUAGGCUGACCUCCAAAGGAGUGAAUUGAACUCCCAACCUUUUUGCCUUCUCAUUGGAGGCUCUGUAGUUUGGGCUGAUAAGGUUGGUAUUGUUUGACAUUCUGCUGUAUGCGGGACAAUACACAAUUAUGGCAAACAUAAAUAAAGCUUAGGUAAUGAAAAUGCAAAUGUAAAUUCAAAUGCUUGAAAAUCUACUGGACAAUUGCCUCAUAUCUACUGUAAAUUGUGCCUUUUUUACGAAGUUUCAAAAGACCUUUUAAAAGAUAACUUUAGUUGUGAUAUGAAUGAAAUUUAUUUUUCUCUAUAAAAAAGCCUAAAACGGAAUUUCUAUUUUGGAGACAAAGCCAAUUUGGUGAUAUAUCCUAGUCCAAAGAAGACCAUCUUCUAGAAAUCAACCUGAGAAAGAGCUCAUUUUUUAUGGAACAUGAGACCAAAAGAAAAAAAAAAGAAGGCAGAAAAUUUAGGAUUUAGUGUCCUUUAAAAGAGAGUAUAAAAAUAUGUGAUACAUUUUGGACGUAUACAAGGCCAUCAGCAAAAGCCUGCAAAGACCUAAACAAGGAAAACAAGACUUACUUAUCAGGAAAUUGGUGAGUUGGGUAAUGCUCAUGCAAAAUCUUGAUGAUCUGAGAGGCAUUUGCACAUCUUUCAACCAGACAAUAUCUUCCACUUGCAGAAGGGGUUUCAAGGGCAAGAACAUGUGCAUUGGCAACAUCUCUAACAUCAACCCAGCUACAUGUUGCCUUAGGAAAUGGUUCAACCCCUGCAUUUGGCACCUAAGAUCUUUAAACACAUUUUUUUGCAGGCUCUUCAGCAAACAUAAGUGAAACCAAUUUGGUUUGUUUGGAUUGGCAUGAUUUCAGAUAAAAUAAUUUGCUUCACAAAUUCCAAUCACCUUUUUAUCUCACAUACAGCACAUCACAAAAGUGUUACAGUAAUUAUCUCAAAUAAAUCAUCUAAAUAAACUUCUAUCCAAACAAAAUGUUGUUUGCCAUGAAAAGAGUCAAAUUUAGAGGCCAUGGCCUGCCUUCCAGAAGAAAUGUGUGGUAUGUACUACUUUGUUCUGUUUUAGUAUCAGCAAAGCCACAGAGGGGAGGGAGAUGUGAGGAAUGAACUACUUGAGACAAUUCAGAUAAUUGGUGAAUAAUAAGAAAGAUUAAUCCCAACAAUCUUCUAGUUAAUCUGUCGAGUUAUUACCUGGAAUUUCUCAGAUUUAGAGUUAGGUUUCAAAGGAUAGUUUAUUUAUUUAUGUGAGGAAUAAACAAGCUUUAGCAAGUCUGAACAACAUAAACAGUGACUACUCCUAACAAAUUUUUCCUCACAAUUACCACCCAAAAAUUUCUUUUCCUUCCUGUUAAUCACAUAGAACCUCAAUGUUGUUGAAAGGAAGAUGCACACAACGUGAAUUUCAGAUGAAAGAUUGUACUGCAAACCUUUAAAACAUCAUAAGCUGGUCAGAGUUUAUAGCUUGAUAUAUCAGUUCACAUUCUGACCUAUGUCUGUCAAUCAUGUGAUAAGCCAGCAGUGCCUUGAAAUGUUAUUAGUCAUAAGUUUUUUGUUCUACUGUAACAAAGAAAGUUGUGGUGCAUAAUAAAGCUACAAGUAACAUAGAUGGAAGAGUCAGUUAGACAAUGAUUACUAAGGUGAUUCAAUAAAUUUUGAAACAAACCCUUUAAUAGGUUGAGGAACAAAACAGCGCUCGAAUUAACAGAUGGCUGCAAGAGAGGACCAAUGACCAAUCCUGGAUGAAUUGUAAUCACGUCAAUGCCAUGCUCCUUUGCAAAUUUCCAUGCAGCAUUCUCGGCCAUGGUUUUUGAAAGUUCAUACCAAGACUAUCAACACCGAAAAAUCAGUAAAUGUUGGUAAGAUGGUAGCAGAAAGUAAUUAGAUUUGUAAACUUUAAGAAGUAACAUUAUAAAUUUCUACAAAUUUGACAAAACCAGCAACUUACAUCAGUUGAAACUAUUAUUGCUGUAGCUACAAAGCACAGAGUGAAAGCAUCCACAUUUCCCAGGACAAGCUAUGCUAUAAGUGAAUAAGUAGAUUUCUCAAGGAUCCUAGGAAUGGUGUAAACUUUCUAUAUUCAAGGAAUGAUGCAAAGCACCAGUGUCGACAUAUCCUGAUCAUCUGAUCUCUUAAUCCACAAGCUAACAGCAAAACUACAAGGGACCUUGACACUUUAACACAAAUAGCCAUAUUCAUAAUAUUAUAGCAGAAGUUCCUUUCCAACUGACCGACCAAAUAUUGCUCAUCUAGGUGUGUAUUCUCAGACAAUAGUAUAGAAUUUGAUCAUGCAAGAGAUGCAUAAUUAAGUAGGAAAACUUUCAUAUUGCUCUUUCCCCGACUAUUCCACACUACAUUAUUAAUUUUUCAUUAAAGUUAAGUUGUUACUUAGAUAGAAGGAAAGAAAUGGACUGACCAUUCUGGUUACAAAAAUAUCCUUUUUUUGCCUAUUAAAGUACCACCAAGUCAUGAAGAUCCUAACUUAAUUAUCUCCACAGCUGGGCUAACUCCUCAUAUGUGUUCCAACAACAAGUUAAAACUAAAGAAUUCCAGCAUUCCAUAUUAGAUUUUACUGGAAGAAGACAGAUAAUAUAUGUACCUUUUGCUCCUCACAGUAUGAUGGUUCGGAAAACCAACUUUCAUCAACUACCACAUCCUCCUUUAAUUCUCUGUUUUUUGAAACUGCAACCAUAGAGGAUGUUAUAACUACUCUUUUGACAGAAGAAGAAUUUGCACAUGACCGCAGCACAUUCAGUGUUCCGCUUACUGCAGGUUCCAGUAGUUCUGCCUAUGAAAUCAAACCAAGUAAAAAAGGAAGUCAUUACCAGUCAUAGGUAAGACUAUGCUUUUAACCUGCAAAAAACUUAUCAUUCUGGUAUUAUGUUUGAGAAUUUCACCACAAAUGCUGUAAACCUACAGCUUUAGUUACUUAGCUAAAGGAUGCAUAUUGUUGUCUUAUCUCCUCUUGCUGCUAAAAUAAGUUCUCAGGUCCUUUAUUGUUGUUUUUUCCCAAAUUUUUUCAGCUUUCACUGGGUGACAGGAACUUAAGACCAAUAGAGGAACAACUGAAAUAAGUCUCAGAUGUGGUCACCAAUUAAACCGUUUGCUACCAAAUAUCAACCGAUGAAAUUCUGUUCUGGCUUGAACAGGACAGACAGAAAAUAUAAAAGGUGUAGCUCCCAUGAAUCCUGCGAACAGAUUUUAGCGUGAACACAUAAUGCAUGUUGCAAUUUCUUUUAGUGUCUGUGAGUCAACCUUGUUCAUUGAAAUGACUAAAAUCAAAGUUCUACAAAGUUACUUAAAAAAAAUCCAUAAACACAAUUUGAGAAACAGACAAGGAUAGGUGUACUGCAUAAAAUUAAGGCACAAUCAUUAAUAGAAGUUAAUCAACUUACAAAUGAAGAUACAUAUAAUUUGCAGAUGCUUGAACAUAUAUUGUAGUUUCUAUAAGCUUCUUAUUCAUUCUGGUAUGGGCACGCAAAAGCCAUUGGCUCUACACUGGCUGAAUAAUUAGUUGGUCAAAGCAGGGAUUCAUUUGCUCCAGGACAAGCUUAUAGCUUGCUCUAUAACCUUACCCUGACUGACUUACCCAGGAAAAUAGUUAGUCGGACCCAAUCUACUGCCCAAUUGUGGACCAUUUGCUAUGUUUAUGGCUCUUAAUGUUUUUAUUUCACAACAUUACACCCUUUGAAUUGUUUCGCUGAAGUACCAAUUUCCAGAUCAUUUCAUAGAAACAUCAUGUAUACUGAUUAAAAAGAGACUAAAGCACAUAACACACGACAGUCUUUUUGUGAAUGACCUGCUGGAACAGAUUAGUUUUGUAUGUACCAAAUGUAAAGAAAUAUUCUUCAGGUGUUUGACCUGAUUGCUACAUUAAUCUCCUCCCUUUGGUUAAUAAAAGAAAAAGUAGAGCCAUAGAAUUGGAAACAUUUGAAUCUAACUCUCUUUUUUUUUUUGCCUUUACAGUUAUAACCUUGUCAUAAAUCACAUAUAGAGGAGUAGACUAUCACCCAAAAAAGCCAGUAAAAAUGCAACAGAGGAAGAUACUAAAAGAAGUCGUACAAUUAUAAAUCAGAAAAUAUGCUACGAUUCUCAAACUUCACUUGAUAAAUAGCAGAUUUUGUAGACAGUAGAGAUUUUUCAAUCUUGUAAAGCAAAUGUACCUCUGGAUUGCUAAAUGAAAGUUUGAUUGGAGAUGCAGUAUGGAAAACCCCUUCACAUCCCUCGACUAUUGCAUCAAACGAUCCCUCUUCCAGUAAGUUUGCCGAGUACAACUGAAGCCUUUCCUUAGCUCCAUCAAGUGAUGUCAAAUGUUGUGUCCUUUCCGGAUCAUCUGUGUCAUGAUUGUAUCAGUAGAAUGUUCAGACAGCUAUAAUCAAAACCUUGCCGCCUUGGUAAAGUGUACUAUGUUUUCACUAUGGUGAAACUCAAGAAGAAAUGGACAUAGAGUAAUAAUAAACGAAUCUCAAAGCAAUGAUAAAUUUGACUAGCUAAAGGCAAGCGGGGAAAAACGAAAAGAAAUUGACGGGCAACAUAAUAUGACCACAAUAAUAUCAUAGCCCUAUGAUUUCUGGUUUUGAGAUGCGUACAUUUGUAACUUUCUUGAUAACAAUUAAUUCUUGAGAUAAUUAUCAGAGGGACAAUUGUAUGCCAUCUACCACUAUUUUUAUAACAAACUCAGUCCUUCAGAAGAAGGAUAUAGAUUCGAUAGGCUAAAGAUUUUUUAUUAUAACUUGAUCGUUGUAUCUGGAGCAUGAAACAAUUAAGUUGGUCCACAUCAAAAAUAUAUAUAUAUAUUUUGCAUGUGAUUUUCUUUUGAGCAAACAGAACAUGGGGAGCAUUUAGCUGUUGCAAGAAUAUCAUCUGGAGCUACAAGACAAUUUCACACUGCAGAGUUGAAUAAAAAUAUUGGGCAAAUUACAUAUAAUCCUCCUGUGGCUUUGUCUGUUGCCACAUGACCCUUCUAACAUUUUAAAAUAUCCAAUUCACCCACUAUGAUUUUAUGUAAAGCGGAAACUUGAUGGAGAAUAGCCUAUAUAAUGUCGUUAAUUGAAAUACCAUUAGUACUUUUACUUAAAUGCUAAAUCAAUCGACGAUUUAAUUACCUUAUAUAAAAGUAUAAGGGGAUUAUAUGGAUAAAUAUAAAAAUCACAGGAGGGAUAAAGUGGACAAUUAUACAAACUAUAAGGGAAUUACAUUGAAAUUAAGACUUUAUUACACACGCUUUUAGAGCGCGUUUGGUAUAAAUGCCGUAAUUAAUUGUGCAUUCCAUCAUUUUCCGCUUUACAUAUAACUAUAGGGAAUUAUGUGGCUAUUUUGAAAUUUUAGAGGGACCAUCUAGCAUUAUAUAAAAUUACCCUAAAAUAUAGUUAUAAGUAAUUUACCCUAAAAUGUUAGAUUCCAGGGGCAAUUAAACAACAAUCAGAACAGGGCAUCAAAAACUGCACAAGCCACUAAGAUAGUUGAUCAAGAACAAAAACUGGAGUUACAGGCAUCUCGAACUGAACCUUUAACAGUAUAACCGCGCUCGAGCAGCAGCUUCACCAGCCAUGAAGCUAUGUAACCCGAAGCUCCGGUCACACACACCAUUUUCCCUUCUCCUGCUCCACUCAUUUUGUUAAUAUUUUUGUGUGUGAACCUGUCACCUGUUUGCCUUACUUCUGGACUUAAUGGAGGGAUGCAUAUAUGGUGUAUAUAUAGCUAUGGUGAAGAAGACGAAAGAUUGGAUAUGAGAUUACGUGGGAGACUAGGGAGAUCCAUAUGUAUUCUUGCAAUUUGCAUGCAUCAUCGCUGACAUACGUAUGGUAUAAUCGCGUCACAUCCCAUUUUAUCAAGGUCAAUUGAUCAGUGUAAAAUAGAAAUGAACAAUAAAUACAAUGGUAAAUUACCUUCUACACCCUAUGGUUUGAUGUUUUAUCACAUAACUCCCUAUGAUUUAAAAACCUAUAUUUGACCCUUUCAUAGUUUGGAUUAUUGUGUCACUUUAGAUUUUUCCGUUAAAACUAACGGUCAAUAGUAAAAAGUCAAAUUCAAACUACUAAAUUGAUAAAUUCACCAUUUCACUACUUUUUUUUUCUUGUUUUCCUUUUCUUUCUCUCCUUUUUUUUUUUUUGGAAAGAGAAGAGAUGACUUUGAAAACUUGUAUUUUGGCUUACAAAACCUUAAUUGUUUCCAAAUACAAAAGAGAUAGAAGGGAAAUAAAAAUAAAUCAACAAGAAACAAAAAAUAUGGAAGGUAAAGAUAUAACAAAUAAAUAAGAAACAAAAAAACACCAAAUCUUUUUUACUAUGAAUAUCAUUAUAGGUUUUUAAACCAAAUCUUUAAUAGUAUUUUCUAGUUCUUAUUUAUCUAUAUUUUAUUUCAAUUUCUUCUUUUUGAUGUUUGUAGGGGAAAAAAAACAAGUAAUGAAGGGAUAAAUUUGUCAAUUUAUUAGUUUGACUUUUUAAUAUUAACUGUUAGUUUUAACAAAAAAAACUAACUAUUAGGGGGUUAUGUAUAGUUUUUAAACGAUAGGGGGUUAUGUGAGAAAAUACCAAACUAUAGAGGUUAAAAGGCAAUUUAUCCUAAAUACAAAAUCAGGCGGUUGCAUAUGAAAAAAUACCAAGGUUCUUGACUUUGCUCAAUACAAUUCCAAGUCUAGAGACACAAUUUUUAAAUUCACUACCAGGAUAAACCAUUCUCCUUUUUUUUUUCGGGUUAAAAAAUACAAACUACUUGAACUAGAAACUAGUCCUGACAAAGUUUGUGGGUUUUUUGCAAGAGUUUUAGUUAAAUAUUGGUUACUUCGCCUAAUUUGCACCUAUUUUAUCACGUAAAUGCACACACACUUUUAAAAAAAUAAUGCAUGCACUUAUAUUAUUGCCUUUCGUACAUUUAAAUACUUUUUUCAAUUUAAUUUUACUUUUCUGGCAAAAUUAAAUCUGAAGCCCAUUUCAAGAAAUAUCCACCGAAUACCAGGUCAACAAAUCCCCUUCGUAAUAAAGAACGAAAAGAACCGCAGCGUUCUUAACACGCAGCGGUCUUUUUGCAUCUAAGAAAGCUUUUGAUUGGCUAGAAAUCCUUCUCUGAUUGAGAAAUGGGAAUUGACUUGAUGAUGGCAACUCCAUUUAGAAAACUGGUCCACACCCUUGAAUGUGGUUUAAAUUUAAUAACACCAUUUCAUCAUUUCUGACGACUGCUUCUUCUAUAUCGAUCCUAGCUCACUGCACACGCCAGUCGUGUGAAACUUGGCAAAAGAGUUACACCCGCCGUCCUAAAAUUGUUUGUCGCAUUUCGAAACCCAACUUUUUAAAAAUAGCAGCUUGAUGAUGAUAUUUGUAGAUUUGUCUCAAAAAUUGUCAUCAAAAAUUCAAAUUUUAAAUUGAAUUUAGUAUGAAAUAUAGAUAAAGUUAUUGGAAUAAUAUUGAAAAAAAGAGAUUAAAAGUUAUUUUGAUUUUUGAUAAGAUAAUAAAUAUUUUAGAACGUUUCAAAAUAAAAAAAAAAAUAUGACACUUUCAAUGAGACAAAAGAAUGGAGAGAAUAUAUUAUAUAAGAUACUGAAAACUAGCGUCCAUCAGAAGCAGUCAAAUCAAAGCCAACAUAUUACUUGUAGUUUGGUUUAUAACAAUAUCUCAGCUUGCUGGUAGCCCAAAAAUUUAGCAAAAUAAAUUAGGAAACCAAGUGCGAUAGAGCAUAUUUCACCCAAAUAUAUUAAAAGUGAAAAAAGAUUUAUUUUUAUUUAGUCAAUGUGAUUUUUGUGUCCGCAUGCCCAUAAAGCUUCAAGGACCAAAAAGCCAAACAUACGAAGUGAAAAUGUGAAGAGCAAUAAUUUGAAUAUAAAAAAAAAAAGCAAGUAGAUGGAUAGAAAACCAUGUCGAAGGUCUCUUCUCUCUCUUUUUUUUUUUUUUGGUUUGACCAUGCAUGGUGCAUAUGAUAUGAAGGAUAAUUGUAAAGCACCAUAUACUGCCCAAGGAAAGUAGAUUACACAGUGGGAACCAAAAAUAGAAGAAAAUAAAGCCUCAUAUGAACCGAAUCUUUCCCCUUGCUUUUUUUCUGGGAAUUUAAAGGUAUAAUGCAAGAAAUAACUCCUGGUCAUGCAAAAUUGCCAACAAAAAAUGCGUCUUUGGUUUUAAAUUCCUUAAUAACAUACUAUCCAGCAUACUAUUUAGCAUAAUAACAUACUAUCUCAGAUGCAUCCACUCCAAAUAUCCUGGCCGAGAUGGUAUAUGAGGCCAAUUUUCUAUCAAAAAUAUAGGUCGUCUGUAGCAGGUAAUGACGUUACCUCACUACAACAAAAAUGGCCUUUAGCGGCAUUUAAAGGUGUCAGUAUAGAAAAUCUAACCUGACACUUUAUCUAUCCUGACACCCAUGGCGGAUCGAGUGUUGUCCCUUCCAAUGUGGGAUAGCCUCAAAUCUUUAGCAGCAUUCAAAUGUGUCAGGCAAACCAUGCUGCUAUAUCUUUACCUCUGCCAACAAAUCUCUUUUUUUGUGAUAAUCGAAAGUGUCUGUAUAGCGUUAGGACAUCAGAGUAGGGAAUCAGUAGGAUAUCAAAUUUAUGAAGACAUCUUGAGUUGUCUUAAUAUAUGGCUUUAAGGACACGUAGCCAUGUGAAUUUACAAUGUGUUGGACGACAUGCCCAUUUGUUGUUAGUGUUUUUUCGAAGCUACAUAAUUUAUCAACCCAUAUGACAAGGGUUUAUUUUACGUAUUUUUAGUGUGUUUUAUUAGUUAAUUUUGGUUUGAUUAUUUAGUAUUAUAACUAAAAUAACUAAGGUUUUGGUAAAAAACUACAUUUUAUUUAAAAUGGCUAAACAUUGCAUUUUAUGGAUUUUUAUGGUAAAAACUUCAUAUUUUGUAGGUUUAAUGAUUCAAUCAUCAAAUGAAGGCAUUGAGAAGAUAUUUGGAUGAUUGAAGAUGGAUUAAAGUGAGGAAAAUAAAAUAUGAAGUGUAAAAGGAAGAAAUGCAAUUUGAGGACAAAAAUCAAGAAAAGUCAGCUUUGACAACUCAGACAUAUAUUUUAUUUUGACUAUAUCAGGAGCUACAAUGAUCGGAUCAAGGUGAUCUUGGUACCAUUUUGAAGUUAAGAGAUAUAUCUACAUUUGGUAUGAAGACAUCAAAGUCCAGUUCAGCCGUUUUCAUAGUCCAAAAGUUGAAAUACCGAAAUUCAACUCAGCUGUCCAAAGUGGAAAACAGAGUUCCGACCAGUGUUUAGUAUUUUGAUCAUAUCUCAGUCUACAAAGCUCCGAUUUGGAUGAUUCUUGAAGCAUUGGAAAGCUAACUCAAAGAUAUACAACUUUGAUGUUUUGCACAAAAGCCAGUUCGGCCUGCAUCAUGGAGAAAAUCGCAGUUGAAGUAAGGACAAAGUGAAAACGCGAGUGCACAAAACGCGAGUUGUAGACGCGUUUUGUAAAGGCGCGUUUUCUGGCCGAAAUUCUGCAAUUUGCUCAGUCAAUUCUCUUGUGUUCAUACCACUUUCCAGCUAUAAGUUGCAAGAGAAUUCGGUGCACAUGCUUCAGAAGACAAAAGGGCAGACAAGGUGGCUUAUUUUCAAGUCAAAAACAUUUGUUAUUGACUAUCCUAACAAAGUUGAGAUUUGGGAAUCAAAAUGUGGAAAUUGACUUGGAAAAAUGGAGCUCUUAAGCAGUUUAUAUGCAGAGACAUUUUGGGUGGUCUGAGAAGGGGGAAAUAUACGGGAGAAGCUUGAGGAGUGCAGAAAUGUAGUUCUUCCAUUUCCUUAGUGUAGGAUAGUGUAGUAAGUGUAGUUCAUCCAUUCUUGUAUAAUGGCUAGAUUAGGAUGAAAAUGGAGAUGAAGAAAGAGAAGUUGAAGCUCAAGUGACAUGGGUUAUCUCUUCUCCAACUCUUUAUCUUUUGUAUUGGAUUCUUAAAUAUAGUUAAUAUGCAAUUUCUGGAUUUUAUAUUUAAUAUGUGUCUUUAAAGUUUAUACCUUGGGUUUGGUUGAACUUUCUAUGAUUGUUAGUGUUUAUCAUUUGGCUAUUUAACUGCUAUGAUUUGAGCAAGUUAUUUAGCACUUUAACUCUUUAAAUCAUGAUUAAUAUGGUACCAUUAAUUGUGAUUAUCUAAGGUGUUAUUUCUGCAAUGAAAAUUGAGAUUUAACAUUAGUUCAAGAAGUGCUAAACAUAGGGAGUACACUCACGAAAGUAGAGGUGCACCUAUGUGGUUUUUAGUGAUUCAUUUCAUGUAAUUUCACUGAAGAAAUGAACUUGUAGCUAAUUUCAUAACCAUGAGAAUAGGUAUGGAUUAGUUAUAAGUAUAAUUGAUUCACUACGAAAGUAGGAUUCAAAUGCAUAAGGAAAUUACACCAUAAUUAGCCUAGAUGUAGUAAUUAAUGAUCCAAAUAUAGCACUUGCAUGAGUAGUUAGGGAUACCACAACCUAAGGAGCUUUUAUUUGUUAUUUUGUAUAAUUUCAGUAGGAUAAAUUUGCUAUAAUUCAUUGAUAGUCUAAAUAAUAGAGAAGCUUUAGUAAUACCGGUAAUUGUUCACUCUUCCUUGUAGGAUCGACCCGAUAUAUACCCUAAACUACUAGUUGAUCUGUAUACUUGCAGUGAACGGGUGUAAUUCGGUAUUUUUUAGCUUGCACGUAUGUAAAAUACCCGUCACCAUACACCAAAUGAAUUUUCCUUGUAGAUGAAUAUCUAAUAUGACUGAAUUCAGAAUGUAUGGGUCUGUUAAAUCUAUUGAAAAGUUUAGAGCACAGUUAAAAUAUAUGGGUCCAUUACAUACAUUAGUUUGAAUCAUAGAAAGUAAAGAAGUUUUAUAUCUUUUGAGUUUAGUAUCUCUUAAUGCUAGAUAUAUAGGAGCAUCUACUCCUAGAUGGAAUAAGGGUUUUACUGUAAUUUGUAUUAAACCUAUAUGAAUAUAUCUAUAUUAAAAUGUGGAUCCCUCCAUUGUAUAAACCUAAUGACUGUAAUCCUAAUAUUAUAUCAUGAUUUAUAUUUUUUACAAUUAUGAAAUUAUGUCUAAUACAAUAUUCAUUGUUACAUAUUGAUCCUUUUGUAAAUUUAUAUUUUACUUGUAAAUUUUCUCCAUUUGCUGCCAUUAAGGUUUCCUUUGUUCUUUCACAAUAUUUAGUAGAAAUUAUUCCUUCUUUAAUACAACUUGAAUCAGGCUCCACUUCUAUUAAAGCUCUACAUAUAUUUCUUUGAAAUCUUCUACUGUAAUAGUUACUAAAGCAUACCAUUUUUGAAAUAUCAUUUUUUCUAUGGUAUUUAAAUAUUGAAUUUCAUCUGUUGUUUUUUUUUUGGUCUUUCUGAUAUACUUAUUUCUUCUGUUUUAGAAUUGGAAGUUGAUGGUUGAUUUUCUAGUAAUGUUAUUUUUGCUUCUAUUUCUAAAUCUUUUGUUUUUAAUUCUAUGAUUUCUCUUUGUAAUUGUUUUACUUGUAUUUUAAGAUCAUUAAUUUCUGUUUGAAGAUCUUUAGUGGUUUCUUUUUUCAUUAUAUUUAUGUUUAGAUAUUUAUCUAUUAAUUUAGAAAUACUAAAAGGUUCUAUUAUUUUUGGCAUUUUGUCUUCUUGUAUAAUUAGACUUUUUAAUCUUUCUAAAUACUCUUUUUUAGCUACUGGAUCAUCAAUUUUUUCUAUUAUAUCUAAUAAAAAUUCUUUAUCUUCUUUUUUGGUUAUAACAUUUAUAUAUUUUGAAGUGUUAGAACAAUUACAAUUUUCUUCACUUUCUGUACUAGAUAUAUCAUUAUAAUAAUCAUCUUCAGAAUUUUGAUCUUUUUCAUUAUUAAUAAAUUAAUUAAUUUAUUUUUAAUUUCUUCUUCUUUUGCACAAAUCUCUGUAAUUUUUUCUUUUAAUUUACAUUUGUUUGCUUUAUGUCCUAUUUUUUCACAUUUAUAACAAACAAUUUUUCUUUUAAUAAAUUUUCUCUUCUUUUCUGGUUUAUCUUCUUUAGAUCUUUUAUACUUUAUUUUCUUAUUAUAUUUUUUAACUUUUUUGUUAUAUGCAGAUGGUGAUUUAAUUCUUUAGUAGCAAAUUCUAAAGCUCUAUUAAUUGGUUUUAUUGUUCCUUGAUAUAUAUCAUGUCCUAAAAAUCUUAUUUUUGUUUGGAAUAAUUUCAUUUUUGGUGCUGAAACAACUAAUCCAUUUUUCUUAACUACUUUUAAAAAUAUAUUUAAAUGUUUGAAAUGCUGUUCUAUUGAUUCAGAAAAUAUUAAUACAUCAUCAAUAUAAACUAUGCUAAAUGAACUAUAAGGAUUGAAAAUAUCAUUCAUUAUAUUUUGAAAUUCUGAUGGUGCAUUUUUUAAUCCGAAUGGCAUUACGUUCCAUUCAUAAUGACCAAAAGGUGUUGUGAAUGCUGUUUUAUAUCUAUCUUUUGGUGUUAUUAAUAUUUGCCAAUAUCCUGAUUUUAGUUGUUUCAGCACCAAAAAUGAAAUUAUUUCAAACAAAAAUAAGAUUUUUAGGACAUGAUAUAUAUCAAGGAACAAUAAAACCAAUUAAUAGAGCUGUAGAAUUUGCUACUAAAUUUCCAGAUGAAAUAAAAGAUAAAAAUCAAUUACAAAGGUUUUUAGGAUGUUUAAAUUAUAUAGCAGAUUUCUUUCCUAAAUUAAGACAAGAAUGCUCUAUAUUAUUUAAUAGAUUAAAAAAGAACCAUUUCCACCAGUGAUUGAACCAGAUUGGGAAUUCUCUACUGCAACUUUUUUGAAUGUGAAGAACCAUGAAUGAUUGAAUGGUCUAUACAAAAAAAGCAAAAGUCUAAUUAUACAAGAAGACAAAAUGCCAAAAAUAAUAGAACCUUUUAGUAUUUCUAAAUUAAUAGAUAAAUAUCUAAACAUAAAUAUAAUGAAAAAAGAAACCACUAAAGAUCUUCAAACAGAAAUUAAUGAUCUUAAAAUACAAGUAAAACAAUUACAAAGAGAAAUCAUAAAAUUAAAAACAAAAGAUUUAGAAAUAGAAGCAAAAAUAACAUUACUAGAAAAUCAACCCUCAACUUCCAAUUCUAAAACAGAAGAAAUAAGUAUAUCAGAAAGACCAACAGAUGAAAUUCAAUAUUUAAAUACCAUAGAAAAAAUGAUAUUUCAAAAAUGGUAUGCUCUAGUAACUAUUACAGUAGAAGAUUUCAAAGAAACAUAUGUAGCUUUAAUAGAUAGUGGAGCUGAUUCAAGUUGUAUUAAAGAAGGAAUAAUUCCUACUAAAUAUUGUGAAAGAACAAAGGAAACCUUAAUGGCAGCAAAUGGAGAAAAUUUACAAUUAAAAUAUAAAUUUACAAAAGGAUCAAUAUGUAACAAUGAAUAUUGUAUUAGACAUAAUUUCAUAAUUGUAAAAAAUAUAAAUCAUGAUAUAAUAUUAGGAACACCUUUUUUAAUUCAAAUUUACCCAUUUUCAGUUAGUCAUGAAGGAAUUUCAAUAAAUAUAAUGGGAAAAACUGUUAUCUUUAGAUUUCUAACUCCAGUAAAACAAAGAGAAUUACAGACAUUACAAACAUCCUCUAUUUACAAAACAAUAAAUAGUAUUACUAAAGUACAACAACAAAUAAAUUAUAUAAAAGAAGAAAAAUCUUAUUUAAAAAUUGAAGAACAAUUAAAAGAAAGUAAAAUGCAAAAAAGAAUUUCAGAAUUAGAAGAAUUAUUACAAAAAGAAAUUUGUGCAGAUAUUCCUAAUGCUUUUUGGGAUAGAAAACAACAUAUGAUUGAAUUACCUUACGAAACAGGUUUUAAUGAGAAAAACAUUCCUACUAAAGCAAGACCAAUACAAAUAAUUCUGAUCUAUUAGAAUUUUGUAAAAAGGAAAUAAAAACAUUAAUAGACAAAAAAUUAAUAACACCUUCAAAAUCACCUUGGAGUUGUGCUGCAUUCUAUGUAAUGAAUCAAGCUGAAAAAGAAAGAGGAGUUCCAAGAUUAGUUAUAAAUUAUAAACCAUUAAAUAAAGUAUUACAAUGGAUUAGUGAAUAAUACAAUAAAUUUAUAAAUUUAGAAUUAAUAGAGGAUACAAUAAAUUAAAGUAACCAUUUUUAUAAAUUUAAUAGAGCUCAAAUGCAAAUAAUACAAUAAAUUUAGAAGACAUUAAAAAAGUUUAUCAACAAAAUAAUUAUACAAAUCAAAUCCUUCAUACAAUUUCUCAACAUAUGGAAGUAUUAAACACAAAAAUAGAUACUAUAAAGAAACCAGAAUUAAAAUUCCCUAAUAAUAUUUCAGCACCUCAUUUUCAACCUAGAAGUUUGACAAGAGAAAAAGAACAAGAUUUAGAUUCAAAAUCAGAAGACAAAGCAUCGGCGAAUUAGUGAGAAAAAGAGAACAAAACACUCUCGUGUAAAAAUCCUUAGACAAAUCUCUCAAUCCCUCUUUCCAACUACUCUUGUAUUCAAUUACUUUUGUUUCCUUCCUUCUCCAAAUAUAAUAAAGAUCAAGGAUUCAACCAUUCAUCAAGCUUCCGUUAUCAAAGGCCACUCUAAAUUUUCAGUAAGUCCAAUUUUUAUACUAAAUUUUCUAUGAACAUUUCAAUAGAAAGUAGCCUGGGUAGAAGUGGUAUCAGAGCCACUUAUCACAUUAUCUUUACAGUGUUAUUAAGGAAAGUAGAUUACACAGUGGGAACAAAAAUAGAAGAAAAUAAAGCCUCAUAUGAACCGAAUCUUUCCCCUUGCUUUUUUUUUCUGGGAAUUUAAAGGUAUAAUGCAAGAAAUAACUCCUGGUCAUGCAAAAUUGCCAACAAAAAUGCGUCUUUGGUUUUUAAUUCCUUAAUAACAUACUAUCCAGCAUACUAUUUAGCAUAAUAACAUACUAUCUCAGAUGCAUCCACUCAAAUAUCCUGGCCGAGAUGGUAUGAGGCCAAUUUUCUAUCAAAAAUAUAGGUCUGUAGCAGGUAAUGACGUUACCUCACUACAACAAAAAUGGCCUUUAGCGGCAUUUAAAGGUGUCAGUAUAGAAAAUCUAACCUGACACUUUAUCUAUCCUGACACCCAUGGCGAGUGUUGUCCCUUCCAAUGUGGGGAUAGCCUCAAAUCUUUAGCAGCAUUCAAAUGUGUCAGGCAAACCAUGCUGCUAUAUCUUUACCUCUGCCAACAAAUCCUUUUUUUGUGAUAAUCGAAAAUGUCUAUAUAGCGUUAGGACAUCAGUAGGGAAUCAGUAGGAUAUCAAAUUUAUGAAGGCAUCUUGAGUUGUCUUAAUAUAUGGUUUUAAGGACACGUAGCCAUGUGAAUUUACAAUGUGUUGGACGACAUGCCCAUUUGUUGUUAGUGUUUUUCGAAGCUAAGCUAUGCUGACACUUUUAAUUGCCAGGAGAAUUUUCCCUGGUUUUUUUUUAUGGAAGCAACCUGCAAUUAGUCCUCCUUGCUGUACAUUCCAUCAACCAGAAUCCCAAGGGACUUGUAAAAUUAUCCCAAAGAGCAGAAUGCAUAUGGCAAUGUAAAAGAAGAAGUCGAUACUCAAAUAUAAUUCAUUGAAUUAAAAGUCGAUAACAAGUACAAACAUAGCAAAUACUAAAACGCAAACAAGUGCUAAAAGCAAGUACUAAAAUAUCAAACCAGUACCGAAAGAUUCUCAUUUACAAUAACUUAAAAGCUCUAUCGGAAGCACAAAAUAAAAGACUCCAUCCCUAAUAAGUUGAAAGAAGUAGAAGUAGCUUCCAAACUUUCCAUUUUGUUGAGAGUCCUCAGGCAUAACCACGAAGUCCCCAUCAUUCUUCAGCUGGUUCCACCUGUGCACAAAGACCAAGGGGAUCAUUAGAUCAUCAUAACUAGAACUAAAAUUCCAGAAAAUCCGCAAUGUAUUUAAGUGCAUAUCUCACCAAAUGACAAGGCCAAGCAACUGGUGCACCAAGUGCAUCUUGAAUCGUUUGUUGUAAACCAUAUGGUCUAAUCAAUUGCUCACGUGGAGUCAUUGCAACUUGUAUCUGUAUUUCACACCAGUUUGGCCCAAGAGCUUGUCCCCCGACCUCAUCCAAUGGAUUCAGACUCCGUAAAUAUCCCUUUGCCACGAUUUUUGUUGGGUCAAACAAACUUUUUAGUGAAACCAUAUUCCCUACCUAGUAAACAUCCAACAAGUACAAGAAUCAAACUCAUGCCAAAUUCCAGAUUACAAAUGCAAAAGUUUAGAAGUUGUAAAUACUUACUCAAAUAGGUCGCGUGGCUCGCGAUGGAGCAUGGCUUGACACAUUGUUAGAUGAUGAUGAAGGAUGUCUCGGGCUGUCAAUUGGAGAGCCCCUUCCAUGUUGAACUAAAACCAUUUUCUUCAAGCUGGCUAUUUCAUCAUCUUGUCGCUGAAGCCUUUCCUCCAAACGGACUAAUGUUGACUGUUGUUGAACACUUAUACGGUAGCAUGUGUUACGACUAGGAAUGUCUUCCCAUAAGUCCGUUGGAUUCACACCGUCACUAAGCAAGCGAACAUGACCAUGUUUGUCUUGCCCAACCACCUGGGCAAAUAUAUCAUCACGACCAACUGGAUCUUGCGAAUCCGAUGGAAGCUGAUUUUUCAGCUCAGUCAUUUUUUCCUACAUAAUAAAGGAAAACACUUGUUAUUGCAAAAGACUGUCUGAAAACAUCCAUGGUAGAAUUGAUAGGCUUGUGUUCUCGGAUCCUUACCAAAUUCUCAGCAACUAUGGUACUUGAUGGAGUUCCAUCGGCAUGGGUAUAAAACUUAUUGAACAUUUCUACUCUAGUAGGAGGUCUUCCCAACUGUUUGGCCUAUAAGAAAUUGAAUCGUUUUAAUUAUAGUUUUAGCAUUUAGCAUAUAAUUAAAAAACAAGCUAACAUAAUGAAACAUGUACGAGCAAAAAAAAUUAGCAACUAAAAAGUGGAUGAGGUAUCACCAAGUGGUUCCGAAGAUGAGCAAAUGACUUUUUUCCGGUUGUGUGGUUCAUCUUCUUCUCCCCUCUAGCUUUCUUGUUCCUCUCACUUAGUUUCUAAAUUUCAAAAUCAAAAGCAAGAUUACAGCAUUGAAUGAACACAACUUUAUGAAGAAUGUUGUAGCUGAUUUGUACCUUUGCUUCUUCACUUUUCCAAUAAGCCCAAAGUUUGAUCCAUUGCUCUUCCCGUACCCUUAUGUCCUUUUGAAACCGAGCUUCAGCAUUUGGCACGGCAGAAUCAAAAUAGUUAGCCUUUAAAUCUGCCUUCCAGCUUCUCCAUUUUUUGCCAAUAGAUCUUAAGGUCCAAGCUUCCAGUCCCAUAGGCAAAGCAAACCUUUCCUGAAACGUAGUUAGCAACAAGAAAAUCAACACAACUUCACAGUAAUUUUUGUACAAAGCAUACAUAAUACAAAAGCUGCCAUUACCUUUAUCACUUCUAACAUGUCCAUUUUAAGUUUCCUUGGCAUCUUAAGCCAUGUUUCAACAUCUAUUGGACAAUACAUACCAUUCCUAGCCAAACUGCCCAAGAAUUCAGAGAAAGAGUUUUUCUCACUUAUUGGGAUCCCAUUGUCAUCGAGUUUAAUCUCAAUCCGUGGAAGUUCCUUAGGCCGACCCCAAAUUUCUUUCAUAAAUAUAGGGCCUCGGGUUUUAUGAUUUACUUCACUUGAAUCAUUUGUAGUUUCUUUUCCUGUUUAAAAUAAGAAAAAGGUGCAAGUUAUGAACAUAACAAAAUGCACUUCUGGAAUUGGUUCAAAACAGUUAGUAAUACCUGCAUUGUCCGAGUUGCAUGACAUGAAGGUGGUGUCACUGGAAUGUGGACCUCGAGAAUCCUGAUUUGGACUUUCUUCAGUUGCUUCAUGCCUUGUUCCAAGUGGAGAUUGUUGAAUUGGAGAGUUCUGGCACUGCUCAUGCGACUUGGAACCUCCAUCAGCUUGUUGAGUAACUUGGUCACCUGAUUCAUGCAUUAUUCCCAAUGUAGAAUUCUGAAUUGCAGAUUGAGGUGCCCGAGCAGCUUCUCCUUGCACUUGUUCAAUUACAUUUUCAUGGCUUGUUCCAAGUGGAGGCUGCUGCCUUGUUUCAUAACAUGAGGGAGGUUGCUCAAUUGGUUCAUCUCUCAAUCCAUUUGCAGCGGCUUACAUUUUCGACCUCUACGGGCCAUACCUGCAUAAUAUUUGAGUGAAGAAAGGGACAAAUGUAAAUGUUUAAAAUUUAUUGAAGCACACUCUCUACCUAUAGUUUCUUUAACUUACAAAUGCUAUUAUAAAGAAGUACUACUUGAACAAUAAACUGGCAUGACAAGUAACAAAUGGCAUUCUGCAAGAAUAAACCAGGGGAAGACUAUGGAGCUGUCAACAGAACAGAGAAACAAAUGGAGAAUAUAUGAUUCAAUGCAGCAACUAAUUGGAAAUGAAAUGAAAGCUACAUGCUUAAGUGACUGCAAGAAUAUACAUGGGAAAUGCUUUGAUCUACAUCCUUUCAGCAUGAAAGAUAUGCAGAAUUUACUACCGCUAGACACGAAACUUUUUCCAUAUUGUUUGAGAAUGAUGCCUAUGAUCAAAAGUUGGUAUGCUUAUGCUCAAUGAGGGUGUAAGUAGAAGAGUCCACGUAAUUUUAACUUCAGUAAUGGAGCAAACUAAUAAAUGAUUGUCUUGAAUUAACGAAAUAUACUUGGCCAUGUGAUAACCAAAAAUUGCAGAGGAUAAUGUAUUCUACCAACAAAUACAAGUCUUGGUUUUGUAUGUUUAGGGUGGCAAUCGGGUCGGUUAUGAAGCUCUACUGAAUACUUUUAUUUCCAGAUUCUGACAUGGUUCUGCAUUUAUCAAGAACUUGUCUCAUCUAAACAAGAGCUCAAGCUUUACGUAGCAUUGACGAUUCCAAACCAAAUUACUUCUCUUUUUGCCAGAGCCACAUCCACAGUUAUGGGUUGACACUUAACAGUAAAUGCACAAACACUUCCAAUACAAUUGUAGCAGUACAAACAAUACAGUUGUAGAACAGGAAGGAGACGAAGAGCAUCACGGUGAAAGACUGAAAACGAGAACCCAUCACCAAAAAUAGAUGGUUGAAAUUGUACAUUCAGUUCACAGUAGCAGUCUCCAUUCGACCAGGCUCACCUAGAAAUGUGCUUCUCAGAAAUGUGCUUUUCACACCGCCACCACCCCAAAAGCUUUUCACACCACCACCACCCCCAAAGCAAACAUUCUACCUAGAAAUGUGCUUCUCAGAAACGGAGAAGGUGCUUGUCAGAGAUGGGAAUCGAAUAGCCUAAAAACUAAAUCUACCAAGCAAUGCAAGAACAUGUCUACCAUGCAAUGCAGAAUUAGACACAAAAUACUGAAAUUACCUCAAACUAUGGCUUGAAUCCCUAAUUUCUCGGUUUCCCAAGCUUUGAAGCCCUAAUCUCUGAUUUCUUCCCACCAAGCCAACACAACAGCCGAAUUAGGGAUUUGCCUGGUGCGAGCUCAACCAAGUUACCCAAAAGGGUGCGAGUUCAUGGACGGCAAUUGACUCAAAUUGGUUGUGCGAGCUUGAAAGAGAGAGAGAGGACAAAGGCAGAGGACAACGAGAGAGGGAGAAGAUGUCUGAAAUAAAGGCAGUACUAAUGACGCCAAAGUAAAUUAGUCAAGCCUCUUGAAUUUUUCAAUUUGCUGCGCUACUAAUGACAAUUUUUGUGUGUUUGGGCAAAAUUUUGUUAAAGCUAUAUAACAACUAAAAAUUUGGUUAAAGCUAUAUACAAUAUAAUAUAACAACUAAAAAUAUAAAGGCUAAAAAUCUUGUUAAAGCUAUAUAACAACUAAAAAUAUAACAAAUAAAAAUUUUGCAAGAGCUAUAUACAAUAUAAUAUAACAAUCAAAAAUUUUGUUACAGCUAUAUAACAACUAAAAAUAUAACAAAUAAAAAUUUUGUUAAAGCUAUAUACAAUGUAAUAUAAUAACUAAAAAUAUAAAAAUAAUUAAAAAUUUUGAGAAGCUAACAAAAAACAUUCUUUUAAUCAAAAUGUUUUCGGUUACUCAAUUUAUUUUAUGCUGCGAGCAAUUAUGUACGGCUUGUAGUCUAACAAGCCAUUGGAAGGAUCGAAUUAGUUUAUGAAACAAGAAAAUUAACUUGUGAAUGCAUGAACUUUCCAUUGAUAAACAUUGGGAUUAGAAUUGACUGAACAUAAACAAUGAAUAUAUAUAUAUAUAUAUUCAAUGUUUUCAAUUCCAAAGCAAUUGCCAUUGAACUUUGUGUUAAUUAGAAACUUACUAUCACUUACAAGAUCUUACUAUUGAACUUUUCAAUGAUUAACCUUAGGCUUACACUUACAACGCAUUAAUUGAACAUAAACAUAUAUAUAUAUAUAUAUAUAUAUAUAUAUAUAUAGGGUAAAAAACAAAAAGGCCCCCUGUGUUAACCUAAUACACAGAAAAGCUCCCCAUGGUUUCAAAAUAUACAACACGAUCCCUCAUGCUUUGAACUAAAUUGUAAAGGUGACGGAAUCCGUUAAACUUAACGGAAAUGGACGAAAUGACCAAAAUGCACUGAUAUAAUUAAGCAAAAGACAGCUCAAAAAAAUCAUUUGUUUCAUUCUCUAAGUAGAGAGAAUUGAGGGUUAAGGGGUAGAAUAUGCAUAUUUGAUAAAAAAUAGGCAUAAAAAUUUUUUUUAGGUUCCAAUAAGUCAUUUCCGUUAAGUUUAACGGAUUCCGUCACCUUUAUAAUUUAGUUCAAAACAUGAGGUGUCGUAUUGUAUAUUUUGAAACCAUAGGGGAUUUUUCUGUGUAUUAGGCUUACCACAGGGGGUUUUUUGUUUUUUACCCAUAUAUAUAUAUAUAUAUAUAUAUAUAUAUAUAUAUUCAUUGUUAAAAAUUCCAAAGCAAUUGCCACUGAACUUUGUGUUAAUUAGAAACUUACUAUCACUUACAAGAUCUUACUAUUGAACUUUUCAAUGAUUAACCUCAGGCUUACACUUACAACGCAUUAAUUGAACAUAAACAUAUAUAUAUAUAUAUAUAUUCAAUGUUUUCAAUUCCAAAGCAAUUGCCAUUGAACUUUGUGUUAAUUAGAAGCUUACUAUCACUUACAAGAUCUUAAUAUUGAACUUUUCAAUGAUUAACCUUAGGCUUACACUUACAACGCAUUGAUUGAAGGAUAAUCUAAAAUUGCGACUAAACCGAUUAAAUUCGAUCAAAGAUCAGUUGGACUAGAAAGCUCUAUCGGAAUUAACUUUUUGUAUUGUUAUUGGUUUAAAAAAUAAUUUUUUCAUGGUAUUAAAAAAUUAUUUAAGAAAUUUAUAGAUUAAAGUUUCAAAAUAUUUCUAUUGAUAAAAAAUUAGACCUCGGUUAUUGGGAAAAAGAAUUGGCCAUAAAAUAAUGAUUCACAAAUGUAAUAUUACAGCUUACAAUUAAUGGAAUUGCUUAUAAAAUAAUGACAAGUAUUUAUCCAGCCCAUUGGGCUCUUAAAAUAAGUAAUGGGUUCCUUGGAAAGUUGGAUAGUUUUAUGUUUGGUCUGAAAUGAUUUGCACAUUCCGUACGUUGCCAAUUGUUCUCCCCAAAUCAUAGCCUCGGUUGCCAAUUGUUCUCAUGCUAUUAAAAGAAAAAUCAUUCCAAUACCAUUUUUAUGAAUAAGACUGACGAUUACUAACCAAGACUAGAAAUCCAAAAACUGGACCAUGGGAGUAUCAAUGAAGAAAGGCCUUAAAGAGGCAAAUUAAUACACAAGUUUUAACUAAUAGCACCAACUCUUUUAUCACAUCUGUCAGAAGGCUUAACAUGACAUCGAGAGCACUAAACUCAAAAAAAAAAAAUGCAAAACCCAUCGACAAAAGGAAAUAAAGCCUAGGCCUCGCAAUUGAAACAGAGAAGAAUAAGGCCAGUAAGCUUUAAAGCUAUAAAAGAUUCUAAAUCAGAUUAUAUUGGGACAAAUCAACUUCAAUCCCAAGUCCAUUCUCACGAACCCAACUAAUUUCCUCAUUUUCAUUCUCAACAACAGGAUUGCCAACAUCACUUUGCAAAUAUGUCUCAACAUCCAUGGUUGUGCCAUGUUAUAUCCAGCUCUUGCAGUGGUAGAGAUAACCACUUGCCAAUCCUUAUCAGUUGGAUCUUCCAUAAAAAACCUGUGAUGCUUGUGAAGCAAGUAUAAAUGGCUCAACAUGAGGCCUCACGUUUGCAAAAUUGACUAAAGUAAACCCAUCAGCAUCUUGUUUCAUUCUCGAACCAUUUGAUAUCCAAUCACAUUCGAAUAACACCACCCGGCGACCUCCGUAAAUUAAUUCAAUCAUAUUUUUCAAGAUGCCGAAGUAAACUAGUUCACUCAAAACUGGAUUUUGAUCCCUUAUACUUGCAAAACUGGAUGUUGUUGCAUUGACUGUAACACCACUAUUCUGCGUUUUUCUUUUCUUCUCAACUUCUUUGGUGUGAAACCGAAAUCCAUUAACAACAUACCUGCCAUGUUGGAUUCCAACAACAUCUGGACCUUUAGUAAGGAACCUCAACUCUCUCAACACCGAAACAUUUUGAGGAAGUUCUAACUUGUCAAUCUGUAAAAAAAAAAAAAAAAAAAAAAAGAUGAAACAAUAUUUGAAGUCCUACAAUUCAAAUUGUACUUAAUAUUCAGAAUUUUACUUACAUGUUCAGCAAACCAACAUGCAAAAUUUUCACUGUGCAAGCGCUCUUUUAGAUGCUGUGGAACUUGAGGAUGUCCUUCUUCUAUCAAUCUACGAUGCUGCCUAGAAGUACAUGAGUCAAAAUUGUAAUCAUACAUUGAAUUCUACAAUAAAAUUUUAAUGCAUCAAGUUGUAGUUGAACUUACUCUAUGUAAGGUGUGACAGCAUCACAGUUAAAUAAAAUACUGAUGUGCUUUACUCAAGAUAUGAGCAUCAAAGACUGUUGGCUUGCCCCUCCCCAAAGGAUGUCCUGAUUCAGAGAAUAUAUCUAAACCAUCUUCAAUUUCCUUAUGUACUUCUUCAUUUCUGCUUGGACGAUUGAAUUUUGUCUCAACAUAGUCCGCAAGAUACAAUGAGCAAAAGUUAAUGCAUUCUUCUGCCAAGUAGCCUUGAGCAAUCGAACCUUCAGGCCUACUUUUAUUUCGAACAUAAGAUUUUAAUGUUCCUAAGUACCUAAAUUAUCAUCAUUCCAAACUCUCUAAUUAGUUCCACAAAUCAAAGAAAGCAAAAAAGGAAUAAACAUUUAAGGCAUAAUGAGAAUUACAAGCAGUACCUCUCUACAGGAUACAUCCAACGAUAAUACACCGGCCCACCUAAUUUCACUUCAAUUGCCAAAUGAACAACUAAAUGCACCAUGACAUCGAAGAAGGUUGGUGGGAAGCAUUUCUCAAGAUCGCAGAGUAUGACGGCAAUUUCACUUUCCAAACGAAACCACAUCUUGAGGACAAAUAACUUUAGAACAAAGCUGCCUGAAGUAUCUACUCAAUCGAAUCAAAGGAUAGCGCACUGAUUUUGGUAAAGUCUUUCUCAAAGCUAUAGGCAUCAAUUGCUGCAUUAGGAUAUGAUUAUCAUGACUUUUAAGCCCUGAAAUUCUUGGUGGUUUUACUCGAACGCAUCUUGAGACGUUAGCUGCAUAACCAUCUGGAACUUUCACCUUUUUUAGCACAUUGCAAAACAUAGUUUUCUGUUUUUUAUCCAUUGCAAAGGAAGAUGGAGGUAAGUACACCUUUCCAGGUUCUGUCUCAAUGGGAUGCAGCUCUUUUCUUAGUCCCAUUUCUCUCAAAUCACGGCGGGAAUUAUAAUGGUCCUUUGUUUUAUCCUCGGUGUCCAGCAAUGUCCCCAAAUGUUUUCACAAACAUUUUUCUCAAUGUGCAUGAAGUCAAGAUUGUGUCUUAAGACAUUAUCUUUCCAAUAUGGCAAGUCAAAGAAAAUACUCCUCUUUUUCCAAUUGAAAGGCAGCUUCGGAUUACCUUUCACAAGUUUUCCAAAUUUAAUUUGCAAGUCUCCCAAUUCACUCACAAUCAUAUCCCCGGUUUGCAAAGGUGGUCGCUUUCCAUGUUCUUCGGUGCCAUCAAAGAAUUGGGCUUGCUUUCUAAAUUUAUGCUUACUAUCUAAGAAUCUCCGAUGACCUAUGUAGCAAUAUUUGAAACUAUGAGUCAACCGUCGUGCAUGAGUGAACUUGUGACAAACAGGACAAGCAUAUUCACCUUUAGUGCUCCACCCAGAUAACAUUGCAUAUCCAGGGAAAUCACUAAUGGUCCACAACAGAGCCGCAUGCAGUUGAAAAUUUUCUUUUUGGGAUGCAUCAUAAGUUUGAAUGCCAAAAUCCCACAAUUCGGUCAGUUCUUUAACUAGAGGCUGUAGAUAAACAUCAAUAUUAUUCCUAGGAGAGGAUGGUCCGGGUAUUAACAAAGACAACAUGAAGUACGGUUGCUUCAUACACAUCCACAGAGGUAAGUUAUAUGGUAUUAAAACUACAGGCCAAGUACUGUGUGUAGAACUCAUGUUGUUGAAUGGAUUAAACCCGUCAGAUGCCAACCCCAAUCUAACAUUUCGACAAUCCUUAGCAAAUUCUGGAUGUAGAUGGUCAAAAGUUUGCCAAGCUGGAGAAUCAGCUGGAUGUCUCAUACAACCAUCUUUUGUACGUUUUGCCUCAUGCCAUCUCAUUUGAGAUGCAAUUUUAGAAGACAUAAAUAGUCUUUGUAAUCUAGGUUUUAAGGGAAAAUGCCGCAACACUUUUGAGGAAUUUUCCUUUUUUCCCCAGUUGGAUCAUUUUCUGAAGCAACCCACCUAAGCUCGUUACAUGUUUCGCAUGAAGUUCUUUUUUCAGCACUACCCCUAUAAAGAGAACAAUCAUUAGGACAUGCAUCAAUCUUUUCAUAACCCAGCCCCAAUGUAUUCAUCAAUUUCUCAGCCUCAUAGUAAGAAGACGGCAAAUUAGUCAUGGCCUCCGGAAAUGCUUCUCUCAACAGCUCAACAAGCAUAUUAAAAAUCUUGUUACUCAUCUUACCCAGGCAUUUUAGGUGAAGCAAACGAAUAAUGAAAGACAAUUUCGAGAAAUUUUUGCAACCAUUGUACAAAUUCUGUUGAGAAUCAUCAAUCAAUUUGUAAAAUUUUUCAGCCUCUGAAACAGGAAUGUCCCCUUCUCUAUUCAAUUCAUUUGUUCCAUGUGGUAUCCCAAAUACAUCAUGGACCAAGUCUUGCAUGUCAUUAGUCCCAUUUGAAAACCCAAUUGAUGUAUUUUCAGAAUUAGAUGUGGCUUCAUUGUAGUUUGAAAGUUCUCCAUGUGCUGUCCAAUUAUUAUAACCCUUGAUAAAUCCUACCACUUUCAAAUGAUCAUAUGCUUCCAUUUUUGUCACACAAACACCCAUGCCACAAUCUUUGCAAGGACACAAAAUCUUUCCGUCACAACUUGAUCUAGAAAAUGCGAAGUUUAGAAACAUUUGAAGUCCUGUCUCGUACUUUUCACUUGUUCUUGGAAAAUCCAUCCAUCUUUUAUCCAUACUUUUAAUAUAAAUAAAUGUCCUCCAACGAGCUUCCAAUAGCCUACUUUUUAAACUCAGGUCGUGGCUUACAAGUCCCUAAUUUCAAGUUCAAGAAUUUCUCAACAAAAAGGAAUUUAUCAAGCAGCCAGCAAAUAAAGGAAAUCAACAAAAUGCAAAAUUUCUCAACAAUCUAUAAAAACAGAAUUUGCAAGUAAGCGGAUAGAAAUUUUAUUUACCUAAUAACAGAAAAAAACCCUUCGUACCAACUCCUGCGCUCACGUCUUCGCAAAAUUCCUAAGUUCAAUCUGAAAUGUCAAUGGUUAAACAAACACAUGAGCAUGAAAACUAAAGGUGAAAUUCAAGAAUUUUACUAAAUUUUCAUCAAAGUAUACAUACAUCUUUGGUGUGUAGUGAUUAAUUUUAUAAGUCAUCUCUUUAGAAAGGCAUGCAAUUGACGGCAUAGGUAAUUGGAAAAAGAAUGACAGAAAAGUCCCCUAGCUUCUAAUCAUGCCUAUGAAGAUCCUUAUGAACAUGUCAAAAUACUUUGACCCAACUACAUCAAUGUCUCUGUCUUAUUAAUCUAAAAGUCCCCUUUUUUGGGCUCAAAAUUUGCACUAUAAUAGACUGAUCAAGUGCAGAAGACACUUAGUACAAGCGUUAUACUAUAUAUUUCAAGCAACUCACGUACUGAUUAGACAUACAAUUUAAAACAGAAAAAUGAUGUAAAGAUGCAAGUACUACAUAGAAUUUAACAUAGAAAAAAGCAAUAGUGAUAUAAGUGAUACCAUUGGGUGAAAUAUGCACUUAGCCGGAGGACCACCUUUGUGGCAAAAGCCAAAAGGCAGCAAAGGUUACCAUUGUUAUGCAAAUUUUGUGCCUCACAUUGGCGGUCCAUUAUCUGCAUCUUAAUUGUCUUUGGGCUUAUAUAGUCACGGUUUCCCAAUUCUGUCACCAGAAUAAUUUCCUGCUAGGCAUAUAUAGACCAUGGUCCUUGUUUCAUUUAUUUAUAUCGAACUUGUUGCUGAGUGUUCAUGAUUACGAUAAGCAAUGCAAUUUGGUUGAAGCUCUCUAUUCACAGUUUUGCUUAACCGUCCCCAUCCCCAAACAGAACUAGCUGCCUAAACAAACUUCAAUUACAGCUAGGUUUCAUAGAAAAAAAUGAAAAACAGGGGGAAUUGACUUUUUAUCGAACAGGUUUUGGGCAACAUACUAAUCACCCGUGGACACUUUAUUAGCUAGCCUAUGUACAAUUAUGGCAUGACGAUAGAACAAAUGUAACAUGGACAUAAAGAUCGAUCUCCUCAAAAAUACGCAAUCCAAUUGAACAAAUUUCCUCAAGUUUUCAUCUCCAUUGCAGCUAAAGAAAAAGCAUCCAACACCGAGUUGCUAUUAAUGCUACAAUUAGAUAGAUAUCAUAUUUAAAUCUUUCAACAAUCUUAAAUGAGGACAAUAUAACUCAACUAGCGACAGCUCAGGCCAAGAAUCUUUACUUCUCAGAAAAAAAUUUCCAAGUUGCAGGUAAUUUCUUGACAACGAAAUCAAACAUAAGAGCUUCAUUGUGUUUACCACUUCGAUUUUGGAACAACAUUUGCGCGCCUGAAGUAUCUUCCAGCUUUCCCAAUGUACAGCUCCGAUCUUCUAAUUUUACUCCCUGCCUGCCCUUCCAGAUGUCUUAGCCGAAGGAUUUAAAGUUGAGGUUAGAAAAGAUGAAGAUGGUUGUUUGCGGAGACAGCUUGACCAACAUUCUGGAUUGGCUGAGAUAGAUUGUAUGCGGAGAGGUGAGAGAGAUGAGAAGAAGAAAAUUUUCACCAAGUCCUUUUGCCGGCAAAAUGAAACUUCAGAGUACUUUACCAAGUGUCUGGAGCCAAAUUAAAACGAUGUCAUUUUCUGUCUUUUUUUUUCUCACAUUUUCCCAAGUGUCAUGAUAGGUAGUCUAAAGACACAUUAUUAUUUUAUAUCAUGAUAAAAUAAAAAAAUUAUAGUACAGAUUAUUGAGUUGGUUAAUAAGUGUCAUGAUACGUUUGGUAUAACGACACAAACCAACAAGUGUCCUUAUAAACAUGUCAGAAAAGGCCAUUUUUGUUGUAGUGCCUGUUGCGUUUUGAAUUUCUUAAAUAAAGGUCUUCUCUUACCCCCAAGCUAAAUUUCACACACGUUGCUCUUAUUCCUAAAUAUUUAGAGCCCAAGCAAGCAAAUAUCUCAAUUCCGUCCACUAAGUUUAUGUAAUGUAGUGUACAAAUUAGCGUCUAAAGCCAUCUCUAAUCGAGUCCGUGUUCUUUUACCGAAUAUUAUUUCUGAUCUCAAUCGGCUUUUAUUCCUGGCCAAUUAAUCACCAGUAAUGUCCUUGUUGCUUAUGAAGUCCAUCAUUAUCUUAAAUGUAAAAAUGCAGGCAAGGAGGAACUCAGGUCGAUUAAAAUGGAUACGAGCAAAGCGUAUGAUCGAGUUGAGUGGAUAUUUCUCUUAAAAAUAUUACUAGCUUUAGGUUUCAAUUCUAAAUUUAUUUUCUUAAUUUUCAAAAGUAUUUCAACAGUUUCUUAUUCUUUUUUGCUCAUCGGUUUGGGAUUUGGCCACUUAAAACCUAGUUGGGGUAUUAGACAAGGAGACCCACUUUCCGCAUAUCUAUUUAUAUUGUGUGCAGAAGCUUUUUACAUUUUAUCUCAGAAGCUAGUCUUUGUGGAAAGUUGGGAGGCAUUGCUGUUGCGCCUGGUGCUUCAUCCAUUUCUCAUUUGUUUUUUGCCAGAUGAUACUCUUUUAUUUGGAAAGCUACAGGGGAGGAGGCUUCAAAUUUUAUGCAGGUUAUCAAUCUUUAUGAAGGUGCAUCAGGCCAGCCGAUUAAUGUGGAGAAGUCAGUGGUGGUAUUUAGCAAGAAUACUCCAGAAGCUGAUUAAUUGGCAAUUGAAUGUGCUCUUCGAAUGCCGCCUGUGGAAUCACAUGAAAAGCACCUCUGGGGUUGCCUACUAUCGUUGAGAGAUCUAAAGGUGAGGUCUUUAAUUCUAUCAAACAAAGGGUUUUUAAACGGAUUAAUGGAGCAGCAGUUAUCUCGAGCAGGAGAAGAAAUUUUAUUGAAUGUCCCUUGUAAAGUUAAGCAUUAUCUCUGGAGAAUUUGCUGUGAUUUCUUGCCUACUAAAGUAAAUCUGCUCCGGAGAAGAGCUUCAGUGGAGCUCAACUGUCUGUCUUGUGGUUUUGAUAUUGAGGAUCUUAUUCAUGCAAUUUCUUUCUGGGCGUUAAGCUGCCUUAAAGGGCAAGUACGUAAGUGGCAGCAAUCAAUUCCCAAAGAGUGGGCUCUGGAGUUGUUAGUUACGUUGAAAAAUCGUGAAGCAGAGUUGUUUGAGAUGUUAUGUUGGGCUAUUUGGCUUGGGAGGAACCAAAAGCUGCAUGAAGAUAAACGAGUGGACCCUUUUGAGUUUAGUUAGCUUUGCUUCGGGUGCGCUCCAAUAAUUCCAAGAAGCUAAUGUUACUCAGAAAUGUCCAGGCGAUGGCAAGUUAAAGUUUAAUUUUGACGGUGUGGUGUUUAAGGAAACUCAAUCUAUUGGUUUAGAUGACGGUGCGGUGUUGAUUUAUCUAGUUUAGACCCUCCAAUUUUUGACAUUACGAGGGACUUAACUAGUUUAGAGAUGUCUAGUAUUUCAGGAAUGAGUAGGAAUCAUAAUAAAAUCACUCAUAUAUUAGCUAAGAUCGCAGAAUUCAUAUGUGAUCAUGUCUUUUGGUGGAGAGAUCUCCAGAGUUUGUUGUGCCAUUUCUAAUGGCGGAUUUGUUAGAAAGUUAAUGAAAGUUCAAUACAGGUUAUGUUGAGUAAGACGUUGGAUUGAAAAUUCAAGAUUUUGAACUGAAAUUUCAAGAUUUUGAGAUGAAAAUAAAAGAUCACGCUAAACUUAAUGGAUUCAAAUCUUAAUAUGUGCAAAUGCGUUUGAUAACCAAAAUUGGACAUCUGAAUUAAUUAAGUGCUACUGAAUUUUCUAAACGAAAUUUGUUCUAAAAAAUAAGUGAUAAACUAUGCAUUUAUUACUGAAUGUGAUAUACACUUAAAUAUACUUGAUUUAAUACUUAACAAUCUAAUAAAUUAAUGGACUCAGAUUUUAGAUUUCAAUUUUAUCAAAGUAACCUAAAAAUAUAGACUAUAGAUAAAAUAACUGCAGAUAAUGAUUUAUGUUGAGUAAGCUUUCAAAGCUACGUUUCCCAAAACAAACUUUAGAUAAUCAUUCUCUAAUUUUUGCUUUCACUCUAGAAGAUGCGUACAAUAAUGGGUGUAUACAAAAAUGGAAGUUAAAUUGAUAACACUAAGCUCGCCAAUUCUCAUAAAAAAAAUGAUGACAUUGCCUGCAUUAAUUCUAGUAACGGACUGAAGACAAUAAUUAAUAGGUGACUAUAUGGUGCCUAAGGCACACAAUAAAAUGUGGACUUGGUACCAUUAUUUAUUUUUGUGAAAGGAUAAACCUAUUUUGUAAGGUGUCGCAAUUCAUCAUCAUGAAAUGAGUGGUAAUUUUAAAGCAUUAAUAGUGAAUUCACCUUCAUUUUUAACGUUCAUAUCGCAAAGCCUAUUAAAAAAUUUCCACCAGCACAAAUUCCACUUUUAAUAGGUUCGAAAAUUCACUCACAAAUUUAUCCACAAAUCCCAUUAACAAAAAAAAAAAAGAAAAUGCAGAAAGUUAUCAACGGAACUUCUAUAGUGCGUUGAUGCGACACGUGUUGGUUGGAGAUUACUAGAUGGGAGUGGGGUUAAUCAAAGGUGGUAUUUUAGUAUUAAGCCCAAAAACCACCGGUAACAAUGGUAUUGACCCAAUUUCUAGAGGAAUUGACCCACAUAAACUGUGAAAGAUUAUUUUCUCUGUCAUUUAAGGCAAUUUCUGAACAAGAUUUAGGCGUAUAAUAAAGAAAUUAUCAACCCCCAACCCCCAAUAUUAUGCUAAUAUGCAAUUGGAAAAAAUUAAAUGAAUAUUUACUUGAAGUUAAGAAGUGGAUACCAAUCGUAGAAAGUGUUUAUAACAUACUCCGAAAUGCCAAAGGACUUCCCAAAAAGUGGGAAGCAGGACAACAUCUGAAAUAUAGUCCAAGUUUGAAGUGCUUUAUGUCAAACAUAUUUCAAUAUAGAAAAAAAAAAAUUACUGGUUAGCAUAUGUUUGUGCGCAGUAUUUGUUGAUUGGGAGACGGUUCUAAGGAGGCGGUUUUGCAACAAAUAAGUAAACGGGAUGUCGAUUACUUGGAGUUGUAUCUUAUGCUGGAAAAAUAAUUAGACAUGUCAGUUAAGUAAUAUUUCAAUUUAAAUAAAGUUAGUUAGGAACUAGAACUCGUAACAUGGUUGGAUAUGGUUAGUGAAUAGGAUAUGAAUGUUGGGGGAUAGAAUACAACUAGAAUUACUAAGACAAAUUAAGCGUGACACUUUGAAUUCAAAUUUUACUAACAUUGCAUAAUAACACCUUUGACUGAUAAUUUUUUUUGAUACGGAAACUGGAAAAAUUUUAUUAAGAAGAGGAUAGAUCCGUAUUAAUUGCGAAAGAAAGAAAAAAUGGUGGAGAAAAUCUCCAACUAUAAAUACCUGAAAUAGAACUAGCAUUACUAUCUAAGAAAUGAGCAGGCACAAUUAGAUUCCUAGGAAUCCAAUCAGCCUCCCAAGUAAUGAAAUUCUGUAAACUAACAAAGAUAUCAUCUAACAGCACUCCAUAAGCUGAAUCAUCGGAUUCCAUAUUUUUAAGCAUGUUGAUGAUCUUCAAAGAGUCACCCUCUAAAACAAUCUUAGAACCUUCAACUGAAGUAACGAGGAAAUUGCAGAUAUUGCAGCAUAAGUUUCAGUUACUUCAGGAGAAAAGAUACCUAAGAUUUUGUGAAAAAUACUAGCAACAAAUUUGCCCCAUUCAUUCCUCACAACAAUUCCAACUCUAAAGUUGUCGUCUUCAUAGAAUAUUGCACCAUCGAAGUUUGCACUGCACCAUCGAAGUUUGCCUUUAGAAAUCUUGCAGAGGGCUUUAUCCAAUGAAGUUGAGCAGUGGAAGAGCAUAUUGGAAUGUUUGGAAAUGUGUUUAUUUCAUGGUAUUUCUAUAAGAAAUUGAUAGAGAGGGAGAGACCAAACUGAGAGGAUCACGAUAGAACCAUCAAAUAAUGCAUCAUUUCGGUUAAACCGUAGAUUCCAAAGAAUUAUGGCUACCAAUUCCAUGUCCUGCUUUUUCAAAAGAUGAAGGCCAGACAACCGAGACGAAACUUGAUCGGUAGAGUCUAAUCUUAUCUUUAGUGUAAGAAAGCUAAGGGCCCAAGGUUGAAUUGCUACUGACAGCACAAGAAAAGAUGAUUAACAUCAUCAAUAGGGGCCUUACAUAAAGAACAAGUAGGAUCAAAAUAGACUCCGCGACUAUUCAACUUGGAAGUUAUAGGUAGAAUGUCUUUGCAAAUUCACCACAAGAAUAUUUUAACUUUACUUGGUAUGUUGAGUUUCCACAAGCAGGGCCAAAUAUCAUCCAUAGAACCAUUACUACAUGAAGCUACAUCUUGUCAAUUUGUAGAUUAUAUUUUGAUAAGAUGAUAGGCAAUUUUCACUGUGAAGGAGCCAUUUUUAGAAUAGUGCCAAAUGAGCUUAUCUUGAUUUCGUCUAUCACCCAAUGGAAUACUCAUAAUCAACUCAAUCACAUCUAAGGAUAGCAACGGGGGCGGUGCCCGGGGGGCUAUUGGGGCAGAGGUUGGGGCGGGGGGAAUUUUUCCCCCCAUUUAGAAACGGGGCAGGGGGCCCACCCAUUUGGAAAAAAAGAGAGAUAUAUAUAUGUACAUAAUUAUAUAUAUAAUAGUAUUAUCAAUUAUACAUGUCUAUUAAUAAAAAUUAUUAAUUAUUUAUACUAAAUUUAUUAAUACAUUUAUAUUAAAUUCCUAACUACACUUAAUACAAUAACACUUUUUUUCUAAAAAAAAACAAAUAAUAAUUUAGUGAUUGUAUUUGUAUCAAAAGUAAAAAUAAUUAUUUUAGUUAUAUUUGUUUUAUCAUAUUAGAUCGUAUUCAAAUAACUUUUGUUUAAUUAUUUUUAUGAGUUUCAAUUGUGAAGUUAUAAUGAAUAAUAAUUUGGUGAUGUGUUGAUAUUUUAGUACUUGAUUACUUGCUCAAAUUUAAUUAUAAUAAAAUUAUAUAAUAAUUUUUUUAACCCCGCGGGGGAAGCGGGGCGGGGGCGGAGGAGGACGGACGGGACGGGGGGAAUUAAUAGGCAACGGGGCGGGGGGGGGGAGGGGCCACCCUAAUCACAUCCUGCCAAAAAAGCUCUUGAAGCAAAUCAUAUUUCCAUUUCCUGCUAUUUUCAUCAAUUAAACAAUCUAUAGUGGAGAUUUCUAGUAGCACAUCAAAACGAGAUAUAAUUUUGAAAUUAGAAAGACGUGGAAUCCACCUCUCUUUCCAAAUUUUGAUAUGAUUCCCGUGUCCAUCUCACCAUCUACUACCAAAAACACCUUUGAUUGAUAAUUAAAUAGUUAAAAAAUAUAUCUACUUAAUUUGUUUACUCAAUAGUUAUGUGAACUAAAACAUAAAAAAGAAGGUCAAUUAUUAUAUUAGUGUUAUAUUUGUAAUAUUAGUUCCCUAUAUAGUAGGUUGCCGAGUUGGGCAUAUUUAUAUUCUACCAAGUAAAUGCCCUAUCUUUUCGAAACGUGGCAAAAAAAAUUGUGUUUGUUUUUUUGGUAGAUUUCAUUCUUUUUCUUUUUGGUAACAAUUAAUUUACUAUUCAUUUUCACUUCAUUAUUUAUAGUAAAUUUCAAUCAAUUAUCAAUUACUUACCUUAUAUGCAUUUCUAUUAAUUAUACCUUUAUUUUUUUAAUCAACUUAUAGCUUUCCUUUUUAAUUAGGCACUCGUUAAUAUAUGUCUUAGGUGUUAAAUUUUUAGAAAUAUAAGAUGAAUUAGGGAGAGCAUAUAAAUGUAAGGGAAUUAAUUAGAAAAAUAUAUAAAUAAAAGAAAAAGUAGUAAUAGUUGCGUAUAUAUGUGGCAGGUUAGGUGGAAUGCAGGUGUGUUAACGAUUACCCAUAGGGCACCCAUUAGAAAUACUCAUCAAAAUUUGGAUUAAUUUUUUUUCCUUUCAUUGCAAUCAUUACUACCAUUUUUCCUAUCAUUUAUUACUAUACCUUCAUGUUUCUAAAUACCAAUAAAUGUAUUACUCUCUUACUUUUUAUUUGAUUGUGCUAAUUAUAGCUUUCCUUUUACUUAAUCAAUUAGUCAAUCGAUCAAUCAACCCAUGAUUUUAAUUCUCUUUUCAAUCGCACGAUCUUUCUUUUAUCCAUCAUUAGGGAGAUUUACAAUUUAGUCACAUAUUUGUUAUGUGUACAAUAAUUAUGCAAUCAUAAGCACAAACUAAUGCAAUUCUAAUAAUUUUGCAUAUAUGCAUUCAUAUUGUAUUGCAACACCUUUAAUAAUUCAUUAUAUGGUUACAAAAGCCAAAAAAAAUCUAGUAUUACCUAGACCUUAGAUAGUCCCCAAUGUAUACACUGAUACUGUAUAAAUGAUUUUAAACCCGUUAAUAUAUAUACUGAUUGCAUAUGAAGAUUCAUCCCUAAUUUAGACCUCUUAGAUAGUUUGCAUGCAUUAUAUUCCCUUUUUUUAAUUUCUUAUUUAGUUUACCUUAUUACCAUUUAUGAUUUUUUUUUAAUUUAAGCAACAUCUUCCAAUAUUUUAUCACCAUUUUAAGUUAGUUCAUUUUUAGGAGAUAGUAGUAUAAGUGUGGUAGUUUGUCCAAAUAACUUUGAAUAUGCAUAUACAACCCAAAAAUAAAAUGAUAGUUGUUUAUAUUCUUAUCACUCAACGAUGAUAGUGUUAUGUAAUUUAAAUGAUUGAGAUCUAUUGCCAUCCAAAUAUAAAUUUAUAUGAGGGUAUGAUAACUAAAAAUGACUAUAGAAUCUCCCUAAAUACUAAAUAAUGCGAAUAGAGAUAUUCCCUCAAAAACUUGUAAAGUACUUAAUGUGUAUACGGGUAAAUUCUUGCAAUAGUGAAAGGAAAAUAUCUUACUAGCCUUGAAAUUUUGGCCCGUGUAUUGACUUUUGUUAGCUAAAUUAAACUAUCUUGGAGUGAAGACAUAAAAUCUGCGGCAAAUUUGAGAGAGUUGUGAACAUAGCUUAUUAGCGUACACAUUUUUUCCGAGUUUGAAUUCUCUCACUUACUUACUGACAAAAAGAAAAAACUAUCGUACAUUUAACUUCCAACUAACAAUGAUGUAUAGGUAAUAAAUUAUAUGCAUGGGAUAUUCCCAUAAAUAAAUGAAAUAUAUUUACACGACAAAGAGUAAAUUCUUAAAUUAAGAAGAAAUAAUAUUAUAGUAGCUGUCAAUUUGUUUAUAUGACUUUUUGGUUUGUCUUUACUCAUGACAACCAAUUAUGUUAUUUUGAUGUAAAAAUAUCCAAAAACGGUUGAAUACAAUGUGGGACAUUAUUAUUAUUACUCGGAUACCUCAAUAUUUAUAAAAUUGAUUAAAUUGGAAUCCAUUUGGAUUUAACAGUAUUUUGAAAAAACUAUUUUUGUUGUUCAAGUCUAUAGUAAUAAACUUUAAAAAUAACCUCAAAAAUAAUUUAAAAAUACAACAUAUCUCAAAUACAUUAAAAAAUAAUUAAAAAAUUUCCCUAAUUCUUCUUCCCCACCUACCCACUACAACCACCACCACUACCCAUCACUGUCCACUACCACCACCAUCACCCCACACCCAUGACCCUUCUUCCUCUCUCCUCUCUCUCUUCUCCCUCUCUCUCUCCUCCUCCUUUCUCUUAUUCUCCUUCUCCUUUCUCCUUCCUCCUCUGCCUUGUCUUUCCUCCCUUCUCCCUUCCCUUUCCCACCCCCUAAUCCCCCCUUCCCUCUACUGACUGUGGCCUUCUUGGUCUUGACCAGAAAGGUUGCAGCCAGAAGCCACUAGUGUUGCAACCAAGGUCACAGAUGGAGUCGCGGUUACCAUCCACGAUUGGGAGAGGUUUGAGGGUCAGAAACGAGAGGGACGGGGGAGAGAAGGAGAAGAAAGAGGAGGGAGAAGGAAGAGGAAGGGGAGAAUGAGAGGGAGAAGAGAGGGAAAAAGAGGGAGAGACAAGAGAGGAGAGAGGGGGUAACGGCGGUGAGUGGUGGUGGUGGGUGGCGUAAAAUUUUUUAAAAAUACCCCAAAAAAGUUGUAAAUUAUAAAAAUAUCCCAAAAAUGUAUUUUAAAAAGCCCUAAAAAUACCUUUAAAAAACCCCCCAAAAACAUCUAUAGUACAAGUUAUUUAUAUAUAUAUAGUUACCGUAAAGUUUUUAAAAGAUACCCCAAAAACAGUUAGUCCAAAUGGAGUCUUGAGUUUUGAGGUUAAGGUUCAAUGAUUGACCACAAUUUAGGUCAAAGUAAAACUUGGCCGAAAGUUUAGUGGGUAAAAUAUAAUUUUAAAAAUUAAUCAUCUUCCCUGAUCCUCACAGUUGCAAUGGUGAACUGUCAGCCCCUUAGGACGUGUUCCAGACGGAACGCGCGCAACCGUGGUAGAUUUCGGUCACUCAUGGUCAAGUUGGAAGGCUGAAGGUGAACUGGUUGGGAAAAACUUGGACACAUGUUUGAUGAUGUAUUCCAUGCCUAUGUAUGGGUUUGGAAAAGUUUCAGGGCUAGGAAAUGUCUCUAAAUUAGUGGGGAAAUGAGGGGUGGCUUUACUAGCGGUCCGAAAUUUUUAGCUAGGACUACUAUAGAGAGAGAUAACUAUAACUAAGCCAAGUCAAUGCCAAGGGCUGGGGUUUAUGGGUUAUUUUGGAUGGUUCCAAGCAUUUGGAGCUGUGGUGCCUAAGUUGCUAAGUGUUGGGCAAGUUGGGCACGGAACUAAGCAAAUGGCGAGAAGCUGGGUGUGCGAAACUGUGUGACCAUUGCCUGUGCGCUCCAAAGACGAACGUUGGGACUGUCUGGCAGUUGCUAGUCGUUUGCUGGAGUUGCGGACGGUUAUCAGUCAACUCAGACACGUUCUUAUCGGUUUCUGACUUCAUGUACAUUCGGGUCGGACCAACGGUUGGGUCUUGUCAACUAUAACAAUGCAUAUAAAUAAAUGGCUAGGUAGGGACUAAAGGCAGAUAGUGAGAAACACCCUUAGAUGUUCUGCACGCUAAAUGUUUGUAGAAUUGUCCUUGUAAUCUCUAUAGUGAAAUACAAGGUUGGCCGUUUGGUUGUAACUUGUGCGUGUUGUUCCUUUGUUUUUGCCUAAGUAUUCUAUGUUGAAUACUUGUAUGCAAGUGUCAGUGUAAGGGCUGACUGGAAGCGCGGCUUAUCAAUGCCAUUACAUGCUUGUUAGGCUAGUGAGCGAAGCGUAAACACCUCGUAAUAGUUUGGUAUCAAAGCACGGCUUUGAUCUAUUAGACUGUGCUUCUGUUAUGUGUUUUGUUGGUUAAUGAUGGUUGGACACAGGAAUUCUGUUGCAAUGAUUGGAAUGGUUGCAAUGUUAGGAACUUGCAUUCGAGGACUUGAUGCAGUGUCUAGGAGAUGGCCUAGAAGGCUUCAAUGUCAUAGAAGUUCUAUUGCAGACUAGAGAGAUGAUCAACACCCUGACUGCACAGAUGGAUGAAACCAGGCAGACAGUUUCUUCUGUUGGGAUGUUGAGAUGCUAAGGAAUGAAAUGACUGCGUCCCAUGCAAAGAUCGUGGCUUUACAAUCGAAGAUCAAUGUGUUAAAAAGGCAGUCGGCUCUUGUAACACACAGACCUUUCAAAAAUCUUCGAAGGGAAAGUGAAAGUCCUAGAUCCGAAACCAUACCAAGGUAGUAGGAGUUCGAAGUAUUUGGAAAACUUUUUGUGGGAUUGUCGAGUAGUACUUCAAGGCUAUUGACAUUCCUGAAGUAGAGAAGGUGUCAAUUGCAUCAAUGUGUCUUAGUGGUGAUGUAAAGUUAUGGUGGAGAACAGUGCAAUCAGACCUACCAAACCCAAGAUCGGCACUUGAGAAGUACUGAAGGAGGAAUUGAAGAAGCAAUUCCUUUCCACGAAUGUUUAAUGAAAAGUUAGAGGUGUAUUGUGAAACUUAAAGGAGAAUAAGAAAGUACAGAGUACGUUACAGAGUUCCAAGCCUUGAUGUUAGAUGUAAGGGAAAUGUCUGAGGAAGACAGACUCUACAUCUUCAUCCAUGGACUUCAACCGUGGGUACAGAUGGAGUUGCGGUGAUAAAAUGUUCAGACCGUGUCUCAAGCACUUGCUACUGUCGAGAAGUUGAUAGACUUCAAGUCCAUAGGAUCCAAAAGUGAAAAAAAAAGAAGGCAAGGAUAAGGCUAAGGGCUCGAAAGGUGGUCAAUUCUCAAAAAGAAUAAAAAGAAGCAGACAGUACAACGACCGAAACUAGCGGUGCUUCCUCUUCUAAGAAGAAGCAAACAUCCAACCCUAAAAAGGAUGGCUGCUAUACCUGUGGAAGACCACACUUAACCUGCAAUUGCCUCAAUAAGAAGGACCAGAACGUUAGUGCCUUAGUGGCAGAAGACAAUAGUGACCAGUUGGAGGUCCAGGAUGCACGGGUCAACCCCAUGUAAUUCUUGAACGCCAUCACCGAUACUAAUGUCUGUACUCUUUACAAUGGUUUGAUGUAUGUGCAGGUUACAUUGAAUGGUAACCAUAUAUUGACGAUGGUUGAAAUGGGAGCAUCAUAUAGUUCUAUGAUGGAAAAAGUGAUGAGUCGGUUCCGGUUACAGUUGAAAGACUUGGGUUUCAAAAUUGAAGGCUGUAAACUCUGAAACCAAACCAGUGCUAGGCAUGGCGACCGUAGAUUUAGAGUUGGAGCCAUGGAAGGGUUGGUGCAAUUUCAUGGCAAGUCAAAUGGAUGAUUUUGACUUGAUUCUAGACAAAGAUUUCAUAGUUGCAAAUAGGAUCUAUCCAAUUCCGCACUUGGAUGGCGUCAUGGUGAAUGAUGGCUAGAGUCCAGGCUUUGUUCUUGUAGUAAAGUUGCAGAAACAAAAGAACAAUCAACAAAAGAACAUGGUAUCAACGAUAGAGAUUGAGUCAUAUCUUCUGAGGCGGUGAAGUUGUGUAUAUUGCUGCAUUGGUGGAAACCAAACCUAACAUGUACCAGGAAGUACCUAACGCCAUGGCCCACGUUCUAGAGAAGUUUACAAUAUCAUGCCUACAAGUUUUCGAGAUAGCUUCCUCCAUCCUGUGCGUGGAACACAAGAUCGAGUAGGUUCCAAGAGCCCAACCACCUGCCCAAACUCCUUAUCGCAUGUCCCCGAUAAGUUGGCUGAGUUACGAUACCAACUUAAUGAAUUGCUAGAUAGCCAAGCGCUGAGACCGUCAAAGUAUCCGUACAGUACUCCAGUGUUAUUCCAGAAGAAGGCUGACGAAACGUGAGGUUCUGUGUAGACUAUUGUGCCUUGAAUAAGAUCACGAUAAAAAACAAGUACCCAUCCCAAAUGUGUACAACUUGUUCGACGAGCUAGUGAUGACACGAUUUUACACCAAAAUUGAUUUGCGGUCUGGGUACUGGCAAGUCUGAAUAGCCCCAGGAAAUGAGGAAAAGACGACGAUAGUGACGUGGUAUAAUUCAUUUGAAUUUCUCGUUAUGCCAUUCAGUUUGACGAAUGCACCUGCUACCUUUUGUGGACUAAUGAAUGAUGUCUUGUACGAUUUUCUUGAUAAGUUUGUCGUAGUGUACUUAGAUGAUAUUAUUGUGUAUUUGAAAUCCUUGAAGGACCAUAUAGAUCAGAGGGUAAUAUUCUGCAAGUUGAGGAAUACGAACUCUAUGUAAAGUAAGAAAAGUGUGAGUUUUACAGGGAGCAAAUCACUUUUCUUGGCCAUGUAUUGAACAAUGGUCGGAUCCAGAUGGAUCGCAGGAAGGUUGAGGCGAUUCUUGACUGGCUUGCACCCCAGAAAGUCGCAGAACUAAAGUCAUUCGUUGGUUUGGCCAACUACUACAGGCACUUCAUCUAGGGAUACUCAAAGAUGACCUACUAAAGAAGGAUAGACCGUGGCUGUGAGAUUAUGAGUGCGAAGAUGCAUUCAGAAUGCUGAAAAUAGCGGUUGCUUCUGUGCCAGUGUUGCAACUUUCAAAGCUUUUGAAGUGCAUACUGAUGCUUCAGAUCGUGCGAUUGGAGCGUACUUAUGCAGGAGAAGCACGGAUUGCAUUUGAAAGUAAAAAGCUAAAGAAUGCGAGCAAAGAUAUAGUACGCAUGAGAAAGAAAUGACAGUUGUUGUACAUUGUCUCAAGAUAUGGAAGCACUAUCUAUUAGAAACCAAGUUUGUGGUGGUGACUAAUAACAUGGACAAUACUUGCUUCAAGACACAGAGAGAGUUGACCCCGAAGCAAGCUCGUUGACAAGAGUUUCUGGCUGAAUUUGACUUUGACUGGAUUCAUAAGUUAGGAAGGGAGAAUGCAGUGGUCGACAUACUUAGUAGAAAGUAUGUCGAAGAAUACAUUGUUGUGCUUAGCACUGUUGAGACGGACUUCAGGGACAGAUCAAGUGGGAGUCCCCGAGUGACCCAGUUUAUCAAAACUUGGUGUUCGUGAAGUCAAAGUUCGUCGUUAUUGGCUGGAGGAUGACUUACUAUUUUGCCAAUAGUGGUGAAGCAUAUGUUCCAGCAGGAGGGGGACUUAGGCGACAGUUACUACGAGAGACUCACAAUGCUUCUUGGAUUGGUCAUUCUGGAGUUGAACGAAUGCGGGCAUUAUUGUCGCGUAGCUUCUAUUGGCCAAAGAUGGAAGAGGAUAUUGAAGCAUACGUGAAAACUUAUCUUGUUUGUCAACACGACAAGAUGAGAGGAAGAAGGAGCCAGGCUUGUUGCAGCCUUUGCCGAUCUCUGAUCGACCAUGGCAAUCAGUUUCUAUGGACUUCAUUUCGAGAUUCUCUAAGGUCGAUGGUAUGGCUUUUGUCUUUGUAAUUAUUGACAGAUUUUCUAAGUAUGCUGUGUUUGUUGGUGCACCAAAGGAGUGCUCGGUUGAUGUUGUCGUUGAGUUAUUUUUCAGACAUGUUAUGAUGUAUUUCAGAUUACCCAAAGAUAUCAUAAGUGACAGGGACAUGAGAUUCAUAGGUAGAUUUUGAACCGUGAUGUUCGGGUUGCUAGGUUUCGAACUGAAGUUCUCAACUGCCGCAUACUCUUAGACCGAUGGACAAACGGAGAGGAUCAAUAUCUUGCUAGAAGAAUACUUAAGGCAUUACGUGACGACAAGUUAGAAAAAUUGGCUGGAGUUGCUGGAUACUGCAUAGUUUUACUACAACCUGCACAAGUUAUUCGUAACUAAGUUGAGUCCAUUUGAGUUAAUGAACAGGCAACAACCUCUGACUUCACCUGAAGUUGCUCUUCAAGAGUUAGUUUGUUGAUGACACAACAACGCAUGAAGAAGUACGCAGACCAACAUAGAUCGGACUUAGAGUUCCAACUGACUCCCCAGAUUUGAAAAAAAGUAAAUAACAAGACAGUCCAUCGUGGGAUCAUCCCUGAGUACAAUAGACCAUUUGAGGUAAUCAAGAAGGUGGGUCAUAUAGCUUAUCGUUUGAAACCACUUGACAAACUCAAGAUCCACCUGACCUUCCAUGUGAGUUUUCUGAAACCCUUUUACCAAGACGAGAUGGAUGGAGGACGGAGGCAAGCAAAGUGUGCCUGCACAGUGAUCCGCAAGCAAUUCCAGAAUGAUGUGAAGGCUUUGCUGGAUUACAGAAUGAUGGGACAAAGAAAAAAGAAUAGAUGGACAAACUAUCUGAUCCAUUGGAACGGUGAAACAAAAUUAGAUGCUACUUGGGAACGGAUGUUACCUUGUGACAGUUUCAAGAUAAGAUUGCUGAGUACUUGAAGAACGUGCGAAAGCAAACCAAGUUGACGAGGGCGUCAACCUCUUCAGGUGGGGUGGUUUAUCAGCCCCUUAGGGUGCGGUCCAAACGAAAAGUGCACGACCGUGGCAGAUUUCGGCCGAUCAUGGUCAAGUUGGAAGGCCGAAGAUAAACGGGUCGAGAAAAGUUUGGACACAUGUUUGAUGAUGUUUUUCAUGCCUAUGUAUGGGUUUGGGAAAGUUUCAGGGAUAGGAGAUGUCUCUAAGUUAGUGGGGGAAUGAGGGGUGUCUCUACUAACGGUCCGAAGUUUUUAGCCAGGAAUACUAUAUAGAGGAAUAACUGUGACUAAACCAAGUCAAGACCAAGGGCCGGGGGCCGGGCCAAGGGUGUGGUACGACUAGACUUUGUGGGUUAUUUCAGAUGGUUCCAAGCAUUUGGAACCGUGGUGUCUAAGUUGCUAGGUGUUGGAGCAAGUUGGGCACGAAACGUAGCAAAUGGUGGGAAGUUGGGCGCGCAAAAUCGUGCGACCGUUGCCUGUGCUUGCAAAGACGAACGUUGGGACUGUCUGGCAGCUGCUAGCAGUUGUUGGAGUUGCGGAAGGUUACCAGCCAACUCAGACACGUUCUUAUCGAUUUCCUAACUCAUGUACAUUUGGGUUGGACCAAUGGUUGGGUCUUGUCAACCGUAACAAUGCCUAUAAGUAAAUGGCUAGGCAGAGACUAAGGGCAGAUACUAAGAAACAUCCUUAGAUGUUCUGCACGCCAAGUGUUUGUAGAAUUGUCCUUGUAAUCUCUAUUGUGAAAUACAAGGUUGGCCGCUUGGCUUUAACUUGUGCGUGCUGUUCCUUUGUUUUGUCUGAGUGUUCUACGUUGAAUACUUGUGCACAAGUGUGAGUGUGAGGGCUGACUGGUAGUGCGACUUACCAGUGCCAUUACGUGCAUGUUUGGCUAGCAAGAGUAAACACCUCGUAACACGAACACUGGUCGCCCAUCUUCAACCACCAUCUAACACUUCUUUUCAAGAUCAAUUCUUGCCCAACACUCAUUUUAUUCGCUUGAGUCAUGAUUAUGGCAUCACUUUUCUUCAGUUUAAACCCUUUGACGAUACAAAAAUAAGGUCACAAUUGAAAUUCUGAUUCGAAAAUUUGAAACUUUCGGGAUUGCCUCCUGCUAUGGGCUUUUCUCAAACUCGAUCAUAUGCCCAAACAAAUUCAUCAACCAACACUCACUCUGCCCUUGGGGCACCCAAUUAACCCCUUUAAAACAAUUUUGAAGACACCCGAAACUAGGGUUGGGCAAAAAUACUUGUUAAUCCAAAAAUCUGACAUAUCCGAUUCGAUUCGAUUCAACAAAUAGGGUUCCGGUGUGUAUUAUUUGAUCGGUCAAAAGAAAGUUGGAUAAUUACUUGUAUGCGGCGUUAGGUGGAGUCACCUGAUUAAGAAUCCGUGGGAUCCCGACCCUUCCCACAUAUAUAUUUUUUAUUUUUACACACAUAUUACAAAAUAAUACUUUUGGAGCUAAAUAAGUAAUUUCAUUAAACAAAAUACAUUAUAAAUAUGAAAAAUUAAAGUUUAUUUAUAAGAUUCAUUUAUAGAUGUCAUGAUUUCUUUUUUUUAAGGAAACAGUUUAAUUAAUAUAGAACAUAUAUUUGUAAAAAGGUACUAUUUAUUUGAAUUUUCAUUGAUUUUGAAUUCUUUUAAUUUUCUUUUCCCGUAUUCUCUUUGCAUGUUCAUUUUUUUAUUGAGAAAAAAUCUUUAUUAAGUUUUAGAUGAAUAUUCAAAAUACAAAAUUAAAUUACUAUAAAUUAUUUUUUAAAACAAUUAAAUGAUAACCAGCGUGAUGCAAAUAUCUGUUAACUCAACCCUACUUUAAUGGAAACCCACUCAUAUACGGGAUGGUUAAAGGUCAAAAGAUAGCUGUCUUGCAAGGUACGGGUCUAGUCAGCCAAAUGAAGCAUAGAACGAGUACUACUUGACCUGUACCUACCCCUACCCAAAACAAAUCUUAAUAAUCAUAAAAUAGCAACCUGCACUUGCAAAAUCCAAUUUUCAAUUUUCUCCUCAAAAUUUAGCAUCAAAUUUUACAAAAAUUACACAAAAACAAUCCAAUCAACAAAUAAAUACUCAAGCAUUGAAUUGACAUUAUACUGUAUUUGUGCAGCACCGAAUUGACAUUAUCUGACUUGUAUGUAUGGCAAAAUAAAGGAACUAUGAAGAGGAUGGGGAGGAGGGAGAAGGAUGCUGAGAGUAAGGGAGGAGAUGAAUCGGAAAAUUUAGAUAUUUUUUCUUUUUAUAUUUUCUAUUAACCGGAUUUAUAGGUAACUAGAGCUGUUAAUCGAACCGAGUAGCUGGCGAGCCGAGCUCGACCCGGCUCGACAAGGGCUCGGAUCGGCUCGUUUACAGAGAGAAACAAUCCGAGCUCGAGCUCUACUCAGUAUUCGUUUAAUAUAUGCUCGGCUCGUUUAAGCUCAGUAGGCUCGAAGAGUAGGGGCAUUAACAUCAUUUCAUUGUGUAUGUGGUACUCUAACCUAAGUCAUUCUCCCGUUUGUAACCAUAAUUUUUCUUUCCUCUUUUGGUCUUACCUUCUCCCGUUCCACAGCCGUAGCCACAGUCGCACGCCAGCACCCUCCAUUUUUACCACCGUCACCGAGUCACCAUUCACCAAUUCAUCCAUCAUCUCACCUCCAUCAGGACCAUCACCUAUCCGUCCACUAUCUCACCGCCAGGCGUUAUCCCUAAUUUUUUCUUUCCUCUUUCGAUCUUUCCUUUUCCCGUUCCACAGCCGCAGCCGCACCCUCCAUUCUUACCACCGUCACUGACUCACCAAUCCAUUCAUCUCACCUCCAUCACCAAUCCGUCCACCAUCUCACUGCCAUCAUUCAAUCCACUUCUCGUGAAUCCGUGAGCAGCGCCAUACGGAGCCACCUCGGUAAAGCCAGGGGCCUCUACCAUAUCCCGAUUCCUUGCAUAAUCUGGUAACCAUUUCUUCUCAAUUUUUGCAAUUUAUUUUGGUUUUAAGAGGUUGUGUGGGUUUUGGUUAAUGGUGGAUAGCCCCGUAUCCCAUAUGGCUUCCCCGUAUCCGUUGGCUUCCUGUGUUUUAUCCCGAAUUUCACCUGCACGGAUUGCUUAUGCAUCGCUUAGUGGACUUUUGGUUUCAAAUAGCAUGUCUUUUACCCGUUAAAUAACCUUUUUUUUACCCAUUGUUCUGGAUUGUUGCAUAAGUGUCAAAUUUCGCCUGAAAUGCUCACAUAUUCUUCUAUGAGAUUACGUGUAUCACUACUGCGUUACCUUCCUUCGACACCUGAAGCUGGAGUUUGACGUUUCAUUUCGUUCAGACCAUGGAAUAGUUGCUGCGAUUAAACUUAUGUCUCUAAGAAAAUAAAGAAGGAAACAUCACUUUUUGUCUCUGUGCUCUUUGAUUUCUGCAUUUUCUAAUCCAUGUUAUAGAACUGACUGUUGAUGAUACCAAACAUUUUGUUAAAAGAAAACCAAAGUAUUCAAUUCCCAUACAUUUAACUCUUCCUGGUUAAAAUGUAACUUCCUCUAUUGAUGUCCAUAAAUUUCCUCGAAAAAGCUUGCGAAUUGCAAAAGUUUCCACCAGUCGUCUUAAAAUGGCACUCUAAACCGUCUGCUAUGAUACUUUUGAUAAGCACAGUUAUACUGCCAGGAAGGGCAAGUAGGUAUGCAUCAUGGACCAUGAAAAUGCCAAUUUCCAGAAAUCAAUUACAGCUUUGACGAGUUGCAAACUUCUUGGACUAUGAAAAUGCCAGUUUCUAGCAAUGAAAUGAUAGCUUUCACGAUCUGCAACUUCUUAUUGAUUAAUGAAUACUGAAAAGUACGUAUCAGCCCAAUCUUGCCUCUCUUCGUAGUACCUGGAAAAGAUUUAACAGUCAACCAUAAGUGACAGAACUUUAACAGCGCUAGCCAUAUAACAAACAGUGGACAAAACUUUAACAAAGCUAGUCAUUUUCUUUUCUUUAGCAUGUGAUAUUUCUUCAUGUUUUGCACUUUUGUUUAAGCUUGACAGUGAAAACAUUUUUCAACCUAGAAGAUUCUGCAAGGCAAAACUUUCUUCAUUUUAGUUUCUUCAUUUCAGCAAAAUUAACUUUUUGUUUGGACUGCCAUUUUAAGAGUUUUUCACUGUUAUUUCAUUAAUCUGAAUGUAAGCUUGAGAAUUGAGAUAGGAACAAGUUAAACAAAUGUUAAAACUGGCUUGAAGUGGGCAUUAUUUCUUGGAAUCUGUUUUAUUACUUUUGUACCUUAUUUUUAGAAAUGUCAUUCUAAAUAUCUAUUUUGGCUAAUCAGAAUCUGUAUUGGUUAUUAAAUGUGUUUUGAUUAAGGAAUGUACAGCUCUCCAUUCAACUCAUUUCAAGGUUCAUCAUCAAGUCCUGUGAUGGAGCAAAAUAAUGAAGUGUGAACAAUUGAACUACAACGAAAAAAGAGCUGAUGAGAUGAGUGAAAAAGAGAUAGAAAUGAUAAAAGAUGAGGGCAAUGAAGAACGACAGCAAGAGAUGGAGAUGAAGGAGCUGGUCCUUUUGAGAAAAAACAAAGGAAGAAGAAAUCUAGCAUAUGGGAUGAAAUGACAACAAUAGUGCUAGAUAAUGGGACGGUCAAAGUGAAAUGUAACAAUUGCAAGGAACUUUUUGUCAAGAGUGCAACCGAAGCCAUAUCUCAGCACAAGAGACACUUGAAUUCUUGCCUACAAAGAAAGAUAGCCAUUGGAAAGCAAAGCAAACAAAAGCAACAAGUGUUGUCAUUCAUCGAAGGCCAAAGUAAUGGUAUCACUUCCAUCACAAAUUUCUUGUAUGAUCAUGCCAAGGUAAGAGAGCUUGCAUCACACAUGAGUACCCCUUUUCUAUAAUAGAUCAUGUAGUUUUCAACAAAUUCAUGAAAGCGGCUUCUCCAUUUUAUAAUUGUUAAGAAAGAUUGCAUUAGUACUUAUAAAUUGAAAAAAGGAACCUGAAAUCAUUGUUGAAAGGUGCUGGUAGGAUUAGUAUUACCACAGAUUUGUGGACAUCUGGUCAAAAAAAUUCAAUAUAUGGUUGUGACUGGUCAUUUUGUUGAUUUUGAUUGGGUGCUACAAAAACGUGUUGAAUUUUUUAAUGUUCCUCCUCCUCAUGCUGGAGUUAUUAUAGCUGAUACUCUAAGUAAGUGCUUUAUUGAUUGAGGGAUUGAGAAUAAGGUUUCUAACAUAACUGUUGAUAAUGCUUCAUACAAUGAUGUGUGCAUUAGGAGACUUAGAGAGGAUUUUUCUCUAAAAAAGAGAUUAAGUAUUGGAGGAAAAAUUUUCAUGUUAGAUGUUGUGCACAUAUACUUAAUCUCUUAGUGCAAGAUGGUCUUGGUCAACUUGGUGGUGUGAUUGAUGUUGUUAGAGAAGGGAUAAAGUACUUGAACAAUUCUGAAUCUAGGCUUCUUGAAUUUGCCAAAAUUAAAAAACAGCUUCAAUUGCCCUCUAGAAAGCUAAUUUUGGACUGUCCAACAAGAUGGAAUAGCACCUAUUUGAUGUUAGCUUCAGGUUUAGAGUUCAAGGAUGUUUUUUCAGAUAUGCAGACAUUGACCCUGGAUUUCACUAUGUUUUUACUGAUUUUGAGUGGAUGAAAGUGAAAGAAGUGUGCAAAUUUCUAGGAAUAUUUUAUGAAAUCACUGAUAUGAUUUCCGGGUCCGAGUAUCCAACGGCUAACAUUUUCUUGUGGAGCUCUAUAGGAUUAAAGAGCUUUUAAAUGAAAAAGCUCUUGACCCUUUUUAGCAUCUUCGGGUUAUGGCUGGAAGUAUGUCUGCUAAAUUUGAUAAGUAUUGGGGGAAAGUAAUGUACUGCUAUCUUUGGGUGCAAUUUUGGAUCCGAGAUACAAAAUAUUUCUUAUUAAUCAUACUUUUCCGGUGAUUUAUGGUGAGGAUGCAGCUCCUAGAUUCGUGGCUGAAAUUAGAGACACUCUUUAUGAGCUUUACAAUGAAUAUGUUGAUUGUCACAUAGUUUCCCAUUCUGAACAAUAACAGAGGCAGGUUGUAAAAGGGAGACAAAAUGAAGGUUCUAGUUCUUCUAGUAAGAAACAGAAAAUGACUGGACCUGCCGUUUUAACUAGUAAAGAAAAGUUGCACAUGCAUGUGAGUGAAAUUAACAGGGCUCCACCACAAAAAUCAGAUUUAGAUGUUUAUUUAGAGGAAAGUAGGUAUUGUGACGCCCCCACUUCUCCUUAAGGUGAACCAAAGAGUAUCCACGGGACGCCUGCCCAACUCUUACCAGGACUGGUACAAUUCCCGUUCAACCUUAUUACAAUACUAGCUAUCACGACAAGAUGAAGUAAAAAAGAUAAAGUCGCUUCUAUAAAUAAUAUUCAAACUUACACCACGAGUUCCAAAAUACAUCAAAUUUCCAAAAUAUACAACUGCCAAAAGUCUAGUCGAUUACAUUUGGAACCCUAAUACAAAAGUACAACAAAAGGAUUUCUCCGAGUUUCACUCCAUAUCUAUGCCUGUUAAGGAAAAUAAAUCUACGGGGUGAUCAAUUGCUCGUGAGGCCAAAAAACACACAUACAAGCACGUUGUCCAAUUAACAAGAAAACGAUAAUAUUCGAGUAAUUAACAAUUCAAGCGGAAUGUAAACAGAAACAAUUCAAGGAUAUGGGAGCUCUCAGGAGCUAUUGUCCACUGGCACGAUCAAGAACCUCCACGAGUUGACACUCCGUCAAUCGGGUAGGUCAUAUCCGUAGAAGCUUCACUUACGCGUUCCUCGUCCACCAUACAUACCGCACCGGGCCCGAACAUCAUUUAUAAGGUGAUACUCCACGAGUAUGUCAAGCGAGAUCUUUCAAAUAGAUCAAACUUAUCAUGUUAUUCUCAUGACUCAUCGAGAUUCCCGACCAAACCCAUGCCGGCUCGAGUUCCAAGGUCGACCUAUGAGUUUGGGCCCCCAUGUAACAUUUGUGAGUGGAAGAGAUUCACUCCAACGAUGUAUGCAGCCAUAGCAUACUAUUUCAUGUCAUUCAAGCAUUCGAUACAUUCAAUCAUUCAUUUCAUCUCAUUCAAGUCAUUCAUGAUCCAUUCAUUUCAUUUCAAUUAAUUCAAUCAUGAGUCAUUCAUUUCAAAUGAGAACGAGUGCGGUAAAAUACACACUCGACUCCAUUUUCAAAAUCUCCAAUCAUUAAUAACAGUUAAGCAUGUAUCAAGUUCCCAUACACUUGACACUCACCAAGUAAUUCAAGAAGUAAAGCACAAGCGGUUGUUUAGGCGUCUCCUGUGAGAUCCUCUUGAAGGUCCUCUUGAGUGCCUGAGUAAUAAUAAUGAACUAUUACACACUAUCGUUUAAAACCCCUACUUAUCGAGAAAGAUUGCACUCGUGUACAAUUUAAGAAGAUAUUAUGAGAAUGAGCCUUAAUUACUCGUAAAUCGAGACUCAAAAGUGGGGUUUUAAUAAUACAAGGAAAUUCGAUUUUCAUCUUUGAAAUCAAAUGUAAAACGAUCAAGCAAUAUCGAGGAAAAAUGGUGAGUACUAAAAACUCAAUUUUCUUUAAGUUCGGAAAUUUCAGAUUUGAUAAGCAAUUUUUGAAAAACCGUAUCUCAUUCUCUGUAGGUCCAAAAUUAGAAAAAUUGGUACCGUUGGAAACUACUUCCAAAGUACUAAAAGUUCUUAGAAGACAUUUUUCCAUGAUUCCAAAUAGAUGACAUUCAAAAUUCGGUUCAAAGUUGCUGUUUUGGGCUACCAAGACAAUUUCGGGGUUGGUUUUUGGCCAACUUUGGAAAUUCGGCAAAAUUCACAAAAUGUGAACUAGCCUCUGCAAUUUGGAAUCAAUUAUAGUUACAAACAAAGUUUAAAACACAACAAACAGAACAAGAAUGGAGUUUUGAGUGCCAAGAUAUAGCAGCUCAAAUUUGCUGAAAUUUUCUCACUGAAUAAGGAUUUUCCAGAUUUGAAACAUGAAAUUUGGGAUUUCAGUUGAGCAUCGAAAUGGACUUGGAAUGGCACCAAAUUUGGUAGUAUUACCCUACCAUAGAAGGGCUAUUCCUCUGUCAAAUUUCAUGCAAAAAUUCAUAUGGAAGGUCAGUUAACAAAGCCGCUAAAGUUCCAAGAAUUUCCAAGGCAAAUCUGCCUUGUACUUCCGUUUUACUUUUUCAAGCAUUUGGCCAAUGAAAUCUUCUCAAACAUGGUUCAUUUAUGAAGACAAGAUCUAAGAAACAUCCAAAAUGUGUUUGGUAGGUGAUUAAUACCAAGAGUUCCAAAAUAACGACUCCCAAUUCGAGUUAAGGCAUUCAACUAGCCAAGAUUAGGGUUUCCUUUCACUGACACAGGUCUGGAAUUUGGCCACAACUCACUCAAUUCAACUUGGAAUUAGACAUGAUCAGUGGCGUUGGAAACUAAAUUCAUAGGGCUAUAAUUUCUCAGAAAAAAUCAUUUUGAAAUUCUGUCCAUAACUAGUUCAUAUUCUAGCAACAAGUUGCAGCACACAACAGGUUUUCUAACACAGACGAGAAACAGGGCAGGUGACUUUGAAAGGCUGGUACGGUUCACUCAAGUGGAAUCAGGGGAUGCAUUUUAUACUGUUAGAAAACUGGAAGUAUCUAGUUUCUAAUUCCUCAAAUGGCACUCGAUUUUGAUGUCGGAGAAAGAGUUAUUGUCGUUUGAAAUUCGCUGCCAGAGCAACUCUGGACAUGUUUUCCAACCAUGAAGAAAUUUCGAAAUCCAAACAUUUACCCAACCAAAUCAAGUGAUUUUUGGUGGAAACUUUUCACACAACCUAUAAAACAUAUAUACACCGAAAUCAAGUCAAUUAGAUCACAAAAAAUUGCACCAAGAGGUGCGGCAAUGACAGGGCAGAUCUGGCCCUUCUUCCAUUUCAACUUCCUUUGAGUUUCUUUCCACUCUUUCAACUUAAAUCCACUAGAUUAACACUUAAUCAACAUAAAUAACACUCAAAAUCAUCAAAUCAGAUGAUCAAGUCCAUUGUGGGAUUUCAUAGAGUCUACUCACAUGAUUUUCAACAAUCCAAAGCUACCCACAUGAAGCUACAAGCUUCUAAGUGAAAUCUAACUUACAAAAGCUAAGAUUUAAAGGGUGGAUGAUCAUUACCUCUUAGAUGUUGCUAGAGCAGAAAUUUCGGUCCUUAGAGCUCCAAGAAAACCGUGAGAAUGAAGCUCUUCUCCUAGCUGAAGAUGAUCUCCAAGUUAUUUGCAAGGUGUGGUAUGAAUUUGAGAGGAUUUGGUGCAAGAUUGAGAGACGAAAUGGUGAAGAAACUUGGUCUUCUUCUCCUUGUUGUUGCACGGCUGCUUGAGGGAGAGAAAGAGAGAGUUGUGGCUGAUGGAAAGCUUCUCUUGGAAGCUUAAGAGUUUGUGGCCAAAAUUACUCCAAAAGUCAACUAAGAAUAGUGCAUGUACACGCGCGUUUCGUGCUCGUUUCCUCUUGGAUUUGUUUCACUUGUGCACUAAACCUCUAAUGCACUUCCAUUCAUACUAUUAUUAUUCACUUUUAAUAGUCUAAAAAUAAAGGUCUAAAGUCCCUCAAUUAAUCGCGCGCGCGAAAACACGUACUUCCGUUUUGUGCGCGAUAGAGUAAAAUUUCUAAGAAAUUCUUACAAUGAUAUUAUAACUGACUAGUACUUGAGUACUUAAACAUAAAAAUACCUAUUUUGAAACUAAUGUAUGAGUCUUCAAUCUCCAAACUCACUGUACCCUCAAAUCGAUUAUUGUCUCCAAACGCACAUUCACUAUUCUCACUAAACGAGUUUCUAAAAAUUAAAUUUUUGCAACAAGUCAUUUUAAAUAUAUAUAUAAGUCAUAAUUCCAUGUAAUUGAGUCUAAAAAGGUUGGAAUAAAAUAUUCGGAGCAAACAGACAAUUAAAUAUUUAAAUAAGCUAGUAAUAGAAAUUUAAAAUAAGUAAAUUUGCGGGUCCUUACAGGUAUGCUUGUGAUGCAAAUGCAAAUUUGGAUGUUUUGGGUUGGUAGAAAUAGGAAAGAUUGAGAUUUCCUAUCUUGUCGAGGAUGGCUGCCGAUAUACUCUCCGUUCCUGUUACAACUGUGGCUUCAGAAUCUACCUUCAGCGCCGGAGGUAGAGUAAUUGAUGAUCGACGAGCUUCUAUGUCAAUUGAGACGGUGCAAAUAUUGCUUUGCGGCAACGAUUGGAUCCGCAGUCUUCAUGGCCUAAAGAAUAAGUCUCGCGUUAAGUAAUUGAUUAGAUGUUUUUGUUGUUGUUACAGUUUCUUUAUAUCUGAUUUUAAAGAAUUUUAUAACUUUCAUACUUUUGUUUUGUAGGAAUCACUUGAUGCGACCGAAUCAAUCACAUUUGAGGAAGUUAAACUUCCCGAAUCAUUCACAACCUGAUUUGGUGGCUGUUGAUGUUGCUUGGUGCAAACUGAUUCAUUCACAUGUUGAUUUCGUUGAAGACCUAAAGAAUAAGUCUCGCGUUAAGUAAUUGAUUAGAUGUUUUUGUUGUUGUUACAGUUUCUUUAUUUUAAAGAAUUUUAUAACUUUCAUACUUUUGUUUUGUAGGAAUCACUUGAUGCGACCGAAUCAAUCACAUUUGAGGAAGUUAAACUUUCCGAAUCAUUCACAACCUGAUUUGGUGGCUGUUGAUGUUGCUUGGUGCAAACUGAUUCAUUCACAUGUUGAUUUCGUUCAAAAGCUGCAUCGUUCACAAGUGUUUUCACCCAAGAAAGUUAUUUUUAACUCUUGGUCUAGAGUGUGGACAUUUUAGAAACUGCUUAAAACGUAUUGAUGGCUGAUCUUUAAUUGUUUGGACUCUUUUAUGUAAUUUUUCAUUUUGUAAUCUGAUCUGGUCUGCUGCCGAGUUUGGACAUUUUAUUCCUCCAUUUGAUAGUUUGAGCUGCAAUUUUAACUUCUUUUUUGCUACUCGUGCUUAUGAUGCUUCUGUUUUGCGUUGUCGAAUUGAGUGGAUGAUAUAUUAGGGAAUGUGUUGUUCUUUUUUGUCAAACUAAAUAUGAGUGUAGAAGAAGCUGAUAUGCUAUCUUACGUAAACGACUUAUGAAGCUCGAAUUACUAAUCGAGCGAGCUCGAACUGCUCGAUUAGAUGUUCGAGUCGAGCUCGAUUGUCGUGUGCUCGAGCUCGACUCGGCUAGUUUAACAGCAAGGUAACAUGCAUCAAAGCAGGCUUAUUCUCUUAGUACUUUUUUUUUUCUUUUUAUAAAACACAGGUGCAUUAACGCACGACAGAAGCACCCUAUCAAUCUAAGAUCCCAGCUUGCUUGUAGCUUUCGAUAGAGUCAACAAGAGUUUCUUCCACUGGCCUAUACCUCCAGCCCAGCCUCUCCAAUUUUUCUGAGCUAAUAUUCCAUCGGCUUUGAUCCUUCACCUCUAUAAGUCUGCGAAGAAAUGAGUUAUAUCAAAAAAUAUGCAGACAACAUAAAUGGUUCUUGUAGAGACUCGUAGAUGCCACACUUUUGGAAAUGGAAAUCAUGACGGACAUGAACAAACAAGAAAAUCAGGACAAACGGGGUGUCUGAAAAAUGAGACAAUUAAUUUCAAAGAUGGUAAUCCACCUCUUAGGGUACUUGUAGUUGGCAUAGUUUUUCCUCAGAGUUUCCACCAUAUCUUUUGUCGUGGUGACGUGAGGUGAACAUAUGUACCGGCCUUCAGCUUCAGGUCUCCCGUAAACCAAAAGCAGUGCCUCGGCCACAUCACGCACAUCUACUGUGUUGUAGAAUUUGUUUUCUGUUUCUUCACAUCCGUCUGUGCAGCCAAGGAGUGAAACAAAAGAGCAGUUUAAUCUCAAAAAAGGAGAUGUUAUCUGUGCUAAUCUCUGAGUUCUUUACUGCAUAUAUGAAACCUACAAUCCCUUUGACAAAUAGUACAGCAAUAAAUUCAUGGGACUUUUGAAUUGCAAAGGACCUACAGGUCACAAUGUUAACCUUUUAUAUCUUCAACAAUGCUCCAAAGCAAAUCAAGCAAACAGUUGAAAGAUGCAACCUCUUCAGAUGUUAUGCCUAUUGUCUGUCUCAUCUUCCAUUAGGUCAAACUCACACAAUUUUCACAUCAAUAAAAUUUGAAUCGCUUGUGCAUGUGUCUGGAAAGAUUACAUUAGCACAAUUUAGUAUUUUUGGCAGCACUGCUCGUUUAAAUUUCCCUGCCAUCAAGCAGAAAAUUUAAUUCCAUUCCAACAGUAAAAGCCAAACACCACAAUCUUAGUUUUUUUUAGAUAACUUUGCAAGUUUUUAGAGCAUUGCCAAAAUCAUAAAACUAUCAGAAUGGCAGAUAGCUUACAGGUUUAGAAUCUGAAAACCUCAGCUGGCUUGAAGAUUAAAUAAAAAUGCCAAAAGACGGCAAAGCAGUUAUCUCCAUGAAUGUAGUUUCAUUCCUAGAAGGUCAACCGCAACCAGAUAGACGGAUUUUGUGAAAUUUUAUUGGCAUCAAUUCAUUGUGUAUCAUGUAAAUAACACUGGAAGCCAGAAGCAUAAAAAUGAUGGGUUACUUGGAAAAUUAGCUGAUCAACCACAUGAAGAAAUUCAAUUGUUUGACCUUUCAAGUACAAAAAAAGGAAAAAAUUGCUAAGCUUUAGAGGUCAUCUGAGUUCUAGAGUGACAUCCAUGCUCACUUAGGCACAAACCAAUAUCAAGGAGAAAACUGUAUCAUUUACGACCACUUCCAUGCAGAAGGUGAAAGAAAGAAAAAUAAAAUAUAACAUAACGGAAUAAGUUCUCCAAUUGACUACAAAGCACUAAUAAAUCACCUUUCAACAGCUUUAUAAGAGCCAGACUGCUAGCAUUCACAUCAUGCUGAAGCAUGGGGCCGAGAACAAAGGAUGGGCAUACAGUUAAAACAUCAAGGCCAGUUUCUUUUGCAUAUUGUAAUGCCUCACUUUCAGCAACCGUCUUGGAGUAACAAUACCAGUUCUGGAGCAAUAUUAGUACUAGAUGGUCAGCCAGAAACAGAUAGUAGUUGCAAAAAUCUGAUUUCUCAGCAAUCUUAGAAACAGUAUGAAUAAGACAGUGAAUUUUCUGCACAAUUACAACACCAAGGUGCAACUGCAAAAAGUCAAAUUAUGUUGAUGCAUACAUUUGUUGCCUUGCAGUAUUCGCCGUCUGACCAACACUUCUCAUCUAUGAUUUCACCUUCAGGCAGAUUAGGACUCAUUACAACAGCUGCAGUAGAGGAAACAACUACAACGCGCUUGACAUUUGCUUCAGAACAAGCCUUCAGUACAUUAAGGGUACCCUUUACAGCUGGCUCAACAAGUUCAACCUGCAACAAAUCAUCAUGUUGGCAGAGGUACUAGCACUCAACUCUUCAUGCUGAACUGCUUGUUUUUGCGUAAAAUAUAUCCAGAUAGACAGCUAAGUAGUGUCAGUUAACCUGACAUCUUUAGAGUGAAUGAGUACAUAGUUAAAAGACUCAUGACUGCUUAUGCCUGUGAUUUAACUUGGUUACCAGCAUAGGUUAUUAUUAUAUGCAUUUAUUCACUCAUUUCAACAUUUGAAAAAUCCUUCCACGAAAUGAUAGAAAGACAAAGAGCCCCAGUGACUUCAUAAGUUUGUACAAACGCUUUAACAAGGUUCUAUUUUAAACGAUACCCAACUUUAGCUCAUGUUUGGCAAAACGCAAUAAAAUAUUAUCUGUUAUGACAAAAGCUGUCUCAUAAACAAAAGAUAUGUUAAAAAUGUUAUUCUGGGGAAACCAAAAGGAAGAAAUAUCAUAGCAAUUGAAACGAUUGAAAAUGGUCUUGCCUCAGGAUUGGGAACAGAGCCUGAAGGAACAGGACUAGCUACAUGAAAUACGCCAUCACAACCCCUGAUGGCUGCAGAAAUGGAGUUGUAAUCCAGCAAAUCAGCCUUAAAGAGUUUCAAAUUCUCAGCUGCUUUGUCAAGUUUCUUCAGAUGAACAUAUUUCUCAUCGUCUACAAAACAUACACAGCAAUGCCCACAUCAUCAAGUAACGAAGCACACAAUUCACAGCAGGUGCUUUUAUAUAUUUCUUCAAUUAAACAUAUUUCUCACCCUUCACAAAACAUUUACAGCAAUUCCCACUACAUCAAAUAGGAAACAGCCAAUUGACAGCAGGCAAAAAAUCAAUUGCGGUAUUAAAGGGAAUGAAACAAUCAUACAAUACCCAAAACAAAAACAAAAAAAAAACGAGUAGUAAAUCAGGAAGGAAGGGUUAUGAGGAUGAAAUACGUACUGGGAUUUCUGAGGGUGGCAUGAACAGUAUAAUGGCGGGAAAGGAGUAGCUUGACUACCCAAGAUGCCAGGUAUCCCCCUGCUCCUGUAACACACACUGUCCUGUCCUUCUUAGCCUCCCACGCUGCCAUGUCUGAUUGCUUACCAGUAGCAGUAGCGGGAUUAGUAUUUUAGCACCAAAUUCACUAUAGACUGAUCAAGAAGGUGGGUGAAGUUCUAUUCUUUUCUUUUUUAUGAAUAUUAAUUCUUUUUUGGUUGGACAAGGCAGAGAUUUCGUCGAUUCUUAAAGAGGAGGACUGAAGAAGAGGGCGGUUGGAAGAGGAGGAGGAGGCGGAGGUGGUGGUGUUGGAAUUUUGAAUAGACGAGUCCUGUAUGUAUGAGCUAGCUGAUUCCAGCAGCCUCUGUCAAUACUAGGAGUAAUCAGCAGCUGGCAGGCUUGGGGCUUAUAUAUAGCAGCAGACCAAUGGUCCUGUUGCGAUUUGCACGGCUCAUGGAAGACGUAUGGUUUCAACGCAGGGUUGGGCUGGGUGGGUGGGGAAACGGUACUAAUGAUAAAUGUAUGUAUAAUGAAAUUUGAGAUAUUCUAGCAAUCUGUUAGUAAAAUUUAUUUUAUAAAAAAAAAAGGAGUAAAGGAGCAUAAUAUUAUUAAGUUAUAGUAAAACUUGAUGCACAUAUCAAUAAAACAAGAUAUUCUGUGCAUUUGAAUACAAUAGUAUAAUAUGAUUUUACCAUUGUCGGAUGUUUAACAAAUUUAUUUAUUAAUGGAUAUUAAAGUGUUACAUUUUAUCUCAUAUUUUCCCAAUUUAUGACUCAGAUUUUAAAUUGAUUAACUCAUUAGAGAAUAAAAAACUCAUCCCGUUGCUAAAUUGGACAAGUGACAAAAACUCAUGUCCAUAAUGGGAUUUUGCUUCUGACUCAAAUCCUAUAAUGCGAACCAAACCCCAAAUCACUCCAUUAUAACGGAAACACAAACUAAACUAUUUAAUAUUCAAAUCAAGUUCCGCUCAAUAACAGUUUGUUCGAAUUUGAUUCGCAAACUAAUCUAAUCAAGUUAGAAUAACAUUUUAUUCAAAUCAAGUUCCGCUCAAUAACAGUUUGUUCGAAUUUGAUUCGCAAACUAAUCUAAUCAAGUUAGAAUAACAUUUUAUGUUUGAAAAAAUUUUAACUGCAGCUCAAGCUUAGCUCAAUAAUCAUAAAAUUGGAUUUUAUAGAUAAAAAUUACUCGAACUCGACUCAAUAAAAAUUCUUUUGAACGUGACUUAGUAAAUAAAAAAGCCAAUCUUGAAUACUAUUUCAAAAUUCUUUAAAAUAAAUAACAAGAUACUUGGUUUGAUUAGACACAUUCACACCCCUGUUUUUCAUAUGCUCGAUAACAUAUAUUUUUGCCAUUGAAUUUUGGGACAUGUUUAUCAUUUUUUAAAAUCUUUUUUUUUAUUUCUGGCUUUUAUAGGAAAAAAAAAACUAAAGGAUGUGUUCGGAUAGGAGACCGAUAAACUUUUCUCUCCCCCUCGCGCCUAAUUGCAGGUUAAAAGCAGUGUUUUGAAAACCGGACCGGACGGCCGGUUCGACCGGUUGGACCGCGAACCGGCCAUGAUUCCGGUCCGAUUCUAUGCUAUAGUUGACCAGGUUAGAAAAAGCCGGUUAAACCGUGAAAACCGCCGGACCGGAUUGAACCGGCGGUUUUCGGUUUUCGAGAUUUCCCUUUUUUUUUUUUUUUUUUUUUUUUUUACGUUUUGCAAAAUGCAGCUAUCAAGAUUCGAACUCAAGACUUUUGUAAUAGAAGACCAAUGUAGUAACCAUAGUAACCAUUGCACCAUCACAUCUUAUUAGUUUUUUUUGAUAACUUGUUUAUAUAAAACAAAAACUCAUAUUUCUUUUUGUCAUUUUUUUUACAAAAUCUAAUCCUCUCAUAGCUCUUUCUUUUUAAUCUUCAACACACACACACACACACUCUCUCCUCUUUUUUUUGUCACUCUCUUUUUAAUCAAACCACUUUAUUUUUAAUUUAUUGAUGUUUUCUUCCAUCUUUUAAUUUUAUUUUUGUCCAUUAAAUUAAAAAAGGUUAAAAAAGAAUUAUUUUUCUUUAACCCAAAUUAUUUAAUGCCACAACCACUCACUUUUAUCUCAUUUUUUAUUUCUUAUCAAGUUUGCAUUUCUAUUUUCGAUUCUCUUGACUUCUUUCGAGCUCCAAAAUUCCUUUUUUAAAUUGCAAUUUCUAAUCCCAAAACGUAAAUUAAAAUUUAAGUUCACAAAAUCUAAAUUCUCAUAGACAUGAAUUUUGUAUAAUUUUAAAAUAUUAUGAUAUUUUUGGGUUAGAUCUAAGAUUUUUUUGGUAGAUAUAAUUGAAAUUGAAAUGAAAUUUAUUUGUUUUAACUUAUAAUUUAAAAUUUUUAUUUUUAAAAAAUCAAGUUAUUCAAAAAUAGUAAACUUUUCAUCAUAUAAUGUAUUAAAUUAGUCCAUUACAUGUCUUAUUUUGUGCAUAAAUAUUUACAUAAAUUAUUUUUAAAAAAAUUCAUUGAACCGAGGUUGAACCGGUCCGACCGGUUAAAUCUCGACCUUUCACGUCACCGGUUCAAUUAACGGUCGAUUUUUAAAACAUUGGUUAAAAGGAAUAUCCAGUUCUUAGAUAACUUUUCUAGCACAACUCUAGUUGUCAGAAAACUGGUCUACUUUGACUGUGGGUUUUCCUUUAGUCAGGCCAUUUUGUCAUUAGUGAUGAUUGCUUCUUCUAAACCUUAGCUAACUGCACACGCCAUGCGCAUGAAACUUCUUCUAAACCUUAGCUAACUGCACACGCCAUGCGCAUGAAAAUCCAAACUUCAAAUAAAAUAAUUUGAACUCGUCAACUUGCAAAAUAAGAUAAUUUGGGUUUCGUCUGAUAUGAGUAGUAAGGGAAAAUUUAAUUACUAUAUUUAUGAUUCUUGACUAAUGUGAUUGCUCAUCUAUCACCACGCAUCAGUUUAAUACCUUAUCUUCAUUUAAAUGUGACGAUUGUAGAAUUGAUGGCUGAAACUGAAAGGAAACUGAAAAAGAAAUGUCAUGUGAGUGCAUAUGCAUGGUUAAAACAAUACUCCCACAAAUUAUAACCAAUUCGAUCCCUUGUUUUUAAGGUUUUGAUCGUUUUGGUUCCUUGGUAUCAUGACAAGCCAAUUUUGCCUCUUAAAUUUAAAAAUAUGGUUAAGGAGAUCCUUUUGAUGGAAAUUUGAGUUGCUAAUGAAGUGAAGAGACCAUUUAGUGCCUUUCGUGUCACAUCCGUCUCAACACUAUAUUAAAGUUUCAAAAAAUCUCAAAUAAGUCAUAAAACUCAUAAAACAAACCCCAAAACUCUUUAUCGUGAAGAAAAUAAAUUUUUAUAACUUUAAAAUAAAUCAAACACAAAACCUUAAACAUAAUUAUGGAAUUUGUGCCAUUUUCGAGUUGAAAUAUCAUGAAAAGGAGUACCAAAAGGUGAAAGAAAAAUGCAUAAACUUAUGUUUGACAUAGUAUUAAAAACUUUUAUUUCAUUAUAUUGAAGAGUUUUGGGUGAGUUUAGGCUUUUAGGAUUUUAUUUGAAUGCUUGGUGUUUUCUGCGAGAUGGCACGAAGUACCCUCUAAGGUCUCUUAACUCCAUUAACAACUCUAAAUUAGCCUUGACCAAAUUCUUCAAAUUUAAGAAAAAUUGGUUCGCCAUAAUACAAAGGGACUAUUUUGUUAAUACAUUGGAGAUAAGAAACCAGAUUAAUUAAUUUUUGUUGUUUGCGUAACUCAAGGGAUUUCUCCGUUAGCUUCCCACAAUUUUGCUACAUUAGUCUCUUUUGAUGGAGAUAGAGCACCAACUCACAGUUGUAUUAGAACUUCACUUACGCUAUAAUCGUUAGGAUUUUCUUAUAUUCAUCCGACUACUCAAUAAGUAUCCUAUUUUAUAAUAACUAUCCUACACCUCUUCAAAGCCUGAUAAGAUGAAGAAAAUCUCUUUACUAGCAUCUUAAUGCCUUAUAUCCAGUAUUGAGGGAAAAAAUUUAAUCACAUUACAGUCUGAGAAUUUGAAUCCAGCAAUUUCACGGUCUGAUGUAGUCACCCCAAGUAGGUUCUCCAGUAAAACAGGGUAGUGAGGCAAAAUGUACAUCAAAUAGGUCAAUUGUCGAGCCCCUCGGGGUUCGGUUCCGUGGUUGUAGCCCCAGUUGGGGGAGAGCCACGUCCAGGGAUCGAGUCCCCGUUCUACCGUGGCUGGUGAUGCUUGAGGCGGGCCGCUCCCAGCCCGCAGUGGAUUAGUUGGGCCGUACGGUAACCAGUCAUGGGUCCAGAUACCCACUGUGAUGAAAAAAAAAAAAUAGGCCAAUUGUCGAUCUUUGAUUAUGUCUACACUUUCAAAAGAUAGGCUUAAUCAUAUUAGUGGAAAUAACUCAUAGUUCAUCAUAUAUUAAUUUGCUAUUCAAUUUAGUUUGAAUACAUGAUCAAUGUUAUUGUAUGCCAAAAAAGAUUGAGGAUACUUUUGACCUAGUUCUUUGCACUAACUUGAAAUCUUCCAAUUGUUCUUUCUUUGAUGCACUUGCAAAAUCUCCUGCAAAAGUAAAAUAACUCAGUUGGUGAAUUUUGGCUAACUGAGAGGCCCAUCUUCUUUUUACUUCUUUAGCACAAGCGAAGAAUGAAUUUAUGCAUAAUAACCGUGUGAUUCUAAUGAGAUAUGAUUUUUUUGGUUUUGCAUGCUGGUUAAACAAUUGUUCAAGCUCUUAUCUUGGUUUUUGAUACUUCACCGGUAUGUGGAUGUUGCUGCUAAAGAAAUUUACAUUUGUCAUUAGAAGAAUUUUCUAUUUUAUGACUGGCAAGUGAUUUGGUAUCUUAGCAGUUCAUCGAUUUUGGUGCUUUGUUUACAAUUUAAUUGGCUUCAAUGGUCCAUACAUAUAGGAACUUGGAAUUUACCCUUUUAUUUCCUUUUGCAUGAGCAAAGAUUAGUAAUUUUUAAUCAUAAUUUUCGAUUCCUCUAUUCUGGCCAUAGUGAAGAAAUCUACCUUUUUGUACUUGUGUAUAUGCACACCAAACAUCAUUGGGCUGUCUACUUUUGACAUUAUUCUUGAAUUACUCAGUUUAGAAUGUGUAUUAGCUGCUAGCUGCAUCAUCGUUGGCAAUUACUAAACAGAAAAUAUGCAUGCCAUUACUAUUUUCACUGAAAUUAGCAUCUAACUUAUAAUGAUCUAAUUAAAGGUUAACCACAUUGGUUUUGACUAGAACUAAGAGAUCACUAGCCCUCUUAUUUUUGGAUUUGCAUUAAUCCAGUAUCAUCAAACUUCUUCAAAUGGGCUCUUUAGCUACUAACCCCUUCAAAAAUAAUUUAGGCUUACGGUUCUGUUGAUGUCGCAAUUGCAGGAGGUUCAGAAGAUAACGAAAGGCUCAUCUAAGAUUUCUUAAGGUGUUUGGCUUAUAUUGCUAGAUUUACUUAAUCUAUUUUCAUUCUUCUCCGAUGUCAUUAUUGUUAAAGUUCAAUUCAUAAGUUGGUUGUGUUAGAAAAUUGGCUUAAUUUCUUUUUAGAUAGGUUUUUGUUUUGUGCAAAAGUAACUAGUUUCCUAAUUGGUUUUAGUUACUCGGAAUAGUAGCCAAGAAAUUUCUUAUUUUGUUUAGAAUUAGAAGUUAUUUCUUAUUUUCUACAAGUCUAGGAAUUAGAAUUAAUUUCCUGUUGUUAUUUGGAUUUUUUGACCAAAUAAUAUUUUUAUAAAUAGGUGGGUUGGCAUACUAUAAAAGAGACACAUAAGGGCACACAAGGACGACAUGUAACCUUAUACAUGGGUGGUGAGAGAGAGUUCUUAGGAGAUGAGAAAUGGUAUACAAAGGUUGGACUUGAGUUCGAGUUGUAUUCUUGUAUAAGGUUUUUCUCUCAUAAUAAAUAACAAGUUUCUCUCCGUGGACGUAGGUUCAAUGGAGUCAAACUACGUUAAAUAUUGUGUGUUGUUUAUCUUUUAUACUUGUGGCUUGUUUCUCAUUAAAUUAUUGUGUACUUGAUAUCUUAAUAGUUAUUUAUUCUGCAUUUAGUUCCUAACAAAUGGUAUCAGAACUUGAUUGCGAGAUUGGGCUGCUCACAAGCACUUGGAUCCCAACAAACUGAAUAGUUGGAUCAAGAGUUUGGUUGUUCAAGGAUGGAUCCUAGUUAGCUAUUGAGAUCAAGUAGGUUGGUGACUGUUACCAAUUGAACAAUUUAAUGGGCGGUAUCCUUUUUCAAGAGUUUGGCAAAAAAGCAUUGACGGUGAAUGAUGAAAAGUCGAAAAGCAUGGAGAUACUUGACGGUGAAUCUAGGCAGAUGAUUCAAGAGUCAAGGAAAAGGUGGAAUCCAAUAUCGAUUUUGGACGUGAAUCGGUGGAGACUUUCUCACAACUUCAACGGUUGAUACUUCAUCUCGGUGAUUUUUAGAUUUCGCUUAUGUUUUUUGAGUGGUACGGCACCUGACCCAAAAAAAUAAAGAGAUUUAAUUUCUAUGCGCUAGAAGACUCUGACAGUUACGAGUCUUUUGUUUCAGGUGAAUUUUUGGAAACCACACGUGGCGAGAUAGUCUUGAGGAAGGGAAGAAGUAUGAUGAUUUUAUCACUUGGUUGCCUCAAUGAUUAAGGUUAGAGCUCAUAGAAGGAGAUUUUGGGUUGCAAGUGGUGGUGAGAAGAAAUCCUGUAAAGAAAAAUGGUGAAUUGAGGCAUCUUCUCACGAAUCAACUGGAGGUUGUACUAGGUGUAAAUACACAUAUUCAUUUGGCAAUUAAAUUAAUUUGGUAUCAGAACUGUAUUGAUUCGGGUGUGUAGUUCGGUACCAUAUUAUUUGGUAGUUGAAAGUAAAUAAUUGUUAAAAGAAAUUUUCGCCAAGAUAGAGAUUUGUUAGGAAAUUGAUUUAAUUUCUUUUCAGACAGGUUUUUGUUUUGUGUAGGGAUUUAGUUUUACUUGAAAUAGUAGCCAAGGAAUUUCCUAUUUUGUUUAGGAUUAAAAAUUAUUUCCUAUUCUAUACAAGUCUAGAAAUUAGAAUUGGUUUCCUAUUAUUAUUUAAUUUUUUGGCCAAAUAAUAUUCUUUAUAAAUAGGUGGGUUGGCAUACUACAAAGAGACACACAAAAGCACACAAGAGACGACAUGUAGCCUUAUAUAUGGGUGGUGAGAGAGGAUUUUUAGGAGAUGAGAGAUGGUAUACAAAGGUUGAAUUGGGGUUCAAGUUGUGUUCUUGUAUAGAAUUUUUCUCUUAUAAUAAAGAACGAGUUUCUCUCUGUGGAUGUAGGUUCAAUGGUGGAGCCGAACCACAUUAGAAAAUAGUGUGUCAUUUAUUUUUCAUGUUUGUGGCUUGUUUCUCAUUAAAUUGUAGCGUACUUGAUAUCUCAAUAGUUGUUUAUUCCAUGUUUGGAUCCUAACAGAUUGCUAAACCAAGAUUGAUGUAAUUGCGUCCUAUAAGAGAGUUUGCAAUUCAAUUGAUUAAGGGAAGAACAGAGAAAAUCCCUGAAAAUGGGAAUUAAAGGAAACAAAGGAAACCCUAAAACUAGUUUCCAAGAACAAUUCUGUCGAAGACAGAAAACAAAGAAAAUAGUAUCAAAGGCUAUAUCGUUAUUUAGGAAACAAGAAGCACUUGAAGGUGAAUGUUGCAGAAAGUAGAAGAUCCCACUACAAUUUACUAAUUCAAGGAGCUGUAAUUAAGAAAGAAAGAAGACAACUCAGAGAAUUAGGGAUUGUUAUUAAUUGAUGAAUGAGUAGGAAGAAUGUAGAUGAAGAUGAUAAUCAAUUACAAGUAAUGGAAAUCGGAAAUCCUAGAACUGCCUUCAACUUACCACCCUCCUCUCUUUUAUUCGGCUACUACACUUGUCCAAGUCAGCUAAUUCAUUACAACCAACUGACAUACAAGAAUUAUAAGGAUUUAUUCAUUAAGUCCCUAUCAUACUCGCUUUAUUACAAAAAAAAAAAAAACCCUAUCAAUAAAACUAAGGUAACAAAUACUUCCCCCUCAGAGAAUCCUUGUCCUCAAGGAUUAAAUUCAGGAAAUUGUUGUUUAAGGUCAAACCAGAAUUCCCAGAUAGCAUCUUCAAGAAAAGAAUUGCUUCACUAUGCCAAAACUUUUGUAGCAAGAGAGUUACCACAUUUCACCAAUUUCUGAUCAAGUAUGGCUAUAGGCUCCAUUAAUAAUUAUCCCUGUGUAUUGAUUGUGUAUUGAUUGCAAAAGGAAUGUGUGAGGUAACUAGUGAGUGCCCACUUUCUUCUUUAGAAGAGAUACAUAAAAAAUAGAGUGUAUUUUUGCCAUAUUAGGCAGCUAAAGCUGAUAUGCAACAGGGUGUACUCUUUUGAUCACUUGGAAAGGUCCAAAAAACUUAGAAGCUAACUUCUGACAAGAGUGUACCUUCAAAGAGUGUUGCCUCUACAGUUGUAGUUUCACAUAUACCCAAUCUCUUGCCGAGUACUGUCUAUCAGACCUGUGUUGGUCAGCUUGUUGCUCCAUCCUAUUUUGUGCCUUAUGAAGGUUGUACUUUAAGUGAUGCAAAACUAUCUCCCUUGCUGCCAAGAUUCUAUCCACCACUUCCACUACUGAAUUCCCAAGUAGACAAGGCAUAUGCAGAGAUGGUGCAUGACCAUACACCACCUCAAAUUGGAUAACCUUAGUGGCAGCAUGAAAUUUGGUAUUGGACCAAUAUUCAGCCAAGGGUAACUAGAUAGACCACUGCUUUGGAAAAUCUCCACACAUGCACCUCAAAUAUUACUCCAAACACCUGUUUACCACCUCAGUUUGACCAUCUGACUGAGGGUGGUAGGUAGAAGAGGUAUUAAUCUGCACUUUUAGUAACUUAAAAAGUUCUUGCCAAAAAGUGCUAAUGAAGACCACAUCCUUGUCACUAACAAUGCUCUGAGACAAGCCGUGAAGUCUACAGAUCUGAUCCAGGAAUAUGUGCAAAUAUAAAUGCUGAAUAAGCAUGUGACAAUGCCAAGAAGUGUGCAUACUUACCUAACUUGUCAACCACCACCAAGAUGGCUUGUUUACCAUGUGCAUUAGGUAAACCUUCCAUAAAGUCCAUGGAAAUUCACUCCAAACCUUUUGAGGCACACGUAAAAGUCGUAAUAAACCCAAAUAAGCAGUAUUGUCAUAUUUGUUGCACUGACAGACAUCACAUGCAGCCACAUAGUUGACUAUGUCUUGAUACAUUCUUCUCUAAUAAACCACUGACUUCAACUUCUUUUAGGCAGCAUAAACUCCUGAAUGCCUCCAACAGCACUAGAAUGCCACAAGUGAAUUAUAUUAUUCUUGAAUUGGCAGUCAUUUUCUACCACUAGUCUCCCCAUUCUCCUUAACUGCUAGUUGCUCCAUGUGUAAUAAGGUGAGACCUUAGAAAGAUCAAAUUGUAAUUGAGUGAUGAAGUUCUAUAGCCUUAUAUCUAUUUGCCAUCCCUUUUUAAUCACUAUCAAAGAUCACUGUUAACAAUGAUGAUGGCAAGAGCUUCUCUUGGUUCUGCUAGUUUUCUAAAGAGAGUAUCUCUCACCAUAUUAUAUGCUUCUUUCCUGUAGUGAAGCUCAUAAUAAAAUCUUACUAGCUUAGUCAUCCAUUUCUGCUGCAUAAGAGUAGGGCUGUCAAUGGUCUGGGUCUAGACCCGGAUCCGGACCGGAUAAAUAUCCGGGUAUGGAUACUAAUUUACAACCGGAUCCGGAUAUAAAUGGAUUACUAUAUUUAAAAUAUAUAUUUAUUAAUAUAAUUUGAUUAGGAUGAUGUAUUUGAGUAUCAAUAUAAUUGGACCCGGAUCCUAAUCAAUAUAAUUUGAUUAGGAUGAUGUAUUUGAGUAAGGUUAAUUUGAUUUCUUUUCUUAUUUGAUUUUUUUUGUAUUAGUUAGAAAUUAGUUUAUAAAUAUAUGUUUUUUCUCAUUUUUGUUAGAAAUUAUAAAUUUUGUUAGUUUUUUUUCGGGUAGACCCGGAUCCGGAUCCGGACCCGUCGGAUCUGGAUCCGGAACAUAGAGUAAAGACUCAUCGGGUAAACGGGUCGGGUCCGGAUCCGAUAUAGUGUGCCGGGUCCGGGUCUGGAAUAAUGAAUUCCGGCCCGGACCCGCCCGUUGACAAGCCUACAUAAGAGUGUUCAAUCUUUGUUCCAUCAUAUAUUCAAUGCUCUAAUGGUCAUUUUUAAUGAUAACGUACCUUCCAGGUAGAUAAGGUCUCCACUUCUAUACAGCAGCAACUAUGGCCAAUAUUUGCACUUUUCCAAUAUACUAUCAUAUGCUAUUCCCCCACACACCUAAAUCUUAUAUUGUCCCCAAUGUAAAAUAAAGAAUAAAAGAAAAGUAAUGGGGAUAACGAAACUUCCUUGAUAACUGAGGGGGCCGUCGACAGCUACAGGUGAGGGGCGAAUGACUGUGGAGCUCGACGUAUGUUGAUGGUUGGUGGCGGUGGAGUUCGGAUGGAGAAGGAGGAAGAAGAAAGAAGAGAAGAAAAAGAAGAGAGAAAGAAAGAAAGAAAAAGAAAAGGAAAAAGAAAGGAAAAGGAAGAGAAAAGAAAAGGGAAAUACGAAUGGGAAUUGCUCCAAUCCGAGCUGGUUUUUUGUACUACUACUUUGCUUCUUGUACGAAGCUUGAAGAUGCAGCAAGCGCGGAAAUUUUUUUUUUUUACAUCUGAUUUUGAUUUUUUCUUUUUCUUUUUCCUUUUCUGUAUUUCCUUUUCUUUUCUUUCUAAUUUUUCUGCAAAAACAAUCAAAUAGAAAUCAAAUGAGAUGGAAUGAUUUUUUUUAAAAAAGGUAAAAAUAUAAAUAGAGAUAAAUAAAUAAUAAUAGUUAUUAACAAAUCAUAAAAUGAUUUAUGAAAUUUUUUUGGUGUCUACAUAUAUUACUAAUAAUUUUUAUAUUUAUAUAUUUUUCUAUUUAAUCUUACCUAUAAUUUUCUUAUUUUAUUUACUUUUCUAAUUAAUUUUAUAUUUUUAAAAAUAUAACAUCUAAAAAUAUAUAUUAACGAAGAGGACAUCCGUUAGACAGGUCCUAUUUUAUGUAGCAUAUAUGUCUCUACAUGAAAAAAACUUUUUUAAUAGGUAUCCCGUUUUUUGACAUGAAAAAUACCUUUUGACUACAUUCUGACUAGCGCCAAAAGCUAUCCACUUUUGACAUGCUGCCCAUGCAGGCCUAAUUUUUUUUAGUACUGAAUUUGUUUUGGAUACGUUAGUAUUUCUUGAAUUUUAGAAAAUGCUUCUCUUUAAUAAAUGUAAGUUCAUUUUAAUCUUGAUUCGCAAGCUUUUUCUUGAAAAUGGUUUGCCAUUUCUUAUUAGUUGUUACAGUAAAUUUAGCAUGCAUAUAUGCUUUUUGUCAAAAUUCAAUCAUUUCAAAAUCUAGAAGGGAACUUCUAAAAUACCUGCAUCCUCCUUUUUCUUUUUUUUUUUAUUCCCCCCCCCCCCCCGGCUUUGUAUUCAGAAUCAGAUUGUGUUCAAUUAGUUGGAAUUUGGCUUUGGAGUUAAAAGGGAUUUCCAUUUUUUCCUAGGUAUUCCACAGCUUGCAUACCAAAAGCACAGAGGCGGAAGAAAACCUAUGAUUAAAUCAUACAACAGGCUUGUAAGAAAAUGCCCACUCUGAAAAAAUGAAAAGUUGAAUUUCCUAUUUUCAAAUUUACAUGCAAAAAAUCAAAAUGACAUGCAAGAAAUAGUCUGCUAUUUCGCCAUGUUUCACAGUUUAUGAGAAAUAUAUUACAAAUAAAUCCACAUAAAUGGUGGGAAUAAUAACUCAAAUAUGGUGGGACAAAAAACAUACAGGGUGACCCCUGCCAGCUGAGAUAACUAGCUGGUUUAUUUAAUUUAAUACUUUGAAUACAAUAGUAAAUCAAUGCCAUAGCUCAGAUACUGACUAAAUUUUUCUCCCUGAAGAAUUCAACAGCAUCUUUUAGGCUGACCUCCAAAGGAGUGAAUUGAACUCCCAGCCUUUUUGCCUUCUCAUUGGAGGCUCUGUAGUUUGGGCUGAUAAGGUUGGUAUUGUUUGACAUUCUGCUGUAUGCGGGACAAUACACAAUUAUGGCAAACAUAAAUAAAGCUUAGGUAAUGAAAAUGCAAAUGUAAAUUCAAAUGCUUGAAAAUCUACUGGACAAUUGCCUCAUAUCUACUGUAAAUUGUGCCUUUUUACGAAGUUUCAAAAGACCUUUUAAAAGAUAACUUUAGUUGUGAUAUGAAUGAAAUUUAUUUUUUUCUAAAAAAAAGCCUAAAACGGAAUUUCUAUUUUGGAGACAAAGCCAAUUUGGUGAUAUAUCCUAGUCCAAAGAAGACCAUCUUCUAGAAAUCAACCUGAGAAAGAGCUCAUUUUUUAUGGAACAUGAGACCAAAAGAAAAAAAAAAAGAAGGCAGAAAAUUUAGGAUUUAGUGUCCUUUAAAAGAGAGUAUAAAAAUAUGUGAUACAUUUUGGACGUAUACAAGGCCAUCAGCAAAAGCCUGUAAAGACCUAAACAAGGAAAACAAGACUUACUUAUCAGGAAAUUGGUGAGUUGGGUAAUGCUCAUGCAAAAUCUUGAUGAUCUGAGAGGCAUUUGCACAUCUUUCAACCAGACAAUAUCUUCCACUUGCAGAAGGGGUUUCAAGGGCAAGAACAUGUGCAUAGGCAACAUCUCUAACAUCAACCCAGCUACAUGUUGCCUUAGGAAAUGGUUCAACCCCUGCAUUUGGCACCUAAGAUCUUUAAACACAUUUUUUUGCAGGCUCUUCAGCAAACAUAAGUGAAACCAUAUUUGGUUUGUUUGGAUCAGCAUGAUUUCAGAUAAAAUAAUUUGCUUCCUUCCAAAUUCCAAUCACCUUUUUAUCUCACAUACAGCACAUCACAAAAAGUGUUACAGUAAUUAUCUCAAAUAAAUCAUCCAAAUAAACUUCUAUCCAAACAAAAAUGUUGUUUGCCAUGAAAAGAGUCAAAUUUAGAGGCCAUGGCCUGCCUUCCAGAAGAAAUGUGUGGUAUGUACUACUUUGUUCUGUUUUAGUAUCAGCAAAGCCACAGAGGGGAGGGAGAUGUGAGGAAUGAACUAGUUGAGACAAUUCAGAUAAUUGGUGAAUAAUAAGAAAGAUUAAUCCCAACAAUCUACUAGUUAAUCUGUCCCUGGAAUUUCACAGAUUUAGAGUUAGGUUUCUCUUUCAAAGGAUAGUUUAUUUAUUUUCUUCCAAAAAGGAUCAAUUACUAGACAAAAGAAUAAACUACAGGCAUGAUAAUACUAGUUGUCUCGUACUUAAGAGUUAAAUGGUGAGAGUUGAAGAAACUUGUCCCUUCACUCUCAUCCAGAUAGAAAAACAGAAUUUAUUCCUGUUGUUUUGUUCAGAGAGUGAAAUAGUAAUCAAUUCCUGAAAUUUGUUUCUUGCCAUUGUUGUACAAAGUGGCUAUUUGGGUCGAAGGAGUCCUGCGAAUUGAAAGAAUAAUAAACAUGCUUUAGCAAGUCUGUACAACAUAAACAGUGACUACUCCUAACAAAUUUUUCCUCACAAUUACCACCCAAAAAUUUCUUUUCCUUCCUGUUAAUCACAUAGAACCUCAAUGUUGUUGAAAGGAAGAUGCACACAACGUGAAUUUCAGAUGAAAGAUUGUACUGCAAACCUUUAAAACAUCAUAAGCUGGUCAGAGUUUAUAGCUUGAUAUAUCAGUUCACAUUCUGACCUAUGUCUGUCAAUCAUGUGAUAGCCAGCAGUGCCUUGAAAUGUUAUUAGUCAUAAGUUUUUUGUUCUACUGUAACAAAGAAAGUUGUGGUGCAUAAUAAAGCUAUAAGUAACAUAGAUGGAAGAGUCAGUUAGACAAUGAUUACUAAGGUGAUUCAAUAAAUUUUGAAACAAACCCUUUAAUAGGUUGAGGAACAAAACAGCGCUCGAAUUAACAGAUGGCUGCAAGAGAGGACCAAUGACCAAUCCUGGAUGAAUUGUAAUCACGUCAAUGCCAUGCUCCUUUGCAAAUUUCCAUGCAGCAUUCUCGGCCAUGGUUUUUGAAAGUUCAUACCAAGACUAUCAACACCGAAAAAUCAGUAAAUGUUGGUAAGAUGGUAGCAGAAAGUAAUUAGAUUUGUAAACUUUAAGAAGUAACAUUAUAAAUUUCUACAAAUUUGACAAAACCAGCAACUUACAUCAGUUGAAACUAUUAUUGCUGUAGCUACAAAGCACAGAGUGAAAGCAUCCACAUUUCCCAGGACAAGCUAUGCUAUAAGUGAAUAAGUAGAUUUCUCAAGGAUCCUAGGAAUGGUGUAAACUUUCUAUAUUCAAGGAAUGAUGCAAAGCACCAGUGUCGACAUAUCCUGAUCAUCUGAUCUCUUAAUCCACAAGCUAACAGCAAAACUACAAGGGACCUUGACACUUUAACACAAUAGCCAUAUUCAUAAUAUUAUAGCAGAAGUUCCUUUCCAACUGACCGACCAAAUAUUGCUCAUCUAGGUGUGUAUUCUCAGACAAUAGUAUAGAAUUUGAUCAUGCAAGAGAUGCAUAAUUAAGUAGGAAAACUUUCAUAUUGCUCUUUCCCCGACUAUUCCACACUACAUUAUUAAUUUUUCAUUAAAGUUAAGUUGUUACUUAGAUAGAAGGAAAGAAAUGGACUGACCAUUCUGGUUACAAAAAUAUCCUUUUUUUGCCUAUUAAAGUACCACCAAGUCAUGAAGAUCCUAACUUAAUUAUCUCCACAGCUGGGCUAACUCCUCAUAUGUGUUCCAACAACAAGUUAAAACUAAAGAAUUCCAGCAUUCCAUAUUAGAUUUUACUGGAAGAAGACAGAUAAUAUAUGUACCUUUUGCUCCUCACAGUAUGAUGGAUCGGAAAACCAACUUUCAUCAACUACCACAUCCUCCUUUAAUUCUCUGUUUUUUGAAACUGCAACCAUAGAGGAUGUUAUAACUACUCUUUUGACAGAAGAAGAAUUUGCACAUGACCGCAGCACAUUCAGUGUUCCGCUUACUGCAGGUUCCAGUAGUUCUGCCUAUGAAAUCAAACCAAGUAAAAAAGGAAGUCAUUACCAGUCAUAGGUAAGACUAUGCUUUUAACCUGCAAAAAACUUAUCAUUCUGGUAUUAUGUUUGAGAAUUUCACCACAAAUGCUGUAAACCUACAGCUUUAGUUACUUAGCUAAAGGAUGCAUAUUGUUGUCUUAUCUCCUCUUGCUGCUAAAAUAAGUUCUCAGGUCCUUUAUUGUUGUUUUUUCCCAAAUUUUUUCAGCUUUCACUGGGUGACAGGAACUUAAGACCAAUAGAGGAACAACUGAAAUAAGUCUCAGAUGUGGUCACCAAUUAAACCGUUUGCUACCAAAUAUCAACCGAUGAAAUUCUGUUCUGGCUUGAACAGGACAGACAGAAAAUAUAAAAGGUGUAGCUCCCAUGAAUCCUGCGAACAGAUUUUAGCGUGAACACAUAAUGCAUGUUGCAAUUUCUUUUAGUGUCUGUGAGUCAACCUUGUUCAUUGAAAUGACUAAAAUCAAAGUUCUACAAAGUUACUUAAAAAAAAUCCAUAAACACAAUUUGAGAAACAGACAAGGAUAGGUGUACUGCAUAAAAUUAAGGCACAAUCAUUAAUAGAAGUUAAUCAACUUACAAAUGAAGAUACAUAUAAUUUGCAGAUGCUUGAACAUAUAUUGUAGUUUCUAUAAGCUUCUUAUUCAUUCUGGUAUGGGCACGCAAAAGCCAUUGGCUCUACACUGGCUGAAUAAUUAGUUGGUCAAAGCAGGGAUUCAUUUGCUCCAGGACAAGCUUAUAGCUUGCUCUAUAACCUUACCCUGACUGACUUACCCAGGAAAAUAGUUAGUCGGACCCAAUCUACUGCCCAAUUGUGGACCAUUUGCUAUGUUUAUGGCUCUUAAUGUUUUUAUUUCACAACAUUACACCCUUUGAAUUGUUUCGCUGAAGUACCAAUUUCCAGAUCAUUUCAUAGAAACAUCAUGUAUACUGAUUAAAAAGAGACUAAAGCACAUAACACACGACAGUCUUUUUGUGAAUGACCUGCUGGAACAGAUUAGUUUUGUAUGUACCAAAUGUAAAGAAAUAUUCUUCAGGUGUUUGACCUGAUUGCUACAUUAAUCUCCUCCCUUUGGUUAAUAAAAGAAAAAGUAGAGCCAUAGAAUUGGAAACAUUUGAAUCUAACUCUCUUUUUUUUUUUGCCUUUACAGUUAUAACCUUGUCAUAAAUCACAUAUAGAGGAGUAGACUAUCACCCAAAAAAGCCAGUAAAAAUGCAACAGAGGAAGAUACUAAAAGAAGUCGUACAAUUAUAAAUCAGAAAAUAUGCUACGAUUUCAAACUUCACUUGAUAAAUAGCAGAUUUUGUAGACAGUAGAGAAUUUUCAAUCUUGUAAAGCAAAUGUACCUCUGGAUUGCUAAAUGAAAGUUUGAUUGGAGAUGCAGUAUGGAAAACCCCUUCACAUCCCUCGACUAUUGCAUCAAACGAUCCCUCUUCCAGUAAGUUUGCCGAGUACAACUGAAGCCUUUCCUUAGCUCCAUCAAGUGAUGUCAAAUGUUGUGUCCUUUCCGGAUCAUCUGUGUCAUGAUUGUAUCAGUAGAAUGUUCAGACAGCUAUAAUCAAAACCUUGCCGCCUUGGUAAAGUGUACUAUGUUUUCACUAUGGUGAAACUCAAGAAGAAAUGGACAUAGAGUAAUAAUAAACGAAUCUCAAAGCAAUGAUAAAUUUGACUAGCUAAAGGCAAGCGGGGAAAAACGAAAAGAAAUUGACGGGCAACAUAAUAUGACCACAAUAAUAUCAUAGCCCUAUGAUUUCUGGUUUUGAGAUGCGUACAUUUGUAACUUUCUUGAUAACAAUUAAUUCUUGAGAUAAUUAUCAGAGGGACAAUUGUAUGCCAUCUACCACUAUUUUUAUAACAAACUCAGUCCUUCAGAAGAAGGAUAUAGAUUCGAUAGGCUAAAGAUUUUUUAUUAUAACUUGAUCGUUGUAUCUGGAGCAUGAAACAAUUAAGUUGGUCCACAUCAAAAAUAUAUAUAUAUUUUGCAUGUGAUUUUCUUUUGAGCAAACAGAACAUGGGGAGCAUUUAGCUGUUGCAAGAAUAUCAUCUGGAGCUACAAGACAAUUUCACACUGCAGAGUUGAAUAAAAAUAUUGGGCAAAUUACAUAUAAUCCUCCUGUGGCUUUGUCUGUUGCCACAUGACCCUUCUAACAUUUUAAAAUAUCCAAUUCACCCACUAUGAUUUUAUGUAAAGCGGAAACUUGAUGGAGAAUAGCCUAUAUAAUGUCGUUAAUUGAAAUACCAUUAGUACUUUUACUUAAAUGCUAAAUCAAUCGACGAUUUAAUUACCUUAUAUAAAAAGUAUAAGGGGAUUAUAUGGAUAAUAUAAAAAUCACAGGAGGGAUAAAGUGGACAAUUAUACAAACUAUAAGGGAAUUACAUUGAAAUUAAGACUUUAUCACACCCUUUUAGAGCGCGUUUGGUAUAAAUGCCGUAAUUAAUUGUGCAUUCCAUCAUUUUCCGCUUUACAUAUAACUAUAGGGAAUUAUGUGGCUAUUUUGAAAUUUUAGAGGGACCAUCUAGCAUUAUAUAAAAUCACCCUAAAAUAUAGUUAUAAGUAAUUUACCCUAAAAUGUUAGAUUCCAGGGGCAAUUAAACAACAAUCAGAACAGGGCAUCAAAAACUGCACAAGCCACUAAGAUAGUUGAUCAAGAACAAAAACUGGACUUACAGGCAUCUCGAACUGAACCUUUAACAGUAUAACCGCGCUCGAGCAGCAGCUUCACCAGCCAUGAAGCUAUGUAACCCGAAGCUCCGGUCACACACACCAUUUUCCCUUCUCCUGCUCCACUCAUUUUGUUAAUAUUUUUGUGUGUGAACCUGUCACCUGUUUGCCUUACUUCUGGACUUAAUGGAGGGAUGCAUAUAUGGUGUAUAUAUAGCUAUGGUGAAGAAGACGAAAGAUUGGAUAUGAGAUUACGUGGGAGACUAGGGAGAUCCAUAUGUAUUCUUGCAAUUUGCAUGCAUCAUCGCUGACAUACGUAUGGUAUAAUCGCGUCACAUCCCAUUUUAUCAAGGUCAAUUGAUCAGUGUAAAAUAGAAAUGAACAAUAAAUACAAUGGUAAAUUACCUUCUACACCCUAUGGUUUGAUGUUUUAUCACACUCCCUAUGAUUUAAAAACCUAUAUUUGACCCUUUCAUAGUUUGGAUUAUUGUGUCACUUUAGAUUUUUCCGUUAAAACUAACGGUCAAUAGUAAAAAGUCAAAUUCAAACUACUAAAUUGAUAAAUUCACCAUUUCACUACUUUUUUUUUCUUGUUUUCCUUUUCUUUCUCUCCUUUUUUUUUUUUUGGAAAGAGAAGAGAUGACUUUGAAAACUUGUAUUUUGGCUUACAAAACCUUAAUUGUUUCCAAAUACAAAAGAGAUAGAAGGGAAAUAAAAAUAAAUCAACAAGAAACAAAAUAUGGAAGGUAAAGAUAUAACAAAUAAAUAAGAAACAAAAAAACACCAAAUCUUUUUUACUAUGAAUAUCAUUAUAGGUUUUUAAACCAAAUCUUUAAUAGUAUUUUCUAGUUCUUAUUUAUCUAUAUUUUAUUUCAAUUUCUUCUUUUUGAUGUUUGUAGGGGAAAAAAACAAGUAAUGAAGGGAUAAAUUUGUCAAUUUAUUAGUUUGACUUUUUAAUAUUAACUGUUAGUUUUAACAAAAAAAACUAACUAUUAGGGGGUUAUGUAUAGUUUUUAAACGAUAGGGGUUAUGUGAGAAAAUACCAAACUAUAGAGGUUAAAAGGCAAUUUAUCCUAAAUACAAAAUCAGGCGGUUGCAUAUGAAAAAAUACCAAGGUUCUUGACUUUGCUCAAUACAAUUCCAAGUCUAGAGACACAAUUUUUAAAUUCACUACCAGGAUAAACCAUUCUCCUUUUUUUUUUCGGGUUAAAAAAUACAAACUACUUGAACUAGAAACUAGUCCUGACAAAGUUUGUGGGUUUUUUGCAAGAGUUUUAGUUAAAUAUUGGUUACUUCGCCUAAUUUGCACCUAUUUUAUCACGUAAAUGCACACACACUUUUAAAAAAAUAAUGCAUGCACUUAUAUUAUUGCCUUUCGUACAUUUAAAUACUUUUUUCAAUUUAAUUUUACUUUUCUGGCAAAAUUAAAUCUGAAGCCCAUUUCAAGAAAUAUCCACCGAAUACCAGGUCAACAAAUCCCCUUCGUAAUAAAGAACGAAAAGAACCGCAGCGUUCUUAACACGCAGCGGUCUUUUUGCAUCUAAGAAAGCUUUUGAUUGGCUAGAAAUCCUUCUCUGAUUGAGAAAUGGGAAUUGACUUGAUGAUGGCAACUCCAUUUAGAAAACUGGUCCACACCCUUGAAUGUGGUUUAAAUUUAAUAACACCAUUUCAUCAUUUCUGACGACUGCUUCUUCUAUAUCGAUCCUAGCUCACUGCACACGCCAGUCGUGUGAAACUUGGCAAAAGAGUUACACCCGCCGUCCUAAAAUUGUUUGUCGCAUUUCGAAACCCAACUUUUUAAAAAUAGCAGCUUGAUGAUGAUAUUUGUAGAUUUGUCUCAAAAAUUGUCAUCAAAAAUUCAAAUUUUAAAUUGAAUUUAGUAUGAAAUAUAGAUAAAGUUAUUGGAAUAAUAUUGAAAAAAGAGAUUAAAAGUUAUUUUGAUUUUGAUAAGAUAAUAAAUAUUUUAGAACGUUUCAAAAUAAAAAAAAAAAUAUGACACUUUCAAUGAGACAAAAGAAUGGAGAGAAUAUAUAUAUAAGAUACUGAAAACUAGCGUCCAUCAGAAGCAGUCAAAUCAAAGCCAACAUAUUACUUGUAGUUUGGUUAUAACAAUAUCUCAGCUUGCUGGUAGCCCAAAAAUUUAGCAAAAUAAAUUAGGAAACCAAGUGCGAUAGAGCAUAUUUCACCCAAAUAUAUUAAAAGUGAAAAAGAUUUAUUUUUAUUUAGUCAAUGUGAUUUUUUGUGUCCGCAUGCCCAUAAAGCUCAAGGACCAAAAAGCCAAACAUACGAAGUGAAAAUGUGAAGAGCAAUAAUUUGAAUAUAAAAAAAAAAACGGGUAGAUGGAUAGAAAACCAUGUCGAAGGUCUCUUCUCUCUCUUUUUUUUUUUUUGGUUUGACCAUGCAUGGUGCAUAUGAUAUGAAGGAUAAUUGUAAAGCACACCAUAUACUGCCCAAGGAAAGUAGAUUACACAGUGGGAACCAAAAAUAGAAGAAAAUAAAGCCUCAUAUGAACCGAAUCUUUCCCCUUGCUUUUUUUCUGGGAAUUUAAAGGUAUAAUGCAAGAAAUAACUCCUGGUCAUGCAAAAUUGCCAACAAAAAUGCGUCUUUGGUUUUAAAUUCCUUAAUAACAUACUAUCCAGCAUACUAUUUAGCAUAAUAACAUACUAUCUCAGAUGCAUCCACUCAAAUAUCCUGGCCGAGAUGGUAUGAGGCCAAUUUUCUAUCAAAAAUAUAGGUCUGUAGCAGGUAAUGACGUUACCUCACUACAACAAAAAUGGCCUUUAGCGGCAUUUAAAGGUGUCAGUAUAGAAAAUCUAACCUGACACUUUAUCUAUCCUGACACCCAUGGCGAGUGUUGUCCCUUCCAAUGUGGGGAUAGCCUCAAAUCUUUAGCAGCAUUCAAAUGUGUCAGGCAAACCAUGCUGCUAUAUCUUUACCUCUGCCAACAAAUCUUUUUUUUGUGAUAAUCGAAAGUGUCUGUAUAGCGUUAGGACAUCAGUAGGGAAUCAGUAGGAUAUCAAAUUUAUGAAGACAUCUUGAGUUGUCUUAAUAUAUGGCUUUAAGGACACGUAGCCAUGUGAAUUUACAAUGUGUUGGACGACAUGCCCAUUUGUUGUUAGUGUUUUUCGAAGCUACAUAAUUUUAUCAACCCAUAUGACAAGGGUUUAUUUUACGUAUUUUUAGUGUGUUUUAUUAGUUAAUUUUGGUUUGAUUAUUUAGUAUUAUAACUAAAAUAACUAAGGUUUUGGUAAAAAACUACAUUUUAUGUUAAAAUGGCUAAACAUUGCAUUUUAUGGAUUUUUAUGGUAAAAACUUCAUAUUUUGUAGGUUUAAUGAUUCAAUCAUCAAAUGAAGUGCAUUGAGAAGAUAUUUGGAUGAUUGAAGAUGGAUUAAAGUGAGGAAAAUAAAAUAUGAAGUGUAAAAGGAAGAAAUGCAAUUUGAGGACAAAAAUCAAGAAAAGUCAGCUUUGACAACUCAGACAUAUUUUCGUAUUUUGACUAUAUCAGGAGCUACAAUGAUCGGAUCAAGGUGAUCUUGGUACCAUUUUGAAGUUAAGAGAUAUAUCUACAUUUGGUAUGAAGACAUCAAAGUCCAGUUCAGCCGUUUUCAUAGUCCAAAAGUUGAAAUACCGAAAUUCAACUCAGCUGUCCAAAGUGGAAAACAGAGUUCCGACCAGUGUUUAGUAUUUUGAUCAUAUCUCAGUCUACAAAGCUCCGAUUUGGAUGAUUCUUGAAGCAUUGGAAAGCUAACUCAAAGAUAUACAACUUUGAUGUUUUGCACAAAAGCCAGUUCGGCCUGCAUCAUGGAGAAAAUCGCAGUUGAAGUAAGGACAAAGUGAAAACGCGAGUGCACAAAACGCGAGUUGUAGACGCGUUUUGUAAAGGCGCGUUUUCUGGCCGAAAUUCUGCAAUUUGCUCAGUCAAUUCUCUUGUGUUCAUACCACUUUCCAGCUAUAAGUUGCAAGAGAAUUCGGUGCACAUGCUUCAGAAGACAAAAGGGCAGACAAGGUGGCUUAUUUUCAAGUCAAAAACAUUUGUUAUUGACUAUCCUAACAAAGUUGAGAUUUGGGAAUCAAAACAUUUGUUAUUUUACUUGUAAAUUUUCUCCAUUUGCUGCCAUUAAGGUUUCCUUUGUUCUUUCACAAUAUUUAGUAGAAAUUAUUCCUUCUUUAAUACAACUUGAAUCAGCUCCACUAUCUAUUAAAGCUACAUAUAUUUCUUUGAAAUCUUCUACUGUAAUAGUUACUAAAGCAUACCAUUUUUGAAAUAUCAUUUUUUCUAUGGUAUUUAAAUAUUGAAUUUCAUCUGUUGGUCUUUCUGAUAUACUUAUUUCUUCUGUUUUAGAAUUGGAAGUUGAUGGUUGAUUUUCUAGUAAUGUUAUUUUUGCUUCUAUUUCUAAAUCUUUUGUUUUUAAUUCUAUGAUUUCUCUUUGUAAUUGUUUUACUUGUAUUUUAAGAUCAUUAAUUUCUGUUUGAAGAUCUUUAGUGGUUUCUUUUUUCAUUAUAUUUAUGUUUAGAUAUUUAUCUAUUAAUUUAGAAAUACUAAAAGGUUCUAUUAUUUUUGGCAUUUUGUCUUCUUGUAUAAUUAGACUUUUUAAUCUUUCUAAAUACUCUUUUUUAGCUACUGGAUCAUCAAUUUUUUCUAUUAUAUCUAAUAAAAAUUCUUUAUCUUCUUUUUUGGUUAUAACAUUUAUAUAUUUUGAAGUGUUAGAACAAUUACAAUUUUCUUCACUUUCUGUACUAGAUAUAUCAUUAUAAUAAUCAUCUUCAGAAUUUUGAUCUUUUUCAUUUAUUAAUUUAUUUUUAAUUUCUUCUUCUUUUGCACAAAUCUCUGUAAUUUUUUCUUUUAAUUUACAUUUGUUUGCUUUAUGUCCUAUUUUUUCACAUUUAUAACAAACAAUUUUUCUUUUAAUAAAUUUUCUCUUCUUUUCUGGUUUAUCUUCUUUAGAUCUUUUAUACUUUAUUUUCUUAUUAUAUUUUUUAACUUUUUUGUUAUAUGCAGAUGGUGAUUUAAUUCUUUAGUAGCAAAUUCUAAAGCUCUAUUAAUUGGUUUUAUUGUUCCUUGAUAUAUAUCAUGUCCUAAAAAUCUUAUUUUUGUUUGGAAUAAUUUCAUUUUUGGUGCUGAAACAACUAAUCCAUUUUUCUUAACUACUUUUAAAAAUAUAUUUAAAUGUUUGAAAUGCUGUUCUAUUGAUUCAGAAAAUAUUAAUACAUCAUCAAUAUAAACUAUGCUAAAUGAACUAUAAGGAUUGAAAAUAUCAUUCAUUAUAUUUUGAAAUUCUGAUGGUGCAUUUUUUAAUCCGAAUGGCAUUACGUUCCAUUCAUAAUGACCAAAAGGUGUUGUGAAUGCUGUUUUAUAUCUAUCUUUUGGUGUUAUUAAUAUUUGCCAAUAUCCUGAUUUUAGUUGUUUCAGCACCAAAAAUGAAAUUAUUUCAAACAAAAAUAAGAUUUUUAGGACAUGAUAUAUAUCAAGGAACAAUAAAACCAAUUAAUAGAGCUGUAGAAUUUGCUACUAAAUUUCCAGAUGAAAUAAAAGAUAAAAAUCAAUUACAAAGGUUUUUAGGAUGUUUAAAUUAUAUAGCAGAUUUCUUUCCUAAAUUAAGACAAGAAUGCUCUAUAUUAUUUAAUAGAUUAAAAAAGAACCAUUUCCACCAGUGAUUGAACCAGAUUGGGAAUUCUCUACUGCAACUUUUUUGAAUGUGAAGAACCAUGAAUGAUUGAAUGGUCUAUACAAAAAAAGCAAAAGUCUAAUUAUACAAGAAGACAAAAUGCCAAAAAUAAUAGAACCUUUUAGUAUUUCUAAAUUAAUAGAUAAAUAUCUAAACAUAAAUAUAAUGAAAAAGAAACCACUAAAGAUCUUCAAACAGAAAUUAAUGAUCUUAAAAUACAAGUAAAACAAUUACAAAGAGAAUCAUAAAAUUAAAAACAAAAGAUUUAGAAAUAGAAGCAAAAAUAACAUUACUAGAAAAUCAACCCUCAACUUCCAAUUCUAAAAACAGAAGAAAUAAGUAUAUCAGAAAGACCAACAGAUGAAAUUCAAUAUUUAAAUACCAUAGAAAAAAUGAUAUUUCAAAAAUGGUAUGCUCUAGUAACUAUUACAGUAGAAGAUUCAAAGAAACAUAUGUAGCUUUAAUAGAUAGUGGAGCUGAUUCAAGUUGUAUUAAAGAAGGAAUAAUUCCUACUAAAUAUUGUGAAAGAACAAAGGAACCUUAAUGGCAGCAAAUGGAGAAAAUUUACAAUUAAAAUAUAAAUUUACAAAAGGAUCAAUAUGUAACAAUGAAUAUUGUAUUAGACAUAAUUUCAUAAUUGUAAAAAAUAUAAAUCAUGAUAUAAUAUUAGGAACACCUUUUUUAAUUCAAAUUUACCCAUUUUCAGUUAGUCAUGAAGGAAUUUCAAUAAAUAUAAUGGGAAAAACUGUUAUCUUUAGAUUUCUAACUCCAGUAAAACAAAGAGAAUUACAGACAUUACAAACAUCCUCUAUUUACAAAACAAUAAAUAGUAUUACUAAAGUACAACAACAAAUAAAUUAUAUAAAAGAAAAAAUCUUAUUUAAAAAUUGAAGAACAAUUAAAAGAAAGUAAAAUGCAAAAAGAAUUUCAGAAUUAGAAGAAUUAUUACAAAAAGAAAUUUGUGCAGAUAUUCCUAAUGCUUUUUGGAUAGAAAACAACAUAUGAUUGAAUUACCUUACGAAACAGGUUUUAAUGAGAAAAACAUUCCUACUAAAGCAAGACCAAUACAAAUAAUUCUAAUCUAUUAGAAUUUUGUAAAAAGGAAAUAAAAACAUUAAUAGACAAAAAAUUAAUAACACCUUCAAAAUCACCUUGGAGUUGUGCUGCAUUCUAUGUAAUGAAUCAAGCUGAAAAAGAAAGAGGAGUUCCAAGAUUAGUUAUAAAUUAUAAACCAUUAAAUAAAGUAUUACAAUGGAUUAGUGAAUAAUACAAUAAAUUUAUAAAUUUAGAAUUAAUAGAGGAUACAAUAAAUUAAAGUAACCAUUUUUAUAAAUUUAAUAGAGCUCAAAUGCAAAUAAUACAAUAAAUUUAGAAGACAUUAAAAAAGUUUAUCAACAAAAUAAUUAUACAAAUCAAAUCCUUCAUACAAUUUCUCAACAUAUGGAAGUAUUAAACACAAAAAUAGAUACUAUAAAGAAACCAGAAUUAAAAUUCCCUAAUAAUAUUUCAGCACCUCAUUUUCAACCUAGAAGUUUGACAAGAGAAAAAGAACAAGAUUUAGAUUCAAAAUCAGAAGACAAAGCAUCGGCGAAUUAGUGAGAAAAAGAGAACAAAACACUCUCAUGUAAAAAUCCUUAGACAAAUCUCUCAAUCCCUCUUUCCAACUACUCUUGUAUUCAAUUACUUUUGUUUCCUUCCUUCUCCAAAUAUAAUAAAGAUCAAGGAUUCAACCAUUCAUCAAGCUUCUGUUAUCAAAGGCCACUCUAAAUUUUCAGUAAGUCCAAUUUUUAUACUAAAUUUUCUAUGAACAUUUCAAUAGAAAGUAGCCUGGGUAGAAGUGGUAUCAGAGCCACUUAUCACAUUAUCUUUACAGUGUUAUUAAGGAAAGUAGAUUACACAGUGGGAACCAAAAAUAGAAGAAAAUAAAGCCUCAUAUGAACCGAAUCUUUCCCCUUGCUUUUUUUUCUUGGAAUUUAAAGGUAUAAUGCAAGAAAUAACUCCUGGUCAUGCAAAAUUGCCAACAAAAAUGCGUCUUUGGUUUUUAAUUCCUUAAUAACAUACUAUCCAGCAUACUAUUUAGCAUAAUAACAUACUAUCUCAGAUGCAUCCACUUAAAUAUCCUGGCCGAGAUGGUAUGAGGCCAAUUUUCUAUCAAAAAUAUAGGUCUGUAGCAGGUAAUGACGUUACCUCACUACAACAAAAAUGGCCUUUAGCGGCAUUUAAAGGUGUCAGUAUAGAAAAUCUAACCUGACACUUUAUCUAUCCUGACACCCAUGGCGAGUGUUGUCCCUUCCAAUGUGGGGAUAGCCUCAAAUCUUUAGCAGCAUUCAAAUGUGUCAGGCAAACCAUGCUGCUAUAUCUUUACCUCUGCCAACAAAUCCUUUUUUUGUGAUAAUCGAAAAUGUAUGUAUAGUGUUAGGACAUCAGUAGGGAAUCGGUAGGAUAUCAAAUUUAUGAAGGCAUCUUGAGUUGUCUUAAUAUAUGGUUUUAAGGACACGUAGCCAUGUGAAUUUACAAUGUGUUGGACGACAUGCCCAUUUGUUGUUAGUGUUUUUCGAAGCUAAGCUAUGCUGACACUUUUAAUUGCCAGGAGAAUUUUCCCUGGUUUUUUUUUAUAUGGAAGCAACCUGCAAUUAGUCCUCCUUGCUGUACAUUCCAUCAAUCAGAAUCCCAAGGGACUUGUAAAAUUAUCCCAAAGAGCAGAAUGCAUAUGGCAAUGUAAAGAAGAAGUCGAUACUCAAAUAUAAUUCAUUGAAUUAAAAGUCGAUAACAAGUACAAACAUAGCAAAUACUAAAACGCAAACAAGUGCUAAAAGCAAGUACUAAAAUAUCAAACCAGUACCGAAAGAUUCUCAUUUACAAUAACUUAAAAGCUCUAUCGGAAGCACAAAAUAAAAGACUCCCAUCCCUAAUAAGUUGAAAGAAGUAGAAGUAGCUUCCAAACUUUCCAUUUUGUUGAGAGUCCUCAGGCAUAACCACGAAGUCCCCAUCAUUCUUCAGCUGGUUCCACCUGUGCACAAAGACCAAGGGGAUCAUUAGAUCAUCAUAACUAAAACUAAAAUUCCAGAAAAUCCGCAAUGUAUUUAAGUGCAUAUCUCACCAAAUGACAAGGCCAAGCAACUGGUGCACCAAGUGCAUCUUGAAUCGUUUGUUGUAAACCAUAUGGUCUAAUCAAUUGCUCACGUGGAGUCAUUGCAACUUGUAUCUGUAUUUCACACCAGUUUGGCCCAAGAGCUUGUCCCCCGACCUCAUCCAAUGGAUUCAGACUCCGUAAAUAUCCCUUUGCCACGAUUUUUGUUGGGUCAAACAAACUUUUUAGUGAAACCAUAUUCCCUACCUAGUAAACAUCCAACAAGUACAAGAAUCAAACUCAUGCCAAAUUCCAGAUUACAAAUGCAAAAGUUUAGAAGUUGUAAAUACUUACUCAAAUAGGUCGCGUGGCUCGCGAUGGAGCAUGGCUUGACACAUUGUUAGAUGAUGAUGAAGGAUGUCUCGGGCUGUCAAUUGGAGAGCCCCUUCCAUGUUGAACUAAAAUCAUUUUCUUCAAGCUGGCUAUUUCAUCAUCUUGUCGCUGAAGCCUUUCCUCCAAACGGACUAAUGUUGACUGUUGUUGAACACUUAUACGGUAGCAUGUGUUACGACUAGGAAUGUCUUCCCAUAAGUCCGUUGGAUUCACACCGUCACUAAGCAAGCGAACAUGACCAUAUUUGUCUUGCCCAACCACCUGGGCAAAUAUAUCAUCACGACCAACUGGAUCUUGCGAAUCCGAUGGAAGCUGAUUUUUCAGCUCAGUCAUUUUUUCCUACAUAAUAAAGGAAAACACUUGUUAUUGCAAAAGACUGUCUGAAAACAUCCAUGGUAGAAUUGAUAGGCUUGUGUUCUCGGAUCCUUACCAAAUUCUCAGCAACUAUGGUACUUGAUGGAGUUUGUUGACCUUGGUCGAUCAAUCCUUGGUUUUGAUGAUUAACAAACCAAAAUGUAGAUUUGGGCUAAUGUUUUUAUGUGAGCAAUUUGUUAGAACAGAUUCUUGUGGCACAAAAGAAGAAGCAAAAACAGGGCACUCAUGUGAGACGUCCGAAAGGAAGCUAUCGGACGUCCGAAAGGAUGAAGAACAUCAGGAAGGAUAUUCUGUCGGACGCUCGUGAGAAAGCAUCGGACGUCCGGAUGGAUCGGACACACUCUUCGGACGCACAUCGAUCGUGUCGGACGUCCUAAAAAUUUCACGAAGAUUUGAUAACUCUCUGGACGACGUUCGGACGCAGGGUUCGGACGUCCGACAGGUGGUUUGGACGCAGGGUUCGGACGUCCGACAGGUGGUUCGAACGUCCGACAGGCCAACGGCUAGUUUUGACAGCAUUUAAUAUUUGACCGUUGGAGAGCCUUUUGGAGCCAUUUCUCACAUUCUAUAAACACCCCAAAGCACAAGAAGACACGGGACUUUUGCCAACACAAUAUACAAGCUUACAAGUGAGAUUUUUGAGUAGAAAGAUUCUUUGUUGGUUGUAUAAGGGGUUGGGGAAGUUGGGUUGUGAGGUUGCUCAAGUGAAGGUUAUUCUCUAGGAGGAGUAAAACCUUGGUGAAGGUGAACCUAUCACUUGAAGUGGUAAAACCUUGGUGAAGGUUGCCUCAUUUGUAUAAAAUAGUUCUUAAUUGGGUGAGUGAUCUUUCAAGUGUAGGUUGUUGAGGGUUAACUAGAAUUGUUGUAAAACUCCUUGGCUCAACCAAAGUGUGUUUGGCGUGAGGAAGGAGUGAGCCUUCACUUGUACAUCUUGGUUAGCAUCGCCAUCAAUUGAAGAGGCUAUUGGUUUGAUAUUUGGUUUGCAUUUCUUAUCCUUUCUCUUUAAUUAAGUUUUCUUUAUUGUGCUUAAAUUUGAUAUAUCUUUGUGCAUCAUUGUGAAUUUGUUUGUACUCAUUAGGUUGCACCGAGCACUUACAAUUGGUAUCAGAGCUUGGUCUCCUUGAGACUAAGCUCAAUCGGCUUGGAGUAAAGAUCAUGGCAACCAUAAAAGUUUCCUUUUUAGAAGGGCAAUCUAUUGAUAGACCACCUAUGUUUAAUGGUUCUCAUUUUAGCAUGUGGAAACAAAGAAUGAUGAUUUUCUUACAAUCCAUUUAUAUUGAAUUAUGGUAUGUGGUAGAAGAUGGUCCUUAUGAAGCUAGAAUAGUUGACUCUACCAUCAAUUUGAGUAGAUUAAAGACUAGACAAGAAUUGAAUGAAAAAGACAAGAGAUACCUUUCUUUGAAUGCCAAGGCCAUGUGUAUAUUGUACAAUGCAUUAGAUGUAAAUGAAUCUAGUAGGAUUAAAGGUUGUAAAUCAGCUAAAGAUAUUUGGGAUAAAUUGUGUAUUUCAUGAAGGUAACCAAGAUAUUAAAGAACAAAAGAAAUCUUUGCUUGUUUCUCAAUAUGAAUUUUUCAAAAUGCAUCCUCUUGAAAAUGUUGAUAAGAUGUGUAGUAGAUUUUGUGACAUUAUUCAAGAUCUUAAAUUGCUUGGAAGAGAAUAUUCUUUGGGUGAGAAAAAUAGAAAGAUUUUGAAUGCCUUGCCAAAAGAAUGGGAAAACAAAAUAAAUGCUAUAGAAGAGGCAAAGGAUUUAAAUUCUAUGUCCAUUGAAUCUCUUGUGAAUUCCCUAACUUCUUAUGAAUUAAAGCUGCAAUUCAAAGUGCAAGAGAAAGAAAAUGCAAGAAUGUAUAAGAGAGGCAUAGCUUUUAAAGCAUCUCAAGUGGGGGAUAACCCAUCUUUCAUGGGUAAUGAAAACAUGGAAGUGGACAAUGAUAUAACUCCUCACAUCAAAAGUUUCAAGAAGAUCUUCAACAAGAGAAGUUCAAGAGGAGAUUGCAAAAUUACAUGGGAUGAAUACAAUUCAAAAAGAGAAAAAGAAGAGUUGGCACAAAUGGCACUAAUGGCCUUUGGAGAAGAUGAGGUAAAUUCUUAUCACUCUUCUUGUGAUGAAGAUAAUGAAGAUGAUGAUGUGAAAAUUCUUAUGAUUAAAAUGCAUAAAAGUUUGAGAAAAUCUUAUGCUAAAAAUAAAGAUUUGAAAACAAAAAUAAAUGAUUUGUUGGAAGAAAACUCCAAACUUUUUCAGGAAAACAAAUGUUUGAGAAUGGAAAAUGAUGAUUUAAAAAAUCAAAAAAAUGUUUUUGAUUGCAAAAAUAAUUUGAAAAGGAAGUUGGAAGAGAAAACAAAGUUUUAUGGAAAAAUGUUGGAUGAACAAAAUUUGUUAAAGAAAAGAAUUAAUGACUUGAACGAGUUUCUCCAAAAUGAAAAACAAAAGUUUUCUCAAACAAAAGAAAGCAAAUCUUUUCAAGGCACAAAUACGUUUGCUAUGAUAAGAAGUAAGAAAAUUAGUUGCAUUAAAUCCACUUAUGUGCAAAAUACUUCUAUCAUGUGUCACUUUUGUUGUCAAUUUGGACAUAUGCAAAAUGAUUGCUAUGUAAAGAAAAAUAUGAGAAAAGGUAUGAAAUCCAUGUGGAUUGCUAGAUCAUGUUGUACUAACUCCCAAGAACCCUAUAAAAACUUACAAUUGGUAUCAUGAAAGUUUUGUCAUUCUAUAUGGUCUUGAUUUGGAAAAUAAAGGGGGAGUUUACUUUUUGAUUGAUGUCAAAAGAGGGAGUAGGAUUUAUUGAAAUUUCUUUGUAUGUUGGCAUUUUCUAAGGGAGAGUUUUAUUUGAACUUAUUUGAUCAAAGAAAUCUUCAUUUUGUUUGUCAUCAUCAAAAAGGGGGAGAUUUUUGACCUUGGUCGAUCAAUCCUUGGUUUUGAUGAUUAACAAACCAAAAUGUAGAUUUGGGCUAAUGUUUUUAUGUGAGCAAUUUGUUAGAACAGAUUCUUGUGGCACAAAAGAAGAAGCAAAAACAGGGCACUCAUGUGGGACGUCCGAAAGGAAGCUAUCGGACGUCCGAAAGGAUGAAGAACAUCAGGAAGGAUAUUCUGUCGGACGCUCGUGAGGAAGCAUCGGACGUCCGGAUGGAUCGGACACACUCUUCGGACGCACAUCGAUCGUGUCGGACGUCCUAAAAAUUCCACGAAGAUUUGAUAACUCUCUGGACGACGUUCGGACGCAGGGUUCGGACGUCCGACAGGUGGUUUGGACGCAGGGUUCGGACGUCCGACAGGUGGUUCGAACGUCCGACAGGCCAACGGCUAGUUUUGACAGCAUUUAAUAUUUGACCGUUGGAGAGUCUUUUGGAGCUAUUUCUCACCUUCUAUAAACACCCAAAGCACAAGAAGACACGGGACUUUUGCCAACACAAUAUACAAGCUUACAAGUGAGAUUUUUGAGUAGAAAGAUUCUUUGUUGGUUGUAUAAGGGGUUGGGGAAGUUGGGUUGUGAGGUUGCUCAAGUGAAGGUUAUUCUCUAGGAGGAGUAAAACCUUGGUGAAGGUGAACCUAUCACUUGAAGUGGUAAAACCUUGGUGAAGGUUGCCUCAUUUGUAUAAAAUAGUUCUUAAUUGGGUGAGUGAUCUUUCAAGUGUAGGUUGUUGAGGGUUAACUAGAAUUGUUGUAAAACUCCUUGGCUCAACCAAAGUGUGUUUGGGGUGAGGAAGGAGUGAGCCUUCACUUGUACAUCUUGGUUAGCAUCGCCAUCAAUUGAAGAGGCUAUUGGUUUGAUAGUUGGUUUGCAUUUCUUAUCCUUUCUCUUUAAUUAAGUUUUCUUUAUUGUGCUUAAAUUUGAUAUAUCUUUGUGCAUCAUUGUGAAUUUAUUUGUACUCAUUGGGUUGCACCGGGCACUUACAGAGUUCCAUCGGCAUGGGUAUAAAACUUAUUGAACAUUUCUACUCUAGUAGGAGGUCUUCCCAACUGUUUGGCCUAUAAGAAAUUGAAUCGUUUUAAUUAUAGUUUUAGCAUUUAGCAUAUAAUUAAAAAACAAGCUAACAUAAUGAAACAUGUACGAGCAAAAAAAAUUAGCAACUAAAAAGUGGAUGAGGUAUCACCAAGUGGUUCCGAAGAUGAGCAAAUGACUUUUUUCCGGUUGUGUGGUUCAUCUUCUUCUCCCCUCUAGCUUUCUUGUUCCUCUCACUUAGUUUCUAAAUUUCAAAAUCAAAAGCAAGAUUACAGCAUUGAAUGAACACAACUUUAUGAAGAAUGUUGUAGCUGAUUUGUACCUUUGCUUCUUCACUUUUCCAAUAAGCCCAAAGUUUGAUCCAUUGCUCUUCCCGUACCCUUAUGUCCUUUUGAAACCGAGCUUCAGCAUUUGGCACGGCAGAAUCAAAAUAGUUAGCCUUUAAAUCUGCCUUCCAGCUUCUCCAUUUUUUGCCAAUAGAUCUUAAGGUCCAAGCUUCCAGUCCCAUAGGCAAAGCAAACCUUUCCUGAAACGUAGUUAGCAACAAGAAAAUCAACACAACUUCACAGUAAUUUUUGUACAAAGCAUACAUAAUACAAAAGCUGCCAUUACCUUUAUCACUUCUAACAUGUCCAUUUUAAGUUUCCUUGGCAUCUUAAGCCAUGUUUCAACAUCUAUUGGACAAUACAUACCAUUCCUAGCCAAACUGCCCAAGAAUUCAGAGAAAGAGUUUUUCUCACUUAUUGGGAUCCCAUUGUCAUCGAGUUUAAUCUCAAUCCGUGGAAGUUCCUUAGGCCGACCCCAAAUUUCUUUCAUAAAUAUAGGGCCUCGGGUUUUAUGAUUUACUUCACUUGAAUCAUUUGUAGUUUCUUUUCCUGUUUAAAAUAAGAAAAAGGUGCAAGUUAUGAACAUAACAAAAUGCACUUCUGGAAUUGGUUCAAAACAGUUAGUAAUACCUGCAUUGUCCGAGUUGCAUGACAUGAAGGUGGUGUCACUGGAAUGUGGACCUCGAGAAUCCUGAUUUGGACUUUCUUCGGUUGCUUCAUGCCUUGUUCCAAGUGGAGAUUGUUGAAUUGGAGAGUUCUGGCACUGCUCAUGCGACUUGGAACCUCCAUCAGCUUGUUGAGUAACUUGGUCACCUGAUUCAUGCAUUAUUCCCAAUGUAGAAUUCUGAAUUGCAGAUUGAGGUGCCCGAGCAGCUUCUCCUUGCACUUGUUCAAUUACAUUUUCAUGGCUUGUUCCAAGUGGAGGCUGCUGCCUUGUUUCAUAACAUGAGGGAGGUUGCUCAAUUGGUUCAUCUCUCAAUCCAUUUGCAGCGCGCUUACAUUUUCGACCUCUACGGGCCAUACCUGCAUAAUAUUUGAGUGAAGAAAGGGACAAAUGUAAAUGUUUAAAAUUUAUUGAAGCACACUCUCUACCUAUAGUUUCUUUAACUUACAAAUGCUAUUAUAAAGAAGUACUACUUGAACAAUAAACUGGCAUGACAAGUAACAAAUGGCAUUCUGCAAGAAUAAACCAGGGGAAGACUAUGGAGCUGUCAACAGAACAGAGAAACAAAUGGAGAAUAUAUGAUUCAAUGCAGCAACUAAUUGGAAAUGAAAUGAAAGCUACAUGCUUAAGUGACUGCAAGAAUAUACAUGGGAAAUGCUUUGAUCUACAUCCUUUCAGCAUGAAAGAUAUGCAGAAUUUACUACCGCUAGACACGAAACUUUUUCCAUAUUGUUCUGAGAAUGAUGCCUAUGAUCAAAAGUUGGUAUGCUUAUGCUCAAUGAGGGUGUAAGUAGAAGAGUCCACGUAAUUUUAACUUCAGUAAUGGAGCAAACUAAUAAAUGAUUGUCUUGAAUUAACGAAAUAUACUUGGCCAUGUGAUAACCAAAAAUUGCAGAGGAUAAUGUAUUCUACCAACAAAUACAAGUCUUGGUUUUGUAUGUUUAGGGUGGCAAUCGGGUCGGUUAUGAAGCUCUACUGAAUACUUUUAUUUCCAGAUUCUGACAUGGUUCUGCAUUUAUCAAGAACUUGUCUCAUCUAAACAAGAGCUCAAGCUUUACGUAGCAUUGACGAUUCCAAACCAAAUUACUUCUCUUUUUGCCAGAGCCACAUCCACAGUUAUGGGUUGACACUUAACAGUAAAUGCACAAACACUUUUCCAAUACAAUUGUAGCAGUACAAACAAUACAGUUGUAGAACAGGAAGGAGACGAAGAGCAUCACGGUGAAAGACUGAAAACGAGAACCCAUCACCAAAAAUAGAUGGUUGAAAUUGUACAUUCAGUUCACAGUAGCAGUCUCCAUUCGACCAGGCUCACCUAGAAAUGUGCUUCUCAGAAAUGUGCUUUUCACACCGCCACCACCCCAAAAGCUUUUCACACCACCACCACCCCCCAAAGCAAACAUUCUACCUAGAAAUGUGCUUCUCAGAAACGGAGAAGGUGCUUGUCAGAGAUGGGAAUCGAAUAGCCUAAAAACUAAAUCUACCAAGCAAUGCAAGAACAUGUCUACCAUGCAAUGCAGAAUUAGACACAAAAUACUGAAAUUACCUCAAACUAUGGCUUGAAUCCCUAAUUUCUCGGUUUCCCAAGCUUUGAAGCCCUAAUUCUGAUUUCUUCCCACCAAGCCAACACAACAGCCGAAUUAGGGAUUUGCCUGGUGCGAGCUCAACCAAGUUACCCAAAAGGGUGCGAGUUCAUGGACGGCAAUUGACUCAAAUUGGUUGUGCGAGCUUGAAAGAGAGAGAGAGGACAAAGGCAGAGGACAACGAGAGAGGGAGAAGAUGUCUGAAAUAAAGGCAGUACUAAUGACGCCAAAGUAAAUUAGUCAAGCCUCUUGAAUUUUUCAAUUUGCCGCGCUACUAAUGACAAUUUUUGUGUGUUUGGGCAAAAUUUUGUUAAAGCUAGAUAACAACUAAAAAUUUGGUUAAAGCUAUAUACAAUAUAAUAUAACAACUAAAAAUAUAAAGGCUAAAAAUCUUGUUAAAGCUAUAUAACAACUAAAAAUAUAACAAAUAAAAAUUUUGCAAGAGCUAUAUACAAUAUAAUAUAACAAUCAAAAAUUUUGUUACAGCUAUAUAACAACUAAAAAUAUAACAAAUAAAAAUUUUGUUAAAGCUAUAUACAAUGUAAUAUAAUAACUAAAAAUAUAAAAAUAAUUAAAAAUUUUGAGAAGCUAACAAAAAACAUUCUUUUAAUCAAAAUGUUUUUUACUCAAUUUAUUUUAUGCUGCGAGCAAUUAUGUACGGCUUGUAGUCUAACAAGCCAUUGGAAGGAUCGAAUUAGUUUAUGAAACAAGAAAAUUAACUUGUGAAUGCAUGAACUUUCCAUUGAUAAACAUUGGGAUUAGAAUUGAUUGAACAUAAACAAUGAAUAUAUAUAUAUAUAUAUAUAUAUAUUCAAUGUUUUCAAUUCCAAAGCAAUUGCCAUUGAACUUUGUGUUAAUUAGAAACUUACUAUCACUUACAAGAUCUUACUAUUGAACUUUUCAAUGAUUAACCUUAGGCUUACACUUACAACGCAUUAAUUGAACAUAAACAUAUAUAUAUAUAUAUAUAUAUAUAUAUAUAUAUAUAUAUAUAUAUAGGGUAAAAAAAAAAAAGGCCCCCUGUGUAGUUAACCUAAUACACAGAAAAGCUCCCCAUGGUUUCAAAAUAUACAACACGAUCCCUCAUGCUUUGAACUAAAUUGUAAAGGUGACGGAAUCCGUUAAACUUAACGGAAAUGGACGAAAUGACCAAAAUGCACUGAUAUAAUUAAGCAAAAGACAGCUCAAAAAAAUCAUUUGUUUCAUUCUCUAAGUAGAGAGAAUUGAGGGUUAAGGGGUAGAAUAUGCAUAUUUGAUAAAAAAUAGGCAUAAAAAUUUUUUUUAGGUUCCAAUAAGUCAUUUCCGUUAAGUUUAACGGAUUCCGUCACCUUUAUAAUUUAGUUCAAAACAUGAGGUGUCGUAUUGUAUAUUUUGAAACCAUAGGGGAUUUUUCUGUGUAUUAGGCUUACCACAGGGGGUUUUUUGUUUUUUACCCAUAUAUAUAUAUAUAUAUAUAUUCAUUGUUAAAAAUUCCAAAGCAAUUGCCACUGAACUUUGUGUUAAUUAGAAACUUACUAUCACUUACAAGAUCUUACUAUUGAACUUUUCAAUGAUUAACCUCAGGCUUACACUUACAACGCAUUAAUUGAACAUAAACAUAUAUAUAUAUAUAUAUAUAUUCAAUGUUUUCAAUUCCAAAGCAAUUGCCAUUGAACUUUGUGUUAAUUAGAAGCUUACUAUCACUUACAAGAUCUUAAUAUUGAACUUUUCAAUGAUUAACCUUAGGCUUACACUUACAACGCAUUGAUUGAAGGAUAAUCUAAAAUUGCGACUAAACCGAUUAAAUUCGAUCAAAGAUCAGUUGGACUAGAAAGCUCUAUCGGAAUUAACUUUUUGUAUUGUUAUUGGUUUAAAAAAUAAUUUUUUCAUGGUAUUAAAAAAUUAUUUAAGAAAUUUAUAGAUUAAAGUUUCAAAAUAUUUCUAUUAAAAAAUUAGACCUCGGUUAUUGGGAAAAAGAAUUGGCCAUAAAAUAAUGAUUCACAAAUGUAAUAUUACAGCUUACAAUUAAUGGAAUUGCUUAUAAAAUAAUGACAAGUAUUUAUCCAGCCCAUUGGGCUCUUAAAAUAAGUAAUGGGUUCCUUGGAAAGUUGGAUAGUUUUAUGUUUGGUCUGAAAUGAUUUGCACAUUCCGUACGUUGCCAAUUGUUCUCCCCAAAUCAUAGCCUCGGUUGCCAAUUGUUCUCAUGCUAUUAAAAGAAAAAUCAUUCCAAUACCAUUUUUAUGAAUAAGACUGACGAUUACUAACCAAGACUAGAAAUCCAAAAACUGGACCAUGGGAGUAUCAAUGAAGAAAGGCCUUAAAGAGGCAAAUUAAUACACAAGUUUUAACUAAUAGCACCAACUCUUUUAUCACAUCUGUCAGAAGGCUUAACAUGACAUCGAGAGCACUAAACUCAAAAAAAAAAAAAUGCAAAACCCAUCGACAAAAGGAAAUAAAGCCUAGGCCUCGCAAUUGAAACAGAGAAGAAUAAGGCCAGUAAGCUUUAAAGCUAUAAAAGAUUCUAAAUCAGAUUAUAUUGGGACAAAUCAACUUCAAUCCCAAGUCCAUUCUCACGAACCCAACUAAUUUCCUCAUUUUCAUUCUCAACAACAGGAUUGCCAACAUCACUUUGCAAAUAUGUCUCAACAUCCAUGGUUGUGCCCAUGUUAUAUCCAGCUCUUGCAGUGGUAGAGAUAACCACUUGCCAAUCCUUAUCAGUUGGAUCUUCCACAUAAAAAACCUGUGAUGCUUGUGAAGCAAGUAUAAAUGGCUCAACAUGAGGCCUCACGUUUGCAAAAUUGACUAAAGUAAACCCAUCAGCAUCUUGUUUCAUUCUCGAACCAUUUGAUAUCCAAUCACAUUCGAAUAACACCACCCGCGACCUCCGUAAAUUAAUUCAAUCAUAUUUUUCAAGAUGCCGAAGUAAACUAGUUCACUCAAAACUGGAUUUUGAUCCCUUAUACUUGCAAAACUGGAUGUUGUUGCAUUGACUGUAACACCACUAUUCUGCGUUUUUCUUUUCUUCUCAACUUCUUUGGUGUGAAACCGAAAUCCAUUAACAACAUACCUGCCAUGUUGGAUUCCAACAACAUCUGGACCUUUAGCAAGGAACCUCAACUCUCUCAACACCGAAACAUUUUGAGGAAGUUCUAACUUGUCAAUCUGUAAAAAAAAAAAAAAAAAAAAGAUGAAACUAUAUUUGAAGUCCUACAAUUCAAAUUGUACUUAAUAUUCAGAAUUUUACUUACAUGUUCAGCAAACCAACAUGCAAAAUUUUCACUGUGCAAGCGCUCUUUUAGAUGCUGUGGAACUUGAGGAUGUCCUUCUUCUAUCAAUCUACGAUGCUGCCUAGAAGUACAUGAGUCAAAAUUGUAAUCAUACAUUGAAUUCUACAAUAAAAUUUUAAUGCAUCAAGUUGUAGUUGAACUUACUCUAUGUAAGGUGUGACAGCAUCACAGUUAAAUAAAAUAUACUGAUGUGCUUUACUCAAGAUAUGAGCAUCAAAGACUGUUGGCUUGCCCCUCCCCAAAGGAUGUCCUGAUUCAGAGAAUAUAUCUAAACCAUCUUCAAUUUCCUUAUGUACUUCUUCAUUUCUGCUUGGACGAUUGAAUUUUGUCUCAACAUAGUCCGCAAGAUACAAUGAGCAAAAGUUAAUGCAUUCUUCUGCCAAGUAGCCUUGAGCAAUCGAACCUUCAGGCCUACUUUUAUUUCGAACAUAAGAUUUUAAUGUUCCUAAGUACCUAAAUUAUCAUCAUUCCAAACUCUCUAAUUAGUUCCACAAAUCAAAGAAAGCAAAAAAGGAAUAAACAUUUAAGGCAUAAUGAGAAUUACAAGCAGUACCUCUCUACAGGAUACAUCCAACGAUAAUACACCGGCCCACCUAAUUUCACUUCAAUUGCCAAAUGAACAACUAAAUGCACCAUGACAUCGAAGAAGGUUGGUGGGAAGCAUUUCUCAAGAUCGCAGAGUAUGACGGCAAUUUCACUUUCCAAACGAACCACAUCUUGAGGACAAAUAACUUUAGAACAAAGCUGCCUGAAGUAUCUACUCAAUCGAAUCAAAGGAUAGCGCACUGAUUUUGGUAAAGUCUUUCUCAAAGCUAUAGGCAUCAAUUGCUGCAUUAGGAUAUGAUUAUCAUGACUUUUAAGCCCUGAAAUUCUUGGUGGUUUUACUCGAACGCAUCUUGAGACGUUAGCUGCAUAACCAUCUGGAACUUUCACCUUUUUUAGCACAUUGCAAAACAUAGUUUUCUGUUUUUUAUCCAUUGCAAAGGAAGAUGGAGGUAAGUACACCUUUCCAGGUUCUGUCUCAAUGGGAUGCAGCUCUUUUCUUAGUCCCAUUUCUCUCAAAUCACGGCGGGAAUUAUAAUGGUCCUUUGUUUUAUCCUCGGUGUCCAGCAAUGUCCCCCAAAUGUUUUCACAAACAUUUUUCUCAAUGUGCAUGAAGUCAAGAUUGUGUCUUAAGACAUUAUCUUUCCAAUAUGGCAAGUCAAAGAAAAUACUCCUCUUUUUCCAAUUGAAAGGCAGCUUCGGAUUACCUUUCACAAGUUUUCCAAAUUUAAUUUGCAAGUCUCCCAAUUCACUCACAAUCAUAUCCCCGGUUUGCAAAGGUGGUCGCUUUCCAUGUUCUUCGGUGCCAUCAAAGAAUUGGGCUUGCUUUCUAAAUUUAUGCUUACUAUCUAAGAAUCUCCGAUGACCAUGUAGCAAUAUUUGAAACUAUGAGUCAACCGUCGUGCAUGAGUGAACUUGUGACAAACAGGACAAGCAUAUUCACCUUUAGUGCUCCACCCAGAUAACAUUGCAUAUCCAGGGAAAUCACUAAUGGUCCACAACAGAGCCGCAUGCAGUUGAAAAUUUUCUUUUUGGGAUGCAUCAUAAGUUUGAAUGCCAAAAUCCCACAAUUCGGUCAGUUCUUUAACUAGAGGCUGUAGAUAAACAUCAAUAUUAUUCCUAGGAGAGGAUGGUCCGGGUAUUAACAAAGACAACAUGAAGUACGGUUGCUUCAUACACAUCCACAGAGGUAAGUUAUAUGGUAUUAAAACUACAGGCCAAGUACUGUGUGUAGAACUCAUGUUGUUGAAUGGAUUAAACCCGUCAGAUGCCAACCCCAAUCUAACAUUUCGACAAUCCUUAGCAAAUUCUGGAUGUAGAUGGUCAAAAGUUUGCCAAGCUGGAGAAUCAGCUGGAUGUCUCAUACAACCAUCUUUUGUACGUUUUCCUCAUGCCAUCUCAUUUGAGAUGCAAUUUUAGAAGACAUAAAUAGUCUUUGUAAUCUAGGUUUUAAGGGAAAAUGCCACAACACUUUUUGAGGAAUUUUCCUUUUUUCCCCAGUUGGAUCAUUUUCUGAAGCAACCCACCUAAGCUCGUUACAUGUUUCGCAUGAAGUUCUUUUUUCAGCACUACCCCUAUAAAGAGAACAAUCAUUAGGACAUGCAUCGAUCUUUUCAUAACCCAGCCCCAAUGUAUUCAUCAAUUUCUCAGCCUCAUAGUAAGAAGACGGCAAAUUAGUCAUGGCCUCCGGAAAUGCUUCUCUCAACAGCUCAACAAGCAUAUUAAAAAUCUUGUUACUCAUCUUACCCAGGCAUUUUAGGUGAAGCAAACGAAUAAUGAAAGACAAUUUCGAGAAAUUUUUGCAACCAUUGUACAAAUCCUGUUGAGAAUCAUCAAUCAAUUUGUAAAAUUUUUCAGCCUCUGAAACAGGAAUGUCCCCUUCUCUAUUCAAUUCAUUUGUUCCAUGUGGUAUCCCAAAUACAUCAUGGACCAAGUCUUGCAUGUCAUUAGUCCCAUUUGAAACCCAAUUGAUGUAUUUUCAGAAUUAGAUGUGGCUUCAUUGUAGUUUGAAAGUUCUCCAUGUGCUAUCCAAUUAUUAUAACCCUUGAUAAAUCCUACCACUUUCAAAUGAUCAUAUGCUUCCAUUUUUGUCACACAAACACCCAUGCCGCAAUCUUUGCAAGGACACAAAAUCUUUCCGUCACAACUUGAUCUAGAAAAUGCGAAGUUUAGAAACAUUUGAAGUCCUGUCUCGUACUUUUCACUUGUUCUUGGAAAAUCCAUCCAUCUUUUAUCCAUACUUUUAAUAUAAAUAAAUGUCCUCCAACGAGCUUCCAAUAGCCUACUUUUUAAACUCAGGUCGUGGCUUACAAGUCCCUAAUUUCAAGUUCAAGAAUUUCUCACAAAAAGGAAUUUAUCAAGCAGCCAGCAAAUAAAGGAAAUCAACAAAAUGCAAAAUUUCUCAACAAUCUAUAAAAACAGAAUUUGCAAGUAAGCGGAUAGAAAUUUUAUUUACCUAAUAACAGAAAAAAACCCUUCGUACCAACUCCUGCGCUCACGUCUUCGCAAAAUUCCUAAGUUCAAUCUGAAAUGUCAAUGGUUAAACAAACACAUGAGCAUGAAAACUAAAGGUGAAAUUCAAGAAUUUUACUAAAUUUUCAUCAAAGUAUACAUACAUCUUUGGUGUGUAGUGAUUAAUUUUAUAAGUCAUCUCUUUAGAAAGGCAUGCAAUUGACGGCAUAGGUAAUUGGAAAAAGAAUGACAGAAAAGUCCCCUAGCUUCUAAUCAUGCCUAUGAAGAUCCUUAUGAACAUGUCAAAAUACUUUGACCCAACUACAUCAAUGUCUCUGUCUUAUUAAUCUAAAAGUCCCCUUUUUUGGGCUCAAAAUUUGCACUAUAAUAGACUGAUCAAGUGCAGAAGACACUUAGUACAAGCGUUAUACUAUAUAUUUCAAGCAACUCACGUACUGAUUAGACAUACAAUUUAAAACAGAAAAAUGAUGUAAAGAUGCAAGUACUACAUAGAAUUUAACAUAGAAAAAAGCAAUAGUGAUAUAAGUGAUACCAUUGGGUGAAAUAUGCACUUAGCCGGAGGACCACCUUUGUGGCAAAAGCCAAAAGGCAGCAAAGGUUACCAUUGUUAUGCAAAUUUUGUGCCUCACAUUGGCGGUCCAUUAUCUGCAUCUUAAUUGUCUUUGGGCUUAUAUAGUCACGGUUUCCCAAUUCUGUCACCAGAAUAAUUUCCUGCUAGGCAUAUAUAGACCAUGGUCCUUGUUUCAUUUAUUUAUAUCGAACUUGUUGCUGAGUGUUCAUGAUUACGAUAAGCAAUGCAAUUUGGUUGAAGCUCUCUAUUCACAGUUUUGCUUAACCGUCCCCAUCCCCAAACAGAACUAGCUGCCUAAACAAACUUCAAUUACAGCUAGGUUUCAUAGAAAAAAAUGAAAAACAGGGGGAAUUGACUUUUUAUCGAACAGGUUUUGGGCAACAUACUAAUCACCCGUGGACACUUUAUUAGCUAGCCUAUGUACAAUUAUGGCAUGACGAUAGAACAAAUGUAACAUGGACAUAAAGAUCGAUCUCCUCAAAAAAUACGCAAUCCAAUUGAACAAAUUUCCUCAAGUUUUCAUCUCCAUUGCAGCUAAAGAAAAAGCAUCCAACACCGAGUUGCUAUUAAUGCUACAAUUAGAUAGAUAUCAUAUUUAAAUCUUUCAACAAUCUUAAAUGAGGACAAUAUAACUCAACUAGCGACAGCUCAGGCCAAGAAUCUUUACUUCUCAGAAAAAAAUUUCCAAGUUGCAGGUAAUUUCUUGACAACGAAAUCAAACAUAAGAGCUUCAUUGUGUUUACCACUUCGAUUUUGGAACAACAUUUGCGCGCCUGAAGUAUCUUCCAGCUUUCCCAAUGUACAGCUCCGAUCUUCUAAUUUUACUCCCUGCCUGCCCUUCCAGAUGUCUUAGCCGAAGGAUUUAAAGUUGAGGUUAGAAAAGAUGAAGAUGGUUGUUUGCGGAGACAGCUUGACCAACAUUCUGGAUUGGCUGAGAUAGAUUGUAUGCGGAGAGGUGAGAGAGAUGAGAAGAAGAAAAUUUUCACCAAGUCCUUUUGCCGGCAAAAUGAAACUUCAGAGUACUUUACCAAGUGUCUGGAGCCAAAUUAAAACGAUGUCAUUUUCUGUCUUUUUUUUUCUCACAUUUUCCCAAGUGUCAUGAUAGGUAGUCUAAAGACACAUUAUUAUUUUAUAUCAUGAUAAAAUAAAAAAAUUAUAGUACAGAUUAUUGAGUUGGUUAAUAAGUGUCAUGAUACGUUUGGUAUAACGACACAAACCAACAAGUGUCCUUAUAAACAUGUCAGAAAAGGCCAUUUUUGUUGUAGUGCCUGUUGCGUUUUGAAUUUCUUAAAUAAAGGUCUUCUCUUACCCCCAAGCUAAAUUUCACACACGUUGCUCUUAUUCCUAAAUAUUUAGAGCCCAAGCAAGCAAAUAUCUCAAUUCCGUCCACUAAGUUUAUGUAAUGUAGUGUACAAAUUAGCGUCUAAAGCCAUCUCUAAUCGAGUCCGUGUUCUUUUACCGAAUAUUAUUUCUGAUCUCAAUCGGCUUUUAUUCCUGGCCAAUUAAUCACCAGUAAUGUCCUUGUUGCUUAUGAAGUCCAUCAUCUUAAAUGUAAAAAUGCAGGCAAGGAGGAACUCAGGUCGAUUAAAAUGGAUACGAGCAAAGCGUAUGAUCGAGUUGAGUGAUAUUUCUCUUAAAAAUAUUACUAGCUUUAGGUUUCAAUUCUAAAUUUAUUUUCUUAAUUUUCAAAAGUAUUUCAACAGUUUCUUAUUCUUUUUUGCUCAUCGGUUUGGGAUUUGGCCACUUAAAACCUAGUUGGGGUAUUAGACAAGGAGACCCACUUUCCGCAUAUCUAUUUAUAUUGUGUGCAGAAGCUUUUUACAUUUUAUCUCAGAAGCUAGUCUUUGUGGAAAGUUGGGAGGCAUUGCUGUUGCGCCUGGUGCUUCAUCCAUUUCUCAUUUGUUUUUUGCCAGAUGAUACUCUUUUAUUUGGAAAGCUACAGGGGAGGAGGCUUCAAAUUUUAUGCAGGUUAUCAAUCUUUAUGAAGGUGCAUCAGGCCAGCCGAUUAAUGUGGAGAAGUCAGUGGUGGUAUUUAGCAAGAAUACUCCAGAAGCUGAUUAAUUGGCAAUUGAAUGUUCUCUUCGAAUGCCGCCUGUGGAAUCACAUGAAAAGCACCUCUGGGGUUGCCUACUAUCGUUGAGAGAUCUAAAGGUGAGGUCUUUAAUUCUAUCAAACAAAGGGUUUUUAAACGGAUUAAUGGAGCAGCAGUUAUCUCGAGCAGGAGAAGAAAUUUUAUUGAAUGUCCCUUGUAAAGUUAAGCAUUAUCUCUGGAGAAUUUGCUGUGAUUUCUUGCCUACUAAAGUAAAUCUGCUCCGGAGAAGAGCUUCAGUGGAGCUCAACUGUCUGUCUUGUGGUUUUGAUAUUGAGGAUCUUAUUCAUGCAAUUUCUUUCUGGGCGUUAAGCUGCCUUAAAGGGCAAGUACGUAAGUGGCAGCAAUCAAUUCCCAAAGAGUGGGCUCUGGAGUUGUUAGUUACGUUGAAAAAUCGUGAAGCAGAGUUGUUUGAGAUGUUAUGUUGGGCUAUUUGGCUUGGGAGGAACCAAAAGCUGCAUGAAGAUAAACGAGUGGACCCUUUUGAGUUUAGUUAGCUUUGCUUCGGUGCGCUCCAAUAAUUCCAAGAAGCUAAUGUUACUCAGAAAUGUCCAGGCGAUGGCAAGUUAAAGUUUAAUUUUGACGGUGUGGUGUUUAAGGAAACUCAAUCUAUUGGUUUAGAUGACGGUGCGGUGUUGAUUUAUCUAGUUUAGACCCUCCAAUUUUUGACAUUACGAGGGACUUAACUAGUUUAGAGAUGUCUAGUAUUUCAGGAAUGAGUAGGAAUCAUAAUAAAAUCACUCAUAUAUUAGCUAAGAUCGCAGAAUUCAUAUGUGAUCAUGUCUUUUGGUGGAGAGAUCUCCAGAGUUUGUUGUGCCAUUUCUAAUGGCGGAUUUGUUAGAAAGUUAAUGAAAGUUCAAUACAGGUUAUGUUGAGUAAGACGUUGGAUUGAAAAUUCAAGAUUUUGAACUGAAAUUUCAAGAUUUUGAGAUGAAAAUAAAAGAUCACGCUAAACUUAAUGGAUUCAAAUCUUAAUAUGUGCAAAUGCGUUUGAUAACCAAAAUUGGACAUCUGAAUUAAUUAAGUGCUACUGAAUUUUCUAAACGAAAUUUGUUCUAAAAAAUAAGUGAUAAACUAUGCAUUUAUUACUGAAUGUGAUAUACACUUAAAUAUACUUGAUUUAAUACUUAACAAUCUAAUAAAUUAAUGGACUCAGAUUUUAGAUUUCAAUUUUAUCAAAGUAACCUAAAAAUAUAGACUAUAGAUAAAAUAACUGCAGAUAAUGAUUUAUGUUGAGUAAGCUUUCAAAGCUACGUUUCCCAAAACAAACUUUAGAUAAUCAUUCUCUAAUUUUUGCUUUCACUCUAGAAGAUGCGUACAAUAAUGGGUGUAUACAAAAAUGGAAGUUAAAUUGAUAACACUAAGCUCGCCAAUUCUCAUAAAAAAAAUGAUGACAUUGCCUGCAUUAAUUCUAGUAACGGACUGAAGACAAUAAUUAAUAGGUGACUAUAUGGUGCCUAAGGCACACAAUAAAAUGUGGACUUGGUACCAUUAUUUAUUUUUGUGAAAGGAUAAACCUAUUUUGUAAGGUGUCGCAAUUCAUCAUCAUGAAAUGAGUGGUAAUUUUAAAGCAUUAAUAGUGAAUUCACCUUCAUUUUUAACGUUCAUAUCGCAAAGCCUAUUAAAAAAUUUCCACCAGCACAAAUUCCACUUUUAAUAGGUUCGAAAAUUCACUCACAAAUUUAUCCACAAAUCCCAUUAACAAAAAAAAAAAAAAAAAAUGCAGAAAGUUAUCAACGGAACUUCUAUAGUGCGUUGAUGCGACACGUGUUGGUUGGAGAUUACUAGAUGGGAGUGGGGUUAAUCAAAGGUGGUAUUUUAGUAUUAAGCCCAAAAACCACCGGUAACAAUGGUAUUGACCCAAUUUCAGAGGAAUUGACCCACAUAAACUGUGAAAGAUUAUUUUCUCUGUCAUUUAAGGCAAUUUCUGAACAAGAUUUAGGCGUAUAAUAAAGAAAUUAUCAACCCCAACCCCCAAUAUUAUGCUAAUAUGCAAUUGGAAAAAAUUAAAUGAAUAUUUACUUGAAGUUAAGAAGUGGAUACCAAUCGGUAGAAAGUGUUUAUAACAUACUCCGAAAUGCCAAAGGACUUCCCAAAAAGUGGGAAGCAGGACAACAUCUGAAAUAUAGUCCAAGUUUGAAGUGCUUUAUGUCAAACAUAUUUCAAUAUAGAAAAAAAAAAAUUACUGGUUAGCAUAUGUUUGUGCGCAGUAUUUGUUGAUUGGGAGACGGUUCUAAGGAGGCGGUUUUGCAACAAAUAAGUAAACGGGAUGUCGAUUACUUGGAGUUGUAUCUUAUGCUGGAAAAAUAAUUAGACAUGUCAGUUAAGUAAUAUUUCAAUUUAAAUAAAGUUAGUUAGGAACUAGAACUCGUAACAUGGUUGGAUAUGGUUAGUGAAUAGGAUAUGAAUGUUGGGGGAUAGAAUACAACUAGAAUUACUAAGACAAAUUAAGCGUGACACUUUGAAUUCAAAUUUUACUAACAUUGCAUAAUAACACCUUUGACUGAUAAUUUUUUUUGAUACGGAAACUGGAAAAAUUUUAUUAAGAAGAGGAUAGAUCCGUAUUAAUUGCGAAAGAAAGAAAAAAUGGUGGAGAAAAUCUCCAACUAUAAAUACCUGAAAUAGAACUAGCAUUACUAUCUAAGAAAUGAGCAGGCACAAUUAGAUUCCUAGGAAUCCAAUCAGCCUCCCAAGUAAUGAAAUUCUGUAAACUAACAAAGAUAUCAUCUAACAGCACUCCAUAAGCUGAAUCAUCGGAUUCCAUAUUUUUAAGCAUGUUGAUGAUCUUCAAAGAGUCACCCUCUAAAACAAUCUUAGAACCUUCAACUGAAGUAACGAGGAAAUUGCAGAUAUUGCAGCAUAAGUUUCAGUUACUUCAGGAGAAAAGAUACCUAAGAUUUUGUGAAAAAUACUAGCAACAAAUUUGCCCCAUUCAUUCCUCACAACAAUUCCAACUCUAAAGUUGUCGUCUUCAUAGAAUAUUGCACCAUCGAAGUUUGCACUGCACCAUCGAAGUUUGCCUUUAGAAAUCUUGCAGAGGGCUUUAUCCAAUGAAGUUGAGCAGUGGAAGAGCAUAUUGGAAUGUUUGGAAAUGUGUUUAUUUCAUGGUAUUUCUAUAAGAAAUUGAUAGAGAGGGAGAGACCAAACUGAAGGAUCACGAUAGAACCAUCAAAUAAUGCAUCAUUUCGGUUAAACCGUAGAUUCCAAAGAAUUAUGGCUACCAAUUCCAUGUCCUGCUUUUUCAAAAGAUGAAGGCCAGACAACCGAGACGAAACUUGAUCGGUAGAGUCUAAUCUUAUCUUUAGUGUAAGAAAGCUAAGGGCCCAAGGUUGAAUUGCUACUGGACAGCACAAGAAAAGAUGAUUAACAUCAUCAAUAGGGGCCUUACAUAAAGAACAAGUAGGAUCAAAAUAGACUCCGCGACUAUUCAACUUGGAAGUUAUAGGUAGAAUGUCUUUGCAAAUUCACCACAAGAAUAUUUUAACUUUACUUGGUAUGUUGAGUUUCCACAAGCAGGGCCAAAUAUCAUCCAUAGAACCAUUACUACAUGAAGCUACAUCUUGUCAAUUUGUAGAUUAUAUUUUGAUAAGAUGAUAGGCAAUUUUCACUGUGAAGGAGCCAUUUUUAGAAUAGUGCCAAAUGAGCUUAUCUUGAUUUCGUCUAUCACCCAAUGGAAUACUCAUAAUCAACUCAAUCACAUCUAAGGAUAGCAACGGGGGCAGUGCCCGGGGGGCUAUGGGGCAGAGGUGGGGGGGGCGGGGGAAUUUUUCCCCCAUUUAGAAACGGGGCAGGGGCCCACCCAUUUGGAAAAAAAGAGAGAUAUAUAUAUGUACAUAAUUAUAUAUAUAAUAUAUUAUCAAUUAUACAUGUCUAUUAAUAAAAAUUAUUAAUUAUUUAUACUAAAUUUAUUAAUACAUUUAUAUUAAAUUCCUAACUACACUUAAUACAAUAACACUUUUUUUCUAAAAAAAACACAAUAAUAAUUUAGUGAUUGUAUUUGUAUCAAAAGUAAAAACAAUUAUUUUAGUUAUAUUUGUUUUAUCAUAUUAGAUCGUAUUCAAAUAACUUUUGUUUAAUUAUUUUUAUGAGUUUCAAUUGUGAAGUUAUAAUGAAUAAUAAUUUGGUGAUGUGAUUGAUAUUUUAGUACUUGAUUACUUGCUCAAAUUUAAUUAUAAUAAAAUUAUAUAAUAAUUUUUUUAACCGCGGGGGAAGCGGGGCGGGCGGAGGACGGGACGGGACGGGGGAAUUAAUAGGCAACGGGGGGGGGAGGGGCCACCCUAAUCACAUCCUGCCAAAAAAGCUCUUGAAGCAAAUCAUAUUUCCAUUUCCUGCUAUUUUCAUCAAUUAAACAAUCUAUAGUGGAGAUUUCUAGUAGCACAUCAAAACGAGAUAUAAUUUUGAAAUUAGAAAGACGUGGAAUCCACCUCUUUCCAAAUUUUGAUAUGAUUCCCGUGUCCAUCUCACCAUCUACUACCAAAAACACCUUUGAUUGAUAAUUAAAUAGUUAAAAAAAUAUAUCUACUUAAUUUGUUUACUCAAUAGUUAUGUGAACUAAAACAUAAAAAAGAAGGUCAAUUAUUAUAUUAGUGUUAUAUUUGUAAUAUUAGUUCCCUAUAUAGUAGGUUGCCGAGUUGGGCAUAUUUAUAUUCUACCAAGUAAAUGCCCUAUCUUUUCGAAACGUGGCAAAAAAAAUUGUGUUUGUUUUUUUGGUAGAUUUCAUUCUUUUUCUUUUUUGGUAACAAUUAAUUUACUAUUCAUUUUCACUUCAUUAUUUAUAGUAAAUUUCAAUCAAUUAUCAAUUACUUACCUUAUAUGCAUUUCUAUUAAUUAUACCUUUAUUUUUUUAAUCAACUUAUAGCUUUCCUUUUUAAUUAGGCACUCGUUAAUAUAUGUCUUAGGUGUUAAAUUUUUAGAAAUAUAAGAUGAAUUAGGGAGCAUAUAAAUGUAAGGGAAUUAAUUAGAAAAAUAUAUAAAUAAAAGAAAAAGUAGUAAUGUUGCGUAUAUAUAUGGCAGGUUAGGUGGAAUGCAGGUGUGUUAACGAUUACCCAUAGGGCACCCAUUAGAAAUACUCAUCAAAAUUUGGAUUAAUUUUUUUCCUUUCAUUGCAAUCAUUACUACCAUUUUUCCUAUCAUUUAUUACUAUACCUUCAUGUUUCUAAAUACCAAUAAAUGUAUUACUCUCUUACUUUUUAUUUGAUUGUGCUAAUUAUAGCUUUCCUUUUACUUAAUCAAUUAGUCAAUCGAUCAAUCAACCCAUGAUUUUAAUUCUCUUUUCAAUCGCACGAUCUUUCUUUUAUCCAUCAUUAGGGAGAUUUACAAUUUAGUCACAUAUUUGUUAUGUGUACAAUAAUUAUGCAAUCAUAAGCACAAACUAAUGCAAUUCUAAUAAUUUUGCAUAUAUGCAUUCAUAUUGUAUUGCAACACCUUUAAUAAUUCAUUAUAUGGUUACAAAAGCCAAAAAAAAUCUAGUAUUACCUAGACCUUAGAUAGUCCCCAAUGUAUACACUGAUACUGUAUAAAAUGAUUUUAAACCCGUUAAUAUAUAUACUGAUUGCAUAUGAAGAUUCAUCCCUAAUUUAGACCUCUUAGAUAGUUUGCAUGCAUUAUAUUCCCUUUUUUAAUUUCUUAUUUAGUUUACCUUAUUACCAUUUAUGAUUUUUUUUUAAUUUAAGCAACAUCUUCCAAUAUUUUAUCACCAUUUUAAGUUAGUUCAUUUUUAGGAGAUAGUAGUAUAAGUGUGGUAGUUUGUCCAAAUAACUUUGAAUAUGCAUAUACAACCCAAAAAUAAAAUGAUAGUUGUUUAUAUUCUUAUCACUCAACGAUGAUAGUGUUAUGUAAUUUAAAUGAUUGAGAUCUAUUGCCAUCCAAAUAUAAAUUUAAUAUGAGGGUAUGAUAACUAAAAAUGACUAUAGAAUCUCCCUAAAUACUAAAUAAUGCGAAUAGAGAUAUUCCCUCAAAAACUUGUAAAGUACUUAAUGUGUAUACGGGUAAAUUCUUGCAAUAGUGAAAGGAAAAUAUCUUACUAGCCUUGAAAUUUUGGCCCGUGUAUUGACUUUUGUUAGCUAAAUUAAACUAUCUUGGAGUGAAGACAUAAAAUCUGCGGCAAAUUUGAGAGAGUUGUGAACAUAGCUUAUCUAGCGUACACAUUUUUUCCGAGUUUGAAUUCUCUCACUUACACGACAAAAAGAAAAAACUAUCGUACAUUUAACUUCCAACUAACAAUGAUGUAUAGGUAAUAAAUUAUAUGCAUGGGAUAUUCCAUAAAUAAAUGAAAUAUAUUUACACGACAAAGAGUAAAUUCUUAAAUUAAGAAGAAAUAAUAUUAUAGUAGCUGUCAAUUUGUUUAUAUGACUUUUUGGUUUGUCUUUACUCAUGACAACCAAUUAUGUUAUUUUGAUGUAAAAAUAUCCAAAAACGGUUGAAUACAAUGUGGGACAUUAUUAUUAUUACUCGGAUACCUCAAUAUUUAUAAAAUUGAUUAAAUUGGAAUCCAUUUGGAUUUAACAGUAUUUUGAAAAAACUAUUUUUGUUGUUCAAGUCUAUAGUAAUAAACUUUAAAAAUAACCUCAAAAAUAAUUUAAAAAUACAACAUAUCUCAAAUACAUUAAAAAAUAAUUAAAAAAUUUCCCUAAUUCUUCUUCCCCACACUACCCACUACAACCACCACCACUACCCAUCACUGUCCACUACCACCACCAUCACCCCACACCCAUGACCCGUCUUCCUCUCUCCUCUCUCUCUUUCUCCUCUCUCUCUCCUCCCUCCUUCCUCCUUUUCUUAUUCUCCUUCUCCUUUCUCCUUCCUCCUCUGCCUUGUCUUUCCUCCCUUCUCCCUUCCUUUCCCCACCCCCUAAUCCCCCCUUCCCUCUACUGACUGUGGCCUUCUUGGUCUUGACCAGAAAGGUUGCAGCCAGAAGCCGCGACUAGUGGCUUCUGGUUGCAACCAAGGUCACAGAUGGAGUCGCGGUUACCAUCCACGAUUGGGAGAGGUUUGAGGGUCAAACGAGAGGGAGGGGAGAGAAGGAGAAGAAAGAGGAGGGAGAAGGAAGAGGAAGGGAGAAAGAGAGGGAAAACAGAGGGAGAGACAAGAGAGGAGAGGGGGUAACGGCGUGAGUGGUGGUGGUGGCUGGCGUAAAAUUUUUUAAAAAUACCCCAAAAAAGUUGUAAAUUAUAAAAAUAUCCCAAAAAUGUAUUUUAAAAAGCCCUAAAAAUACCUUUAAAAAACCCCCCAAAAACAUCUAUAGUACAAGUUAUUUAUAUAUAUAGUUACCGUAAAGUUUUUAAAAGAUACCCUAAAAACAGUUAGUCCAAAUGGAGUCUUGAGUUUUGAGGUUAAGGUUCAAUGAUUGACCACAAUUUAGGUCAAAGUAAAACUUGGCCGAAAGUUUAGUGGGUAAAAUAUAAUUUUAAAAAUUAAUCAUCUUCCCUGAUCCUCACAGUUGCAAUGGUGAACUGUCAGCCCCUUAGGACGUGUUCCAGACGGAAACGCGCAACCGUGGUAGAUUUCGGUCACUCAUGGUCAACUUGGAAGGCUGAAGGUGAACUGGUUGGGAAAAACUUGGACACAUGUUUGAUGAUGUAUUCCAUGCCUAUGUAUGGGUUUGGAAAAGUUUCAGGGCUAGGAAAUGUCUCUAAAUUAGGGGAAAUGAGGGGUGGCUUUACUAGCGGUCCGAAAUUUUUAGCUAGGACUACUAUAGAGAGAGAUAACUAUAACUAAGCCAAGUCAAUGCCAAGGGCUGGGGGCUAAGGCUUUAUGGGUUAUUUGGAUGGUUCCAAGCAUUUGGGCUGUGUGCCUAAGUUGCUAAGUGUUGGGCCAAGUUGGGCACGGAACUAAGCAAAUGGCAAGAAGCUGGGUGUGCGAAACUGUGUGACCAUUGCCUGUGCGCUCCAAAGACGAACGUUGGGACUGUCUGGCAGUUGCUAGUCGUUUGCUGGAGUUGCGGACGAUUAUCAGUCAACUCAGACACGUUCUUAUCGGUUUCCUGACUUCAUGUACAUUCGGGUCGGACCAACGGUUGGGUCUUGUCAACUAUAACAAUGCAUAUAAAUAAAUGGCUAGGUAGGGACUAAAGGCAGAUAGUGAGAAACACCCUUAGAUGUUCUGCAGCUAAAUGUUUGUAGAAUUGUCCUUGUAAUCUCUAUAGUGAAAUACAAGGUUGGCCGUUUGUUGUAACUUGUGCGUGUGUUCCUUUGUUUUUGCCUAAGUAUUCUAUGUUGAAUACUUGUAUGCAAGUGUCAGUGUAAGGGCUGACUGGAAGCGCGGCUUAUCAAUGCCAUUACAUGCUUGUUAGGCUAGUGAGCGUAAACACCUCGUAAUAGUUUGGUAUCAAAGCACGGCUUUGAUCUAUUAGACUGUGCUUCUGUUAUGUGUUUUGUUGGUUAAUGAUGGUUGGACACAGGAAUUCUGUUGCAAUGCUUGGAAUGGUUGCAAUGUUAGGAACUUGCAUUCGAGGACUUGAUGCAGUGUCUAGGAGAUGGCCUAGAAGGCUUCAAUGUCAUAGAAGUUCUAUUGCAGACUAGAGAGAUGAUCAACACCCUGACUGCACAGAUGGACCAGGCAGACAGUUUCUUCUGUUGGGGAUGUUGAGAUGCUAAGGAAUGAAAUGAUUGCUCCCAUGCAAAGAUCGUGGCUUUACAAUCGAAGAUCAAUGUGUUAAAAAAGGCAGUCGGCUCUUGUAACACACAGACCUUUCAAAAAUCUUCGAAGAGGAAAGUGAAAGUCCUAGAUCCGAAACCAUACCAAGGUAGUAGGAGUUCGAAGUAUUUGGAAAACUUUUUGUGGGAUUGUCGAGUAGUACUUCAAGGCUAUUGACAUUCCUGAAGUAGAGAAGGUGUCAAUUGCAUCAAUGUGUCUUAGUGGUGAUGUAAAGUUAUGGUGGAGAACAGUGCAAUCAGACCUACCAAACCCAAGAUCGGUACUUGAGAAGUACUGAAGGAGGAAUUGAAGAAGCAAUUCCUUUCCACGAAUGUUUAAUGAAAAGUUAGAGGUGUAUUGUGAAACUUAAAGGAGAAUAAGAAAGUACAGAGUACGUUACAGAGUUCCAAGCCUUGAUGUUAGAUGUAAGGGAAAUGUCUGAGGAAGACAGACUCUACAUCUUCAUCCAUGGACUUCAACCGUGGGUACAGAUGGAGUUGCGGUGAUAAAAUGUUCAGACCGUGUCUCAAGCACUUGCUACUGUCGAGAAGUUGAUAGACUUCAAGUCCAUAGGAUCCAAAAGUGAAAAAAAAAGAAGGGCAAGGAUAAGGCUAAGGGCUCGAAAGGUGGUCAAUUCUCAAAAAGAAUAAAAAGAAGCAGACAGUAACAACGACCGAAACUAGCGGUGCUUCCUCUUCUAAGAAGAAGCAAACAUCCAACCCUAAAAAGGAUGGCUGCUAUACCUGUGGAAGACCACACUUAACCUGCAAUUGCCUCAAUAAGAAGGACCAGAACGUUAGUGCCUUAGUGGCAGAAGACAAUAGUGACCAGUUGGAGGUCCAGGAUGCACGGGUCAACCCCAUGUAAUUCUUGAACGCCAUCACCGAUACUAAUGUCUGUACUCUUUACAAUGGUUUGAUGUAUGUGCAGGUUACAUUGAAUGGUAACCAUAUAUUGACGAUGGUUGAAACGGGAGCAUCAUAUAGUUCUAUGAUGGAAAAAGUAAUGAGUCGGUUCCGGUUACAGUUGAAAGACUUGGGUUUCAAAAUUGAAGGCUGUAAACUCUGAAACCAAACCAGUGCUAGGCAUGGCGACCGUAGAUUAGAGUUGGAGCCAUGGAAGGGUUGGUGCAAUUUCAUGGCAAGUCAAAUGGAUGAUUUUGACUUGAUUCUAGACAAAGAUUUCAUAGUUGCAAAUAGGAUCUAUCCAAUUCCGCACUUGGAUGGCGUCAUGGUGAAUGAUGGCUAGAGUCCAGGCUUUGUUCUUGUAGUAAAGUUGCAGAAACAAAAGAACAAUCAACAAAAGAACAUGGUAUCAACGAUAGAGAUUGAGUCAUAUCUUCUGAGGCGGUGAAGUUGUGUAUAUUGCUGCAUUGGUGGAAACCAAACCUAACAUGUACCAGAAGUACCUAACGCCAUGGCCCACGUUCUAGAGAAGUUUACAAAUAUCAUGCCUACAAAGUUUUCGAGAUAGCUUCCUCCAUCCUGUGCCGUGGAACACAAGAUCGAGUAGGUUCCAAGAGCCCAACCACCUGCCCAAACUCCUUAUCGCAUGUCCCCGAUAAAGUUGGCUGAGAAAGAUAUAGUACGCAUGAGAAAGAAAUGACAGUUGUUGUACAUUGUCUCAAGAUAUGGAAGCACUAUCUAUUAGAAACCAAGUUUGUGGUGGUGACUAAUAACAUGGACAAUACUUACUUCAAGACACAGAGAGAGUUGACCCCGAAGCAAGCUCGUUGACAAGAGUUUCUGGCUGAAUUUGACUUUGACUGGAUUCAUAAGUUAGGAAGGGAGAAUGCAGUGGUCGACAUACUUAGUAGAAAGUAUGUCGAAGAAUACAUUGUUGUGCUUAGCACUGUUGAGACGGACUUCAGGGACAAGAUCAAGUGGGAGUCCCCGAGUGACCCAAUUUAUCAAAACUUGGUGUUCGUGAAGUCAAAGUUCGUCGUUAUUGGCUGGAGGAUGACUUACUAUUUUGCCAAUAGUGGUCAAGCAUAUGUUCCAGCAGGAGGGGACUUAGGCGACAGUUACUACGAGAAACUCACAAUGCUUCUUGGAUUGGUCAUUCUGAAGUUGAACGAAUGCGGGCAUUAUUGUCGCGUAGCUUCUAUUGGCCAAAGAUGGAAGAGGAUAUUUUAAGAGGUUGUGUGGGUUUUGGUUAAUGGUGGAUAGCCCCGUAUCCCAUAUGGCUUCCCCGUAUCCCGUUGGCUUCCUGUGUUUUAUCCCGAAUUUCACCUGCACGGAUUGCUUAUGCAUCGCUUAGUGGACUUUUGGUUUCAAAUAGCAUGUCUUUUACCCGUUAAAUAACCUUUUUUUUACCCAUUGUUCUGGAUUAUUGCAUAAGUGUCAAAUUUCGCCUGAAAUGCUCACAUAUUCUUCUAUGAGAUUACGUGUAUCACUACUGCGUUACCUUCCUUCGACACCUGAAGCUGGAGUUUGACGUUUCAUUUCGUUCAGACCAUGGAAUAGUUGCUGCGAUUAAACUUAUGUCUCUAAGAAAAUAAAGAAGGAAACAUCACUUUUUGUCUCUGUGCUCUUUGAUUUCUGCAUUUUCUAAUCCAUGUUAUAGAACUGACUGUUGAUGAUACCAAACAUUUUGUUAAAAGAAAACCAAAGUAUUCAAUUCCCAUACAUUUAACUCUUCCUGGUUAAAAUGUAACUUCCUCUAUUGAUGUCCAUAAAUUUCCUCGAAAAAGCUUGCGAACUGCAAAAGUUUCCACCAGUCGUCUUAAAAUGGCACUCUAAACCGUCUGCUAUGAUACUUUUGAUAAGCACAGUUAUACUGCCAGGAAGGGCAAGUAGGUAUGCAUCAUGGACCAUGAAAAUGCCAAUUUCCAGAAAUCAAUUACAGCUUUGACGAGUUGCAAACUUCUUGGACUAUGAAAAUGCCAGUUUCUAGCAAUGAAAUGAUAGCUUUCACGAUCUGCAACUUCUUAUUGAUUAAUGAAUACUGAAAAGUACGUAUCAGCCCAAUCUUGCCUCUCUUCAUAGUACCUGGAAAAGAUUUAACAGUCAACCAUAAGUGACAGAACUUUAACAGCGCUAGCCAUAUAACAAACAGUGGACAAAACUUUAACAAAGCUAGUCAUUUUCUUUUCUUUAGCAUGUGAUAUUUCUUCAUGUUUUGCACUUUUGUUUAAGCUUGACAGUGAAAACAUUUUUCAACCUAGAAAAUUCUGCAAGGCAAAACUUUCUUCAUUUUAGUUUCUUCAUUUCAGCAAAAUUAACUUUUUGUUUGGACUUCCAUUUUAAGAGUUUUUCACUGUUAUUUCAUUAAUCUGAAUGUAAGCUUGAGAAUUGAGAUAGGAACAAGUUAAAGAAAUGUUAAAACUGGCUUGAAGUGGGCAUUAUUUCUUGGAAUCUGUUUUAUUACUUUUGUACCUUAUUUCUUAGAAAUGUCAUUCUAAAUAUCUAUUUUGGCUAAUCAGAAUCUGUAUUGGUUAUUAAAUGUGUUUUGAUUAAGGAAUGUACAGCUCUCCAUUCAACUCAUUUCAAGGUUCAUCAUCAAGUCCUGUGAUGGAGCAAAAUAAUGAAGACGUGAACAAUUGAACUACAACGAAAAAAGAGCUGAUGAGAUGAGUGAAAAAGAGAUAGAAAUGAUAAAAAAUGAGGGCAAUGAAGAACGACAGCAAGAGAUGGAGAUGAAGGAGCUGGUCCUUUUGAGAAAAAACAAAGGAAGAAGAAAUCUAGCAUAUGGGAUGAAAUGACAACAAUAGUGCUAGAUAAUGGGACGGUCAAAGUGAAAUGUAACAAUUGCAAGGAACUUUUUGUCAAGAGUGCAACCGAAGCCAUAUCUCAGCACAAGAGACACUUGAAUUCUUGCCUACAAAGAAAGAUAGCCAUUGGAAAGCAAAGCAAACAAAAGCAACAAGUGUUGUCAUUCAUCGAAGGCCAAAGUAAUGGUAUCACUUCCAUCACAAAUUUCUUGUAUGAUCAUGCCAAGGUAAGAGAGCUUGCAUCACACAUGAGUACCCCUUUUCUAUAAUAGAUCAUGUAGUUUUCAACAAAUUCAUGAAAGCGGCUUCUCCAUUUUAUAAUUGUUAAGAAAAAUUGCAUUAGUACUUAUAAAAUUGAAAAAAGGAACCUGAAAUCAUUGUUGAAAGGUGCUGGUAGGAUUAGUAUUACCACAGAUUUGUGGACAUCUGGUCAAAAAAAUUCAAUAUAUGGUUGUGACUGGUCAUUUUGUUGAUUUUGAUUGGGUGCUACAAAAACGUGUUGAAUUUUUAUAAUGUUCCUCCUCCUCAUACUGGAGUUAUUAUAGCUGAUACUCUAAGUAAGUGCUUUAUUGAUUGGGGGAUUGAGAAUAAGGUUUCUAACAUAACUGUUGAUAAUGCUUCAUACAAUGAUGUGUGCAUUAGGAGACUUAGAGAGGAUUUUUCUCUAAAAAAGAGAUUAAGUAUUGGAGGAAAAAUUUUCAUGUUAGAUGUUGUGCACAUAUACUUAAUCUCUUAGUGCAAGAUGGUCUUGGUCAACUUGGUGGUGUGAUUGAUGUUGUUAGAGAAGGGAUAAAGUACUUGAACAAUUCUGAAUCUAGGCUUCUUGAAUUUGCCAAAAUUAAAAAACAGCUUCAAUUGCCCUCUAGAAAGCUAAUUUUGGACUGUCCAACAAGAUGGAAUAGCACCUAUUUGAUGUUAGCUUCAGGUUUAGAGUUCAAGGAUGUUUUUUCGAGAUAUGCAGACAUUGACCCUGGAUUUCACUAUGUUUUUACUGAUUUUGAGUGGAUGAAAGUGAAAGAAGUGUGCAAAUUUCUAGGAAUAUUUUAUGAAAUCACUGAUAUGAUUUCCGGGUCCGAGUAUCCAACGGCUAACAUUUUCUUGUGGAGCUCUAUAGGAUUAAAGAGCUUUUAAAUGAAAAAGCUCUUGACCCUUUUUAGCAUCUUUGGGUUAUGGCUGGAAGUAUGUCUGCUAAAUUUGAUAAGUAUUGGGGGGAAAGUAAUGUACUGCUAUCUUUGGGUGCAAUUUUGGAUCCGAGAUACAAAAUAUUUCUUAUUAAUCAUACUUUUCCGGUGAUUUAUGGUGAGGAUGCAGCUCCUAGAUUCGUGGCUGAAAUUAGAGACACUCUUUAUGAGCUUUACAAUGAAUAUGUUGAUUGUCACAUAGUUUCCCAUUCUGAACAAUAACAGAGGCAGGUUGUAAAAGGGAGACAAAAUGAAGGUUCUAGUUCUUCUAGUAAGAAACAGAAAAUGACUGGACCUGCCGUUUUAACUAGUAAAGAAAAGUUGCACAUGCAUGUGAGUGAAAUUAACAGGGCUCCACCACAAAAAUCAGAUUUAGAUGUUUAUUUAGAGGAAAGUAGGUAUUGUGACGCCCCCACUUCUCCUUAAGGUGAACCAAAGAGUAUCCACGGGACGCCUGCCCAACUCUUACCAGGACUGGGUACAAUUUCCGUUCAACCUUAUUACAAUACUAGCUAUCACGACAAGAUGAAGUAAAAAAGAUAAAGUCGCUUCUAUAAAUAAUAUUCAAACUUACACCACGAGUUCCAAAAUACAUCAAAUUUCCAAAAUAUACAACUGCCAAAAGUCUAGUCGAUUACAUUUGGAACCCUAAUACAAAAGUACAACAAAAGGAUUUCUCCGAGUUUCACUCCAUAUCUAUGCCUGUUAAGGAAAAUAAAUCUACGGGGUGAUCAAUUGCUCGUGAGGCCAAAAAACACACAUACAAGCACGUUGUCCAAUUAACAAGAAAACGAUAAUAUUCGAGUAAUUAACAAUUCAAGCGGAAUGUAAACAGAAACAAUUCAAGGAUAUGGGAGCUCUCAGGAGCUAUUGUCCACUGGCACGAUCAAGAACCUCCACGAGUUGACACUCCGUCAAUCGGGUAGGUCAUAAUCCGUAGAAGCUUCACUUACGCGUUCCUCGUCCACCAUACAUACCGCACCGGGCCCGAACAUCAUUUAUAAGGUGAUACUCCACGAGUAUGUCAAGCGAGAUCUUUCAAAUAGAUCAAACUUAUCAUGUUAUUCUCAUGACUCAUCGAGAUUCCCGACCAAACCCAUGCCGGCUCGAGUUCCAAGGUCGACCUAUGAGUUUGGGCCCCCAUGUAACAUUUGUGAGUGGAAGAGAUUCACUCCAACGAUGUAUGCAGCCAUAGCAUACUAUUUCAUGUCAUUCAAGCAUUCGAUACAUUCAAUCAUUCAUUUCAUCUCAUUCAAGUCAUUCAUGAUCCAUUCAUUUCAUUUCAAUUAAUUCAAUCAUGAGUCAUUCAUUUCAAAUGAGAACGAGUGCGGUAAAAUACACACUCGACUCCAUUUUCAAAAUCUCCAAUCAUUAAUAACAGUUAAGCAUGUAUCAAGUUCCCAUACACUUGACACUCACCAAGUAAUUCAAGAAGUAAAGCACAAGCGGUUGUUUAGGCGUCUCCUGUGAGAUCCUCUUGAAGGUCCUCUUGAGUGCCUGAGUAAUAAUAAUGAACUAUUACACACUAUCGUUUAAAACCCCUACUUAUCGAGAAAGAUUGCACUCGUGUACAAUUUAAGAAGAUAUUAUGAGAAUGAGCCUUAAUUACUCGUAAAUCGAGACUCAAAAGUGGGGUUUUAAUAAUACAAGGAAAUUCGAUUUUCAUCUUUGAAAUCAAAUGUAAAACGAUCAAGCAAUAUCGAGGAAAAAUGGUGAGUACUAAAAACUCAAUUUUCUUUAAGUUCGGAAAUUUCAGAUUUGAUAAGCAAUUUUUGAAAAACCGUAUCUCAUUCUCUGUAGGUCCAAAAUUAGAAAAAUUGGUACCGUUGGAAACUACUUCCAAAGUACUAAAAGUUCUUAGAAGACAUUUUUCCAUGAUUCCAAAUAGAUGACAUUCAAAAUUCGGUUCAAAGUUGCUGUUUUGGGCUACCAAGACAAUUUCGGGGUUGGUUUUUGGCCAACUUUGGAAAUUCGGCAAAAUUCACAAAAUGUGAACUAGCCUCUGCAAUUUGGAAAUAAAUUAUAGUUACAAACAAAGUUUAAAACACAACAAACAGAACAAGAAUUGGAGUUUUGAGUGCCAAGAUAUAGCAGCUCAAAUUUGCUGAAAUUUUCUCACUGAAUAAGGAUUUUCCAGAUUUGAAACAUGAAAUUUGGGAUUUCAGUUGAGCAUCGAAAUGGACUUGGAAUGGCACCAAAUUUGGUAGUAUUACCCUACCAUAGAAGGGCUAUUCCUCUGUCAAAUUUCAUGCAAAAAUUCAUAUGGAAGGUCAGUUAACAAAGCCGCUAAAGUUCCAAGAAUUUCCAAGGCAAAUCUGCCUUGUACUUCCGUUUUACUUUUUCAAGCAUUUGGCCAAUGAAAUCUUCUCAAACAUGGUUCAUUUAUGAAGACAAGAUCUAAGAAACAUCCAAAAUGUGUUUGGUAGGUGAUUAAUACCAAGAGUUCCAAAAUAACGACUCCCAAUUCGAGUUAAGGCAUUCAACUAGCCAAGAUUAGGGUUUCCUUUCACUGACACAGGUCUGGAAUUUGGCCACAACUCACUCAAUUCAACUUGGAAUUAGACAUGAUCAGUGGCGUUGGAAACUAAAUUCAUAGGGCUAUAAUUUCUCAGAAAAAAUCAUUUUGAAAUUCUGUCCAUAACUAGUUCAUAUUCUAGCAACAAGUUGCAGCACACAACAGGUUUUCUAACACAGACGAGAAACAGGGCAGGUGACUUUGAAAGGCUGGUACGGUUCACUCAAGUGGAAUCAGGGGAUGCAUUUUAUACUGUUAGAAAACUGGAAGUAUCUAGUUUCUAAUUCCUCAAAUGGCACUCGAUUUUGAUGUCGGAGCAAAGAGUUAUUGUCGUUUGAAAUUCGCUGCCAGAGCAACUCUGGACAUGUUUUCCAACCAUGAAGAAAUUUCGAAAUCCAAACAUUUACCCAACCAAAUCAAGUGAUUUUUGGUGGAAACUUUUCACACAACCUAUAAAACAUAUAUACACCGAAAUCAAGUCAAUUAGAUCACAAAAAAUUGCACCAAGAGGUGCGGCAAUGACAGGGCAGAUCUGGCCCUUCUUCCAUUUCAACUUCCUUUGAGUUUCUUUCCACUCUUUCAACUUAAAUCCACUAGAUUAACACUUAAUCAACAUAAAUAACACUCAAAAUCAUCAAAUCAGAUGAUCAAGUCCAUUGUGGGAUUUCAUAGAGUCUACUCACAUGAUUUUCAACAAUCCAAAGCUACCCACAUGAAGCUACAAGCUUCUAAGUGAAAUCUAACUUACAAAAGCUAAGAUUUAAAGGGUGGAUGAUCAUUACCUCUUAGAUGUUGCUAGAGCAGAAAUUUCGGUCCUUAGAGCUCCAAGAAAACCGUGAGAAUGAAGCUCUUCUCCUAGCUGAAGAUGAUCUCCAAGUUAUUUGCAAGGUGUGGUAUGAAUUUGAGAGGAUUUGGUGCAAGAUUGAGAGACGAAAUGGUGAAGAAACUUGGUCUUCUUCUCCUUGGUGUUGCACGGCUGCUUGAGGGAGAGAAAGAGAGAGUUGUGGCUGAUGGAAAGCUUCUCUUGGAAGCUUAAGAGUUUGUGGCCAAAAUUACUCCAAAAGUCAACUAAGAAUAGUGCAUGUACACGCGCGUUUCGUGCUCGUUUCCUUUUGGAUUUGUUUCACUUGUGCACUAAACCUCUAAUGCACUUCCAUUCAUACUAUUAUUAUUCACUUUUAAUAGUCUAAAAAUAAAGGUCUAAAGUCCCUCAAUUAAUCGCGCGCGCGAAAACGCGUACUUCCGAUUUGUGCGCGAUAGAGUAAAAUUUCUAAGAAAUUCUUACAAUGAUAUUAUAACUGACUAGUACUUGAGUACUUAAACAUAAAAAUACCUAUUUUGAAACUAAUGUAUGAGUCUUCAAUCUCCAAACUCACUGUAUUCUCAAAUCGAUUAUUGUCUCCAAACGCGCAUUCACUAUUCUCACUAAACGAGUUUCUAAAAAUUAAAUUUUUGCAACAAGUCAUUUUAAAUAUAUAUAUAAGUCAUAAUUCCAUGUAAUUGAGUCUAAAAAGGUUGGAAUAAAAUAUUCGGAGCAAACAGACAAUUAAAUAUUUAAAUAAGCUAGUAAUAGAAAUUUAAAAUAAGUAAAUUUGCGGGUCCUUACAGGUAUGCUUGUGAUGCAAAUGCAAAUUUGGAUGUUUUGGGUUGGUAGAAAUAGGAAAGAUUGAGAUUUCCUAUCUUGUCGAGGAUGGCUGCCGAUAUACUCUCCGUUCCUGUUACAACUGUGGCUUCAGAAUCUACCUUCAGCGCCGGAGGUAGAGUAAUUGAUGAUCGACGAGCUUCUAUGUCAAUUGAGACGGUGCAAAUAUUGCUUUGCGGCAACGAUUGGAUCCGCAGUCUUCAUGGCCUAAAGAAUAAGUCUCGCGUUAAGUAAUUGAUUAGAUGUUUUUGUUGUUGUUACAGUUUCUUUAUAUCUGAUUUUAAAGAAUUUUAUAACUUUCAUACUUUUGUUUUGUAGGAAUCACUUGAUGCGACCGAAUCAAUCACAUUUGAGGAAGUUAAACUUCCCGAAUCAUUCACAACCUGAUUUGGUGGCUGUUGAUGUUGCUUGGUGCAAACUGAUUCAUUCACAUGUUGAUUUCGUUGAAGACCUAAAGAAUAAGUCUCGCGUUAAGUAAUUGAUUAGAUGUUUUUGUUGUUGUUACAGUUUCUUUAUUUUAAAGAAUUUUAUAACUUUCAUACUUUUGUUUUGUAGGAAUCACUUGAUGCGACCGAAUCAAUCACAUUUGAGGAAGUUAAACUUUCCGAAUCAUUCACAACCUGAUUUGGUGGCUGUUGAUGUUGCUUGGUGCAAACUGAUUCAUUCACAUGUUGAUUUUGUUCAAAAGCUGCAUCGUUCACAACUUGUUUUCACCCAAGAAAGUUAUUUUUAACUCUUGGUCUAGAGUGUGGACAUUUUAGAAACUGCUUAAAACGUAUUGAUGGCUGAUCUUUAAUUGUUUGGACUCUUUUAUGUAAUUUUUCAUUUUGUAAUCUGAUCUGGUCUGCUGCCGAGUUUGGACAUUUUAUUCCUCCAUUUGAUAGUUUGAGCUGCAAUUUUAACUUCUUUUUUGCUACUCGUGCUUAUGAUGCUUCUGUUUUGCGUUGUCGAAUUGAGUGGAUGAUAUAUUAGGGAAUGUGUUGUUCUUUUUUUGUCAAACUAAAUAUGAGUGUAGAAGAAGCUGAUAUGCUAUCUUACGUAAACGACUUAUGAAGCUCGAAUUACUAAUCGAGCGAGCUCGAACUUGCUCGAUUAGAUGUUCGAGUCGAGCUCGAUUGUCGUGUGCUCGAGCUCGACUCGGCUAGUUUAACAGCCAAGGUAACAUGCAUCAAAGCAGGCUUAUUCUCUUAGUACUUUUUUUUUUUUUCUUUUUAUAAAACACAGGUGCAUUAACGCACGACAGAAGCACCCUAUCAAUCUAAGAUCCCAGCUUGCUUGUAGCUUUCGAUAGAGUCAACAAGAGUUUCUUCCACUGGCCUAUACCUCCAGCCCAGCCUCUCCAAUUUUUCUGAGCUAAUAUUCCAUCGGCUUUGAUCCUUCACCUCUAUAAGUCUGCGAAGAAAUGAGUUAUAUCAAGAAAAUAUGCAGACAACAUAAAUGGUUCUUGUAGAGACUCGUAGAUGCCACACUUUUGGAAAUGGAAAUCAUGACGGACAUGAACAAACAAGAAAAUCAGGACAAACGGGGUGUCUGAAAAAUGAGACAAUUAAUUUCAAAGAUGGUAAUCCACCUCUUAGGGUACUUGUAGUUGGCAUAGUUUUUCCUCAGAGUUUCCACCAUAUCUUUUGUCGUGGUGACGUGAGGUGAACAUAUGUACCGGCCUUCAGCUUCAGGUCUCCCGUAAACCAAAAGCAGUGCCUCGGCCACAUCACGCACAUCUACUGUGUUGUAGAAUUUGUUUUCGGUUUCUUCACAUCCGUCUGUGCAGCCAAGGAGUGAAACAAAAGAGCAGUUUAAUCUCAAAAAAGGAGAUGUUAUCUGUGCUAAUCUCUGAGUUCUUUACUGCAUAUAUGAAACCUACAAUCCCUUUGACAAAUAGUACAGCAAUAAAUUCAUGGGACUUUUGAAUUGCAAAGGACCUACAGGUCACAAUGUUAACCUUUUAUAUCUUCAACAAUGCUCCAAAGCAAAUCAAGCAAACAGUUGAAAGAUGCAACCUCUUCAGAUGUUAUGCCUAUUGUCUGUCUCAUCUUCCAUUAGGUCAAACUCACACAAUUUUCACAUCAAUAAAAUUUGAAUCGCUUGUGCAUGUGUCUGGAAAGAUUACAUUAGCACAAUUUAGUAUUUUUGGCAGCACUGCUCGUUUAAAUUUCCCUGCCAUCAAGCAGAAAAUUUAAUUCCAUUCCAACAGUAAAAGCCAAACACCACAAUCUUAGUUUUUUUUAGAUAACUUUGCAAGUUUUUAGAGCAUUGCCAAAAUCAUAAAACUAUCAGAAUGGCAGAUAGCUUACAGGUUUAGAAUCUGAAAACCUCAGCUGGCUUGAAGAUUAAAUAAAAAUGCCAAAAGACGGCAAAGCAGUUAUCUCCAUGAAUGUAGUUUCAUUCCUAGAAGGUCAACCGCAACCAGAUAGACGGAUUUUGUGAAAUUUUAUUGGCAUCAAUUCAUUGUGUAUCAUGUAAAUAACACUGGAAGCCAGAAGCAUAAAAAUGAUGGGUUACUUGGAAAAUUAGCUGAUCAACCACAUGAAGAAAUUCAAUUGUUUGACCUUUCAAGUACAAAAAAAGGAAAAAAUUGCUAAGCUUUAGAGGUCAUCUGAGUUCUAGAGUGACAUCCAUGCUCACUUAGGCACAAACCAAUAUCAAGGAGAAAACUGUAUCAUUUACGACCACUUCCAUGCAGAAGGUGAAAGAAAGAAAAAUAAAAUAUAACAUAACGGAAUAAGUUCUCCAAUUGACUACAAAGCACUAAUAAAUCACCUUUCAACAGCUUUAUAAGAGCCAGACUGCUAGCAUUCACAUCAUGCUGAAGCAUGGGGCCGAGAACAAAGGAUGGGCAUACAGUUAAAACAUCAAGGCCAGUUUCUUUUGCAUAUUGUAAUGCCUCACUUUCAGCAACCGUCUUGGAGUAACAAUACCAGUUCUGGAGCAAUAUUAGUACUAGAUGGUCAGCCAGAAACAGAUAGUAGUUGCAAAAAUCUGAUUUCUCAGCAAUCUUAGAAACAGUACGAAUAAGACAGUGAAUUUUCUGCACAAUUACAACACCAAGGUGCAACUGCAAAAAGUCAAAUUAUGUUGAUGCAUACAUUUGUUGCCUUGCAGUAUUCGCCGUCUGACCAACACUUCUCAUCUAUGAUUUCACCUUCAGGCAGAUUAGGACUCAUUACAACAGCUGCAGUAGAGGAAACAACUACAACGCGCUUGACAUUUGCUUCAGAACAAGCCUUCAGUACAUUAAGGGUACCCUUUACAGCUGGCUCAACAAGUUCAACCUGCAACAAAUCAUCAUGUUGGCAGAGGUACUAGCACUCAACUCUUCAUGCUGAACUGCUUGUUUUUGCGUAAAAUAUAUCCAGAUAGACAGCUAAGUAGUGUCAGUUAACCUGACAUCUUUAGAGUGAAUGAGUACAUAGUUAAAAGACUCAUGACUGCUUAUGCCUGUGAUUUAACUUGGUUACCAGCAUAGGUUAUUAUUAUAUGCAUUUAUUCACUCAUUUCAACAUUUGAAAAAUCCUUCCACGAAAUGAUAGAAAGACAAAGAGCCCCAGUGACUUCAUAAGUUUGUACAAACGCUUUAACAAGGUUCUAUUUUAAACGAUACCCAACUUUAGCUCAUGUUUGGCAAAACGCAAUAAAAUAUUAUCUGUUAUGACAAAAGCUGUCUCAUAAACAAAAGAUAUGUUAAAAAUGUUAUUCUGGGGAAACCAAAAGGAAGAAAUAUCAUAGCAAUUGAAACGAUUGAAAAUGGUCUUGCCUCAGGAUUGGGAACAGAGCCUGAAGGAACAGGACUAGCUACAUGAAAUACGCCAUCACAACCCCUGAUGGCUGCAGAAAUGGAGUUGUAAUCCAGCAAAUCAGCCUUAAAGAGUUUCAAAUUCUCAGCUGCUUUGUCAAGUUUCUUCAGAUGAACAUAUUUCUCAUCGUCUACAAAACAUACACAGCAAUGCCCACAUCAUCAAGUAACGAAGCACACAAUUCACAGCAGGUGCUUUUAUAUAUUUCUUCAAUUAAACAUAUUUCUCACCCUUCACAAAACAUUUACAGCAAUUCCCACUACAUCAAAUAGGAAACAGCCAAUUGACAGCAGGCAAAAAAUCAAUUGCGGUAUUAAAGGGAAUGAAACAAUCAUACAAUACCCAAAACAAAAACAAAACAAAAAAACGAGUAGUAAAUCAGGAAGGAAGGGUUAUGAGGAUGAAAUACGUACUGGGAUUUCUGAGGGUGGCAUGAACACUAUAAUGGCGGGAAAGGAGUAGCUUGACUACCCAAGAUGCCAGGUAUCCCCCUGCUCCUGUAACACACACUGUCCUGUCCUUCUUAGCCUCCCACGCUGCCAUGUCUGAUUGCUUACCAGUAGCAGUAGCGGGAUUAGUAUUUUAGCACCAAAUUCACUAUAGACUGAUCAAGAAGGUGGGUGAAGUUCUAUUCUUUUCUUUUUUAUGAAUAUUAAUUCUUUUUUGGUUGGACAAGGCAGAGAUUUCGUCGAUUCUUAAAGAGGAGGACUGAAGAAGAGGGCGGUUGGAAGAGGAGGAGGAGGCGGAGGUGGUGGUGUUGGAAUUUUGAAUAGACGAGUCCUGUAUGUAUGAGCUAGCUGAUUCCAGCAGCCUCUGUCAAUACUAGGAGUAAUCAGCAGCUGGCAGGCUUGGGGGCUUAUAUAUAGCAGCAGACCAAUGGUCCUGUUGCGAUUUGCACGGCUCAUGGAAGACGUAUGGUUUCAACGCAGGGUUGGGCUGGGUUGGGUGGGGAAACGGUACUAAUGAUAAAUGUAUGUAUAAUGAAAUUUGAGAUAUUUCUAGCAAUCUGUUAGUAAAAUUUAUUUUUAUAAAAAAAAAGGAGUAAAGGAGCAUAAUAUUAUUAAGUUAUAGUAAAACUUGAUGCACAUAUCAAUAAAACAAGAUAUUCUGUGCAUUUGAAUACAAUAGUAUAAUAUGAUUUUACCAUUGUCGGAUGUUUAACAAAUUUAUUUAUUAAUGGAUAUUAAAGUGUUACAUUUUAUCUCAUAUUUUCCCAAUUUAUGACUCAGAUUUUAAAUUGAUUAACUCAUUAGAGAAUAAAAAACUCAUCCCGUUGCUAAAUUGGACAAGUGACAAAAACUCAUGUCCAUAAUGGGAUUUUGCUUCUGACUCAAAUCCUAUAAUGCGAACCAAACCCCAAAUCACUCCAUUAUAACGGAAACACAAACUAAACUAUUUAAUAUUCAAAUCAAGUUCCGCUCAAUAACAGUUUGUUCGAAUUUGAUUCGCAAACUAAUCUAAUCAAGUUAGAAUAACAUUUUAUUCAAAUCAAGUUCCGCUCAAUAACAGUUUGUUCGAAUUUGAUUCGCAAACUAAUCUAAUCAAGUUAGAAUAACAUUUUAUGUUUGAAAAAAAUUUUAACUGCAGCUCAAGCUUAGCUCAAUAAUCAUAAAAUUGGAUUUUAUAGAUAAAAAUUACUCGAACUCGACUCAAUAAAAAUUCUUUUGAACGUGACUUAGUAAAUAAAAAAGCCAAUCUUGAAUACUAUUUCAAAAUUCUUUAAAAUAAAUAACAAGAUAUUUGGUUUGAUUAGACACAUUCACACCCCUGUUUUUCAUAUGCUCGAUAACAUAUAUUUUUGCCAUUGAAUUUUGGGACAUGUUUAUCAUUUUUUAAAAUCUUUUUUUUUUAUUUCUGGCUUUUAUAGGAAAAAAAAAACUAAAGGAUGUGUUCGGAUAGGAGACCGAUAAACUUUUCUCUCCCCCUCGCGCCUAAUUGCAGGUUAAAAGCAGUGUUUUGAAAACCGGACCGGACGGCCGGUUCGACCGGUUGGACCGCCAACCGGCCAUGAUUCCGGUCCGAUUCUAUGCUAUAGUUGACCAGGUUAGAAAACCGGUUAAACCGUGAAAACCGCCGGACCGGAUUGAACCGGCGGUUCUCGGUUUUCGAGAUUUCCCUUUUUUUUCUUUUUUUUUCUUUUUUUUACGUUUUGCAAAAUGCAGUUAUCAAGAUUCGAACUCAAGACUUUUGUAAUAGAAGACCAAUGUAGUAACCAUAGUAACCAUUGCACCAUCACAUCUUAUUAGUUUUUUUUGAUAACUUGUUUAUAUAAAACAAAAACUCAUAUUUCUUUUUGUCAUUUUUUUUAUAAAAUCUAAUCCUCUCAUAGCUCUUUCUUUUUAAUCUUCAACACACACACACACACACUCUCUCCUCUUUUUUUUGUCACUCUCUUUUUAAUCAAACCACUUUAUUUUUAAUUUAUUGAUGUUUUCUUCCAUCUUUUAAUUUUAUUUUUGUCCAUUAAAUUGAAAAAGGUUAAAAAAGAAUUAUUUUUCUUUAACCCAAAUUAUUUAAUGCCACAACCACUCACUUUUAUCUCAUUUUUUAUUUCUUAUCAAGUUUGCAUUUCUAUUUUCGAUUCUCUUGACUUCUUUCGAGCUCCAAAAUUCCUUUUUUAAAUUGCAAUUUCUAAUCCCAAAACGUAAAUUAAAAUUUAAGUUCACAAAAUCUAAAUUCUCAUAGACAUGAAUUUUGUAUAAUUUUAAAAUAUUAUGAUAUUUUUGGGUUAGAUCUAAGAUUUUUUUGGUAGAUAUAAUUGAAAUUGAAAUGAAAUUUAUUUGUUUUAACUUAUAAUUUAAAAUUUUUAUUUUUAAAAAAUCAAGUUAUUCAAAAAUAGUAAACUUUUCAUCAUAUAAUGUAUUAAAUUAGUCCAUUACAUGUCUUAUUUUGUGCAUAAAUAUUUACAUAAAUUAUUUUUUAAAAACUUCAUUGAACCGAGGUUGAACCGGUCCGACCGGUUAAAUCUCGACCCUUUCACGUCACCGGUUCAAUUAACGGUCCGAUUUUUAAAACAUUGGUUAAAAGGAAUAUCCAGUUCUUAGAUAACUUUUCUAGGCACAACUCUAGUUGUCAGAAAACUGGUCUACUUUGACUGUGGGUUUUCCUUUAGUCAGGCCAUUUUGUCAUUAGUGAUGAUUGCUUCUUCUAAACCUUAGCUAACUGCACACGCCAUGCGCAUGAAACUUCUUCUAAACCUUAGCUAACUGCACACGCCAUGCGCAUGAAAAUCCAAACUUCAAAUAAAAUAAUUUGAACUCGUCAACUUGCAAAAUAAGAUAAUUUGGGUUUCGUCUGAUAUGAGUAGUAAGGGAAAAUUUAAUUACUAUAUUUAUGAUUCUUGACUAAUGUGAUUGCUCAUCUAUCACCACGCAUCAGUUUAAUACCUUAUCUUCAUUUAAAUGUGACGAUUGUAGAAUUGAUGGCUGAAACUGAAAGGAAACUGAAAAAGAAAUGUCAUGUGAGUGCAUAUGCAUGGUUAAAACAAUACUCCCACAAAUUAUAACCAAUUCGAUCCCUUGUUUUUAAGGUUUUGAUCGUUUUGGUUCCUUGGUAUCAUGACAAGCCAAUUUUGCCUCUUAAAUUUAAAAAUAUGGUUAAGGAGAUCCUUUUGAUGGAAAUUUGAGUUGCUAAUGAAGUGAAGAGACCAUUUAGUGCCUUUCGUGUCACAUCCGUCUCAACACUAUAUUAAAGUUUCAAAAAAUCUCAAAUAAGUCAUAAAACUCAUAAAACAAACCCCAAAACUCUUUAUCGUGAAGAAAAUAAAUUUUUAUAACUUUAAAAUAAAUCAAACACAAUACCUUAAACAUAAUUAUGGAAUUUGUGCCAUUUUCGAGUUGAAAUAUCAUGAAAAGGAGUACCAAAAGGUGAAAGAAAAAUGCAUAAACUUAUGUUUGACAUAGUAUUAAAAACUUUUAUUUCAUUAUAUUGAAGAGUUUUGGGUGAGUUUAGGCUUUUAGGAUUUUAUUUGAAUGCUUGGUGUUUUCUGCGAGAUGGCACGAAGUACCCUCUAAGGUCUCUUAACUCCAUUAACAACUCUAAAUUAGCCUUGACCAAAUUCUUCAAAUUUAAGAAAAAUUGGUUCGCCAUAAUACAAAGGGACUAUUUUGUUAAUACAUUGGAGAUAAGAAACCAGAUUAAUUAAUUUUUGUUGUUUGCGUAACUCAAGGGAUUUCUCCGUUAGCUUCCCACAAUUUUGCUACAUUAGUCUCUUUUGAUGGAGAUAGAGCACCAACUCACAGUUGUAUUAGAACUUCACUUACGCUAUAAUCGUUAGGAUUUUCUUAUAUUCAUCCGACUACUCAAUAAGUAUCCUAUUUUAUAAUAACUAUCCUACACCUCUUCAAAGCCUGAUAAGAUGAAGAAAAUCUCUUUACUAGCAUCUUAAUGCCUUAUAUCCAGUAUUGAGGGAAAAAAUUUAAUCACAUUACAGUCUGAGAAUUUGAAUCCAGCAAUUUCACGGUCUGAUGUAGUCACCCCAAGUAGGUUCUCCAGUAAAACAGGGUAGUGAGGCAAAAUGUACAUCAAAUAGGUCAAUUGUCGAGCCCCUCGGGGUUCGGUUCCGUGGUUGUAGCCCCAGUUGGGGGAGAGCCACGUCCAGGGAUCGAGUCCCCGUUCUACCGUGGCUGGUGAUGCUUGAGGUGGGCCGCUCCCAGCCCGCAGUGGAAUUAGUUGGGCCGUACGGUAACCAGUACAUGGGUCCAGAUACCCACUGUGAUGAAAAAAAAAAAAUAGGCCAAUUGUCGAUCUUUGAUUAUGUCUACACUUUCAAAAGAUAGGCUUAAUCAUAUUAGUGGAAAUAACUCAUAGUUCAUCAUAUAUUAAUUUGCUAUUCAAUUUAGUUUGAAUACAUGAUCAAUGUUAUUGUAUGCCAAAAAAGAUUGAGGAUACUUUUGACCUAGUUCUUUGCACUAACUUGAAAUCUUCCAAUUGUUCUUUCUUUGAUGCACUUGCAAAAUCUCCUGCAAAAGUAAAAUAACUCAGUUGGUGAAUUUUGGCUAACUGAGAGGCCCCAUCUUCUUUUUACUUCUUUAGCACAAGCGAAGAAUGAAUUUAUGCAUAAUAACCGUGUGAUUCUAAUGAGAUAUGAUUUUUUUGGUUUUGCAUGCUGGUUAAACAAUUGUUCAAGCUCUUAUCUUGGUUUUUGAUACUUCACCGGUAUGUGGAUGUUGCUGCUAAAGAAAUUUACAUUUGUCAUUAGAAGAAUUUUCUAUUUUAUGACUGGCAAGUGAUUUGGUAUCUUAGCAGUUCAUCGAUUUUGGUGCUUUGUUUACAAUUUAAUUGGCUUCAAUGGUCCAUACAUAUAGGAACUUGGAAUUUACCCUUUUAUUUCCUUUUGCAUGAGCAAAGAUUAGUAAUUUUUAAUCAUAAUUUUCGAUUCCUCUAUUCUGGCCAUAGUGAAGAAAUCUACCUUUUUGUACUUGUGUAUAUGCACACCAAACAUCAUUGGGCUGUCUACUUUUGACAUUAUUCUUGAAUUACUCAGUUUAGAAUGUGUAUUAGCUGCUGGAAGUAAAUGCAUCAUCGUUGGCAAUUACUAAACAGAAAAUAUGCAUGCCAUUACUAUUUUCACUGAAAUUAGCAUCUAACUUAUAAUGAUCUAAUUAAAGGUUAACCACAUUGGUUUUGACUAGAACUAAGAGAUCACUAGCCCUCUUAUUUUUGGAUUUGCAUUAAUCCAGUAUCAUCAAACUUCUUCAAAUGGGCUCUUUAGCUACUAACCCCUUCAAAAAUAAUUUAGGCUUACGGUUCUGUUGAUGUCGCAAUUGCAGGAGGUUCAGAAGAUAACGAAAGGCUCAUCUAAGAUUUCUUAAGGUGUUUGGCUUAUAUUGCUAGAUUUACUUAAUCUAUUUUCAUUCUUCUCCGAUGUCAUUAUUGUUAAAGUUCAAUUCAUAAGUUGGUUGUGUUAGAAAAUUGGCUUAAUUUCUUUUUAGAUAGGUUUUUGUUUUGUGCAAAAGUAACUAGUUUCCUAAUUGGUUUUAGUUACUCGGAAUAGUAGCCAAGAAAUUUCUUAUUUUGUUUAGAAUUAGAAGUUAUUUCUUAUUUUCUACAAGUCUAGGAAUUAGAAUUAAUUUCCUGUUGUUAUUUGGAUUUUUUGACCAAAUAAUAUUUUUAUAAAUAGGUGGGUUGGCAUACUAUAAAAGAGACACAUAAGGGCACACAAGGACGACAUGUAACCUUAUACAUGGGUGGUGAGAGAGAGUUCUUAGGAGAUGAGAAAUGGUAUACAAAGGUUGGACUUGAGUUCGAGUUGUAUUCUUGUAUAAGGUUUUUCUCUCAUAAUAAAUAACAAGUUUCUCUCCGUGGACGUAGGUUCAAUGGAGUCAAACUACGUUAAAUAUUGUGUGUUGUUUAUCUUUUAUACUUGUGGCUUGUUUCUCAUUAAAUUAUUGUGUACUUGAUAUCUUAAUAGUUAUUUAUUCUGCAUUUAGUUCCUAACAAAUGGUAUCAGAACUUGAUUGCGAGAUUGGGCUGCUCACAAGCACUUGGAUCCCAACAAACUGAAUAGUUGGAUCAAGAGUUUGGUUGUUCAAGGAUGGAUCCUAGUUAGCUAUUGAGAUCAAGUAGGUUGGUGACUGUUACCAAUUGAACAAUUUAAUGGGCGGUAUCCUUUUUUCAAGAGUUUGGCAAAAAAGCAUUGACGGUGAAUGAUGAAAAGUCGAAAAGCAUGGAGAUACUUGACGGUGAAUCUAGGCAGAUGAUUCAAGAGUCAAGGAAAAGGUGGAAUCCAAUAUCGAUUUUGGACGUGAAUCGGUGGAGACUUUCUCACAACUUCAACGGUUGAUACUUCAUCUCGGUGAUUUUUAGAUUUCGCUUAUGUUUUUUGAGUGGUACGGCACCUGACCCAAAAAAAUAAAGAGAUUUAAUUUCUAUGCGCUAGAAGACUCUGACAGUUACGAGUCUUUUGUUUCAGGUGAAUUUUUGGAAACCACACGUGGCGAGAUAGUCUUGAGGAAGGGAAGAAGUAUGAUGAUUUUAUCACUUGGUUGCCUCAAUGAUUAAGGUUAGAGCUCAUAGAAGGAGAUUUUGGGUUGCAAGUGGUGGUGAGAAGAAAUCCUGUAAAGAAAAAUGGUGAAUUGAGGCAUCUUCUCACGAAUCAACUGGAGGUUGUACUAGGUGUAAAUACACAUAUUCAUUUGGCAAUUAAAUUAAUUUGGUAUCAGAACUGUAUUGAUUCGGGUGUGUAGUUCGGUACCAUAUUAUUUGGUAGUUGAAAGUAAAUAAUUGUUAAAAGAAAUUUUCGCCAAGAUAGAGAUUUGUUAGGAAAUUGAUUUAAUUUCUUUUCAGACAGGUUUUUGUUUUGUGUAGGGAUUUAGUUACUUGAAAUAGUAGCCAAGGAAUUUCCUAUUUUGUUUAGGAUUAAAAAUUAUUUCCUAUUCUAUACAAGUCUAGAAAUUAGAAUUGGUUUCCUAUUAUUAUUUAAUUUUUUGGCCAAAUAAUAUUCUUUAUAAAUAGGUGGGUUGGCAUACUACAAAGAGACACACAAAAGCACACAAGAGACGACAUGUAGCCUUAUAUAUGGGUGGUGAGAGAGGAUUUUUAGGAGAUGAGAGAUGGUAUACAAAGGUUGAAUUGGGGUUCAAGUUGUGUUCUUGUAUAGAAUUUUUCUCUUAUAAUAAAGAACGAGUUUCUCUCUGUGGAUGUAGGUUCAAUGGUGGAGCCGAACCACAUUAGAAAAUAGUGUGUCAUUUAUUUUUCAUGUUUGUGGCUUGUUUCUCAUUAAAUUGUAGCGUACUUGAUAUCUCAAUAGUUGUUUAUUCCAUGUUUGGAUCCUAACAGAUUGCUAAACCAAGAUUGAUGUAAUUGCGUCCUAUAAGAGAGUUUGCAAUUCAAUUGAUUAAGGGAAGAACAGAGAAAAUCCCUGAAAAUGGGAAUUAAAGGAAACAAAGGAAACCCUAAAACUAGUUUCCAAGAACAAUUCUGUCGAAGACAGAAAACAAAGAAAAUAGUAUCAAAGGCUAUAUCGUUAUUUAGGAAACAAGAAGCACUUGAAGGUGAAUGUUGCAGAAAGUAGAAGAUCCCACUACAAUUUACUAAUUCAAGGAGCUGUAAUUAAGAAAGAAAGAAGACAACUCAGAGAAUUAGGGAUUGUUAUUAAUUGAUGAAUGAGUAGGAAGAAUGUAGAUGAAGAUGAUAAUCAAUUACAAGUAAUGGAAAUCGGAAAUCCUAGAACUGCCUUCAACUUACCACCCUCCUCUCUUUUAUUCGGCUACUACACUUGUCCAAGUCAGCUAAUUCAUUACAACCAACUGACAUACAAGAAUUAUAAGGAUUUAUUCAUUAAGUCCCUAUCAUACUCGCUUUAUUACAAAAAAAAAAAAACCCUAUCAAUAAAACUAAGGUAACAAAUACUUCCCCCUCAGAGAAUCCUUGUCCUCAAGGAUUAAAUUCAGGAAAUUGUUGUUUAAGGUCAAACCAGAAUUCCCAGAUAGCAUCUUCAAGAAAAGAAUUGCUUCACUAUGCCAAAACUUUUGUAGCAAGAGAGUUACCACAUUUCACCAAUUUCUGAUCAAGUAUGGCUAUAGGCUCCAUUAAUAAUUAUCCCUGUGUAUUGAUUGUGUAUUGAUUGCAAAAGGAAUGUGUGAGGUAACUAGUGAGUGCCCACUUUCUUCUUUAGAAGAGAUACAUAAAAAAUAGAGUGUAUUUUUGCCAUAUUAGGCAGCUAAAGCUGAUAUGCAACAGGGUGUACUCUUUUGAUCACUUGGAAAGGUCCAAAAAACUUAGAAGCUAACUUCUGACAAGAGUGUACCUUCAAAGAGUGUUGCCUCUACAGUUGUAGUUUCACAUAUACCCAAUCUCUUGCCGAGUACUGUCUAUCAGACCUGUGUUGGUCAGCUUGUUGCUCCAUCCUAUUUUGUGCCUUAUGAAGGUUGUACUUUAAGUGAUGCAAAACUAUCUCCCUUGCUGCCAAGAUUCUAUCCACCACUUCCACUACUGAAUUCCCAAGUAGACAAGGCAUAUGCAGAGAUGGUGCAUGACCAUACACCACCUCAAAUUGGAUAACCUUAGUGGCAGCAUGAAAUUUGGUAUUGGACCAAUAUUCAGCCAAGGGUAACUAGAUAGACCACUGCUUUGGAAAAUCUCCACACAUGCACCUCAAAUAUUACUCCAAACACCUGUUUACCACCUCAGUUUGACCAUCUGACUGAGGGUGGUAGGUAGAAGAGGUAUUAAUCUGCACUUUUAGUAACUUAAAAAGUUCUUGCCAAAAAGUGCUAAUGAAGACCACAUCCUUGUCACUAACAAUGCUCUGAGACAAGCCGUGAAGUCUACAGAUCUGAUCCAGGAAUAUGUGCAAAUAUAAAUGCUGAAUAAGCAUGUGACAAUGCCAAGAAGUGUGCAUACUUACCUAACUUGUCAACCACCACCAAGAUGGCUUGUUUACCAUGUGCAUUAGGUAAACCUUCCAUAAAGUCCAUGGAAAUUCACUCCAAACCUUUUGAGGCACACGUAAAAGUCGUAAUAAACCCAAAUAAGCAGUAUUGUCAUAUUUGUUGCACUGACAGACAUCACAUGCAGCCACAUAGUUGACUAUGUCUUGAUACAUUCUUCUCUAAUAAACCACUGACUUCAACUUCUUUUAGGCAGCAUAAACUCCUGAAUGCCUCCAACAGCACUAGAAUGCCACAAGUGAAUUAUAUUAUUCUUGAAUUGGCAGUCAUUUUCUACCACUAGUCUCCCCAUUCUCCUUAACUGCUAGUUGCUCCAUGUGUAAUAAGGUGAGACCUUAGAAAGAUCAAAUUGUAAUUGAGUGAUGAAGUUCUAUAGCCUUAUAUCUAUUUGCCAUCCCUUUUUAAUCACUAUCAAAGAUCACUGUUAACAAUGAUGAUGGCAAGAGCUUCUCUUGGUUCUGCUAGUUUUCUAAAGAGAGUAUCUCUCACCAUAUUAUAUGCUUCUUUCCUGUAGUGAAGCUCAUAAUAAAAUCUUACUAGCUUAGUCAUCCAUUUCUGCUGCAUAAGAGUAGGGCUGUCAAUGGUCUGGGUCUAGACCCGGACCCGGACCGGAUCCGUCAAAUUUAUCCGGGUAUGGGUAGGGAUUUAAUUCCGUUACCCGGACCCGGAUCCGGAUAUAAAUGGAUUACUAAUUUAAAAUAUAUAUAUUUAUUAAUAUAAUUUGAUUAGGAUGAUGUAUUUGAGUGAUCAAUAUAAUUGGACCCGGAUCCUAAUCAAUAUAAUUUGAUUAGGAUGAUGUAUUUGAGUAAGGUUAAUUUGAUUUCUUUUCUUAUUUGAUUUUUUUUGUAUUAGUUAGAAAUUAGUUUAUAAAUAUAUGUUUUUUCUCAUUUUUGUUAGAAAUUAUAAAUUUUGUUAGUUUUUUUUCGGGUAGACCCGGAUCCGGAUCCGAGACCCGUCGGAUCUGGAUCCGGAACAUAGAGUAAAGACCCAUCGGGUAAACGGGUCGGGUCCGGAUCCGAUAUAGUGUGCCGGGUCCGGGUCUGGAAUAAUGAAUUCCGGCCCGGACCCGGCCCGUUGACAAGCCUACAUAAGAGUGUUCAAUCUUUGUUCCAUCAUAUAUUCAAUGCUCUAAUGGUCAUUUUUAAUGAUAACGUACCUUCCAGGUAGAUAAGGUCUCCACUUCUAUACAGCAGCAACUAUGGCCAAUAUUUGCACUUUUCCAAUAUACUAUCAUAUGCUAUUCCCCCACACACCUAAAUCUUAUAUUGUCCCCAAUGUAAAAUAAAGAAUAAAAGAAAAGUAAUGGGGAUAACGAAACUUCCUUGAUAACUGAGGGGGCCGUCGACAGCUACAGGUGAGGGGCGAAUGACUGUGGAGCUCGACGUAUGUUGAUGGUUGGUGGCGGUGGAGUUCGGAUGGAGAAGGAUGGAAGAAAGAAAGAAAGAAGAAAGAAAAAGAAGAGAGAAAGAAAGAAAGAAAAAGAAAAGGAAAAAGAAAGGAAAAGGAAGAGAAAAGAAAAGGGAAAUACGAAUGGGAAUUGCUCCAAUCCGAGCUGGUUUUUUGUACUACUACUUUGCUUCUUGUACGAAGCUUGAAGAUGCAGCAAGCGCGGAAAUUUUUUUUUUUUUACAUCUGAUUUUGAUUUUUUUCUUUUUCUUUUUCCUUUUCUGUAUUUCCUUUUCUUUUCUUUCUAAUUUUUCUGCAAAAACAAUCAAAUAGAAAUCAAAUGAGAUGGAAUGAUUUUUUUUUAAAAAGGUAAAAAUAUAAAUAGAGAUAAAUAAAUAAUAAUAGUUAUUAACAAAUCAUAAAAUGAUUUAUGAAAUUUUUUUGGUGUCUACAUAUAUACACAUACUAAUAAUUUUUAUAUUUAUAUAUUUUUCCUAUUUAAUCUUACCUAUAAUUCUUUCUUAUUUUAUUUACUUUUUCUAAUUAAUUUUAUAUUUUUAAAAAUAUAACAUCUAAAAAUAUAUAUUAACGAAGAGGACAUCCGUUAGACAGGUCCUAUUUUAUGUAGCAUAUAUGUCUCUACAUGAAAAAAACUUUUUUAAUAGGUAUCCCGUUUUUUGACAUGAAAAAUACCUUUUGACUACAUUCUGACUAGCGCCAAAAGCUAUCCACUUUUGACAUGCUGCCCAUGCAGGCCUAAUUUUUUUUAGUACUGAAUUUGUUUUGGAUACGUUAGUAUUUCUUGAAUUUUAGAAAAUGCUUCUCUUUAAUAAAUGUAAGUUCAUUUUAAUCUUGAUUCGCAAGCUUUUUCUUGAAAAUGGUUUGCCAUUUCUUAUUAGUUGUUACAGUAAAUUUAGCAUGCAUAUAUGCUUUUUGUCAAAAUUCAAUCAUUUCAAAAUCUAGAAGGGAACUUCUAAAAUACCUGCAUCCUCCUUUUUCUUUUUUCUUUUUUAUUUUUCCCCCUCUUGGCUUUGUAUUCAGAAUCAGAUUGUGUUCAAUUAGUUGGAAUUUGGCUUUGGAGUUAAAAGGGAUUUCCAUUUUUUCCUAGGUAUUCCACAGCUUGCAUACCAAAAGCACAGAGGCGGAAGAAAACCUAUGAUUAAAUCAUACAACAGGCUUGUAAGAAAAUGCCCACUUUGAAAAAAUGAAAAGUUGAAUUUCCUAUUUUCAAAUUUACAUGCAAAAAAUGAAAAAUGACAUGCAAGAAAUAGUCUACUAUUUCGCCAUGUUUCAUAGUUUAUGAGAAAUAUAUUACAAAUAAAUCCACAUAAAUGGUGGGAAUAAUAACUCAAAUAUGGUGGGACAAAUAAACAUACAGGGUGACCCCUGCCAGCUGAGAUAACUAGCUGGUUUAUUUAAUUUAAUAGUUUGAAUACAAUAGUAAAUCAAUGCCAUAGCUCAGAUACUGACUAAAUUUUUCUCCCUGAAGAAUUCAACAGCAUCUUUUAGGCUGACCUCCAAAGGAGUGAAUUGAACUCCCAACCUUUUUGCCUUCUCAUUGGAGGCUCUGUAGUUUGGGCUGAUAAGGUUGGUAUUGUUUGACAUUCUGCUGUAUGCGGGACAAUACACAAUUAUGGCAAACAUAAAUAAAGCUUAGGUAAUGAAAAUGCAAAUGUAAAUUCAAAUGCUUGAAAAUCUACUGGACAAUUGCCUCAUAUCUACUGUAAAUUGUGCCUUUUUUACGAAGUUUCAAAAGACCUUUUAAAAGAUAACUUUAGUUGUGAUAUGAAUGAAAUUUAUUUUUCUCUAAAAAAAAGCCUAAAACGGAAUUUCUAUUUUGGAGACAAAGCCAAUUUGGUGAUAUAUCCUAGUCCAAAGAAGACCAUCUUCUAGAAAUCAACCUGAGAAAGAGCUCAUUUUUUAUGGAACAUGAGACCAAAAGAAAAAAAAAAAGAAGGCAGAAAAUUUAGGAUUUAGUGUCCUUUAAAAGAGAGUAUAAAAAUAUGUGAUACAUUUUGGACGUAUACAAGGCCAUCAGCAAAAGCCUGCAAAGACCUAAACAAGGAAAACAAGACUUACUUAUCAGGAAAUUGGUGAGUUGGGUAAUGCUCAUGCAAAAUCUUGAUGAUCUGAGAGGCAUUUGCACAUCUUUCAACCAGACAAUAUCUUCCACUUGCAGAAGGGGUUUCAAGGGCAAGAACAUGUGCAUUGGCAACAUCUCUAACAUCAACCCAGCUACAUGUUGCCUUAGGAAAUGGUUCAACCCCUGCAUUUGGCACCUAAGAUCUUUAAACACAUUUUUUUGCAGGCUCUUCAGCAAACAUAAGUGAAACCAAUUUGGUUUGUUUGGAUUGGCAUGAUUUCAGAUAAAAUAAUUUGCUUCACAAAUUCCAAUCACCUUUUUAUCUCACAUACAGCACAUCACAAAAAGUGUUACAGUAAUUAUCUCAAAUAAAUCAUCUAAAUAAACUUCUAUCCAAACAAAAUGUUGUUUGCCAUGAAAAGAGUCAAAUUUAGAGGCCAUGGCCUGCCUUCCAGAAGAAAUGUGUGGUAUGUACUACUUUGUUCUGUUUUAGUAUCAGCAAAGCCACAGAGGGGAGGGAGAUGUGAGGAAUGAACUAGUUGAGACAAUUCAGAUAAUUGGUGAAUAAUAAUAAAGAUUAAUCCCGACAAUCUUCUAGUUAAUCUGUCCCUGGAAUUUCUCAGAUUUAGAGUUAGGUUUCUCUUUCAAAGGAUAGUUUAUUUAUUUUCUUCCAAAAAGGAUCAAUUACUAGACAAAAGAAUAAACUACAGGCAUGAUAAUACUAGUUGUCUCGUACUUAAGAGUGUUAAAUGGUGAGAGCUGAAGAAACUUGUCCCUUCACUCUCAUCCAGAUAGAAAAACAGAAUUUAUUCCUGUUGUUUUGUUCCAGAGAGUGAAACAGUAAUCAAUUCCUGAAAUUUGUUUCUUGCCAUUGUUGUACAAAGUGGCUAUUUGGGUCGAAGGAGUCAUGGCGAAUUGAAAGAAUAAUAAACAAGCUUUAGCAAGUAAAGUUUGUACAACAUAAACAGUGACUACUCCUAACAAAUUUUUCCUCACAAUUACCACCCAAAAAUUUCUUUUCCUUCCUGUUAAUCACAUAGAACCUCAAUGUUGUUGAAAGGAAGAUGCACACAACGUGAAUUUCAGAUGAAAGAUUGUACUGCAAACCUUUAAAACAUCAUAAGCUGGUCAGAGUUUAUAGCUUGAUAUAUCAGUUCACAUUCUGACCUAUGUCUGUCAAUCAUGUGAUAAGCCAGCAGUGCCUUGAAAUGUUAUUAGUCAUAAGUUUUUUGUUCUACUGUAACAAAGAAAGUUGUGGUGCAUAAUAAAGCUAUAAGUAACAUAGAUGGAAGAGUCAGUUAGACAAUGAUUACUAAGGUGAUUCAAUAAAUUUUGAAACAAACCCUUUAAUAGGUUGAGGAACAAAACAGCGCUCGAAUUAACAGAUGGCUGCAAGAGAGGACCAAUGACCAAUCCUGGAUGAAUUGUAAUCACGUCAAUGCCAUGCUCCUUUGCAAAUUUCCAUGCAGCAUUCUCGGCCAUGGUUUUUGAAAGUUCAUACCAAGACUAUCAACACCGAAAAAUCAGUAAAUGUUGGUAAGAUGGUAGCAGAAAGUAAUUAGAUUUGUAAACUUUAAGAAGUAACAUUAUAAAUUUCUACAAAUUUGACAAAACCAGCAACUUACAUCAGUUGAAACUAUUAUUGCUGUAGCUACAAAGCACAGAGUGAAAGCAUCCACAUUUCCCAGGACAAGCUAUGCUAUAAGUGAAUAAGUAGAUUUCUCAAGGAUCCUAGGAAUGGUGUAAACUUUCUAUAUUCAAGGAAUGAUGCAAAGCACCAGUGUCGACAUAUCCUGAUCAUCUGAUCUCUUAAUCCACAAGCUAACAGCAAAACUACAAGGGACCUUGACACUUUAACACAAAUAGCCAUAUUCAUAAUAUUAUAGCAGAAGUUCCUUUCCAACUGACCGACCAAAUAUUGCUCAUCUAGGUGUGUAUUCUCAGACAAUAGUAUAGAAUUUGAUCAUGCAAGAGAUGCAUAAUUAAGUAGGAAAACUUUCAUAUUGCUCUUUCCCCGACUAUUCCACACUACAUUAUUAAUUUUUCAUUAAAGUUAAGUUGUUACUUAGAUAGAAGGAAAGAAAUGGACUGACCAUUCUGGUUACAAAAAUAUCCUUUUUUUUGCCUAUUAAAGUACCACCAAGUCAUGAAGAUCCUAACUUAAUUAUCUCCACAGCUGGGCUAACUCCUCAUAUGUGUUCCAACAACAAGUUAAAACUAAAGAAUUCCAGCAUUCCAUAUUAGAUUUUACUGGAAGAAGACAGAUAAUAUAUGUACCUUUUGCUCCUCACAGUAUGAUGGAUCGGAAAACCAACUUUCAUCAACUACCACAUCCUCCUUUAAUUCUCUGUUUUUUGAAACUGCAACCAUAGAGGAUGUUAUAACUACUCUUUUGACAGAAGAAGAAUUUGCACAUGACCGCAGCACAUUCAGUGUUCCGCUUACUGCAGGUUCCAGUAGUUCUGCCUAUGAAAUCAAACCAAGUAAAAAAGGAAGUCAUUACCAGUCAUAGGUAAGACUAUGCUUUUAACCUGCAAAAAACUUAUCAUUCUGGUAUUAUGUUUGAGAAUUUCACCACAAAUGCUGUAAACCUACAGCUUUAGUUACUUAGCUAAAGGAUGCAUAUUGUUGUCUUAUCUCCUCUUGCUGCUAAAAUAAGUUCUCAGGUCCUUUAUUGUUGUUUUUUCCCAAAUUUUUUCAGCUUUCACUGGGUGACAGGAACUUAAGACCAAUAGAGGAACAACUGAAAUAAGUCUCAGAUGUGGUCACCAAUUAAACCGUUUGCUACCAAAUAUCAACCGAUGAAAUUCUGUUCUGGCUUGAACAGGACAGACAGAAAAUAUAAAAGGUGUAGCUCCCAUGAAUCCUGCGAACAGAUUUUAGCGUGAACACAUAAUGCAUGUUGCAAUUUCUUUUAGUGUCUGUGAGUCAACCUUGUUCAUUGAAAUGACUAAAAUCAAAGUUCUACAAAGUUACUUAAAAAAAAUCCAUAAACACAAUUUGAGAAACAGACAAGGAUAGGUGUACUGCAUAAAAUUAAGGCACAAUCAUUAAUAGAAGUUAAUCAACUUACAAAUGAAGAUACAUAUAAUUUGCAGAUGCUUGAACAUAUAUUGUAGUUUCUAUAAGCUUCUUAUUCAUUCUGGUAUGGGCACGCAAAAGCCAUUGGCUCUACACUGGCUGAAUAAUUAGUUGGUCAAAGCAGGGAUUCAUUUGCUCCAGGACAAGCUUAUAGCUUGCUCUAUAACCUUACCCUGACUGACUUACCCAGGAAAAUAGUUAGUCGGACCCAAUCUACUGCCCAAUUGUGGACCAUUUGCUAUGUUUAUGGCUCUUAAUGUUUUUAUUUCACAACAUUACACCCUUUGAAUUGUUUCGCUGAAGUACCAAUUUCCAGAUCAUUUCAUAGAAACAUCAUGUAUACUGAUUAAAAAGAGACUAAAGCACAUAACACACGACAGUCUUUUUGUGAAUGACCUGCUGGAACAGAUUAGUUUUGUAUGUACCAAAUGUAAAGAAAUAUUCUUCAGGUGUUUGACCUGAUUGCUACAUUAAUCUCCUCCCUUUGGUUAAUAAAAGAAAAAGUAGAGCCAUAGAAUUGGAAACAUUUGAAUCUAACUCUCUUUUUUUUUUUGCCUUUACAGUUAUAACCUUGUCAUAAAUCACAUAUAGAGGAGUAGACUAUCACCCAAAAAAGCCAGUAAAAAUGCAACAGAGGAAGAUACUAAAAGAAGUCGUACAAUUAUAAAUCAGAAAAUAUGCUACGAUUCUCAAACUUCACUUGAUAAAUAGCAGAUUUUGCAGACAGUAGAGAAUUUUCAAUCUUGUAAAGCAAAUGUACCUCUGGAUUGCUAAAUGAAAGUUUGAUUGGAGAUGCAGUAUGGAAAACCCCUUCACAUCCCUCGACUAUUGCAUCAAACGAUCCCUCUUCCAGUAAGUUUGCCGAGUACAACUGAAGCCUUUCCUUAGCUCCAUCAAGUGAUGUCAAAUGUUGUGUCCUUUCCGGAUCAUCUGUGUCAUGAUUGUAUCAGUAGAAUGUUCAGACAGCUAUAAUCAAAACCUUGCCGCCUUGGUAAAGUGUACUAUGUUUUCACUAUGGUGAAACUCAAGAAGAAAUGGACAUAGAGUAAUAAUAAACGAAUCUCAAAGCAAUGAUAAAUUUGACUAGCUAAAGGCAAGCGGGGAAAAACGAAAAGAAAUUGACGGGCAACAUAAUAUGACCACAAUAAUAUCAUAGCCCUAUGAUUUCUGGUUUUGAGAUGCGUACAUUUGUAACUUUCUUGAUAACAAUUAAUUCUUGAGAUAAUUAUCAGAGGGACAAUUGUAUGCCAUCUACCACUAUUUUUAUAACAAACUCAGUCCUUCAGAAGAAGGAUAUAGAUUCGAUAGGCUAAAGAUUUUUUAUUAUAACUUGAUCGUUGUAUCUGGAGCAUGAAACAAUUAAGUUGGUCCACAUCAAAAAUAUAUAUAUAUUUUUUGCAUGUGAUUUUCUUUUGAGCAAACAGAACAUGGGGAGCAUUUAGCUGUUGCAAGAAUAUCAUCUGGAGCUACAAGACAAUUUCACACUGCAGAGUUGAAUAAAAAUAUUGGGCAAAUUACAUAUAAUCCUCCUGUGGCUUUGUCUGUUGCCACAUGACCCUUCUAACAUUUUAAAAUAUCCAAUUCACCCACUAUGAUUUUAUGUAAAGCGGAAACUUGAUGGAGAAUAGCCUAUAUAAUGUCGUUAAUUGAAAUACCAUUAGUACUUUUACUUAAAUGCUAAAUCAAUCGACGAUUUAAUUACCUUAUAUAAAAGUAUAAGGGGAUUAUAUGGAUAAAUAUAAAAAUCACAGGAGGGAUAAAGUGGACAAUUAUAUAUAAGAGAAUUACAUUGAAAUUAAGACUUUAUCACACACGCUUUUAGAGCGCGUUUGGUAUAAAUGCCGUAACUAAUUGUGCAUUCCAUCAUUUUCCGCUUUACAUAUAACUAUGGGGGGUAUGUGGCUAUUUUGAAAUCUUAGGGGACCAUCUAGCAUUAUAUAAAAUCACCCUAAAAUAUAGUUAUAAGUAAUUUACCCUAAAAUGUUAGAUUCCAGGAGCAAUUAAACAACAAUCAGAACAGGGCAUCAAAAACUGCACAAGCCACUAAGAUAGUUGAUCAAGAACAAAAACUGGACUUACAGGCAUCUCGAACUGAACCUUUAACAGUAUAACCGCGCUCGAGCAGCAGCUUCACCAGCCAUGAAGCUAUGUAACCCGAAGCUCCGGUCACACACACCAUUUUCCCUUCUCCUGCUCCACUCAUUUUGUUAAUAUUUUUGUGUGUGAACCUGUCACCUGUUUGCCUUACUUCUGGACUUAAUGGAGGGAGGCAUAUAUGGUGUAUAUAUAGCUAUGGUGAAGAAGACGAAAGAUUGGAUAUGAGAUUACUGGGAGACUGGGGAGAUCCAUAUGUAUUCUUGCAAUUUGCAUGCAUCAUCGCUGACAUACGUAUGGUAUAAUCGCGUCACAUCCCAUUUUAUCAAGGUCAAUUGAUCAGUGUAAAAUAGAAAUGAACAAUAAAUACAAUGGUAAAUUACCUUCUACACCCUAUGGUUUGAUGUUUUAUCACAUAACUCCCUAUAAUUUAAAAACCUAUAUAUGACCCUUUCGUAGUUUGGGUUAUUGUGUCACUUUAGCUUGUUCUGUUAAAACUAACGGUCAAUAGUAAAAAGUCAAAUUCAAACUACUAAAUUGACAAAUUCACCAUUUCACUACUUUUUUUUUCUUGUUUUCCUUUUCUUUCUUUCCUUUUUUUUUCUUGGAAAGAGAAGAGAUGACUUUGAAAACUUGUAUUUUGGCUUACAAAACCUUAAUUGUUUCCAAAUACAAAAGAGACAGAAGGGAAAUAAAAAUAAAUCAACAAGAAACAAAAAAUAUGGAAGGUAAAGAUAUAACAAAUAAAUAAGAAACAAAAAAACACCAAAUCUUUUUUACUAUGAAUAUCAUUAUAGGUUUUUAAACCAAAUCUUUAAUAGUAUUUUCUAGUUCUUAUUUAUCUAUUUUUUAUUCCAAUUUCUUCUUUUUGAUGUUUGGAGGAAAAAAAAAAACAAGUAAUGAAGGGAUAAAUUUGUCAAUUUAUUAGUUUGACUUUUUAAUAUUAACUGUUAGUUUUGACGAAAAAACUAAUAAUGACACAUUAACUCAAAUCAUGAGGGGGUUAUAUAUAGUUUUUAAACUAUGGGGGUUAUGUGAGAAAAUACCAAACUAUAGAGGUUAAAAUGCAAUUUAGCCUAAAUCCAAAAUUUGGCGGUUGCAUAUGAAAAAAUAACAAGGUUCUUGACUUUGCUCAAUACAAUUCCAAGUCUAGAGACACAAUUUUUAAAUUCACUACCAGGAUAAACCAUUCUCCUUUUUUUUUUCCAUUUUUUCGGGUUAAAAAGUACAAACUACUUGAACUAGAAACUAGUCCUGACAAAGUUUGUGGGUUUUUUGCAAGAGUUUUAGUUAAAUAUUGGUUACUUCGCCUAAUUUGCACCUAUUUUAUCAUGUAAAUGCAUGCACACUUUUAAAAAAUAAUGCAUGCACUUAUAUUAUUGCCUUUCUUACAUUUAAAUACUUUUUUCAAUUUAAUUUUACUUUUCUGGCAAAACUAAAUCUGAAGCCCAUUUCAAGAAAUAUCCACCGAAUACCAGGUCAACAAACCCCCUUCGUAAUAAAGAACGAAAAGAACCGCAGCGUUCUUAACACGCAGCGGUCUUUUUGCAUCUAAGAAAGCUUUUGAUUGGCUAGAAAUCCUUCUCUGAUUGAGAAAUGGGAAUUGACUUGAUGAUGGCAACUCCAUUUAGAAAACUGGUCCACACCCUUGAAUGUGGUUUAAAUUUAAUAACACCAUUUCAUCAUUUCUGACGACUGCUUCUUCUAUAUCCUAGCUCACUGCACACGCCAGUCGUGUGAAACUUGGCAAAAGAGUUGCACCCUCCGUCCUAAAAUUGUCUGUCGCAUUUCGAGAUCCAACUUUUUAAAAAUAGCAUGAUGAUGAUAUUUGUAGAUUUGUUUUAAAAAUUGUCAUCAAAAAUUCAAAUUUUAAAUUGAAUUUAGUAUGAAAUAUAGAUAAAGAUUGGAAUAACAUUGAAAAAAAGAGAUGAAAAGUUAUUUUGAUUUUGAUAAGAUGAUAAAUAUUUUAGAACGUUUCAAAAUAAAAAAAAUAUAUGACAUUUUCAAUGAAACAAAAGGAUGGAGAGAAUAUAUAUAAGAUACUGAAAACUAGCAUCCAUCAGAAGCAGUCAAAUCAAAGCCAACAUAUUACUUGUAGUUUGGUUAUAACAAUAUCUCAGCUUGCUGGUAGCCCAAAAAUUUAGCAAAAUAAAUUAGGAAACCAAGUGCGAUAGAGCAUAUUUCACCCAAAUAUAUUAAAAGUGAAAAAGAUUUAUUUUUAUUUAGUCAAUGUGAUUUUUUGUGUCCGCAUGCCCAUAAAGCUCAAGGACCAAAAAGCCAAACAUACGAAGUGAAAAUGUGAAGAGCAAUAAUUUGAAUAUAAAAAAAAAAACGGGUAGAUGGAUAGAAAACCAUGUCGAAGGUCUCUUCUCUCUCUUUUUUUUUUUUUUGGUUUGACCAUGCAUGGUGCAUAUGAUAUGAAGGAUAAUUGUAAAGCACCAUAUACUGCCCAAGGAAAGUAGAUUACACAGUGGGAACCAAAAAUAGAAGAAAAUAAAGCCUCAUAUGAACCGAAUCUUUCCCCUUGCUUUUUUUCUGGGAAUUUAAAGGUAUAAUGCAAGAAAUAACUCCUGGUCAUGCAAAAUUGCCAACAAAAAUGCGUCUUUGGUUUUAAAUUCCUUAAUAACAUACUAUCCAGCAUACUAUUUAGCAUAAUAACAUACUAUCUCAGAUGCAUCCACUCAAAUAUCCUGGCCGAGAUGGUAUGAGGCCAAUUUUCUAUCAAAAAUAUAGGUCUGUAGCAGGUAAUGACGUUACCUCACUACAACAAAAAUGGCCUUUAGCGGCAUUUAAAGGUGUCAGUAUAGAAAAUCUAACCUGACACUUUAUCUAUCCUGACACCCAUGGCGAGUGUUGUCCCUUCCAAUGUGGGGAUAGCCUCAAAUCUUUAGCAGCAUUCAAAUGUGUCAGGCAAACCAUGCUGCUAUAUCUUUACCUCUGCCAACAAAUCUUUUUUUUGUGAUAAUCGAAAGUGUCUGUAUAGCGUUAGGACAUCAGUAGGGAAUCAGUAGGAUAUCAAAUUUAUGAAGACAUCUUGAGUUGUCUUAAUAUAUGGCUUUAAGGACACGUAGCCAUGUGAAUUUACAAUGUGUUGGACGACAUGCCCAUUUGUUGUUAGUGUUUUUCGAAGCUACAUAAUUUUAUCAACCCAUAUGACAAGGGUUUAUUUUACGUAUUUUUAGUGUGUUUUAUUAGUUAAUUUUGGUUUGAUUAUUUAGUAUUAUAACUAAAAUAACUAAGGUUUUGGUAAAAAACUACAUUUUAUGUUAAAAUGGCUAAACAUUGCAUUUUAUGGAUUUUUAUGGUAAAAACUUCAUAUUUUGUAGGUUUAAUGAUUCAAUCAUCAAAUGAAGUGCAUUGAGAAGAUAUUUGGAUGAUUGAAGAUGGAUUAAAGUGAGGAAAAUAAAAUAUGAAGUGUAAAAGGAAGAAAUGCAAUUUGAGGACAAAAAUCAAGAAAAGUCAGCUUUGACAACUCAGACAUAUUUUCGUAUUUUGACUAUAUCAGGAGCUACAAUGAUCGGAUCAAGGUGAUCUUGGUACCAUUUUGAAGUUAAGAGAUAUAUCUACAUUUGGUAUGAAGACAUCAAAGUCCAGUUCAGCCGUUUUCAUAGUCCAAAAGUUGAAAUACCGAAAUUCAACUCAGCUGUCCAAAGUGGAAAACAGAGUUCCGACCAGUGUUUAGUAUUUUGAUCAUAUCUCAGUCUACAAAGCUCCGAUUUGGAUGAUUCUUGAAGCAUUGGAAAGCUAACUCAAAGAUAUACAACUUUGAUGUUUUGCACAAAAGCCAGUUCGGCCUGCAUCAUGGAGAAAAUCGCAGUUGAAGUAAGGACAAAGUGAAAACGCGAGUGCACAAAACGCGAGUUGUAGACGCGUUUUGUAAAGGCGCGUUUUCUGGCCGAAAUUCUGCAAUUUGCUCAGUCAAUUCUCUUGUGUUCAUACCACUUUCCAGCUAUAAGUUGCAAGAGAAUUCGGUGCACAUGCUUCAGAAGACAAAAGGGCAGACAAGGUGGCUUAUUUUCAAGUCAAAAACAUUUGUUAUUGACUAUCCUAACAAAGUUGAGAUUUGGGAAUCAAAACAUUUGUUAUUUUACUUGUAAAUUUUCUCCAUUUGCUGCCAUUAAGGUUUCCUUUGUUCUUUCACAAUAUUUAGUAGAAAUUAUUCCUUCUUUAAUACAACUUGAAUCAGCUCCACUAUCUAUUAAAGCUACAUAUAUUUCUUUGAAAUCUUCUACUGUAAUAGUUACUAAAGCAUACCAUUUUUGAAAUAUCAUUUUUUCUAUGGUAUUUAAAUAUUGAAUUUCAUCUGUUGGUCUUUCUGAUAUACUUAUUUCUUCUGUUUUAGAAUUGGAAGUUGAUGGUUGAUUUUCUAGUAAUGUUAUUUUUGCUUCUAUUUCUAAAUCUUUUGUUUUUAAUUCUAUGAUUUCUCUUUGUAAUUGUUUUACUUGUAUUUUAAGAUCAUUAAUUUCUGUUUGAAGAUCUUUAGUGGUUUCUUUUUUCAUUAUAUUUAUGUUUAGAUAUUUAUCUAUUAAUUUAGAAAUACUAAAAGGUUCUAUUAUUUUUGGCAUUUUGUCUUCUUGUAUAAUUAGACUUUUUAAUCUUUCUAAAUACUCUUUUUUAGCUACUGGAUCAUCAAUUUUUUCUAUUAUAUCUAAUAAAAAUUCUUUAUCUUCUUUUUUGGUUAUAACAUUUAUAUAUUUUGAAGUGUUAGAACAAUUACAAUUUUCUUCACUUUCUGUACUAGAUAUAUCAUUAUAAUAAUCAUCUUCAGAAUUUUGAUCUUUUUCAUUUAUUAAUAAAUUAAUUAAUUUAUUUUUAAUUUCUUCUUCUUUUGCACAAAUCUCUGUAAUUUUUUCUUUUAAUUUACAUUUGUUUGCUUUAUGUCCUAUUUUUUCACAUUUAUAACAAACAAUUUUUCUUUUAAUAAAUUUUCUCUUCUUUUCUGGUUUAUCUUCUUUAGAUCUUUUAUACUUUAUUUUCUUAUUAUAUUUUUUAACUUUUUUGUUAUAUGCAGAUGGUGAUUUAAUUCUUUAGUAGCAAAUUCUAAAGCUCUAUUAAUUGGUUUUAUUGUUCCUUGAUAUAUAUCAUGUCCUAAAAAUCUUAUUUUUGUUUGGAAUAAUUUCAUUUUUGGUGCUGAAACAACUAAUCCAUUUUUCUUAACUACUUUUAAAAAUAUAUUUAAAUGUUUGAAAUGCUGUUCUAUUGAUUCAGAAAAUAUUAAUACAUCAUCAAUAUAAACUAUGCUAAAUGAACUAUAAGGAUUGAAAAUAUCAUUCAUUAUAUUUUGAAAUUCUGAUGGUGCAUUUUUUAAUCCGAAUGGCAUUACGUUCCAUUCAUAAUGACCAAAAGGUGUUGUGAAUGCUGUUUUAUAUCUAUCUUUUGGUGUUAUUAAUAUUUGCCAAUAUCCUGAUUUUAGUUGUUUCAGCACCAAAAAUGAAAUUAUUUCAAACAAAAAUAAGAUUUUUAGGACAUGAUAUAUAUCAAGGAACAAUAAAACCAAUUAAUAGAGCUGUAGAAUUUGCUACUAAAUUUCCAGAUGAAAUAAAAGAUAAAAAUCAAUUACAAAGGUUUUUAGGAUGUUUAAAUUAUAUAGCAGAUUUCUUUCCUAAAUUAAGACAAGAAUGCUCUAUAUUAUUUAAUAGAUUAAAAAAGAACCAUUUCCACCAGUGAUUGAACCAGAUUGGGAAUUCUCUACUGCAACUUUUUUGAAUGUGAAGAACCAUGAAUGAUUGAAUGGUCUAUACAAAAAAAGCAAAAGUCUAAUUAUACAAGAAGACAAAAUGCCAAAAAUAAUAGAACCUUUUAGUAUUUCUAAAUUAAUAGAUAAAUAUCUAAACAUAAAUAUAAUGAAAAAAGAAACCACUAAAGAUCUUCAAACAGAAAUUAAUGAUCUUAAAAUACAAGUAAAACAAUUACAAAGAGAAAUCAUAAAAUUAAAAACAAAAGAUUUAGAAAUAGAAGCAAAAAUAACAUUACUAGAAAAUCAACCCUCAACUUCCAAUUCUAAAACAGAAGAAAUAAGUAUAUCAGAAAGACCAACAGAUGAAAUUCAAUAUUUAAAUACCAUAGAAAAAAUGAUAUUUCAAAAAUGGUAUGCUCUAGUAACUAUUACAGUAGAAGAUUUCAAAGAAACAUAUGUAGCUUUAAUAGAUAGUGGAGCUGAUUCAAGUUGUAUUAAAGAAGGAAUAAUUCCUACUAAAUAUUGUGAAAGAACAAAGGAAACCUUAAUGGCAGCAAAUGGAGAAAAUUUACAAUUAAAAUAUAAAUUUACAAAAGGAUCAAUAUGUAACAAUGAAUAUUGUAUUAGACAUAAUUUCAUAAUUGUAAAAAAUAUAAAUCAUGAUAUAAUAUUAGGAACACCUUUUUUAAUUCAAAUUUACCCAUUUUCAGUUAGUCAUGAAGGAAUUUCAAUAAAUAUAAUGGGAAAAACUGUUAUCUUUAGAUUUCUAACUCCAGUAAAACAAAGAGAAUUACAGACAUUACAAACAUCCUCUAUUUACAAAACAAUAAAUAGUAUUACUAAAGUACAACAACAAAUAAAUUAUAUAAAAGAAGAAAAAUCUUAUUUAAAAAUUGAAGAACAAUUAAAAGAAAGUAAAAUGCAAAAAAGAAUUUCAGAAUUAGAAGAAUUAUUACAAAAAGAAAUUUGUGCAGAUAUUCCUAAUGCUUUUUGGGAUAGAAAACAACAUAUGAUUGAAUUACCUUACGAAACAGGUUUUAAUGAGAAAAACAUUCCUACUAAAGCAAGACCAAUACAAAUAAUUCUAAUCUAUUAGAAUUUUGUAAAAAGGAAAUAAAAACAUUAAUAGACAAAAAAUUAAUAACACCUUCAAAAUCACCUUGGAGUUGUGCUGCAUUCUAUGUAAUGAAUCAAGCUGAAAAAGAAAGAGGAGUUCCAAGAUUAGUUAUAAAUUAUAAACCAUUAAAUAAAGUAUUACAAUGGAUUAGUGAAUAAUACAAUAAAUUUAUAAAUUUAGAAUUAAUAGAGGAUACAAUAAAUUAAAGUAACCAUUUUUAUAAAUUUAAUAGAGCUCAAAUGCAAAUAAUACAAUAAAUUUAGAAGACAUUAAAAAAGUUUAUCAACAAAAUAAUUAUACAAAUCAAAUCCUUCAUACAAUUUCUCAACAUAUGGAAGUAUUAAACACAAAAAUAGAUACUAUAAAGAAACCAGAAUUAAAAUUCCCUAAUAAUAUUUCAGCACCUCAUUUUCAACCUAGAAGUUUGACAAGAGAAAAAGAACAAGAUUUAGAUUCAAAAUCAGAAGACAAAGCAUCGGCGAAUUAGUGAGAAAAAGAGAACAAAACACUCUCAUGUAAAAAUCCUUAGACAAAUCUCUCAAUCCCUCUUUCCAACUACUCUUGUAUUCAAUUACUUUUGUUUCCUUCCUUCUCCAAAUAUAAUAAAGAUCAAGGAUUCAACCAUUCAUCAAGCUUCUGUUAUCAAAGGCCACUCUAAAUUUUCAGUAAGUCCAAUUUUUAUACUAAAUUUUCUAUGAACAUUUCAAUAGAAAGUAGCCUGGGUAGAAGUGGUAUCAGAGCCACUUAUCACAUUAUCUUUACAGUGUUAUUAAGGAAAGUAGAUUACACAGUGGGAACCAAAAAUAGAAGAAAAUAAAGCCUCAUAUGAACCGAAUCUUUCCCCUUGCUUUUUUUUCUUGGAAUUUAAAGGUAUAAUGCAAGAAAUAACUCCUGGUCAUGCAAAAUUGCCAACAAAAAUGCGUCUUUGGUUUUUAAUUCCUUAAUAACAUACUAUCCAGCAUACUAUUUAGCAUAAUAACAUACUAUCUCAGAUGCAUCCACUUAAAUAUCCUGGCCGAGAUGGUAUGAGGCCAAUUUUCUAUCAAAAAUAUAGGUCUGUAGCAGGUAAUGACGUUACCUCACUACAACAAAAAUGGCCUUUAGCGGCAUUUAAAGGUGUCAGUAUAGAAAAUCUAACCUGACACUUUAUCUAUCCUGACACCCAUGGCGAGUGUUGUCCCUUCCAAUGUGGGGAUAGCCUCAAAUCUUUAGCAGCAUUCAAAUGUGUCAGGCAAACCAUGCUGCUAUAUCUUUACCUCUGCCAACAAAUCCUUUUUUUGUGAUAAUCGAAAAUGUAUGUAUAGUGUUAGGACAUCAGUAGGGAAUCGGUAGGAUAUCAAAUUUAUGAAGGCAUCUUGAGUUGUCUUAAUAUAUGGUUUUAAGGACACGUAGCCAUGUGAAUUUACAAUGUGUUGGACGACAUGCCCAUUUGUUGUUAGUGUUUUUCGAAGCUAAGCUAUGCUGACACUUUUAAUUGCCAGGAGAAUUUUCCCUGGUUUUUUUUUAUAUGGAAGCAACCUGCAAUUAGUCCUCCUUGCUGUACAUUCCAUCAAUCAGAAUCCCAAGGGACUUGUAAAAUUAUCCCAAAGAGCAGAAUGCAUAUGGCAAUGUAAAAGAAGAAGUCGAUACUCAAAUAUAAUUCAUUGAAUUAAAAGUCGAUAACAAGUACAAACAUAGCAAAUACUAAAACGCAAACAAGUGCUAAAAGCAAGUACUAAAAUAUCAAACCAGUACCGAAAGAUUCUCAUUUACAAUAACUUAAAAGCUCUAUCGGAAGCACAAAAUAAAAGACUCCCAUCCCUAAUAAGUUGAAAGAAGUAGAAGUAGCUUCCAAACUUUCCAUUUUGUUGAGAGUCCUCAGGCAUAACCACGAAGUCCCCAUCAUUCUUCAGCUGGUUCCACCUGUGCACAAAGACCAAGGGGAUCAUUAGAUCAUCAUAACUAAAACUAAAAUUCCAGAAAAUCCGCAAUGUAUUUAAGUGCAUAUCUCACCAAAUGACAAGGCCAAGCAACUGGUGCACCAAGUGCAUCUUGAAUCGUUUGUUGUAAACCAUAUGGUCUAAUCAAUUGCUCACGUGGAGUCAUUGCAACUUGUAUCUGUAUUUCACACCAGUUUGGCCCAAGAGCUUGUCCCCCGACCUCAUCCAAAGGAUUCAGACUCCGUAAAUAUCCCUUUGCCACGAUUUUUGUUGGGUCAAACAAACUUUUUAGUGAAACCAUAUUCCCUACCUAGUAAACAUCCAACAAGUACAAGAAUCAAACUCAUGCCAAAUUCCAGAUUACAAAUGCAAAAGUUUAGAAGUUGUAAAUACUUACUCAAAUAGGUCGCGUGGCUCGCGAUGGAGCAUGGCUUGACACAUUGUUAGAUGAUGAUGAAGGAUGUCUCGGGCUGUCAAUUGGAGAACCCCUUCCAUGUUGAACUAAAACCAUUUUCUUCAAGCUGGCUAUUUCAUCAUCUUGUCGCUGAAGCCUUUCCUCCAAACGGACUAAUGUUGACUGUUGUUGAACACUUAUACGGUAGCAUGUGUUACGACUAGGAAUGUCUUCCCAUAAGUCCGUUGGAUUCACACCGUCACUAAGCAAGCGAACAUGACCAUGUUUGUCUUGCCCAACCACCUGGGCAAAUAUAUCAUCACGACCAACUGGAUCUUGCGAAUCCGAUGGAAGCUGAUUUUUCAGCUCAGUCAUUUUUUCCUACAUAAUAAAGGAAAACACUUGUUAUUGCAAAAGACUGUCUGAAAACAUCCAUGGUAGAAUUGAUAGGCUUGUGUUCUCGGAUCCUUACCAAAUUCUCAGCAACUAUGGUACUUGAUGGAGUUUGUUGACCUUGGUCGAUCAAUCCUUGGUUUUGAUGAUUAACAAACCAAAAUGUAGAUUUGGGCUAAUGUUUUUAUGUGAGCAAUUUGUUAGAACAGAUUCUUGUGGCACAAAAGAAGAAGCAAAAACAGGGCACUCAUGUGAGACGUCCGAAAGGAAGCUAUCGGACGUCCGAAAGGAUGAAGAACAUCAGGAAGGAUAUUCUGUCGGACGCUCGUGAGAAAGCAUCGGACGUCCGGAUGGAUCGGACACACUCUUCGGACGCACAUCGAUCGUGUCGGACGUCCUAAAAAUUUCACGAAGAUUUGAUAACUCUCUGGACGACGUUCGGACGCAGGGUUCGGACGUCCGACAGGUGGUUUGGACGCAGGGUUCGGACGUCCGACAGGUGGUUCGAACGUCCGACAGGCCAACGGCUAGUUUUGACAGCAUUUAAUAUUUGACCGUUGGAGAGCCUUUUGGAGCCAUUUCUCACAUUCUAUAAACACCCCAAAGCACAAGAAGACACGGGACUUUUGCCAACACAAUAUACAAGCUUACAAGUGAGAUUUUUGAGUAGAAAGAUUCUUUGUUGGUUGUAUAAGGGGUUGGGGAAGUUGGGUUGUGAGGUUGCUCAAGUGAAGGUUAUUCUCUAGGAGGAGUAAAACCUGGUGAAGGUGAACCUAUUCACUUGAAGUGGUAAAACCUUGGUGAAGGGUUGCCUCAUUUGUAUAAAAUAGUUCUUAAUUGGUGAGUGGGGAUCUUUCAAGUGUAGGUUGUUGAGGGUUAACUAGAAUUGUUGUAAAACUCUUGGCUCAACCAAAGUGUGUUUUGGCGUGAGGAAGGGAGGUGAGCCUUCACUUGUACAUCUUGGUUAGCAUCGCCAUCAUUGAAGAGGCUAUUGGUUUGAUAUUUGGUUUGCAUUUCUUAUCCUUUCUCUUUAAUUUAAGUUUUCCUUUAUUGUGCUUAAAUUUGAUAUAUCUUUGUGCAUCAUUGUGAAAUUUGUUUGUACUCAUUAGGUUGCACCGGGCACUUACAAUUGGUAUCAGAGCUUGGUCUCUUUUGAGAGCUUAAUCCGGCUUGGAGUAAAGAUCAAUGGCAACCAUAAAAGUUUCCUUUUUUAGAAGGGCAAUCUAUUGAAGACCACUAUGUUUAAUGGUUCUCAUUUUAGCAUGUGGAAACAAAGAAUGAUGAUUUUCUUACAAUCCAUUUAUAUUGAAUUUGGUAUGUGGUAGAAGAUGGUCCUUUAUGAAGCUAGAAUAGUUGACUCUACCAUCAAUUUGAGUAGAUUAAAGACUAGACAAGAAUUGAAUGGAAAAGACAAGAGAUACCUUUCUUUGAAUGCCAAGGCCAUGUGUAUAUUGUACAAUGCAUUAGAUGUAAAUGAAUCUAGUAGGAUUAAAGGUUGUAAAUCAGCUAAAGAUAUUUGGGAUAAAUUGUGUAAUUUCAUGAAGGUAACCAAGAUAUUAAAGAACAAAAGAAAUCUUUGCUUGUUUCUCAAUAUGAAUUUUUCAAAAUGAUCCUCUGAAAAUGUUGAUAAGAUGUUAGUAGAUUUGUGACAUUAUUAAGAUCUUAAAUUGCUUGCUAGAGAAUAUUCUUUGGUGAGAAAAUAGAAGAUUUUGAAUGCUUGCCAAAAGAAUGGGAAAACAAAAUAAAUGCUAUAGAAGAGCAAAGGAUUUAAAUUCUAUGUCCAUUGAAUCUCUUGUGAAUUCCCUAACUUCUUAUGAAUUAAAGCUGCAAUUCAAAGUGCAAGAGAAAGAAAAUGCAAGAAUGUUAUAAGAGAGGCAUAGCUUUUAAAGCAUCUCAAGUGGGGGAUAACCCAUCUUUCAUGGGUAAUGAAAACAUGGAAGUGGACAAUGAUAUAACUCCUCACAUCAAAAGUUUCAAGAAGAUCUUCAACAAGAGAAGUUCAAGAGGAGAUUGCAAAAUUACAUGGGAUGAAUACUAAUUCAAAAAGAGAAAAAGAAGAGUUGGCACAAAUGGCACUAAUGGCCUUUGGAGAAGAUGAGGUAAAUUCUUAUCACUCUUCUUGUGAUGAAGAUAAUGAAGAUGAUGAUGUGAAAAUUCUUAUGAUUAAAAUGCAUAAAAGUUUGAGAAAAUCUUAUGCUAAAAAUAAAGAUUUGAAAACAAAAAUAAAUGAUUUGUUGGAAGAAAACUCCAAACUUUUUCAGGAAAACAAAUGUUUGAGAAUGGAAAAUGAUGAUUUAAAAAAUCAAAAAAAUGUUUUUGAUUGCAAAAAUAAUUUGAAAAGGAAGUUGGAAGAGAAAACAAAGUUUUAUGGAAAAAUGUUGGAUGAACAAAAUUUGUUAAAGAAAAGAAUUAAUGACUUGAACGAGUUUCUCCAAAAUGAAAAACAAAAGUUUUCUCAAACAAAAGAAAGCAAAUCUUUUCAAGGCACAAAUACGUUUGCUAUGAUAAGAAGUAAGAAAAUUAGUUGCAUUAAAUCCACUUAUGUGCAAAAUACUUCUAUCAUGUGUCACUUUUGUUGUCAAUUUGGACAUAUGCAAAAUGAUUGCUAUGUAAAGAAAAAUAUGAGAAAAGGUAUGAAAUCCAUGUGGAUUGCUAGAUCAUGUUGUACUAACUCCCAAGAACCCUAUAAAAACUUACAAUUGGUAUCAUGAAAGUUUUGUCAUUCUAUAUGGUCUUGAUUUGGAAAAUAAAGGGGGAGUUUACUUUUUGAUUGAUGUCAAAAGAGGGAGUAGGAUUUAUUGAAAUUUCUUUGUAUGUUGGCAUUUUCUAAGGGAGAGUUUUAUUUGAACUUAUUUGAUCAAAGAAAUCUUCAUUUUGUUUGUCAUCAUCAAAAAGGGGGAGAUUUUUGACCUUGGUCGAUCAAUCCUUGGUUUUGAUGAUUAACAAACCAAAAUGUAGAUUUGGGCUAAUGUUUUUAUGUGAGCAAUUUGUUAGAACAGAUUCUUGUGGCACAAAAGAAGAAGCAAAAACAGGGCACUCAUGUGGGACGUCCGAAAGGAAGCUAUCGGACGUCCGAAAGGAUGAAGAACAUCAGGAAGGAUAUUCUGUCGGACGCUCGUGAGGAAGCAUCGGACGUCUGGAUGGAUCGGACACACUCUUCGGACGCACAUCGAUCGUGUCGGACGUCCUAAAAAUUCCACGAAGAUUUGAUAACUCUCUGGACGAUGUUCGGACGCAGGGUUCGGACGUCCGACAGGUGGUUUGGACGCAGGGUUCGGACGUCCGACAGGUGGUUCGAACGUCGACAGGCCAACGGCUAGUUUUGACAGCAUUUAAUAUUUGACCGUUGGAGAGUCUUUUGGAGCUAUUUCUCACCUUCUAUAAACACCCCAAAGCACAAGAAGACACGGGACUUUUUGCCAACACAAAUAUACAAGCUUACAAGUGAGAUUUUUGAGUAGAAAGAUUCUUUGUUGGUUGUAUAAGGGGUUGGGAAGUUGGGUUGUGAGGUUGCUCAAGUGAAGGUUAUUCUCUAGGAGGAGUAAAACCUUGGUGAAGGUGAACGCUAUCACUUGAAGUGGUAAAACCUUGGUGAAGGUUGCCUCAUUUGUAUAAAAUAGUUCUUAAUUGGGUGAGUGAUCUUUCAAGUGUAGGUUGUUGAGGGUUAACUAGAAUUGUUGUAAAACUCCUUGGCUCAACCAAAGUGUGUUUGGGGUGAGGAAGGAGUGAGCCUUCAGCUUGUACAUUCUGGUUAGCAUCGCCAUCAAUUGAAGAGGCUAUUGGUUGAUAGUUGGUUUGCAUUUCUUAUCCUUUCUCUUUAAUUAAGUUUUCUUUAUUGUGCUUAAAUUUGAUAUAUCUUUGUGCAUCAUUGUGAAUUUAUUUGUACUCAUUGGGUUGCACCGGGCACUUACAGAGUUCCAUCGGCAUGGGUAUAAAACUUAUUGAACAUUUCUACUCUAGUAGGAGGUCUUCCCAACUGUUUGGCCUAUAAGAAAUUGAAUCGUUUUAAUUAUAGUUUUAGCAUUUAGCAUAUAAUUAAAAAACAAGCUAACAUAAUGAAACAUGUACGAGCAAAAAAAAUUAGCAACUAAAAAGUGGAUGAGGUAUCACCAAGUGGUUCCGAAGAUGAGCAAAUUACUUUUUUCUGGUUGUGUGGUUCAUCUUCUUCUCCCCUCUAGCUUUCUUGUUCCUCUCACUUAGUUUCUAAAUUUCAAAAUGAAAAGCAAGAUUACAGCAUUGAAUGAACACAACUUUAUGAAGAAUGUUGUAGCUGAUUUGUACCUUUGCUUCUUCACUUUUCCAAUAAGCCCAAAGUUUGAUCCAUUGCUCUUCCCGUACCCUUAUGUCCUUUUGAAACCGAGCUUCAGCAUUUGGCACGGCAGAAUCAAAAUAGUUAGCCUUUAAAUCUGCCUUCCAGCUUCUCCAUUUUUUGCCAAUAGAUCUUAAGGUCCAAGCUUCCAGUCCCAUAGGCAAAGCAAACCUUUCCUGAAACGUAGUUAGCAACAAGAAAAUCAACACAACUUCACAGUAAUUUUUGUACAAAGCAUACAUAAUACAAAAGCUGCCAUUACCUUUAUCACUUCUAACAUGUCCAUUUUAAGUUUCCUUGGCAUCUUAAGCCAUGUUUCAACAUCUAUUGGACAAUACAUACCAUUCCUAGCCAAACUGCCCAAGAAUUCAGAGAAAGAGUUUUUCUCACUUAUUGGGAUCCCAUUGUCAUCGAGUUUAAUCUCAAUCCGUGGAAGUUCCUUAGGCCGACCCCAAAUUUCUUUCAUAAAUAUAGGGCCUCGGGUUUUAUGAUUUACUUCACUUGAAUCAUUUGUAGUUUCUUUUCCUGUUUAAAAUAAGAAAAAGGUGCAAGUUAUGAACAUAACAAAAUGCACUUCUGGAAUUGGUUCAAAACAGUUAGUAAUACCUGCAUUGUCCGAGUUGCAUGACAUGAAGGUGGUGUCACUGGAAUGUGGACCUCGAGAAUCCUGAUUUGGACUUUCUUCGGUUGCUUCAUGCCUUGUUCCAAGUGGAGAUUGUUGAAUUGGAGAGUUCUGGCACUGCUCAUGCGACUUGGAACCUCCAUCAGCUUGUUGAGUAACUUGGUCACCUGAUUCAUGCAUUAUUCCCAAUGUAGAAUUCUGAAUUGCAGAUUGAGGUGCCCGAGCAGCUUCUCCUUGCACUUGUUCAAUUACAUUUUCAUGGCUUGUUCCAAGUGGAGGCUGCUGCCUUGUUUCAUAACAUGAGGGAGGUUGCUCAAUUGGUUCAUCUCUCAAUCCAUUUGCAGCGCGCUUACAUUUUCGACCUCUACGGGCCAUACCUGCAUAAUAUUUGAGUGAAGAAAGGGACAAAUGUAAAUGUUUAAAAUUUAUUGAAGCACACUCUCUACCUAUAGUUUCUUUAACUUACAAAUGCUAUUAUAAAGAAGUACUACUUGAACAAUAAACUGGCAUGACAAGUAACAAAUGGCAUUCUGCAAGAAUAAACCAGGGGAAGACUAUGGAGCUGUCAACAGAACAGAGAAACAAAUGGAGAAUAUAUGAUUCAAUGCAGCAACUAAUUGGAAAUGAAAUGAAAGCUACAUGCUUAAGUGACUGCAAGAAUAUACAUGGGAAAUGCUUUGAUCUACAUCCUUUCAGCAUGAAAGAUAUGCAGAAUUUACUACCGCUAGACACGAAACUUUUUCCAUAUUGUUUUGAGAAUGAUGCCUAUGAUCAAAAGUUGGUAUGCUUAUGCUCAAUGAGGGUGUAAGUAGAAGAGUCCACGUAAUUUUAACUUCAGUAAUGGAGCAAACUAAUAAAUGAUUGUCUUGAAUUAACGAAAUAUACUUGGCCAUGUGAUAACCAAAAAUUGCAGAGGAUAAUGUAUUCUACCAACAAAUACAAGUCUUGGUUUUGUAUGUUUAGGGUGGCAAUCGGGUCGGUUAUGAAGCUCUACUGAAUACUUUUAUUUCCAGAUUCUGACAUGGUUCUGCAUUUAUCAAGAACUUGUCUCAUCUAAACAAGAGCUCAAGCUUUACGUAGCAUUGACGAUUCCAAACCAAAUUACUUCUCUUUUUGCCAGAGCCACAUCCACAGUUAUGGGUUGACACUUAACAGUAAAUGCACAAACACUUUGUCCAAUACAAUUGUAGCAGUACAAACAAUACAGUUGUAGAACAGGAAGGAGACGAAGAGCAUCACGGUGAAAGACUGAAAACGAGAACCCAUCACCAAAAAUAGAUGGUUGAAAUUGUACAUUCAGUUCACAGUAGCAGUCUCCAUUCGACCAGGCUCACCUAGAAAUGUGCUUCUCAGAAAUGUGCUUUUCACACCGCCACCACCCCAAAAGCUUUUCACACCACCACCACCCCCCAAAGCAAACAUUCUACCUAGAAAUGUGCUUCUCAGAAACGGAGAAGGUGCUUGUCAGAGAUGGGAAUCGAAUAGCCUAAAAACUAAAUCUACCAAGCAAUGCAAGAACAUGUCUACCAUGCAAUGCAGAAUUAGACACAAAAUACUGAAAUUACCUCAAACUAUGGCUUGAAUCCCUAAUUUCUCGGUUUCCCAAGCUUUGAAGCCCUAAUUUCUGAUUUCUUCCCACCAAGCCAACACAACAGCCGAAUUAGGGAUUUGCCUGGUGCGAGCUCAACCAAGUUACCCAAAAGGGUGCGAGUUCAUGGACGGCAAUUGACUCAAAUUGGUUGUGCGAGCUUGAAAGAGAGAGAGAGGACAAAGGCAGAGGACAACGAGAGAGGGAGAAGAUGUCUGAAAUAAAGGCGGUACUAAUGACGCCAAAGUAAAUUAGUCAAGCCUCUUGAAUUUUUCAAUUUGCCGCGCUACUAAUGACAAUUUUUGUGUGUUUGGGCAAAAUUUUGUUAAAGCUAGAUAACAACUAAAAAUUUGGUUAAAGCUAUAUACAAUAUAAUAUAACAACUAAAAAUAUAAAGGCUAAAAAUCUUGUUAAAGCUAUAUAACAACUAAAAAUAUAACAAAUAAAAAUUUUGCAAGAGCUAUAUACAAUAUAAUAUAACAAUCAAAAAUUUUGUUACAGCUAUAUAACAACUAAAAAUAUAACAAAUAAAAAUUUUGUUAAAGCUAUAUACAAUGUAAUAUAAUAACUAAAAAUAUAAAAAUAAUUAAAAAUUUUGAGAAGCUAACAAAAAACAUUCUUUUAAUCAAAAUGUUUUCGGUUACUCAAUUUAUUUUAUGCUGCGAGCAAUUAUGUACGGCUUGUAGUCUAACAAGCCAUUGGAAGGAUCGAAUUAGUUUAUGAAACAAGAAAAUUAACUUGUGAAUGCAUGAACUUUCCAUUGAUAAACAUUGGGAUUAGAAUUGACUGAACAUAAACAAUGAAUAUAUAUAUAUAUAUAUUCAAUGUUUUCAAUUCCAAAGCAAUUGCCAUUGAACUUUGUGUUAAUUAGAAACUUACUAUCACUUACAAGAUCUUACUAUUGAACUUUUCAAUGAUUAACCUUAGGCUUACACUUACAACGCAUUAAUUGAACAUAAACAUAUAUAUAUAUAUAUAUAUAUAUAUAUAUAUAUAGGGUAAAAAACAAAAAGGCCCCCUGUAGUUAACCUAAUACACAGAAAAGCUCCCCAUGGUUUCAAAAUAUACAACACGAUCCCUCAUGCUUUGAACUAAAUUGUAAAGGUGACGGAAUCCGUUAAACUUAACGGAAAUGGACGAAAUGACCAAAAUGCACUGAUAUAAUUAAGCAAAAGACAGCUCAAAAAAAUCAUUUGUUUCAUUCUCUAAGUAGAGAGAAUUGAGGGUUAAGGGGUAGAAUAUGCAUAUUUGAUAAAAAAUAGGCAUAAAAAUUUUUUUUUAGGUUCCAAUAAGUCAUUUCCGUUAAGUUUAACGGAUUCCGUCACCUUUAUAAUUUAGUUCAAAACAUGAGGUGUCGUAUUGUAUAUUUUGAAACCAUAGGGGAUUUUUCUGUGUAUUAGGCUUACCACAGGGGGUUUUUUUGUUUUUUACCCAUAUAUAUAUAUAUAUAUAUAUUCAUUGUUAAAAAUUCCAAAGCAAUUGCCACUGAACUUUGUGUUAAUUAGAAACUUACUAUCACUUACAAGAUCUUACUAUUGAACUUUUCAAUGAUUAACCUCAGGCUUACACUUACAACGCAUUAAUUGAACAUAAACAUAUAUAUAUAUAUAUAUAUUCAAUGUUUUCAAUUCCAAAGCAAUUGCCAUUGAACUUUGUGUUAAUUAGAAGCUUACUAUCACUUACAAGAUCUUAAUAUUGAACUUUUCAAUGAUUAACCUUAGGCUUACACUUACAACGCAUUGAUUGAAGGAUAAUCUAAAAUUGCGACUAAACCGAUUAAAUUCGAUCAAAGAUCAGUUGGACUAGAAAGCUCUAUCGGAAUUAACUUUUUGUAUUGUUAUUGGUUUAAAAAAUAAUUUUUUCAUGGUAUUAAAAAAUUAUUUAAGAAAUUUAUAGAUUAAAGUUUCAAAAUAUUUCUAUUGAUAAAAAAUUAGACCUUGGGUUAUUGGGAAAAAGAAUUGGCCAUAAUAUAAUGAUUCACAAAUGUAAUAUUACAGCUUACAAUUAAUGGAAUUGCUUAUAAAAUAAUGACCAGUAUUUAUGCAGCCCAUUGGGCUCUUAAAAUGAGUAAUGGGUUCCUUGGAAAGUUGGAUAGUUUUAUGUUUGGUCUGAAAUGAUUUGCACAUUCCGUACGUUGCCAAUUGUUCUCCCCAAACCAUAGAUGUCUGAGGAAGACAGACUCUACAUCUUCAUCCAUGGACUUCAACCGUGGGUACAGAUGGAGUUGCGGUGACAAAAUGUUCAGACCGUGUCUCAAGCACUUGCUACUGUCGAGAAGUUGAUAGACUUCAAGUCCAUAGGAUCCAAAAGUGAAAAAAAAAGAAGGGCAAGGCCUAGCAAUUGAAACAGAGAAGAAUAGGGCCAGCAAGCUUAGCAACUAUAAAAGAUACUAAAUCAGAUUAUAUUGGGACAAAUCAACUUCAAUCCCGAGUCCAUCCUCACGAACCCAACUAAUUUCCUCAUUUUCAUUCUCAACAACAGGAUUGCCAACAUCACUUUGCAAAUAUGUCUCAACAUCCAUGAUUGUUCCCAUGUUAUAUCCAGCUCUUGCAGUGGUAGAGAUAACAACUUGCCAAUCCUUAUCAGUUGGAUCUGCCACAUAAAAAACCUGUGAUGCUUGUGAAGCGAGUAUAAAUGGCUCAACAUGAGGCCUCACGUUUGCAAAAUUGACUAAAGUAAACCCAUCAGCAUCUUGUUUCAUUCUCGAACCAUUUGAUAUCCAAUCACAUUCGAAUAACACCACCCGAUGACCUCCGUAAAUUAAUUCAAUCAUAUUUUUCAAGACGCCGAAGUAAACUAGUUCACUCAAAACUGGAUUUUGAUCCCUUAUACUUGCAAAACUGGAUGUUGUUGCAUUGACUGUAACACCACUAUUCUGCGUUUUUCUUUUCUUCUCAACUUCUUUGGUGUGAAACCGAAAUCCAUUAACAACAUACCUGUCAUGUUGGAUUCCAACAACAUCUGGACCUUUAGCAAGGAACCUCAACUCUCUCAACACCGAAACAUUUUGAGGAAGUUCUAACUUGUCAAUCUGUAAAAAAUAAAUAAAUAAAUAAAUAAAUAAAAGAAGAUGAAACUAUAUUUGAAGUCCUACAAUUCAAAUUGUACUUAAUAUUCAGAAUUUUACUUACAUGUUCAGCAAACCAACACGCAAAAUUUUCGCAGUGCAAGCGCUCUUUUAGAUGCUGUGGAAUUUGAGGAUGUCCUUCUUCUAUCAAUCUACGAUGCUGCCUAGAAGUACAUGAGUCAAAAUUGUAAUCAUACAUUGAAUUCUACAAUAAAAUUUUAAUGCAUCAAGUUGUAGUUGAACUUACUCUAUGUAAGGUGUGACAGCAUCACAAUUAAAUAAAAUAUACUGAUGUGCUUUACUCAAGAUAUGAGCAUCAAAGACUGUUGGCUUGCCCCUCCCCAAAGGAUGUCCUGAUUCAGAGAAUAUAUCUAAACCAUCUUCAAUUUCCUUAUGUACUUCUUCAUUUCUGCUUGGACGAUUGAAUUUUGUCUCAACAUAGUCCGCAAGAUACAAUGAGCAAAAGUUAAUGCAUUCUUCUGCCAAGUAGCCUUGAGCAAUCGAACCUUCAGGCCUACUUUUAUUUCGAACAUAAGAUUUUAAUGUUCCUAAGUACCUAAAGUAUCAUCAUUCCAACCUCUCUAAUUACUUCCACAAAUCAAAGAAAGCAAAAAAGGAAUAAACAUUUAAGGCAUAAUGAGAAUUACAAGCAGUACCUCUGUAUAGGAUACAUCCAACGAUAAUACACCGGCCCACCUAAUUUCACUUCAGUUGCCAAAUGAACAACUAAAUGCACCAUGACAUCGAAGAAGGUUGGUGGGAAGCAUUUCUCAAGAUCGCAGAGUAUGACGGCAAUUUCACUUUCCAAACGAACCACAUCUUGAGGACAAAUAACUUUAGAACAAAGCUGCCUGAAGUAUCUACUCAAUCGAAUCAAAGGAUAGCGCACUGAUUUUGGCAAAGUCUUUCUCAAAGCUAUAGGCAUCAAUUGCUGCAUUAGGAUAUGAUUAUCAUGACUUUUAAGCCCUGAAAUUCUUGGUGGUUUUACUCGAACGCAUCUUGAGACAUUAGCUGCAUAACCAUCUGGAACUUUCACUUUUUUUAGCACAUUGCAAAACAUAGUUUUCUGUUUUUUAUCCAUUGCAAAGGAAGAUGGAGGUAAGUACACCUUUCCAGGUUCUGUCUCAAUGGGAUGCAGCUCUUUUCUUAUUCCCAUUUCUCUCAAAUCACGGCGGGAAUUAUAAUGGUCCUUUGCUUUAUCCUCAAUAUCCAGCAAUGUCCCCCAAAUAUUUUCACAAACAUUCUUCUCAAUGUGCAUGAAGUCAAGAUUGUGUCUUAAGACAUUAUCUUUCCAAUAUGGCAAGUCAAAGAAAAUACUCCUCUUUUUCCAAUUGAAAGGCAGCUUCGGAUUACCUUUCACAAGUUUUCCAAAUUUAAUUUGCAAGUCUCCCAAUUCACUCACAAUCAUAUCCCCGGUUUGCAAAGGUGGUCGCUUUCCAUGUUCUUCGGUGCCAUCAAAGAAUUGGGCUUGCUUUCUAAAUUUAUGCUUACUAUCUAAGAAUCUCCGAUGACCUAUGUAGCAAUAUUUGAAACUAUGAGUCAACCGUCGUGCAUGAGUGAACUUGUGACAAACAGGACAAGCAUAUUCACCUUUAGUGCUCCACCCAGAUAACAUUGCAUAUCCAGGGAAAUCACUAAUGGUCCACAACAGAGCCGCAUGCAGUUGAAAAUUUUCUUUUUGGGAUGCAUCAUAAGUUUGAAUGCCAAAAUCCCACAAUUCGGUCAGUUCUUUAACUAGAGGCUGUAGAUAAACAUCAAUAUUAUUCCUAGGAGAGGAUGGUCCGGGUAUUAACAAAGACAACAUGAAGUACGGUUGCUUCAUACACAUCCACAGAGGUAAGUUAUAUGGUAUUAAAACUACAGGCCAAGUACUGUGUGUAGAACUCAUGUUGUUGAAUGGAUUAAACCCGUCAGAUGCCAACCCCAAUCUAACAUUUCGACAAUCCUUAGCAAAUUCUGGAUGUAGAUGGUCAAAAGUUUGCCAAGCUGGAGAAUCAGCUGGAUGUCUCAUACAACCAUCUUUUGUACGUUUUGCCUCAUGCCAUCUCAUUUGAGAUGCAAUUUUAGAAGACAUAAAUAGUCUUUGUAAUCUAGGUUUUAAGGGAAAAUGCCGCAACACUUUUUGAGGAAUUUUCCUUUUUUCCCCAGUUGGAUCAUUUUCUGAAGCAACCCACCUAAGCUCGUUACAUGUUUCGCAUGAAGUUCUUUUUUCAGCACUACCCCUAUAAAGAGAACAAUCAUUAGGACAUGCAUCAAUCUUUUCAUAACCCAGCCCCAAUGUAUUCAUCAAUUUCUCAGCCUCAUAGUAAGAAGACGGCAAAUUAGUCAUGGCCUCCGGAAAUGCUUCUCUCAACAGCUCAACAAGCAUAUUAAAAAUCUUGUUACUCAUCUUACCCAGGCAUUUUAGGUGAAGCAAACGAAUAAUGAAAGACAAUUUCGAGAAAUUUUUGCAACCAUUGUACAAAUUCUGUUGAGAAUCAUCAAUCAAUUUGUAAAAUUUUUUCAGCCUCUGAAACAGGAAUGUCCCCUUCUCUAUUCAAUUCAUUUGUUCCAUGUGGUAUCCCAAAUACAUCAUGGACCAAGUCUUGCAUGUCAUUAGUCCCAUUUGAAAACCCAAUUGAUGUAUUUUCAGAAUUAGAUGUGGCUUCAUUGUAGUUUGAAAGUUCUCCAUGUGCUGUCCAAUUAUUAUAACCCUUGAUAAAUCCUACCACUUUCAAAUGAUCAUAUGCUUCCAUUUUUGUCACACAAACACCCAUGCCACAAUCUUUGCAAGGACACAAAAUCUUUCCGUCACAACUUGAUCUAGAAAAUGCGAAGUUUAGAAACAUUUGAAGUCCUGUCUCGUACUUUUCACUUGUUCUUGGAAAAUCCAUCCAUCUUUUAUCCAUACUUUUAAUAUAAAUAAAUGUCCUCCAACGAGCUUCCAAUAGCCUACUUUUUAAACUCAGGUCGUGGCUUACAAGUCCCUAAUUUCAAGUUCAAGAAUUUCUCAACAAAAAGGAAUUUAUCAAGCAGCCAGCAAAUAAAGGAAAUCAACAAAAUGCAAAAUUUCUCAACAAUCUAUAAAAACAGAAUUUGCAAGUAAGCGGAUAGAAAUUUUAUUUACCUAAUAACAGAAAAAAACCCUUCGUACCAACUCCUGCGCUCACGUCUUCGCAAAAUUCCUAAGUUCAAUCUGAAAUGUCAAUGGUUAAACAAACACAUGAGCAUGAAAACUAAAGGUGAAAUUCAAGAAUUUUACUAAAUUUUCAUCAAAGUAUACAUACAUCUUUGGUGUGUAGUGAUUAAUUUUAUAAGUCAUCUCUUUAGAAAGGCAUGCAAUUGACGGCAUAGGUAAUUGGAAAAAGAAUGACAGAAAAGUCCCCUAGCUUCUAAUCAUGCCUAUGAAGAUCCUUAUGAACAUGUCAAAAUACUUUGACCCAACUACAUCAAUGUCUCUGUCUUAUUAAUCUAAAAGUCCCCUUUUUUGGGCUCAAAAUUUGCACUAUAAUAGACUGAUCAAGUGCAGAAGACACUUAGUACAAGCGUUAUACUAUAUAUUUCAAGCAACUCACGUACUGAUUAGACAUACAAUUUAAAACAGAAAAAUGAUGUAAAGAUGCAAGUACUACAUAGAAUUUAACAUAGAAAAAAGCAAUAGUGAUAUAAGUGAUACCAUUGGGUGAAAUAUGCACUUAGCCGGAGGACCACCUUUGUGGCAAAAGCCAAAAGGCAGCAAAGGUUACCAUUGUUAUGCAAAUUUUGUGCCUCACAUUGGCGGUCCAUUAUCUGCAUCUUAAUUGUCUUUGGGCUUAUAUAGUCACGGUUUCCCAAUUCUGUCACCAGAAUAAUUUCCUGCUAGGCAUAUAUAGACCAUGGUCCUUGUUUCAUUUAUUUAUAUCGAACUUGUUGCUGAGUGUUCAUGAUUACGAUAAGCAAUGCAAUUUGGUUGAAGCUCUCUAUUCACAGUUUUGCUUAACCGUCCCCAUCCCCAAACAGAACUAGCUGCCUAAACAAACUUCAAUUACAGCUAGGUUUCAUAGAAAAAAAUGAAAAACAGGGGGAAUUGACUUUUUAUCGAACAGGUUUUGGGCAACAUACUAAUCACCCGUGGACACUUUAUUAGCUAGCCUAUGUACAAUUAUGGCAUGACGAUAGAACAAAUGUAACAUGGACAUAAAGAUCGAUCUCCUCAAAAAAUACGCAAUCCAAUUGAACAAAUUUCCUCAAGUUUUCAUCUCCAUUGCAGCUAAAGAAAAAGCAUCCAACACCGAGUUGCUAUUAAUGCUACAAUUAGAUAGAUAUCAUAUUUAAAUCUUUCAACAAUCUUAAAUGAGGACAAUAUAACUCAACUAGCGACAGCUCAGGCCAAGAAUCUUUACUUCUCAGAAAAAAAUUUCCAAGUUGCAGGUAAUUUCUUGACAACGAAAUCAAACAUAAGAGCUUCAUUGUGUUUACCACUUCGAUUUUGGAACAACAUUUGCGCGCCUGAAGUAUCUUCCAGCUUUCCCAAUGUACAGCUCCGAUCUUCUAAUUUUACUCCCUGCCUGCCCUUCCAGAUGUCUUAGCCGAAGGAUUUAAAGUUGAGGUUAGAAAAGAUGAAGAUGGUUGUUUGCGGAGACAGCUUGACCAACAUUCUGGAUUGGCUGAGAUAGAUUGUAUGCGGAGAGGUGAGAGAGAUGAGAAGAAGAAAAUUUUCACCAAGUCCUUUUGCCGGCAAAAUGAAACUUCAGAGUACUUUACCAAGUGUCUGGAGCCAAAUUAAAACGAUGUCAUUUUCUGUCUUUUUUUUUUCUCACAUUUUCCCAAGUGUCAUGAUAGGUAGUCUAAAGACACAUUAUUAUUUUAUAUCAUGAUAAAAUAAAAAAAUUAUAGUACAGAUUAUUGAGUUGGUUAAUAAGUGUCAUGAUACGUUUGGUAUAACGACACAAACCAACAAGUGUCCUUAUAAACAUGUCAGAAAAGGCCAUUUUUGUUGUAGUGCCUGUUGCGUUUUGAAUUUCUUAAAUAAAGGUCUUCUCUUACCCCCAAGCUAAAUUUCACACACGUUGCUCUUAUUCCUAAAUAUUUAGAGCCCAAGCAAGCAAAUAUCUCAAUUCCGUCCACUAAGUUUAUGUAAUGUAGUGUACAAAUUAGCGUCUAAAGCCAUCUCUAAUCGAGUCCGUGUUCUUUUACCGAAUAUUAUUUCUGAUCUCAAUCGGCUUUUAUUCCUGGCCAAUUAAUCACCAGUAAUGUCCUUGUUGCUUAUGAAGUCCAUCAUUAUCUUAAAUGUAAAAAUGCAGGCAAGGAGGAACUCAGGUCGAUUAAAAUGGAUACGAGCAAAGCGUAUGAUCGAGUUGAGUGGAUAUUUCUCUUAAAAAUAUUACUAGCUUUAGGUUUCAAUUCUAAAUUUAUUUUCUUAAUUUUCAAAAGUAUUUCAACAGUUUCUUAUUCUUUUUUGCUCAUCGGUUUGGGAUUUGGCCACUUAAAACCUAGUUGGGGUAUUAGACAAGGAGACCCACUUUCCGCAUAUCUAUUUAUAUUGUGUGCAGAAGCUUUUUACAUUUUAUCUCAGAAGCUAGUCUUUGUGGAAAGUUGGGAGGCAUUGCUGUUGCGCCUGGUGCUUCAUCCAUUUCUCAUUUGUUUUUUGCCAGAUGAUACUCUUUUAUUUGGAAAGCUACAGGGGAGGAGGCUUCAAAUUUUAUGCAGGUUAUCAAUCUUUAUGAAGGUGCAUCAGGCCAGCCGAUUAAUGUGGAGAAGUCAGUGGUGGUAUUUAGCAAGAAUACUCCAGAAGCUGAUUAAUUGGCAAUUGAAUGUUCUCUUCGAAUGCCGCCUGUGGAAUCACAUGAAAAGCACCUCUGGGGUUGCCUACUAUCGUUGAGAGAUCUAAAGGUGAGGUCUUUAAUUCUAUCAAACAAAGGGUUUUUAAACGGAUUAAUGGAGCAGCAGUUAUCUCGAGCAGGAGAAGAAAUUUUAUUGAAUGUCCCUUGUAAAGUUAAGCAUUAUCUCUGGAGAAUUUGCUGUGAUUUCUUGCCUACUAAAGUAAAUCUGCUCCGGAGAAGAGCUUCAGUGGAGCUCAACUGUCUGUCUUGUGGUUUUGAUAUUGAGGAUCUUAUUCAUGCAAUUUCUUUCUGGGCGUUAAGCUGCCUUAAAGGGCAAGUACGUAAGUGGCAGCAAUCAAUUCCCAAAGAGUGGGCUCUGGAGUUGUUAGUUACGUUGAAAAAUCGUGAAGCAGAGUUGUUUGAGAUGUUAUGUUGGGCUAUUUGGCUUGGGAGGAACCAAAAGCUGCAUGAAGAUAAACGAGUGGACCCUUUUGAGUUUAGUUAGCUUUGCUUCGGGUGCGCUCCAAUAAUUCCAAGAAGCUAAUGUUACUCAGAAAUGUCCAGGCGAUGGCAAGUUAAAGUUUAAUUUUGACGGUGUGGUGUUUAAGGAAACUCAAUCUAUUGGUUUAGAUGACGGUGCGGUGUUGAUUUAUCUAGUUUAGACCCUCCAAUUUUUGACAUUACGAGGGACUUAACUAGUUUAGAGAUGUCUAGUAUUUCAGGAAUGAGUAGGAAUCAUAAUAAAAUCACUCAUAUAUUAGCUAAGAUCGCAGAAUUCAUAUGUGAUCAUGUCUUUUGGUGGAGAGAUCCUCCAGAGUUUGUUGUGCCAUUUCUAAUGGCGGAUUUGUUAGAAAGUUAAUGAAAGUUCAAUACAGGUUAUGUUGAGUAAGACGUUGGAUUGAAAAUUCAAGAUUUUGAACUGAAAUUUCAAGAUUUUGAGAUGAAAAUAAAAGAUCACGCUAAACUUAAUGGAUUCAAAUCUUAAUAUGUGCAAAUGCGUUUGAUAACCAAAAUUGGACAUCUGAAUUAAUUAAGUGCUAGUGAAUUUUCUAAACGAAAUUUGUUCUAAAAAAUAAGUGAUAAACUAUGCAUUUAUUACUGAAUGUGAUAUACACUUAAAUAUACUUGAUUUAAUACUUAACAAUCUAAUAAAUUAAUGGACUCAGAUUUUAGAUUUCAAUUUUAUCAAAGUAACCUAAAAAUAUAGACUAUAGAUAAAAUAACUGCAGAUAAUGAUUUAUGUUGAGUAAGCUUUCAAAGCUACGUUUCCCAAAACAAACUUUAGAUAAUCAUUCUCUAAUUUUUGCUUUCACUCUAGAAGAUGCGUACAAUAAUGGGUGUAUACAAAAAUGGAAGUUAAAUUGAUAACACUAAGCUCGCCAAUUCUCAUAAAAAAAAUGAUGACAUUGCCUGCAUUAAUUCUAGUAACGGACUGAAGACAAUAAUUAAUAGGUGACUAUAUGGUGCCUAAGGCACACAAUAAAAUGUGGACUUGGUACCAUUAUUUAUUUUUGUGAAAGGAUAAACCUAUUUUGUAAGGUGUCGCAAUUCAUCAUCAUGAAAUGAGUGGUAAUUUUAAAGCAUUAAUAGUGAAUUCACCUUCAUUUUUAACGUUCAUAUCGCAAAGCCUAUUAAAAAAUUUCCACCAGCACAAAUUCCACUUUUAAUAGGUUCGAAAAUUCACUCACAAAUUUAUCCACAAAUCCCAUUAACAAAAAAAAAAAAAGAAAAUGCAGAAAGUUAUCAACGGAACUUCUAUAGUGCGUUGACGCGCGACACGUGUUGGUUGGAGAUUACUAGAUGGGAGUGGGGUUAAUCAAAGGUGGUAUUUUAGUAUUAAGCCCAAAAACCACCGGUAACAAUGGUAUUGACCCAAUUUCUAGAGGAAUUGACCCACAUAAACUGUGAAAGAUUAUUUUCUCUGUCAUUUAAGGCAAUUUCUGAACAAGAUUUAGGCGUAUAAUAAAGAAAUUAUCAACCCCAACCCCCAAUAUUAUGCUAAUAUGCAAUUGGAAAAAAUUAAAUGAAUAUUUACUUGAAGUUAAGAAGUGGAUACCAAUCGGUAGAAAGUGUUUAUAACAUACUCCGAAAUGCCAAAGGACUUCCCAAAAAGUGGGAAGCAGGACAACAUCUGAAAUAUAGUCCAAGUUUGAAGUGCUUUAUGUCAAACAUAUUUCAAUAUAGAAAAAAAAAAAAUUACUGGUUAGCAUAUGUUUGUGCGCAGUAUUUGUUGAUUGGGAGACGGUUCUAAGGAGGCGGUUUUGCAACAAAUAAGUAAACGGGAUGUCGAUUACUUGGAGUUGUAUCUUAUGCUGGAAAAAUAAUUAGACAUGUCAGUUAAGUAAUAUUUCAAUUUAAAUAAAGUUAGUUAGGAACUAGAACUCGUAACAUGGUUGGAUAUGGUUAGUGAAUAGGAUAUGAAUGUUGGGGGAUAGAAUACAACUAGAAUUACUAAGACAAAUUAAGCGUGACACUUUGAAUUCAAAUUUUACUAACAUUGCAUAAUAACACCUUUGACUGAUAAUUUUUUUUGAUACGGAAACUGGAAAAAUUUUAUUAAGAAGAGGAUAGAUCCGUAUUAAUUGCGAAAGAAAGAAAAAAUGGUGGAGAAAAUCUCCAACUAUAAAUACCUGAAAUAGAACUAGCAUUACUAUCUAAGAAAUGAGCAGGCACAAUUAGAUUCCUAGGAAUCCAAUCAGCCUCCCAAGUAAUGAAAUUCUGUAAACUAACAAAGAUAUCAUCUAACAGCACUCCAUAAGCUGAAUCAUCGGAUUCCAUAUUUUUAAGCAUGUUGAUGAUCUUCAAAGAGUCACCCUCUAAAACAAUCUUAGAACCUUCAACUGAAGUAACGAGGAAAUUGCAGAUAUUGCAGCAUAAGUUUCAGUUACUUCAGGAGAAAAGAUACCUAAGAUUUUGUGAAAAAUACUAGCAACAAAUUUGCCCCAUUCAUUCCUCACAACAAUUCCAACUCUAAAGUUGUCGUCUUCAUAGAAUAUUGCACCAUCGAAGUUUGCACUGCACCAUCGAAGUUUGCCUUUAGAAAUCUUGCAGAGGGCUUUAUCCAAUGAAGUUGAGCAGUGGAAGAGCAUAUUGGAAUGUUUGGAAAUGUGUUUAUUUCAUGGUAUUUCUAUAAGAAAUUGAUAGAGAGGGAGAGACCAAACUGAAAGGAUCACGAUAGAACCAUCAAAUAAUGCAUCAUUUCGGUUAAACCGUAGAUUCCAAAGAAUUAUGGCUACCAAUUCCAUGUCCUGCUUUUUCAAAAGAUGAAGGCCAGACAACCGAGACGAAACUUGAUCGGUAGAGUCUAAUCUUAUCUUUAGUGUAAGAAAGCUAAGGGCCCAAGGUUGAAUUGCUACUGGACAGCACAAGAAAAGAUGAUUAACAUCAUCAAUAGGGGCCUUACAUAAAGAACAAGUAGGAUCAAAAUAGACUCCGCGACUAUUCAACUUGGAAGUUAUAGGUAGAAUGUCUUUGCAAAUUCACCACAAGAAUAUUUUAACUUUACUUGGUAUGUUGAGUUUCCACAAGCAGGGCCAAAUAUCAUCCAUAGAACCAUUACUACAUGAAGCUACAUCUUGUCAAUUUGUAGAUUAUAUUUUGAUAAGAUGAUAGGCAAUUUUCAUUGUGAAGGAGCCAUUUUUAGAAUAGUGCCAAAUGAGCUUAUCUUGAUUUCGUCUAUCACCCAAUGGAAUACUCAUAAUCAACUCAAUCACAUCUAAGGAUAGCAACGGGGGCAGUGCCCGGGGGGGCUAUUGGGGCAGAGGUUGGGGCGGGGGUGGGGCUGGAGCGGGGGGAAUUUUUCCCCCCAUUUAGAAACGGGGCAGGGGGCCCACCCAUUUGGAAAAAAAAGAGAGAUAUAUAUAUGUACAUAAUUAUAUAUAUAAUAGUAUUAUCAAUUAUACAUGUCUAUUAAUAAAAAUUAUUAAUUAUUUAUACUAAAUUUAUUAAUACAUUUAUAUUAAAUUCCUAACUACACUUAAUACAAUAACACUUUUUUUCUAAAAAAAACACAAUAAUAAUUUAGUGAUUGUAUUUGUAUCAAAAGUAAAAACAAUUAUUUUAGUUAUAUUUGUUUUAUCAUAUUAGAUCGUAUUCAAAUAACUUUUGUUUAAUUAUUUUUAUGAGUUUCAAUUGUGAAGUUAUAAUGAAUAAUAAUUUGGUGAUAUGUUGAUAUUUUAGUACUUGAUUACUUGCUCAAAUUUAAUUAUAAUAAAAUUAUAUAAUAAUUUUUUUAACCCCGCGGGGGAAGCGGGGCGGGGGCGGAGGACGGGACGGGGACGGGGGGGAAUUAAUAGGCAACGGGGCGGGGGUGGGGGAGGGGCCACCCCUAAUCACAUCCUGCCAAAAAAGCUCUUGAAGCAAAUCAUAUUUCCAUUUCCUGCUAUUUUCAUCAAUUAAACAAUCUAUAGUGGACAUUUCUAGUAGCACAUCAAAACGAGAUAUAAUUUUGAAAUUAGAAAGACGUGGAAUCCACCUCUCUUUCCAAAUUUUGAUAUGAUUCCCGUGUCCAUCUCACCAUCUACUACCAAAAACACCUUUGAUUGAUAAUUAAAUAGUUAAAAAAAUAUAUCUACUUAAUUUGUUUACUCAAUAGUUAUGUGAACUAAAACAUAAAAAAGAAGGUCAAUUAUUAUAUUAGUGUUAUAUUUGUAAUAUUAGUUCCCUAUAUAGUAGGUUGCCGAGUUGGGCAUAUUUAUAUUCUACCAAGUAAAUGCCCUAUCUUUUCGAAACGUGGCAAAAAAAUUGUGUUUGUUUUUUUUGGUAGAUUUCAUUCUUUUUCUUUUUUGGUAACAAUUAAUUUACUAUUCAUUUUCACUUCAUUAUUUAUAGUAAAUUUCAAUCAAUUAUCAAUUACUUACCUUAUAUGCAUUUUUAUUAAUUAUACCUUUAUUUUUUUUAAUCAACUUAUAGCUUUCCUUUUUAAUUAGGCACUCGUUAAUAUAUGUCUUAGGUGUUAAAUUUUUAGAAAUAUAAGAUGAAUUAGGGAGAGCAUAUAAAUGUAAGGGAAUUAAUUAGAAAAAUAUAUAAAUAAAAGAAAAAGUAGUAAUAGUUGCGUAUAUAUAUGGCAGGUUAGGUGGAAUGCAGGUGUGUUAACGAUUACCCAUAGGGCACCCAUUAGAAAUACUCAUCAAAAUUUGGAUUAAUUUUUUUUCCUUUCAUUGCAAUCAUUACUACCAUUUUUCCUAUCAUUUAUUACUAUACCUUCAUGUUUCUAAAUACCAAUAAAUGUAUUACUCUCUUACUUUUUAUUUGAUUGUGCUAAUUAUAGCUUUCCUUUUACUUAAUCAAUUAGUCAAUCGAUCAAUCAACCAAUGAUUUUAAUUCUCUUUUCAAUCGCACGAUCUUUCUUUUAUCCAUCAUUAGGGAGAUUUACAAUUUAGUCACAUAUUUGUUAUGUGUACAAUAAUUAUGCAAUCAUAAGCACAAACUAAUGCAAUUCUAAUAAUUUUGCAUAUAUGCAUUCAUAUUGUAUUGCAACACCUUUAAUAAUUCAUUAUAUGGUUACAAAAGCCAAAAAAAAUCUAGUAUUACCUAGACCUUAGAUAGUCCCCAAUGUAUACACUGAUACUGUAUAAAAUGAUUUUAAACCCGUUAAUAUAUAUACUGAUUGCAUAUGAAGAUUCAUCCCUAAUUUAGACCUCUUAGAUAGUUUGCAUGCAUUAUAUUCCCUUUUUUUAAUUUCUUAUUUAGUUUACCUUAUUACCAUUUAUGAUUUUUUUUUAAUUUAAGCAACAUCUUCCAAUAUUUUAUCACCAUUUUAAGUUAGUUCAUUUUUAGGAGAUAGUAGUAUAAGUGUGGUAGUUUGUCCAAAUAACUUUGAAUAUGCAUAUACAACCCAAAAAUAAAAUGAUAGUUGUUUAUAUUCUUAUCACUCAACGAUGAUAGUGUUAUGUAAUUUAAAUGAUUGAGAUCUAUUGCCAUCCAAAUAUAAAUUUAAUAUGAGGGUAUGAUAACUAAAAAUGACUAUAGAAUCUCCCUAAAUACUAAAUAAUGCGAAUAGAGAUAUUCCCUCAAAAACUUGUAAAGUACUUAAUGUGUAUACGGGUAAAUUCUUGCAAUAGUGAAAGGAAAAUAUCUUACUAGCCUUGAAAUUUUGGCCCGUGUAUUGACUUUUGUUAGCUAAAUUAAACUAUCUUGGAGUGAAGACAUAAAAUCUGCGGCAAAAUUUGAGAGAGUUGUGAACAUAGCUUAUCUAGCGUACACAUUUUUUUCCGAGUUUGAAUUCUCUCACUUACACGACAAAAAGAAAAAACUAUCGUACAUUUAACUUCCAACUAACAAUGAUGUAUAGGUAAUAAAUUAUAUGCAUGGGAUAUUCUCAUAAAUAAAUGAAAUAUAUUUACACGACAAAGAGUAAAUUCUUAAAUUAAGAAGAAAUAAUAUUAUAGUAGCUGUCAAUUUGUUUAUAUGACUUUUUGGUUUGUCUUUACUCAUGACAACCAAUUAUGUUAUUUUGAUGUAAAAAUAUCCAAAAACGGUUGAAUACAAUGUGGGACAUUAUUAUUAUUACUCGGAUACCUCAAUAUUUAUAAAAUUGAUUAAAUUGGAAUCCAUCUGGAUUUAACAGUAUUUUGAAAAAACUAUUUUUGUUGUUCAAGUCUAUAGUAAUAAACUUUAAAAAUAACCUCAAAAAUAAUUUAAAAAAUACAACAUAUCUCAAAUACAUUAAAAAAUAAUUAAAAAAUUUCCCUAAUUCUUCUUCCCCACACUACCCACUACAACCACCACCACUACCCAUCACUGUCCACUACCACCACCAUCAUCCCCACACCCAUGACCCGUCUUCCUCUCUCCUCUCUCUCUUUCUCCUCUCUCUCUCCUCCCUCCUCCCUCCUUUCUCUUAUUCUCCUUCUCCUUUCUCCUUCCUCCUCUGCCUUGUCUUUCCUCCCUUCUCCCUUCUCUUUCCCCAUCCCCUAAUCCCCCCUUCCCUCUACUGACUGUGGCCUUCUUGGUCUUGACCAGAAAGGUUGCAGCCAGAAGCCGCGACUAGUGGCUUCUGGUUGCAACCAAGGUCACAGAUGGAGUCGCGGUUACCAUCCACGAUUGGGAGAGGUUUGAGGGUCAGAAACGAGAGGGACGGGGGAGAGAAGGAGAAGAAAGAGGAGGGAGAAGGAAGAGGAAGGAGAGAAAGAGAGGGAAAACAGAGGGAGAGACAAGAGAGGAGAAAGGGGGUAACGGCGUUGAGUGGUGGUGGUGGCUGGCGUAAAAUUUUUUAAAAAUACCCCAAAAAAGUUGUAAAUUAUAAAAAUAUCCCAAAAAUGUAUUUUAAAAAGCCCUAAAAAUACCUUUAAAAAAUCCCCCAAAAACAUCUAUAGUACAAGUUAUUUAUAUAUAUAGUUACCGUAAAGUUUUUAAAAGAUACCCUAAAAACAGUUAGUCCAAAUGGAGUCUUGAGUUUUGAGGUUAAGGUUCAAUGAUUGACCACAAUUUAGGUCAAAGUAAAACUUGGCCGAAAGUUUAGUGGGUAAAAUAUAAUUUUAAAAAUUAAUCAUCUUCCCUGAUCCUCACAGUUGCAAUGGUGAACUGUCAGCCCCUUAGGACGUGUUCCAGACGGAACACGCGCAACCGUGGUAGAUUUCGGUCACUCAUGGUCAACUUGGAAGGCUGAAGGUGAACUGGUUGGGAAAAACUUGGACACAUGUUUGAUGAUGUAUUCCAUGCCUAUGUAUGGGUUUGGAAAAGUUUCAGGGCUAGGAAAAUGUCUCUAAAUUAGUGGGGAAAUGAGGGGUGGCUUUACUAGCGGUCCGAAAUUUUUAGCUAGGACUACUAUAGAGAGAGAUAACUAUAACUAAGCCAAGUCAAUGCCAAGGGCUGGGGGCUAAGGCUUUAUGGGUUAUUUUGGAUGGUUCCAAGCAUUUGGAGCUGUGGUGCCUAAGUUGCUAAGUGUUGGGCCAAGUUGGGCACGGAACUAAGCAAAUGGCAAGAAGCUGGGUGUGCGAAACUGUGUGACCAUUGCAUGUGCGCUCCAAAGACGAACGUUGGGACUGUCUGGCAGUUGCUAGUCGUUUGCUGGAGUUGCGGACGAUUAUCAGUCAACUCAGACACGUUCUUAUCGGUUUCCUGACUUCAUGUACAUUCGGGUCGGACCAACGGUUGGGUCUUGUCAACUAUAACAAUGCAUAUAAAUAAAUGGCUAGGUAGGGAGUAAAGGCAGAUAGUGAGAAACACCCUUAGAUGUUCUGCAUGCUAAAUGUUUGUAGAAUUGUCCUUGUAAUCUCUAUAGUGAAAUACAAGGUUGGCCGUUUGAUUGUAACUUGUGCGUGUUGUUCCUUUGUUUUUGCCUAAGUAUUCUAUGUUGAAUACUUGUAUGCAAGUGUCAGUGUAAGGGCUGACUGGAAGCGCGGCUUAUCAAUGCCAUUACAUGCUUGUUAGGCUAGUGAGCGUAAACACCUCGUAAUAGUUUGGUAUCAAAGCACGGCUUUGAUCUAUUAGACUGUGCUUCUGUUAUGUGUUUUGUUGGUUAAUGAUGGUUGGACACAGGAAUUCUGUUGCAAUGCUUGGAAUGGUUGCAAUGUUAGGAACUUGCAUUCGAGGACUUGAUGCAGUGUCUAGGAGAUGGCCUAGAAGGCUUCAAUGUCAUAGAAGUUCUAUUGCAGACUAGAGAGAUGAUCAACACCCUGACUGCACAGAUGGACGAAACCAGGCAGACAGUUUCUUCUGUUGGGGAUGUUGAGAUGCUAAGGAAUGAAAUGAUUGCAUCCCAUGCAAAGAUCGUGGCUUUACAAUCGAAGAUCAAUGUGUUAAAAAAGGCAGUCGGCUCUUGUAACACACAGACCUUUCAAAAAUCUUCGAAGAGGAAAGUGAAAGUCCUAGAUCCGAAACCAUACCAAGGUAGUAGGAGUUCGAAGUAUUUGGAAAACUUUUUGUGGGAUUGUCGAGUAGUACUUCAAGGCUAUUGACAUUCCUGAAGUAGAGAAGGUGUCAAUUGCAUCAAUGUGUCUUAGUGGUGAUGUAAAGUUAUGGUGGAGAACAGUGCAAUCAGACCUACCAAACCCAAGAUCGGUACUUGAGAAGUACUGAAGGAGGAAUUGAAGAAGCAAUUCCUUUCCACGAAUGUUUAAUGAAAAGUUAGAGGUGUAUUGUGAAACUUAAAGGAGAAUAAGAAAGUACAGAGUACGUUACAGAGUUCCAAGCCUUGAUGUUAGAUGUAAGGGAAAUGUCUGAGGAAGACAGACUCUACAUCUUCAUCCAUGGACUUCAACCGUGGGUACAGAUGGAGUUGCGGUGAUAAAAUGUUCAGACCAUGUCUCAAGCACUUGAUACUGUCGAGAAGUUGAUAGACUUCAAGUCCAUAGGAUCCAAAAGUGAAAAAAAAAAAGAAGGGCAAGGAUAAGGCUAAGGGCUCGAAAGGUGGUCAAUUCUCAAAAAAGAAUAAAAAGAAGCAGACAGUAACAACGACCGAAACUAGCGGUGCUUCCUCUUCUAAGAAGAAGCAAACAUCCAACCCUAAAAAGGAUGGCUGCUAUACCUGUGGAAGACCACACUUAACCUGCAAUUGCCUCAAUAAGAAGGACCAGAACGUUAGUGCCUUAGUGGCAGAAGACAAUAGUGACCAGUUGGAGGUCCAGGAUGCACGGGUCAACCCCAUGUAAUUCUUGAACGCCAUCACCGAUACUAAUGUCUGUACUCUUUACAAUGGUUUGAUGUAUGUGCAGGUUACAUUGAAUGGUAACCAUAUAUUGACGAUGGUUGAAACGGGAGCAUCAUAUAGUUCUAUGAUGGAAAAAGUAAUGAGUCGGUUCCGGUUACAGUUGAAAGACUUGGGUUUCAAAAUUGAAGGCUGUAAACUCUGAAACCAAACCAGUGCUAGGCAUGGCGACCGUAGAUUUAGAGUUGGAGCCAUGGAAGGGUUGGUGCAAUUUCAUGGCAAGUCAAAUGGAUGAUUUUGACUUGAUUCUAGACAAAGAUUUCAUAGUUGCAAAUAGGAUCUAUCCAAUUCCGCACUUGGAUGGCGUCAUGGUGAAUGAUGGCUAGAGUCCAGGCUUUGUUCUUGUAGUAAAGUUGCAGAAACAAAAGAACAAUCAACAAAAGAACAUGGUAUCAACGAUAGAGAUUGAGUCAUAUCUUCUGAGGCGCGGUGAAGUUGUGUAUAUUGCUGCAUUGGUGGAAACCAAACCUAACAUGUACCAAGAAGUACCUAACGCCAUGGCCCACGUUCUAGAGAAGUUUACAAAUAUCAUGCCUACAAAGUUUUCGAGAUAGCUUCCUCCAUCCUGUGCCGUGGAACACAAGAUCGAGUAGGUUCCAAGAGCCCAACCACCUGCCCAAACUCCUUAUCGCAUGUCCCCGAUAAAGUUGGCUGAGAAAGAUAUAGUACGCAUGAGAAAGAAAUGACAGUUGUUGUACAUUGUCUCAAGAUAUGGAAGCACUAUCUAUUAGAAACCAAGUUUGUGGUGGUGACUAAUAACAUGGACAAUACUUACUUCAAGACACAGAGAGAGUUGACCCCGAAGCAAGCUCGUUGACAAGAGUUUCUGGCUGAAUUUGACUUUGACUGGAUUCAUAAGUUAGGAAGGGAGAAUGCAGUGGUCGACAUACUUAGUAGAAAGUAUGUCGAAGAAUACAUUGUUGUGCUUAGCACUGUUGAGACGGACUUCAGGGACAAGAUCAAGUGGGAGUCCCCGAGUGACCCAAUUUAUCAAAACUUGGUGUUCGUGAAGUCAAAGUUCGUCGUUAUUGGCUGGAGGAUGACUUACUAUUUUGCCAAUAGUGGUCAAGCAUAUGUUCCAGCAGGAGGGGGACUUAGGCGACAGUUACUACGAGAAACUCACAAUGCUUCUUGGAUUGGUCAUUCUGAAGUUGAACGAAUGCGGGCAUUAUUGUCGCGUAGCUUCUAUUGGCCAAAGAUGGAAGAGGAUAUUGAAGCAUACGUGAAAACUUAUCUUGUUUGUCAACAUGACAAGAUGAGAGGAAGAAGGAGCCAGGCUUGUUGCAGCCUUUGCCGAUCUCUGAUCGACCAUGGCAAUCAGUUUCUAUGGACUUCAUUUCGAGAUUCUCUAAGGUCGAUGGUAUGGCUUUUGUCUUUGUAAUUAUUGACAGAUUUUCUAAGUAUGCUGUGUUUGUUGGUGCACCAAAGGAGUGCUCGGUUGAUGUUGUCGUUGAGUUAUUUUUCAGACAUGUUAUGAUGUAUUUCAGAUUACCCAAAGAUAUCAUAAGUGACAGGGACAUGAGAUUCAUAGGUAGAUUUUGAACCGUGAUGUUCGGGUUGCUAGGUUUCGAACUGAAGUUCUCAACUGUCGCAUACUCUUAGACCGAUGGACAAACGGAGAGGAUCAAUAUCUUGCUAGAAGAAUACUUAAGGCAUUACGUGACGACAAGUUAGAAAAAUUGGCUGGAGUUGCUGGAUACUGCAUAGUUUUACUACAACCUGCACAAGUUAUUCGUAACUAAGUUGAGUCCAUUUGAGUUAAUGAACAGGCAACAACCUCUGACUUCACCUGAAGUUGCUCUUCAAGAGUUAGUUUGUUGAUGACACAACAACGCAUGAAGAAGUACGCAGACCAACAUAGAUCGGACUUAGAGUUCCAACUGACUCCCUAGAUUUGAAAAAAAGUAAAUAACAAGACAGUCCAUCGUGGGAUCAUCCAUGAGUACAAUAGACCAUUUGAGGUAAUCAAGAAGGUGGGUCAUAUAGCUUAUCGUUUGAAACCACUUGACAAACUCAAGAUCCACCUGACCUUCCAUGUGAGUUUUCUGAAACCCUUUUACCAAGACGAGAUGGAUGGAGGACGGAGGGAAGCAAAGUGUGCCUCGCCAGUGAUCCACAAGCAAUUCCAGAAUGAUGUGAAGGCUUUGCUGGAUUACAGAAUGAUGGGACAAAGAAAAAAGAAUAGAUGGACAAACUAUCUGAUCCAUUGGAACGGUGAAACAAAAUUAGAUGCUACUUGGGAACGAGAUGUUACCUAGUGACAGUUUCAAGAUAAGAUUGUUGAGUACUUGAAGAACGUGCGAAAGCAAACCAAGUUGACGAGGGCGUCAACCUCUUCAGGUGGGGUGGUUUAUCAGCCCCUUAGGGUGCGGUCCAAACGAAAAGUGCACGACCGUGGCAGAUUUCGGCCGAUCAUGGUCAAGUUGGAAGGCCGAAGAUAAACGGGUCGAGAAAAGUUUGGACACAUGUUUGAUGAUGUUUUUCAUGCCUAUGUAUGGGUUUGGGAAAGUUUCAGGGAUAGGAGAUGUCUCUAAGUUAGUGGGGGAAUGAGGGGUGUCUCUACUAACGGUCCGAAGUUUUUAGCCAGGAAUACUAUGUAGAGGAAUAACUGUGACUAAACCAAGUCAAGACCAAGGGCCGGGGGCCGGGGGCCAAGGGUGUGGUACGACUAGACUUUGUGGGUUAUUUCAGAUGGUUCCAAGCAUUUGGAACCGUGGUGUCUAAGUUGCUAGGUGUUGGAGCAAGUUGGGCACGAAACGUAGCAAAUGGUGGGAAGUUGGGCGCGCAAAAUCGUGCGACCGUUGCCUGUGCUUGCAAAGACGAACGUUGGGACUGUCUGACAGCUGCUAGCCGUUGUUGGAGUUGCGGAAGGUUACCAGCCAACUCAGACACGUUCUUAUCGAUUUCCUAACUCAUGUGCAUUUGGGUUGGACCAAUGGUUGGGUCUUGUCAACCGUAACAAUGCCUAUAAGUAAAUGGCUAGGCAGAGACUAAGGGCAGAUACUAAGAAACAUCCUUAGAUGUUCUGCACGCCAAGUGUUUGUAGAAUUGUCCUUGUAAUCUCUAUUGUGAAAUACAAGGUUGGCCGCUUGGCUUUAACUUGUGCGUGCUGUUCCUUUGUUUUGUCUGAGUGUUCUACGUUGAAUACUUGUGCACAAGUGUGAGUGUGAGGGCUGACUGGUAGUGCGACUUACCAGUGCCAUUACGUGCAUGUUUGGCUAGCAAGAGUAAACACCUCGUAACACGAACACUGGUCGCCCAUCUUCAACCACCAUCUAACACUUCUUUUCAAGAUCAAUUCUUGCCUAACACUCAUUUUAUUCGCUUGAGUCAUGAUUAUGGCAUCACUUUUCUUCAGUUUAAACCCUUUGACGAUACAAAAAUAAGGUCACAAUUGAAAUUCUGAUUCGAAAAUUUGAAACUUUCGGGAUUGCCUCCUGCUAUGGGCUUUUCUCAAACUCGAUCAUAUGCCCGAACAAAUUCAUCAACCAACACUCACUCUGCCCUUGGGGCACCCAAUUAACCCCUUUAAAACAAUUUUGAAGACACCCGAAACUAGGGUUGGGCAAAAAUACUUGUUAAUCCAAAAAUCUGACAUAUCCGAUUCGAUUCGAUUCAACAAAUAGGGUUCCGGUGUGUAUUAUUUGAUCGGGUCAAAAGAAAGUUGGAUAAUUACUUGUAUGCGGCGUUAGGUGGAGUCACCUGAUUAAGAAUCCGUGGGAACCCGACCCUUCCCACAUAUAUAUUUUUUAUUUUUACACACAUAUUACAAAAUAAUACUUUUGGAGCUAAAUAAGUAAUUUCAUUAAACAAAAUACAUUAUAAAUAUGAAAAAUAAAGUUUAUUUAUAAGAUUCAUUUAUAGAUGUCAUGAUUUCUUUUUUUUAAGGAAACAGUUUAAUUAAUAUAGAACAUAUAUUUGUAAAAAGGUACUAUUUAUUUGAAUUUUCAUUGAUUUUGAAUUCUUUUAAUUUUCUUUUCUCGUAUUCUCUUUGCAUGUUCAUUUUUUAUUGAGAAAAAAUCUUUAUUAAGUUUUAGAUGAAUAUUCAAAAUACAAAAUUAAAUUACUAUAAAUUAUUUUUUAAAACAAUUAAAUGAUAACCAGCGUGAUGCAAAUAUCUGUUAACUCAACCCUACUUUAAUGGAAACCCACUCAUAUACGGGAUGGUUAAAGGUCAAAAGAUAGCUGUCUUGCAAGGUACGGGUCUAGUCAGCCAAAUGAAGCAUAGAACGAGUACUACUUGACUUGUACCUACCCCUACCCAAAACAAAUCUUAAUAAUCAUAAAAUAGCAACCUGCACUUGCAAAAUCCAAUUUUCAAUUUUCUCCUCAGAAUUUAGCAUCAAAUUUUACAAAAAUUACACAAAAACAAUCCAAUCAACAAAUAAAUACUCAAGCAUUGAAUUGACAUUAUACUGUAUUUGUGCAGCACCGAAUUGACAUUAUCUGACUUGUAUGUAUGGCAAAAUAAAGGAACUAUGAAGAGGAUGGGAAGGAGGGAGAAGGAUGCUCAGAGUAAGGGAGGAGAUGAAUCGGAAAAUUUAGAUAUUUUUUCUUUUUAUUUUCUAUAUUUUCUAUUAACCGGAUUUAUAGGUAACUAGAGCUGUUAAUCGAACCGAAUAACUCGCGAGCCGAGCUCGACCCGGCUCGACAAGGGCUCGGCGCGGCUCGUUUACAGAGAGAAACAAUCCGAGCUCGAGCUCUACUCAGUAUUCGUUUAAUAUAUGCUCGGCUCGUUUAAGCUCAGUAGGCUCGAAGAGUAGGGGCAUUAACAUCAUUUUAUUGUGUAUGUGGUACUCUAACCUAAGUCAUUCUCCCGUUUGUAACCAUAAUUUUUCUUUCCUCUUUUGGUCUUACCUUCUCCCGUUCCACAGCCGUAGCCACAGUCGCACGCCCGCACCCUUCAUUUUUACCACCGUCACCGAGUCACCAUUCACCAAUUCAUCCAUCAUCUCACCUCCAUCAGGACCAUCACCUAUCCGUCCACUAUCUCACCGCCAGGCGCUAUCCCUAAUUUUUUCUUUCCUCUUUCGAUCUUUCCUUUUCCCGUUCCACAGCCGCAGCCGCACCCUUCAUUCUUACCACCGUCACUGACUCACCAAUCCAUUCAUCUCACCUCCAUCACCAAUCCGUCCACCAUCUCACUGCCAUCAUUCAAUCCACUUCUCGUGAAUCCGUGAGCAGCGCCAUACGGAGCCACCUUGAUAAAGCCAGGGGCCUCUACCAUAUCCCGAUUCCUUGCAUAAUCUGGUAACCAUUUCUUCUCAAUUUUUGCAAUUUAUUUUGGUUUUAAGAGGUUGUGUGGGUUUUGGUUAAUGGUGGAUAGCCCCGUAUCCCAUAUGGCUUCCCCGUAUCUCGUUGGCUUCCUGUGUUUUAUCCCGAAUUUCACCUGCACGGAUUGCUUAUGCAUCGCUUAGUCGAUUUUUGGUUUCAAAUAGCAUGUCUUUUACCCGUUAAAUAGCCUUUUUUUUUACCCAUUGUUCUGGAUUGUUGCAUAAGUGUCAAAUUUCGCCUGAAAUGCUCACAUAUUCUUCGAUGAGAUUACGUGUAUCACUACUGCGUUACCUUCCUUCGACACCUGAAGCUGGAGUUUGACGUUUCAUUUCGUUCAGACCAUGGAAUAGUUGCUGCGAUUAAACUUAUGUCUCUAAGAAAAUAAAGAAGGAAACAUCACUUUUUGUCUCUGUGCUCUUUGAUUUCUGCAUUUUCUAAUCCAUGUUAUAGAACUGACUGUUGAUGAUACCAAACAUUUUGUUAAAAGAAAGCCAAAGUAUUCAAUUCCCAUACAUUUAACUCUUCCUGGUUAAAAUGUAACUUCCUCUAUUGGUGUCCAUAAAUUUCCUCGAAAAAGCUUGCGAAUUGCAAAAGUUUCCACCAGUCGUCUUAAAAUGGCACUCUAAACCGUCUGCUAUGAUACUUCUGAUAAGCACAGUUAUACUGCCAGGAAGGGCAAGUAGGUAUGCAUCAUGGACCAUGAAAAUGCCAAUUUCCAGAAAUCAAUUACAGCUUUGACGAGUUGCAAACUUCUUGGACUAUGAAAAUGCCAGUUUCUAGCAAUGAAAUGAUAGCUUUCACGAUCUGCAACUUCUUAUUGAUUAAUGAAUACUGAAAAGUACGUAUCAGCCCAAUCUUGCCUCUCUUCGUAGUACCUGGAAAAGAUUUAACAGUCAACCAUAAGUGACAGAACUUUAACAGAGCUAGCCAUAUAACAAACAGUGGACAAAACUUUAACAAAGCUAGUCAUUUUCUUUUCUUUAGAAUGUGAUAUUUCUUCAUGUUUUGCACUUUUGUUUAAGCUUGACAGUGAAAACAUUUUUCAACCUAGAAAAUUCUGCAAGGCAAAACUUUCUUCAUUUUAGUUUCUUCAUUUCAGCAAAAUUAACUUUUUGUUUGGACUUCCAUUUUAAGAGUUUUUCACUGUUAUUUCAUUAAUCUGAAUGUAAGCUUGAGAAUUGAGAUAGGAACAAGUUAAAGAAAUGUUAAAACUGGCUUGAAGUGGGCAUUAUUUCUUGGAAUCUGUUUUAUUACUUUUGUACCUUAUUUCUUAGAAAUGUCAUUCUAAAUAUCUAUUUUGGCUAAUCAGAAUCUGUAUUGGUUAUUAAAUGUGUUUUGAUUAAGGAAUGUACAGCUCUCCAUUCAACUCAUUUCAAGGUUCAUCAUCAAGUCCUGUGAUGGAGCAAAAUAAUGAAGACGUGAACAAUUGAACUACAACGAAAAAAGAGCUGAUGAGAUGAGUGAAAAAGAGAUAGAAAUGAUAAAAAAUGAGGGCAAUGAAGAACGACAGCAAGAGAUGGAGAUGAAGGAGCUGGUCCUUUUGAGAAAAAACAUAGGAAGAAGAAAUCUAGCAUAUGGGAUGAAAUGACAACAAUAGUGCUAGAUAAUGGGAUGGUCAAAGUGAAAUGCAACAAUUGCAAGGAACUUUUUGUCAAGAGUGCAACCGAAGCCAUAUCUCAGCACAAGAGACACUUGAAUUCUUGCCUACAAAGAAAGAUAGCCAUUGGAAAGCAAAGCAAACAAAAGCAACAAGUGUUGUCAUUCAUCGAAGGCCAAAGUAAUGGUAUCACUUCCAUCACAAAUUUCUUGUAUGAUCAUGCCAAGGUAAGAGAGCUUGCAUCACACAUGAGUACCCCUUUUCUAUGAUAGAUCAUGUAGUUUUCAACAAAUUCAUGAAAGCGGCUUCUCCAUUUUAUAAUUGUUAAGAAAGAUUGCAUUAGUACUUAUACAAUUGAAAAAAGGAACCUGAAAUCAUUGUUGAAAGGUGCUGGUAGGAUUAGUAUUACCACAGAUUUGUGGACAUCUGGUCAAAAAAAUUCAAUAUAUGGUUGUGACUAAUCAUUUUGUUGAUUUUGAUUGGGUGCUACAAAAACGUGUGUUGAAUUUUUGCAAUGCUCCUCCUCCUCAUACUGGAGUUAUUAUAGCUGAUACUCUAAGUAAGUGCUUUAUUGAUUGGGGGAUUGAGAAUAAGGUUUCUAACAUAACUGUUGAUAAUGCUUCAUACAAUGAUGUGUGCAUUAGGAGACUUAGAGAGGAUUUUUCUCCAAAAAAGAGAUUAAGUAUUGGAGGAAAAAUUUUCAUGUUAGAUGUUGUGCACAUAUACUUAAUCUCUUAGUGCAAGAUGGUCUUGGUCAACUUGGUGGUGUGAUUGAUGUUGUUAGAGAAUGGAUAAAGUACUUGAACAAUUCUGAAUCUAGGCUUCUUGAAUUUGCCAAAAUUAAAAAACAGCUUCAAUUGCCCUCUAGAAAGCUAAUUUUGGACUGUCCAACAAGAUGGAAUAGCACCUAUUUGAUGUUAGCUUCAGGUUUAGAGUUCAAGGAUGUUUUUUCAAGAUAUGCAGACAUUGACCCCGGAUUUCACUAUGUUUUUACUGAUUUUGAGUGGAUGAAAGUGAAAGAAGUGUGCAAAUUUCUAGGAAUAUUUUAUGAAAUCACUGAUAUGAUUUCCGGGUCCGAGUAUCCAACGGCUAACAUUUUCUUGUGGAGCUCUAUAGGAUUAAAGAGCUUUUAAAUGAUAAAGCUCUUGACCCUUUUUAGCAUCUUCGGGUUAUGGCUGGAACUAAAUUUGAUAAGUAUUGGGGGGAAAGUAAUGUACUGCUAUCUUUGGGUGCAAUUUUGGAUCCGAGAUACAAAAUAUUUCUUAUUAAUCAUACUUUUCCGGUGAUUUAUGGUGAGGAUGCAGCUCCUAGAUUCGUGGCUGAAAUUAGAGACACUCUUUAUGAGCUUUACAAUGAAUAUGUUGAUUGUCACAUAGUUUCCCAUUCUGAACAAUAACAGAGGCAGGUUGUAAAAGGGAGACAAAAUGAAGGUUCUAGUUCUUCUAGUAAGAAACAGAAAAUGACUGGACCUGCCGUUUUAACUAGUAAAGAAAAGUUGCACAUGCAUGUGAGUGAAAUUAACAGGGCUCCACCACAAAAAUCAGAUUUAGAUGUUUAUUUAGAGGAAAGUAGGUAUUGUGACGCCCCCACUUCUCCUUAAGGUGAACCAAAGAGUAUCCACGGGACGCCUGCCCAACUCUUACCAGGACUCGGUACAAUUUCCGUUCAACCUUAUUACAAUACUAGCUAUCACGACAAGAUGAAGUAAAAAAGAUAAAGUCGCUUCUAUAAAUAAUAUUCAAACUUACACCACGAGUUCCAAAAUACAUCAAAUUUCCAAAAUAUACAACUGCCAAAAGUCUAGUCGAUUACAUUUGGAACCCUAAUACAAAAGUACAACAAAAGGAUUUCUCCGAGUUUCACUCCAUAUCUAUGCCUGUUAAGGAAAACAAAUCUACGGGGUGAUCAAUUGCUCGUGAGGCCAAAAAACACACAUACAAGCACGUUGUCCAAUUAACAAGAAAACGAUAAUAUUCGAGUAAUUAACAAUUCAAGCGGAAUGUAAACAGAAACAAUUCAAGGAUAUGGGAGCUCUCAGGAGCUAUUGUCCACUGGCACGAUCAAGAACCUCCACGAGUUGACACUCCGUCAAUCGGGUAGGUCAUAGUCCGUAGAAGCUUCACUUACGCGUUCCCCGUCCACCAUACAUACCGCACCGGGCCCGAACAUCAUUUACAAGGUGAUACUCCACGAGUAUGUCAAGCGAGAUCUUUCAAAUAGAUCAAACUUAUCAUGUUAUUCUCAUGACUCAUCGAGAUUCCCGACCAAACCCAUGCCGGCUCGAGUUCCAAGGUCGACCUAUGAGUUUGGACCCCCAUGUAACAUUUGUGAGUGGAAGAGAUUCACUCCAACGAUGUAUGCAGUCAUAGCAUACUAUUUCAUGUCAUUCAAGCAUUCGAUACAUUCAAUCAUUCAUUUCAUCCCAUUCAAGCCAUUCAUGAUCCAUUCAUUUCAUUUCAAUUAAUUCAAUCAUGAGUCAUUCAUUUCAAAUGAGAACGGGUGCGGUAAAAUACACACUCGACUCCAUUUUCAAAAUCUCCAAUCAUUAAUAACAGUUAAGCAUGUAUCAAGUUCCCAUACACUUGACACUCACCAAGUAAUUCAAGAAGUAAAGCACAAGCGGUUGUUUAGGCGUCUCCUGUGAGAUCCUCUUGAAGGUCCUCUUGAGUGCCUGAGUAAUAAUAAUGAACUAUUACACACUAUCAUUUAAAACCCCUACUUAUCGAGAAAGAUUGCACUCGUGUACAAUUUAAGAAGAUAUUAUGAGGAUGAGCCUUAAUUACUCGUAAAUCGAGGCUCAAAAGUGGGGUUUUAAUAAUACAAGGAAAUUCGAUUUUCAUCUUUGAAAUCAAAUGUAAAACGAUCAAGCAAUAUCGAGGGAAAAUGGUGAGUUCUAAAAACUCAAUUUUCUUUAAGUUCGGAAAUUUCAGAUUUGAUAAGCAAUUUUUGAAAAAUCGUAUCUCAUUCUCUAUAGGUCCAAAAUUGGAAAACUUGGUACCGUUGGAAACUACUUCCAAAGUACUAAAAGUUCUUAGAAGACAUUUUUCCAUGAUUCCAAAUGGAUGACAUUCAAAAUUCGGUUCAAAGUUGCUGUUUUGGGCUACCAAGACAAUUUCGGCAAAAUUCGGCAAAAUGUGAACUAGCCUCUGCAAUUUGGAAUUCAAUUAUAGUUACAAACAAAGUUUGAAACGCAAGAAACAGAACAAGAAUCGGAGUUUUGAGUGCCAAGAUAUAGCAGCUCAAAUUUGCUGAAAUUUUCUCACUAAAUAAGGAUUUUCCAGAUUUGAAACAUGAAAUUUGGGAUUUCAGUUGAGUAUCGAAAUGGACUUGGAAUGGCACCAAAUUUGGUAGUAUUACCCUACCAUAGAAGGGCUAUUCCUCUGUCAAAUUUCAUACAAAAAUUCUUAUGGAAGGUCAGUUAACAAAGCCGCUAAAGUUCCAAGAAUUUCCAAGGCAAAUCUGCCUUGUACUUCCGUUUUACUUUUUCAAGCAUUUGGCCAAUGAAAUCUUCUCAAACAUGGUUCAUUUAUAAAGACAAGAUCUAAGAAACAUCCAAAAUGUGUUUGGUAGGUGAUUAAUACCAAGAGUUCCAAAAUAAUGACUCCCAAUUCGAGUUAAGGCAUUCAACUAGCCAAGAUUAGGGUUUCCUUUCACUGACACAGGUCUGGAAUUUGGCCACAACUCACUCAAUUCAACUUGGAAUUAGACAUGAUCAGUGGCGUUGGAAACUAAAUUCAUAGGGCUAUAAUUUCUCAGAAAAAAUCAUUUUGAAAUUCUGUCCAUAACUAGUUCAUAUUCUAGCAACAAGUUGCAGCACACAACAGGUUUUCUAACACAGACGAGAAACAGGGCAGGUGACUUUGAAAGGCUGGUACGGUUCACUCAAGUGGAAUCAGGGGAUGCAUUUUAUACUGUUAGAAAACUGGAAGUAUCUAGUUUCUAAUUCCGCAAAUGGAACUCGAUUUUGAUGUCGGAGAAAGAGUUAUUGUCGUUUGAAAUUCGCUGCCAGAGCAACUCUGGACAUGUUUUCCAACCAUGAAGAAAUUUCGAAAUCCAAACAUUUACCCAACCAAAUCAAGUGAUUUUUGGUGGAAACUUUUCACACAACCUAUAAAACAUAUAUACACCGAAAUCAAGUCAAUUAGAUCACAAAAAAUUGCACCAAGAGGCGCGGCAAUGACAGGGCAGAUCUGGCCCUUCUUCCAUUUCAACUUCCUUUGAGUUUCUUUCCACUCUUUCAACUUAAAUCCACUAGAUUAACACUUAAUCAACAUAAAUAACACUCAAAAUCAUCAAAUCAGAUGAUCAAGUCCAUUGUGGGAUUUCAUAGAGCCUACUCACAUGAUUUUCAACAAUCCAAAGCUACCCACAUGAAGCUACAAGCUUCUAAGUGAAAUCUAACUUACAAAAGCUAAGAUUUAAAGGGUGGAUGAUCAUUACCUCUUAGAUGUUGCUAGAGCAGAAAUUUUGGUCCUUAGAGCUCCAAGAAAACCGUGAGAAUGAAGCUCUUCUCCUAGCUGAAGAUGAUCUCCAAGUUAUUUGCAAGGUGUGGUAUGAAUUUGAGAGGAUUUGGUGCAAGAUUGAGAGACGAAAUGGUGAAAAAACUUGGUCUUCUUCUCCUUGGUGUUGCACGGCUGCUUGAGGGAGAGAAAGAGAGAGUUGUGGCUGAUGGAAAGCUUCUCUUGGAAGCUUAAGAGUUUGUGGCCAAAAUUACUCCAAAAGUCAACUAAGAAUAGUGCAUGUACGCGCGCGUUUCGUGCUCGUUUCCUCUUGGAUUUGUUUCACUUGUGCACUAAACCUCUAAUGCACUUCCAUUCAUACUAUUAUUAUUCACUUUUAAUAGUCUAAAAAUAAAGGUCUAAAGUCCCUCAAUUAAUCGCGCGCGCGAAAACACGUACUUCCGUUUUGUGCGCGAUAGAGUAAAAUUUCUAAGAAAUUCUUACAAUGAUAUUAUAACUGACUAGUACUUGAGUACUUAAACAUAAAAAUACCUAUUUUGAAACUAAUGUAUGAGUCUUCAAUCUCCAAACUCACUGUACCCUCAAAUCGAUUAUUGUCUCCAAACGCACAUUCACUAUUCUCACUAAACGAGUUUCUAAAAAUUAAAUUUUUGCAACAAGUCAUUUUAAAUAUAUAUAUAAGUCAUAAUUCCAUGUAAUUGAGUCUAAAAAGGUUGGAAUAAAAUAUUCGGAGCAAACAGACAAUUAAAUAUUUAAAUAAGCUAGUAAUAGAAAUUUAAAAUAAGUAAAUUUGCGGGUCCUUACAGGUAUGCUUGUGAUGCAAAUGCAAAUUUGGAUGUUUUGGGUUGGUAGAAAUAGGAAAGAUUGAGAUUUCCUAUCUUGUCGAGGAUGGCUGCCGAUAUACUCUCCGUUCCUGUUACAACUGUGGCUUCAGAAUCUACCUUCAGCGCCGGAGGUAGAGUAAUUGAUGAUCGACGAGCUUCUAUGUCAAUUGAGACGGUGCAAAUAUUGCUUUGCGGCAACGAUUGGAUCCGCAGUCUUCAUGGCCUAAAGAAUAAGUCUCGCGUUAAGUAAUUGAUUAGAUGUUUUUGUUGUUGUUACAGUUUCUUUAUAUCUGAUUUUAAAGAAUUUUAUAACUUUCAUACUUUUGUUUUGUAGGAAUCACUUGAUGCGACCGAAUCAAUCACAUUUGAGGAAGUUAAACUUCCCGAAUCAUUCACAACCUGAUUUGGUGGCUGUUGAUGUUGCUUGGUGCAAACUGAUUCAUUCACAUGUUGAUUUCGUUGAAGACCUAAAGAAUAAGUCUCGCGUUAAGUAAUUGAUUAGAUGUUUUUGUUGUUGUUACAGUUUCUUUAUUUUAAAGAAUUUUAUAACUUUCAUACUUUUGUUUUGUAGGAAUCACUUGAUGCGACCGAAUCAAUCACAUUUGAGGAAGUUAAACUUUCCGAAUCAUUCACAACCUGAUUUGGUGGCUGUUGAUGUUGCUUGGUGCAAACUGAUUCAUUCACAUGUUGAUUUUGUUCAAAAGCUGCAUCGUUCACAACUUGUUUUCACCCAAGAAAGUUAUUUUUAACUCUUGGUCUAGAGUGUGGACAUUUUAGAAACUGCUUAAAACGUAUUGAUGGCUGAUCUUUAAUUGUUUGGACUCUUUUAUGUAAUUUUUCAUUUUGUAAUCUGAUCUGGUCUGCUGCCGAGUUUGGACAUUUUAUUCCUCCAUUUGAUAGUUUGAGCUGCAAUUUUAACUUCUUUUUUGCUACUCGUGCUUAUGAUGCUUCUGUUUUGCGUUGUCGAAUUGAGUGGAUGAUAUAUUAGGGAAUGUGUUGUUCUCUUUUUGUCAAACUAAAUAUGAGUGUAGAAGAAGCUGAUAUGCUAUCUUACGUAAACGACUUAUGAAGCUCGAAUUACUAAUCGAGCGAGCUCGAACUAGCUCGAUUAGAUGUUCGAGUCGAGCUCGAUUGUCGUGUGCUCGAGCUCGACUCGGCUAGUUUAACAGCUAAGGUAACAUGCAUCAAAGCAGGCUUAUUCUCUUAGUACUUUUUUUUUUUUUCUUUUUAUAAAACACAGGUGCAUUAACGCACGACAGAAGCACCCUAUCAAUCUAAGAUCCCAGCUUGCUUGUAGCUUUCGAUAGAGUCAACAAGAGUUUCUUCCACUGGCCUAUACCUCCAGCCCAGCCUCUCCAAUUUUUCUGAGCUAAUAUUCCAUCGGCUUUGAUCCUUCACCUCUAUAAGUCUGCGAAGAAAUGAGUUAUAUCAAAAAAAUAUGCAGACAACAUAAAUGGUUCUUGUAGAGACUCGUAGAUGCCACACUUUUGGAAAUGGAAAUCAUGACGGACAUGAACAAACAAGAAAAUCAGGACAAACGGGGUGUCUGAAAAAUGAGACAAUUAAUUUCAAAGAUGGUAAUCCACCUCUUAGGGUACUUGUAGUUGGCAUAGUUUUUCCUCAGAGUUUCCACCAUAUCUUUUGUCGUGGUGACGUGAGGUGAACAUAUGUACCGGCCUUCAGCUUCAGGUCUCCCGUAAACCAAAAGCAGUGCCUCGGCCACAUCACGCACAUCUACUGUGUUGUAGAAUUUGUUUUCUGUUUCUUCACAUCCGUCUGUGCAGCCAAGGAGUGAAACAAAAGAGCAGUUUAAUCUCAAAAAAGGAGAUGUUAUCUGUGCUAAUCUCUGAGUUCUUUACUGCAUAUAUGAAACCUACAAUCCCUUUGACAAAUAGUACAGCAAUAAAUUCAUGGGACUUUUGAAUUGCAAAGGACCUACAGGUCACAAUGUUAACCUUUUAUAUCUUCAACAAUGCUCCAAAGCAAAUCAAGCAAACAGUUGAAAGAUGCAACCUCUUCAGAUGUUAUGCCUAUUGUCUGUCUCAUCUUCCAUUAGGUCAAACUCACACAAUUUUCACAUCAAUAAAAUUUGAAUCGCUUGUGCAUGUGUCUGGAAAGAUUACAUUAGCACAAUUUAGUAUUUUUGGCAGCACUGCUCGUUUAAAUUUCCCUGCCAUCAAGCAGAAAAUUUAAUUCCAUUCCAACAGUAAAAGCCAAACACCACAAUCUUAGUUUUUUUUAGAUAACUUUGCAAGUUUUUAGAGCAUUGCCAAAAUCAUAAAACUAUCAGAAUGGCAGAUAGCUUACAGGUUUAGAAUCUGAAAACCUCAGCUGGCUUGAAGAUUAAAUAAAAAUGCCAAAAGACGGCAAAGCAGUUAUCUCCAUGAAUGUAGUUUCAUUCCUAGAAGGUCAACCGCAACCAGAUAGACGGAUUUUGUGAAAUUUUAUUGGCAUCAAUUCAUUGUGUAUCAUGUAAAUAACACUGGAAGCCAGAAGCAUAAAAAUGAUGGGUUACUUGGAAAAUUAGCUGAUCAACCACAUGAAGAAAUUCAAUUGUUUGACCUUUCAAGUACAAAAAAAGGAAAAAAUUGCUAAGCUUUAGAGGUCAUCUGAGUUCUAGAGUGACAUCCAUGCUCACUUAGGCACAAACCAAUAUCAAGGAGAAAACUGUAUCAUUUACGACCACUUCCAUGCAGAAGGUGAAAGAAAGAAAAAUAAAAUAUAACAUAACGGAAUAAGUUCUCCAAUUGACUACAAAGCACUAAUAAAUCACCUUUCAACAGCUUUAUAAGAGCCACACUGCUAGCAUUCACAUCAUGCUGAAGCAUGGGGCCGAGAACAAAGGAUGGGCAUACAGUUAAAACAUCAAGGCCAGUUUCUUUUGCAUAUUGUAAUGCCUCACUUUCAGCAACCGUCUUGGAGUAACAAUACCAGUUCUGGAGCAAUAUUAGUACUAGAUGGUCAGCCAGAAACAGAUAGUAGUUGCAAAAAUCUGAUUUCUCAGCAAUCUUAGAAACAGUAUGAAUAAGACAGUGAAUUUUCUGCACAAUUACAACACCAAGGUGCAACUGCAAAAAGUCAAAUUAUGUUGAUGCAUACAUUUGUUGCCUUGCAGUAUUCGCCGUCUGACCAACACUUCUCAUCUAUGAUUUCACCUUCAGGCAGAUUAGGACUCAUUACAACAGCUGCAGUAGAGGAAACAACUACAACGCGCUUGACAUUUGCUUCAGAACAAGCCUUCAGUACAUUAAGGGUACCCUUUACAGCUGGCUCAACAAGUUCAACCUGCAACAAAUCAUCAUGUUGGCAGAGGUACUAGCACUCAACUCUGCAUGCUAAACUGCUUGUUUUUGCGUAAAAUAUAUCCAGAUAGACAGCUAAGUAGUGUCAGUUAACCUGACAUCUUUAGAGUGAAUGAGUACAUAGUUAAAAGACUCAUGACUGCUUAUGCCUGUGAUUUAACUUGGUUACCAGCAUAGGUUAUUAUUAUAUGCAUUUAUUCACUCAUUUCAACAUUUGAAAAAUCCUUCCACGAAAUGAUAGAAAGACAAAGAGCCCCAGUGACUUCAUAAGUUUGUACAAACGCUUUAACAAGGUUCUAUUUUAAACGAUACCCAACUUUAGCUCAUGUUUGGCAAAACGCAAUAAAAUAUUAUCUGUUAUGACAAAAGCUGUCUCAUAAACAAAAGAUAUGUUAAAAAUGUUAUUCUGGGGAAACCAAAAGGAAGAAAUAUCAUAGCAAUUGAAACGAUUGAAAAUGGUCUUGCCUCAGGAUUGGGAACAGAGCCUGAAGGAACAGGACUAGCUACAUGAAAUACGCCAUCACAACCCCUGAUGGCUGCAGAAAUGGAGUUGUAAUCCAGCAAAUCAGCCUUAAAGAGUUUCAAAUUCUCAGCUGCUUUGUCAAGUUUCUUCAGAUGAACAUAUUUCUCAUCGUCUACAAAACAUACACAGCAAUGCCCACAUCAUCAAGUAACGAAGCACACAAUUCACAGCAGGUGCUUUUAUAUAUUUCUUCAAUUAAACAUAUUUCUCACCCUUCACAAAACAUUUACUGCAAUUCCCACUACAUCAAAUAGGAAACAGCCAAUUGACAGCAGGCAAAAAAUCAAUUGCGGUAUUAAAGGGAAUGAAACAAUCAUACAAUACCCAAAACAAAAACAAAAAAAAAAUGAGUAGUAAAUCAGGAAGGAAGGGUUAUGAGGAUGAAAUACGUACUGGGAUUUCUGAGGGUGGCAUGAACAGUAUAAUGGCGGGAAAGGAGUAGCUUGACUACCCAAGAUGCCAGGUAUCCCCCUGCUCCUGUAACACACACUGUCCUGUCCUUCUUAGCCUCCCACGCUGCCAUGUCUGAUUGCUUACCAGUAGCAGUAGCGGGAUUAGUAUUUUAGCACCAAAUUCACUAUAGACUGAUCAAGAAGGUGGGUGAAGUUCUAUUCUUUUCUUUUUUAUGAAUAUUAAUUCUUUUUUGGUUGGACAAGGCAGAGAUUUCGUCGAUUCUUAAAGAGGAGGACUGAAGAAGAGGGCGGUUGGAAGAGGAGGAGGAGGCGGAGGUGGUGGUGUUGGAAUUUUGAAUAGACGAGUCCUGUAUGUAUGAGCUAGCUGAUUCCAGCAGCCUCUGUCAAUACUAGGAGUAAUCAGCAGCUGGCAGGCUUGGGGGCUUAUAUAUAGCAGCAGACCAAUGGUCCUGUUGCGAUUUGCACGGCUCAUGGAAGACGUAUGGUUUCAACGCAGGGUUGGGCUGGGUUGGGUGGGGAAACGGUACUAAUGAUAAAUGUAUGUAUAAUGAAAUUUGAGAUAUUUCUAGCAAUCUGUUAGUAAAAUUUAUUUUUAUAAAAAAAAAGGAGUAAAGGAGCAUAAUAUUAUUAAGUUAUAGUAAAACUUGAUGCACAUAUCAAUAAAACAAGAUAUUCUGUGCAUUUGAAUACAAUAGUAUAAUAUGAUUUUACCAUUGUCGGAUGUUUAACAAAUUUAUUUAUUAAUGGAUAUUAAAGUGUUACAUUUUAUCUCAUAUUUUCCCAAUUUAUGACUCAGAUUUUAAAUUGAUUAACUCAUUAGAGAAUAAAAAACUCAUCCCGUUGCUAAAUUGGACAAGUGACAAAAACUCAUGUCCAUAAUGGGAUUUUACUUCUGACUCAAAUCCUAUAAUGCGAACCAAACCCCAAAUCACUCCAUUAUAACGGAAACACAAACUAAACUAUUUAAUAUUCAAAUCAAGUUCCGCUCAAUAACAGUUUGUUCGAAUUUGAUUCGCAAACUAAUCUAAUCAAGUUAGAAUAACAUUUUAUGUUUGAAAAAAUUUUUAACUGCAGCUCAAGCUUAGCUCAAUAAUCAUAAAAUUGGAUUUUAUAGAUAAAAAUUACUCGAACUCGACUCAAUAAAAAUUCUUUUGAACGUGACUUAGUAAAUAAAAAAGCCAAUCUUGAAUACUAUUUCAAAAUUCUUUAAAAUAAAUAACAAGAUACUUGGUUUGAUUAGACACAUUCACACCCCUGUUUUUCAUAUGCUCGAUAACAUAUAUUUUUGCCAUUGAAUUUUGGGACAUGUUUAUCAUUUUUUAAAAUCUUUUUUUUUUAUUUCUGGCUUUUAUAGGAAAAAAAAAACUAAAGGAUGUGUUCGGAUAGGAGACCGAUAAACUUUUCUCUCCCCCUCGCGCCUAAUUGCAGGUUAAAAGCAGUGUUUUGAAAACCGGACCGGACGGCCGGUUCGACCGGUUGGACCGCCAACCGGCCAUGAUUCCGGUCCGAUUCUAUGCUAUAGUUGACCAGGUUAGAAAACCGGUUAAACCGUGAAAACCGCCGGACCGGAUUGAACCGGCGGUUCUCGGUUUUCGAGAUUUCCCUUUUUUUUCUUUUUUUUUCUUUUUUUUACGUUUUGCAAAAUGCAGUUAUCAAGAUUCGAACUCAAGACUUUUGUAAUAGAAGACCAAUGUAGUAACCAUAGUAACCAUUGCACCAUCACAUCUUAUUAGUUUUUUUUGAUAACUUGUUUAUAUAAAACAAAAACUCAUAUUUCUUUUUGUCAUUUUUUUUACAAAAUCUAAUCCUCUCAUAGCUCUUUCUUUUUAAUCUUCAACACACACACACACACUCUCUCUCUCUCUCACUCUCUCCUCUUUUUUUUGUCACUCUCUUUUUAAUCAAACCACUUUAUUUUUAAUUUAUUGAUGUUUUCUUCCAUCUUUUAAUUUUAUUUUUGUCCAUUAAAUUGAAAAAGGUUAAAAAAGAAUUAUUUUUCUUUAACCCAAAUUAUUUAAUGCCACAACCACUCACUUUUAUCUCAUUUUUUAUUUCUUAUCAAGUUUGCAUUUCUAUUUUCGAUUCUCUUGACUUCUUUCGAACUCCAAAAUUCCUUUUUUAAAUUGCAAUUUCUAAAUCCCAAAACGUAAAUUAAAAUUUAAGUUCACAAAAUCUAAAUUCUCAUAGACAUGAAUUUUGUAUAAUUUUAAAAUAUUAUGAUAUUUUUGGGUUAGAUCUAAGAUUUUUUUGGUAGAUAUAAUUGAAAUUGAAAUGAAAUUUAUUUGUUUUAACUUAUAAUUUAAAAUUUUUAUUUUUAAAAAAUCAAGUUAUUCAAAAAUAGUAAACUUUUCAUCAUAUAAUGUAUUAAAUUAGUCCAUUACAUGUCUUAUUUUGUGCAUAAAUAUUUACAUAAAUUAUUUUUUAAAAAAUUCAUUGAACCGAGGUUGAACCGGUCCGACCGGUUAAAUCUCGACCCUUUCACGUCACCGGUUCAAUUAACGGUCCGGUUUUUAAAACAUUGGUUAAAAGGAAUAUCCAGUUCUUAGAUAACUUUUCUAGGCACAACUCUAGUUGUCAGAAAACUGGUCUACUUUGACUGUGGGUUUUCCUUUAGUCAGGCCAUUUUGUCAUUAGUGAUGAUUGCUUCUUCUAAACCUUGGCUAACUGCACACGCCAUGCGCAUGAAACUUCUUCUAAACCUUAGCUAACUGCACACGCCAUGCGCAUGAAAAUCCAAACUUCAAAUAAAAUAAUUUGAACUCGUCAACUUGCAAAAUAAGAUAAUUUGGGUUUCGUCUGAUAUGAGUAGUAAGGGAAAAUUUAAUUACUAUAUUUAUGAUUCUUGACUAAUGUGAUUGCUCAUCUAUCACCACGCAUCAGUUUAAUACCUUAUCUUCAUUUAAAUGUGACGAUUGUAGAAUUGAUGGCUGAAACUGAAAGGAAACUGAAAAAGAAAUGUCAUGUGAGUGCAUAUGCAUGGUUAAAACAAUACUCCCACAAAUUAUAACCAAUUCGAUCCCUUGUUUUUAAGGUUUUGAUCGUUUUGGUUCCUUGGUAUCAUGACAAGCCAAUUUUGCCUCUUAAAUUUAAAAAUAUGGUUAAGGAGAUCCUUUUGAUGGAAAUUUGAGUUGCUAAUGAAGUGAAGAGACCAUUUAGUGCCUUUCGUGUCACAUCCGUCUCAACACUAUAUUAAAGUUUCAAAAAAUCUCAAAUAAGUCAUAAAACUCAUAAAACAAACCCCAAAACUCUUUAUCGUGAAGAAAAUAAAUUUUUAUAACUUUAAAAUAAAUCAAACACAAUACCUUAAACAUAAUUAUGGAAUUUGUGCCAUUUUCGAGUUGAAAUAUCAUGAAAAGGAGUACCAAAAGGUGAAAGAAAAAUGCAUAAACUUAUGUUUGACAUAGUAUUAAAAACUUUUAUUUCAUUAUAUUGAAGAGUUUUGGGUGAGUUUAGGCUUUUAGGAUUUUAUUUGAAUGCUUGGUGUUUUCUGCGAGAUGGCACGAAGUACCCUCUAAGGUCUCUUAACUCCAUUAACAACUCUAAAUUAGCCUUGACCAAAUUCUUCAAAUUUAAGAAAAAUUGGUUCGCCAUAAUACAAAGGGACUAUUUUGUUAAUACAUUGGAGAUAAGAAACCAGAUUAAUUAAUUUUUGUUGUUUGCGUAACUCAAGGGAUUUCUCCGUUAGCUUCCCACAAUUUUGCUACAUUAGUCUCUUUUGAUGGAGAUAGAGCACCAACUCACAGUUGUAUUAGAACUUCACUUACGCUAUAAUCGUUAGGAUUUUCUUAUAUUCAUCCGACUACUCAAUAAGUAUCCUAUUUUAUAAUAACUAUCCUACACCUCUUCAAAGCCUGAUAAGAUGAAGAAAAUCUCUUUACUAGCAUCUUAAUGCCUUAUAUCCAGUAUUGAGGGAAAAAAUUUAAUCACAUUACAGUCUGAGAAUUUGAAUCCAGCAAUUUCACGGUCUGAUGUAGUCACCCCAAGUAGGUUCUCCAGUAAAACAGGGUAGUGAGGCAAAAUGUACAUCAAAUAGGUCAAUUGUUGAGCCCCUCGGGGUUCGGUUCCGUGGUUGUAGCCCCAGUUGGGGGAGAGCCACGUCCAGGGAUCGAGUCCCCGUUCUACCGUGGCUGGUGAUGCUUGAGGCGGGCCGCUCCCAGCCCGCAGUGGGAUUAGUUGGGCCGUACGGUAACCAGUCCAUGGGUCCAGAUACCCACUGUGAUGAAAAAAAAAAAAUAGGCCAAUUGUCGAUCUUUGAUUAUGUCUACACUUUCAAAAGAUAGGCUUAAUCAUAUUAGUGGAAAUAACUCAUAGUUCAUCAUAUAUUAAUUUGCUAUUCAAUUUAGUUUGAAUACAUGAUCAAUGUUAUUGUAUGCCAAAAAAGAUUGAGGAUACUUUUGACCUAGUUCUUUGCACUAACUUGAAAUCUUCCAAUUGUUCUUUCUUUGAUGCACUUGCAAAAUCUCCUGCAAAAGUAAAAUAACUCAGUUGGUGAAUUUUGGCUAACUGAGAGGCCCCAUCUUCUUUUUACUUCUUUAGCACAAGCGAAGAAUGAAUUUAUGCAUAAUAACCGUGUGAUUCUAAUGAGAUAUGAUUUUUUUGGUUUUGCAUGCUGGUUAAACAAUUGUUCAAGCUCUUAUCUUGGUUUUUGAUACUUCACCGGUAUGUGGAUGUUACUGCUAAAGAAAUUUACAUUUGUCAUUAGAAGAAUUUUCUAUUUUAUGACUGGCAAGUGAUUUGGUAUCUUAGCAGUUCAUCGAUUUUGGUGCUUUGUUUACAAUUUAAUUGGCUUCAAUGGUCCAUACAUAUAGGAACUUGGAAUUUACCCUUUUAUUUCCUUUUGCAUGAGCAAAGAUUAGUAAUUUUUAAUCAUAAUUUUCGAUUCCUCUAUUCUGGCCAUAGUGAAGAAAUCUACCUUUUUGUACUUGUGUAUAUGCACACCAAACAUCAUUGGGCUGUCUACUUUUGACAUUAUUCUUGAAUUACUCAGUUUAGAAUGUGUAUUAGCUGCUGGAAGCAAAUGCAUCAUCGUUGGCAAUUACCAAACAGAAAAUAUGCAUGCCAUUACUAUUUUCACUGAAAUUAGCAUCUAACUUAUAAUGAUCUAAUUAAAGGUUAACCACAUUGGUUUUGACUAGAACUAAGAGAUCACUAGCCCUCUUAUUUUUGGAUUUGCAUUAAUCCAGUAUCAUCAAACUUCUUCAAAUGGGCUCUUUAGCUACUAACCCCUUCAAAAAUAAUUUAGGCUUACGGUUCUGUUGAUGUCGCAAUUGCAGGAGGUUCAGAAGAUAACGAAAGGCUCAUCUAAGAUUUCUUAAGGUGUUUGGCUUAUAUUGCUAGAUUUACUUAAUCUAUUUUCAUUCUUCUCCGAUGUCAUUAUUGUUAAAGUUCAAUUCAUAAGUUGGUUGUGUUAGAAAAUUGGCUUAAUUUCUUUUUAGAUAGGUUUUUGUUUUGUGCAAAAGUAACUAGUUUCCUAAUUGGUUUUAGUUACUCGGAAUAGUAGCCAAGAAAUUUCUUAUUUUGUUUAGAAUUAGAAGUUAUUUCUUAUUUUCUACAAGUCUAGGAAUUAGAAUUAAUUUCCUGUUGUUAUUUGGAUUUUUUGACCAAAUAAUAUUUUUAUAAAUAGGUGGGUUGGCAUACUAUAAAAGAGACACAUAAGGGCACACAAGGACGACAUGUAACCUUAUACAUGGGUGGUGAGAGAGAGUUCUUAGGAGAUGAGAAAUGGUAUACAAAGGUUGGACUUGAGUUCGAGUUGUAUUCCUGUAUAAGGUUUUUCUCUCAUAAUAAAUAACAAGUUUCUCUCCGUGGACGUAGGUUCAAUGGAGUCAAACUACGUUAAAUAUUGUGUGUUGUUUAUUUUUUAUACUUGUGGCUUGUUUCUCAUUAAAUUAUUGUGUACUUGAUAUCUUAAUAGUUAUUUAUUCUGCAUUUAGUUCCUAACAAAUGGUAUCAGAACUUGAUUGCGAGAUUGGGCUGCUCACAAGCACUUGGAUCCCAACAAACUGAAUAGUUGGAUCAAGAGUUUGGUUGUUCAAGGAUGGAUCCUAGUUAGCUAUUGAGAUCAAGUAGGUUGGUGACUGUUACCAAUUGAACAAUUUAAUGGGCGGUAUCCUUAUUUCAAGAGUUUGGCAAAAAAGCAUUGACGGUGAAUGAUGAAAAGUCGAAAAGCAUGGAGAUACUUGACGGUGAAUCUAGGCAGAUGAUUCAAGAGUCAAGGAAAAUGUGGAAUCCAAUAUCGAUUUUGGACGUGAAUCGGUGGAGACUUUCUUACAACUUCAACGGUUGAUACUUCAUCUCGGUGAUUUUUAGAUUUCGCUUAUGUUUUUUGAGUGGUACGGCACGUGUCCCAAAAAAAUAAAGAGAUUUAAUUUCUAUGCGCUAGAAGACUCUGACAGUUACGAGUCUUUUGUUUCAGGUGAAUUUUUGGAAACCACACGUGGCGAGAUAGUCUUGAGGAAGGGAAGAAGUAUGAUGAUUUUAUCACUUGGUUGCCUCAAUGAUUAAGGUUAGAGCUCAUACAAGGAGAUUUUGGGUUGCAAGUGGUGGUGAGAAGAAAUCCUGUAAAGAAAAAUGGUGAAUUGAGGCAUCUUCUCACGAAUCAACUGGAGGUUGUACUAGGUGUAAAUACACAUAUUCAUUUGGCAAUUAAAUCAAUUUGGUAUCAGAACUGUAUUGAUUCGGGUGUGUAGUUCGGUACCAUAUUAUUUGGUAGUUGAAAGUAAAUAAUUGUUAAAAGAAAUUUUCGCCAAGAUAGAGAUUUGUUAGGAAAUUGAUUUAAUUUCUUUUCAGACAGGUUUUUGUUUUGUGUAGAAGUAACUAGUUUCCUAAUUGGUUUUAGUUACUUGAAAUAGUAGCCAAGGAAUUUCCUAUUUUGUUUAGGAUUAAAAAUUAUUUCCUAUUCUAUACAAGUCUAGAAAUUAGAAUUGGUUUCCUAUUAUUAUUUAAUUUUUUGGCCAAAUAAUAUUCUUUAUAAAUAGGUGGGUUGGCAUACUACAAAGAGACACACAAAAGCACACAAGAGACGACAUGUAGCCUUAUACAUGGGUGGUGAGAGAGGAUUUUUAGGAGAUGAGAGAUGGUAUACAAAGGUUGAAUUGGGGUUCAAGUUGUGUUCUUGUAUAGAAUUUUUCUCUUAUAAUAAAGAACGAGUUUCUCUCUGUAGAUGUAGGUUCAAUGGUGGAGCCGAACCAUAUUAAAAAAUAGUGUGUCAUUUAUCUUUCAUGUUUGUGGCUUGUUUCUCAUUAAAUUGUAGCGUACUUGAUAUCUCAAUAGUUGUUUAUUCCAUGUUUGGAUCCUAACAGACUGCUAAACCAAGAUUGAUGUAAUUGCGUCCUGUAAGAGAGUUUGCAAUUCAAUUGAUUAAGGGAAGAACAGAGAAAAUCCCUGAAAAUGGGAAUUAAAGGAAACAAAGGAAACCCUAAAACUAGUUUCCAAGAACAAUUCUGUCGAAGACAGAAAACAAAGAAAAUAGUAUCAAAGGCUAUAUCGUUAUUUAGGAAACAAGAAGCACUUGAAGGUGAAUGUUGCAGAAAGUAGAAGAUCCCACUACAAUUUACUAAUUCAAGGAGCUGUAAUUAAGAAAGAAAGAAGACAACUCAGAGAAUUAGGGAUUGUUAUUAAUUGAUGAAUGAGUAGGAAGAAUGUAGAUGAAGAUGAUAAUCAAUUACAAGUAAUGGAAAUCGGAAAUCCAAGAACUGCCUUCAACUUACCACCCUCCUCUCUUUUAUUCGGCUACUACACUUGUCCAAGUCAGCUAAUUCAUUACAACCAACCGACAUACAAGAAUUAUAAGGAUUUAUUCAUUAAGUCCCUAUCAUACUCGCUUUAUUACAAAAAAAAAAAAAAAAAAAAACCCUAUCAAUAAAACUAAGGUAACAAACAAUGUUUUCAGAACCGGACCGGACCGGCUGGUUCGACCGGUUGGACCGCGAACCGGCCAUGUCACCGGUCCGGUCUAAUGCUAAAGCCGGAAGUUCAUGGAGAACCGUUGAAACCCGGACGAACCGGACGAACCGUGCGAACCGUUAAGAACCGUGAACCGGCGGUUUUUUAAAUUCUUCAACAAAAUAUCAAGAAUGGUGUAGCUAAGAUUCGAACCUGGGUCUCCAAGUUUGGAUAUGACAAUCUCACCGCUAGACUGUAGUUAAAUUUGUUGAGAAUUCUACUUGACUAAAAAAUAUAUUAAAACAUCAAGUUCUUCUCUUAUUUUUUUUUCAAUUUUUUCUUCUUAACCAUUUUUAACCCAAAUAUCCACAACAAGAUUUUCUCAAGUCUUCACCAUUAUUAUCAGGUUAUUAUCUUUAGCAAAUUGUAAACAAGUUGAAAAUUUCAACUUUUCUUGUUUUCCAACAUCUUAGUAAGUUUAAUUUUUUUCUUUUCAAGGUUUUUUUUUCUAUAUUAUUAUCUUUAGUUGAUUUUUUGCAUUUUCUUCUUUUUCCCCUCAAUUUUCAUAUGUUUCCCUCAUUUUUGUUUUAUUUUUAUUCGAUUAAUUAAGGAUGAAAUUUUUGCAAAAGUAGUGCACAUUCGUGUAGGAAUUGGGUAGGAAUUACAAAUAAUAACAUUGGGCUGGUCAAAAAUAUGGUAGUUGGCACAUAAUCGAAGCUAUUGAUAAUUGAAUUUAAAAUAAUUAAUGGUAUAGGAUCAUUGAAUUUAAUAUAACAUGUUAAUUAGUAAUGUUUAGUAGCAAUUAAUUUUUUAUGUGUUUAACUGUAUAUUUGUUUUUCAAAAAUUUUUAGUUUUUUUUAGUUUGAGCAAUUAGAUUUAUAUUUUUAUAAUAAAAUUUUAACUUUUUCAUCUUAAGUUGAUGAAAUUGUGAAGGUGGUGUGGUUGCUUAUCAGGCCACUGAUAAAAGUUUGCUAUUCAAAUAGUUUGUCUUAACUUGAACUCUUUUAUGGAUUUUUUUAAGGGUUGUAAAAGAAUUUCAAUAUUUAAUUUAUUUAUUUUUUGUGUUUUUAUUUGUGAUAAUUGGUGAACAUUUGGAUUGUAUCUAUUUAUGUUUAUAAUGAAUUUAUGAAAACUUAUGGUGAAUUAUGAUAUUUUAAUUAUAUUUAUCAUUCCAUGUUUUAUGUAUAAUUUUUAGAAAAUUUAUUAUUAUCAUAACUUAAAUUAAGUUAUGUUGGUAAAGUUCAAGUGUAGAAUGAAACCUACUUAGUACUUAACAAAAAAAAAAAAAAAAAAAAAAAAACAGUGAACCUUUGAACCGGCCGGUUGGACCGGUCGGACCGGUCGAACCGCGAACCGGCCACCUCUCCGGUUCACUGACCGGUCCGAGUUUAAAAACAUUGGUAACAAAUACUUCCCCCUCAGAGAAUCCUUGUCCUCAAGGAUUAAAUUCAGGAAAUUGUUGUUUAAGGUCAAACCAGAAUUCCCAGAUAGCAUCUUCAAGAAAAGAAUUGCUUCACUAUGCCAAAACUUUUGUAGCAAGAGAGUUACCACAUUUCACCAAUUUCUGAUCAAGUAUGGCUAUAGGCUCCAUUAAUAAUUAUCCCUGUGUAUUGAUUGUGUAUUGAUUGCAAAAGGAAUGUGUGAGGUAACUAGUGAGUGCCCACUUUCUUCUUUAGAAGAGAUACAUAAAAAAUAGAGUGUAUUUUUGCCAUAUUAGGCAGCUAAAGCUGAUAUGCAACAGGGUGUACUCUUUUGAUCACUUGGAAAGGUCCAAAAAACUUAGAAGCUAACUUCUGACAAGAGUGUACCUUCAAAGAGUGUUGCCUCUACAGUUGUAGUUUCACAUAUACCCAAUCUCUUGCUGAGUACUGUCUAUCAGACCUGUGUUGGUCAGCUUGUUGCUCCAUCCUAUUUUGUGCCUUAUGAAGGUUGUACUUUAAGUGAUGCAAAACUAUCUCCCUUGCUGCCAAGAUUCUAUCCACCACUUCCACUACUGAAUUCCCAAGUAGACAAGGCAUAUGCAGAGAUGGUGCAUGACCAUACACCACCUCAAAUUGGAUAACCUUAGUGGCAGCAUGAAAUUUGGUAUUGUACCAAUAUUCAGCCAAGGGUAACUAGAUAGACCACUGCUUUGGAAAAUCUCCACACAUGCACCUCAAAUAUUACUCCAAACACCUGUUUACCACCUCAGUUUGACCAUCUGACUGAGGGUGGUAGGUAGAAGAGGUAUUAAUCUGCACUUUUAGUAACUUAAAAAGUUCUUGCCAAAAAGUGCUAAUGAAGACCACAUCCUUGUCACUAACAAUGCUCUGAGACAAGCCGUGAAGUCUACAGAUCUGAUCCAGGAAUAUGUGCAAAUAUAAAUGCUGAAUAAGCAUGUGACAAUGCCAAGAAGUGUGCAUACUUACCUAACUUGUCAACCACCACCAAGAUGGCUUGUUUACCAUGUGCAUUAGGUAAACCUUCCAUAAAGUCCAUGGAAAUUCACUCCAAACCUUUUGAGGCACACGUAAAAGUCGUAAUAAACCCAAAUCAGCAGUAUUGUCAUAUUUGUUGCACUGACAGACAUCACAUGCAGCCACAUAGUUGACUAUGUCUUGAUACAUUCUUCUCUAAUAAACCACUGACUUCAACUUCUUUUAGGCAGCAUAAACUCCUGAAUGCCUCCAACAGCACUAGAAUGCCACAAGUGAAUUAUAUUAUUCUUGAAUUGGCAGUCAUUUUCUACCACUAGUCUCCCCAUCCUCCUUAACUGCAAGUUGCUCCAUGUGUAAUAAGGUGAGACCUUAGAAAGAUCAAAUUGUAAUUGAGUGAUGAAGUUCUAUAGCCUUAUAUCUAUUUGCCAUCCCUUUUUAAUCACUAUCAAAGAUCACUGUUAACAAUGAUGAUGGCAAGAGCUUCUCUUGGUUCUGCUAGUUUUCUAAAGAGAGUAUCUCUCACCAUAUUAUAUGCUUCUUUCCUGUAGUGAAGCUCAUAAUAAAAUCUUACUAGCUUAGCCAUCCAUUUCUGCUGCAUAAGAGUAGGGCUGUCAAUGGUCCGGGUCUAGACCCGGACCCGAACCGGAUCCGUCAAAUUUAUUCGGGUAUGGGUAGGGAUUUAAUUCCGUUACCCGGACCCGGAUCCGGAUCCAUUUUGCCAAACAAAAAAACGGGUCGGAUACGAAAUAUAGUAUUCCGACCCGUAUUGGACCCGGAUCCGGAUAUAAAUGGAUUACUAAUUUAAAAUAUAUAUAUUUAUUAAUAUAAUUUGAUUAGGAUGAUGUAUUUGAGUAAUCAAUAUAAUUGGACCCGGAUCCUAAUCAAUAUAAUUUGAUUAGGAUGAUGUAUUUGAGUAAGGUUAAUUUGAUUUCUUUUCUUAUUUGAUUUUUUUUGUAUUAGUUAGAAAUUAGUUUAUAAAUAUAUGUUUUUUCUCAUUUUUGUUAGAAAUUAUAAAUUUUGUUAGUUUUUUUUCGGGUAGACCCGGAUCCGGAUCCGGGACCCGUCGGAUCUGGAUCCGGAACAUAGAGUAAAGACUCAUCGGGUAAACGAGUCGGGUCCGGAUCCGAUAUAGUGUGCCGGGUCCGGGUCUGGAAUAAUGAAUUCCGGCCCGGACCCAGCCCGUUGACAAGCCUACAUAAGAGUGUUCAAUCUUUGUUCCAUCAUAUAUUCAAUGCUCUAAUGGUCAUUUUUAAUGAUAACGUACCUUCCAGGUAGAUAAGGUCUCCACUUCUAUACAGCAGCAACUAUGGCCAAUAUUUGCACUUUUCCAAUAUACUAUCAUAUGCUAUUCCCCCACACACCUAAAUCUUACAUUGUCCCCAAUGUAAAAUAAAGAAUAAAAGAAAAUUAAUGGGGAUAACGAAACUUCCUUGAUAACUGAGGGGGCCGUCGACAGCUACAGGUGAGGGGCGAAUGACUGUGGAGCUCGACGUAUGUUGAUGGUUGGCGGCGGUGGAGUUCGGAUGGAAGAAAGAAAGAAAGAAGAAAGAAAAAGAAGAGAGAAAGAAAGAAAGAAAAAGAAAAGGAAAAAGAAAGGAAAAGGAAGAGAAAAGAAAAGGGAAAUACGAAUGGGAAUUGCUCCAAUCCGAGCUGGUUUUUUGUACUAUUACUUUGCUUCUUGUACGAAGCUUGAAGAUGCAGCAAGCGCGGAAAUUUUUUUUUUUUUACAUCUGAUUUUGAUUUUUUUCUUUUUCCUUUUCUGUAUUUCCUUUUCUUUUCUUUCUAAUUUUUCUGCAAAAACAAUCAAAUAGAAAUCAAAUGAGAUGGAAUGAUUUUUUUUAAAAAAAAGGUAAAAAUAUAAAUAGAGAUAAAUAAAUAAUAAAUAAAUAAUAAUAGUUAUUAACAAAUCAUAAAAUGAUUUAUGAAAUUUUUUUGGUGUCUACAUAUAUACACAUACUAAUAAUUUUUAUAUUUAUAUAUUUUUCUUAUUUAAUCUUACCUAUAAUUCUUUCUUAUUUUAUUUACUUUCUCUAAUUAAUUUUAUAUUUUUAAAAAUAUAACAUCUAAAAAUAUAUAUUAACGAAGAGGACAUCCGUUAGACAGGUCCUAUUUUAUGUAGCAUAUAUGUCUCUACAUGAAAAAAACUUUUUUAAUAGGUAUCCCGUUUUUUGACAUGAAAAAUACCUUUUGACUACAUUCUGACUAGCGCCAAAAGCUAUCCACUUUUGACAUGCUGCCCAUGGAGGCCUAAUUUUUUUUAGUACUGAAUUUGUUUUGGAUACGUUAGUAUUUCUUGAAUUUUAGAAAAUGCUUCUCUUUAAUAAAUGUAAGUUCAUUUUAAUCUUGAUUCGCAAGCUUUUUCUCGUAAAUGGUUUGCCAUUUCUUAUUAGUUGUUACAGUAAAUUUAACAUGCAUAUAUGCUUUUUGUCAAAAUUCAAUCAUUUCAAAAUCUAGAAGGGAACUUCUAAAAUACCUGCAUCCUCCUUUUUCUUUUUUCUUUUUUAUUUUUCCCCCUCUUGGCUUUGUAUUCAGAAUCAGAUUGUGUUCAAUUAGUUGGAAUUUGGCUUUGGAGUUAGAAGGGAUUUCCAUUUUUUCCUAGGUAUUCCACAGCUUGCAUACCAAAAGCACAGAGGCGGAAGAAAACCUAUGAUUAAAUCAUACAACAGGCUUGUAAGAAAAUGCCCACUUUGAAAAAAAUGAAAAGUUGAAUUUCCUAUUUUCAAAUUUACAUGCAAAAAAUGAAAAAUGACAUGCAAGAAAUAGUCUACUAUUUCGCAAUGUUUCAUAGUUAUGAGAAAUAUAUUACAAAUAAAUCCACAUAAAUGGUGGGAAUAAUAACUCAAAUAUGGUGGGACAAAUAAACAUACAGGGUGACCCCUGCCAGCUGAGAUAACUAGCUGGUUUAUUUAAUUUAAUAGUUUGAAUACAAUAGUAAAUCAAUGCCAUAGCUCAGAUACUGACUAAAUUUUUCUCCCUGAAGAAUUCAACAGCAUCUUUUAGGCUGACCUCCAAAGGAGUGAAUCCAACUCCCAACCUUUUUGCCUUCUCAUUGGAGGCUCUGUAGUUUGGGCUGAUAAGGUUGGUAUUGUUUGACAUUCUGCUGUAUGCGGGACAAUACACAAUUAUGGCAAACAUAAAUAAAGCUUAGGUAAUGAAAAUGCAAAUGUAAAUUCAAAUGCUUGAAAAUCUACUGGACAAUUGCCUCAUAUCUACUGUAAAUUGUGCCUUUUUUACGAAGUUUCAAAAGACCUUUUAAAAGAUAACUUUAGUUGUGAUAUGAAUGAAAUUUAUUUUUCUCUAAAAAAAAGCCUAAAACGGAAUUUCUAUUUUGGAGACAAAGCCAAUUUGGUGAUAUAUCCUAGUCCAAAGAAGACCAUCUUCUAGAAAUCAACCUGAGAAAGAGCUCAUUUUUUAUGGAACAUGAGACCAAAAGAAAAAAAAAAGAAGGCAGAAAAUUUAGGAUUUAGUGUCCUUUAAAAGAGAGUAUAAAAAUAUGUGAUACAUUUUGGACGUAUACAAGGCCAUCAGCAAAAGCCUGCAAAGACCUAAACAAGGAAAACAAGACUUACUUAUCAGGAAAUUGGUGAGUUGGGUAAUGCUCAUGCAAAAUCUUGAUGAUCUGAGAGGCAUUUGCACAUCUUUCAACCAGACAAUAUCUUCCACUUGCAGAAGGGGUUUCAAGGGCAAGAACAUGUGCAUAGGCAACAUCUCUAACAUCAACCCAGCUACAUGUUGCCUUAGGAAAUGGUUCAACCCCUGCAUUUGGCACCUAAGAUCUUUAAACACAUUUUUUUGCAGGCUCUUCAGCAACAUAAGUGAAACUGUGCAUACAAUUAAAUACAAUGUUGUUUGCCAUGAAAAGAGUCAAAUUUAGAGGCCUUCCAGAAGAAAUGUGUUGUAUGUACUACUUUGUUCUGUUUUAGUAUCAGCAAAGCCACAGAGGGGAGGGAGAUGUGAGGAAUGAACUAGUUGAGACAAUUCAGAUAAUUGGUGAAUAAUAAGAAAGAUUAAUCCCAACAAUCUACUAGCUAAUCUGUCCCUGGAAUUUCUCAGAUUUAGAGUUAGGUUUCUCUUUCAAAGGAUAGUUUAUUUAUUUAUGUGAGGAAUAAACAAGCUUUAGCAAGUCUGAACAACAUAAACAGUGACUACUCCUAACAAAUUUUUCCUCACAAUUACCACCCAAAAAUUUCUUUUCCUUCCUGUUAAUCACAUAGAACCUCAAUGUUGUUGAAAGGAAGAUGCACACAACGUGAAUUUCAGAUGAAAGAUUGUCCUGCAAACCUUUAAAACAUCAUAAGCUGGUCAGAGUUUAUAGCUUGAUAUAUCAGUUCACAUUCUGACCUAUGUCUGUCAAUCAUGUGAUUAGCCAGCAGUGCCUUGAAAUGUUAUUAGUCAUAAGUUUUUUGUUCUACUGUAACAAAGAAAGUUGUGGUGCAUAAUAAAGCUAUAACUAACAUAGAUGGAAGAGUCAGUUAGACAAUGAUUACUAAGGUGAUUCAAUAAAUUUUGAAACAAACCCUUUAAUAGGUUGAGGAACAAAACAGCGCUCGAAUUAACAGAUGGCUGCAAGAGAGGACCAAUGACCAAUCCUGGAUGAAUUGUAAUCACGUCAAUGCCAUGAUCCUUUGCAAAUUUCCAUGCAGCAUUCUCGGCCAUGGUUUUUGAAAGUUCAUACCAAGACUAUCAACACCAAAAAAUCAGUAAAUGUUGGUAAGAUGGUAGCAGAAAGUAAUUAGAUUUGUAAACUUUAAGAAGUAACAUUAUAAAUUUAUACAAAUUUGACAAAACCAGCAGCUAACAUCAGUUGGAACUAUUAUUGCUGUAGCUACAGACCACAGAGUGAAAGUAUCCUCAUUUCCUAGGACAAGCUAUGCUCUAAGUGAAUAAGUAGAUUUCUCAAGGAUCCUAGCAAUGGUGUAAACUUUUUAUAUUCAAGGAAUGAUGCAAAGCACCAGAGUGUCGACAUAUCCUGAUCAUCUGAUCUCUUAAUCCACAAGUUAACAGCAAAACUACAAGGGACCUUGACACUUGAACACAUAGAGCCAUAUUCAUGAUAUUAUAGCAGAAGUUCCUUUUCAACUGACCAACCAAAUAUUCUAGGUGUGUAUUCUCAGACAAUAGUAUAGAGUUUGAUAAUGCAAGAGAUGCAUAAUUGAGUAGGAAAACUUUCAUAUUGCUCUUUCCUCGACUAUUCCACACUACAUUAUUAAUUUUUCAUUAAAGUUAAGUUGUUACUUAGAUAGAAGGAAAGAAAGGGACUGACCAUUCUGGUCACAAAAAUAUCCUUCUUUUUGCCUAUUAAAGUACCACCAAGUCAUGAAGAUCCUAACUUAAUUAUCUCCACAGCUGGGCUAACUCCUCAUAUGUGUCCCAAUAACAAGUUAAAACUAAAGAAUUCCAGCAUUCCAUAUUAGAUUUUACUGGAAGAAGACAGAUAAUAUGUGUACCUUUUGCUCCUCACAGUAUGAUGGAUCGGAAAACCAACUUUCAUCAACUACCACAUCCUCCUUUAAUUCUCUGUUUUCUGAAACUGCAACCAUAGAGGAUGUUAUAACUACUCUUUUGACAGAAGAAGAAUUUGCACAUGACCGCAGCACAUUCAGUGUUCCACUUACUGCAGGUUCCAGUAGUUCUGCCUAUGAAAUCAAACCAAGUAAAAAAGGAAGUCAUUACCAGUCAUAGGUAAGACUAUGCUUUUAACCUGCAAAAAACUUAUCAUUCUGGUAUUAUGUUUGAGAAUUUCACCACAAAUGCUGUAAACCUACAGCUUUAGUUACUUAGCUAAAGGAUGCAUAUAGUUGUCUUAUCUCCUCUUGCUGCUAAAAUAAGUUCUCAGGUCCUUUAUUGUUGUUUUUUCCCAUAUUAGUUACUUAAGACCGAUAGAGGAACAACUGAAAUAAGUCUCAGAUGUGGUCACCAAUUAAACCGUUUGGUACCAAAUAUCAACCGAUGAAAUUCUGUUCUGGCUUGAACAGGACAGACAGAAAAUAUAAAAGGUGUAGCUCCCAUGAAUCCUGCGAACAGAUUUUAGCGUGAACACAUAAUGCAUGUUGCAAUUUCUUUUAGUGUCUAUGAGUCAACCUUGUUCAUUGAAAUGACUAAAAUCAAAGUUCUACAAAGUUACUUAAAUAAAAAUCCAUAAACACAAUUUGAGAAACAGACAAUGAUAAGUGUACUGCAUAAAAUUUUAAGGCACAAUCAUUAAUAGAAGUUAAUCAACUUACAAAUGAAGAUACAUAUAAUUUGCAGAUGCUUGAACAUAUAUUGUAGUUUCUAUAAGCUUCUUAUUCAUUCUGGUAUGGGCACGCAAAAGCUAUUGGCUCUACACUGGCUGAAUAAUUAGUUGGUCAAAGCAGGGAUUCAUUUGCUCCAGGACAAGCUUAUAGCUUGCUCUAUAACCUUACCCUGACUGACUUACCCAGGAAAAUAGUUAGUCGGACCCAAUCUACUGCCCAAUUGUGGACCAUUUGCUAUGUUUAUGGCUCUUAAUGUUUUUAUUUCACAACAUUACACCCUUUGAAUUGUUUCUCUGAAGUACCAAUUUCCAGAUCAUUUCAUAGAAACAUCAUGUAUACUGAUUAAAAAGAGACUAAAGCACAUAACACACGACAGUCUUUUUUGUGAAUGACCUGCAGGAACAGAUUAGUUUUGUAUGUACCAAAUGUAAAGAAAUAUUCUUCAGGUGUUUGACCUGAUUGCUACAUUAAUCUCCUCCCUUUGGUUAAUAAAAGAAAACGUAGAGCCAUAGAAUUGGAAACAUGGUUCGCCAUCGCGGGUCGCGGUCGCGUCACGGUCUCAGUUGUUCCACAUCCGUCGCGAUAUAUCGGUUGAAUAUCGGGUGAUACGAACAAUAUAACACAUUAAAGUUUUCAAAAAUUUUGAAAAAAUUACUAAAAUUAGAAAAUACUAAAAAAGACACAAUUUAAAAAAAUAUCGGAGUCGACUCCGAGUUGACUCGGAUAUAUCGGCCGAUAUCAUGCAUCACGAAUUCGAAUCGAUCAAUAUCGGCCGAGUCAGAGCGAGUCAUCGCGGAUAUGGUGAUAUCCGCGAUUCGGGGAUCGGUAUCGUAUCGGUCUCUUCUGUUCCAGAUACGACUCGGCCGAUACGUAUCGGUAUCGGCCGAUAUGGCGAACCAUGAUUGGAAACAUUUGAGUCUAACUCUUUUUUUUUUUGCCUUUACAGUUAUAACCUUGUCAUAAAUCACAUAUAGAGGAGUAGACUAUCACCCAAAAAAGCCAGUAAAAAUGCAACAGAGGAAGAUACUAAAAGAAGUCGCACAAUUAUAAAUCAGAAAGUAUGCUACGAUUUUCAAACUUCAAGAGAUAAAUAGCAGAUUUUGUAGACAGUAGAGAAUUUCCAAUCUUGUAAAGCAAAUGUACCUCUGGAUUGCUGAAUGAAAGUUUGAUUGGAGAUGCAGUAUGGAAAACCCCUUCACAUCCCUCGACUAUUGCAUCAAACGAUCCCUCUUCUAGUAAGUUUGCCGAGUACAACUGAAGCCUUUCCUUAGCUCCAUCAAGUGAUGUCAAAUGUUGUGUCCUUUCCGGAUCAUCUGUGUCAUGAUUGCAUCAGUAGAAUGUUCAGACAGCUAUAGUCAAAACCAUGCCGCCUUGGUAAAGUGUACUAUGUUUUCACUAUGGCGCAACUCAAGAAGCAAUGGACUUAGAGCAAUAAUAAACGAACCUCAAAGCAAUGAUAAAUUUGACUAGCUAAAGGCAAGCGGGGAAAAACGAAAAGAAAUUGACGGGCAACAUAAUAUGACCACAAUAAUAUCAUAGCCCUAUGAUUUCUGGUUUUAAGAUGUGUACAUUUGUAACUUUCUUGAUAACAAUUAAUUCUUGAGAUAAUUAUCAGAGGGACAAUUGUAUGCCAUCUACCACUAUUUUUAUAACAAACUCAGUCCUUCAGAAGAAGGAUAUAGAUUCGAUAGGCUAAAGAUUUUUUAGUGUAACUUGAUCGUUGUAUCUGGAGCAUGAAACAUUACUGUUAAGGUAUACAUUAUAUAGUUUCAGCUACUCAAAUAUCAAUUAGGUUGGUCCACAUCAAUUUUUUUUUUUUGCAUGUGAUUUUCUUUUGAGCAAACAGAACAUGGGGAGCAUUUAGCCGUUGCAAGAAUAUCAUCUGGAGCUACAAAACAAUUUCACACUGCAGAGUUGAAUAAAAAUGUUGGGCAAAUUACAUAUAAUCCUCCUGUGGCUUUGUUUGUUGCCACAUGACCCUUCUAACAUUUUAAAAUAUCCAAUUCACCCACUAUGAUUUUAUGUAAAGCGGAAACUUGAUGGAGAAUAGCCUAUAUAAUGUCGUUAAUUGAAAUACCAUUAGUACUUUUACUUAAAUGCUAAAUCGACAAUUUAAUUACCUUCUAUAAAAGUAUAAGUGGAUUAUAUGGAUAAAUAUAAAAAUCACAGGAGGGAUAAAGUGGACAAUUAUAUAUAAGAGAAUUACAUUGAAAUUAAGACUUUAUCACACGCUUUUAGAGCGCGUUUGGUAUAAAUGCCGUAACUAAUUGUGCAUUCCAUCAUUUUCCGCUUUACAUAUAACUAUGGGGGUAUGUGGCUAUUUUGAAAUCUUAGGGGACCAACUAGCAUUAUAUAAAAUCACCCUAAAAUAUAGUUAUAAGUAAUUUACCCUAAAAUGUUAGAUUCCAGGAGCAAUUAAACAACAAUCAGAACAGGGCAUCAAAAACUGCACAAGCCACUAAGAUAGUUGAUCAAGAACAAAAACUGGACUUACAGGCAUCUCGAACUGAACCUUUAACAGUAUAACCGCGCUCGAGCAGCAGCUUCACCAGCCAUGAAGCUAUGUAACCCGAAGCUCCGGUCACACACACCAUUUUCCCUUCUCCUGCUCCACUCAUUUUGUUAAUAUUUUUGUGUGUGAACCUGUCACCUGUUUGCCUUACUUCUGGACUUAAUGGAGGGAGGCAUAUAUGGUGUAUAUAUAGCUAUGGUGAAGAAGACGAAAGAUUGGAUAUGAGAUUACUGGGAGACUGGGGAGAUCCAUAUGUAUUCUUGCAAUUUGCAUGCAUCAUCGCUGACAUACGUAUGGUAUAAUCGCGUCACAUCCCAUUUUAUCAAGGUCAAUUGAUCAGUGUAAAAUAGAAAUGAACAAUAAAUACAAUGGUAAAUUACCUUCUACACCCUAUGGUUUGAUGUUUUAUCACAUAACUCCCUAUAAUUUAAAAACCUAUAUAUGACCCUUUCGUAGUUUGGGUUAUUGUGUCACUUUAGCUUGUUCUGUUAAAACUAACGGUCAAUAGUAAAAAGUCAAAUUCAAACUACUAAAUUGACAAAUUCACCAUUUCACUACUUUUUUUUUCUUGUUUUCCUUUUCUUUCUUUCCUUUUUUUUUCUUGGAAAGAGAAGAGAUGACUUUGAAAACUUGUAUUUUGGCUUACAAAACCUUAAUUGUUUCCAAAUACAAAAGAGACAGAAGGGAAAUAAAAAUAAAUCAACAAGAAACAAAAAAUAUGGAAGGUAAAGAUAUAACAAAUAAAUAAGAAACAAAAAAACACCAAAUCUUUUUUACUAUGAAUAUCAUUAUAGGUUUUUAAACCAAAUCUUUAAUAGUAUUUUCUAGUUCUUAUUUAUCUAUUUUUUAUUCCAAUUUCUUCUUUUUGAUGUUUGGAGGAAAAAAAAAAACAAGUAAUGAAGGGAUAAAUUUGUCAAUUUAUUAGUUUGACUUUUUAAUAUUAACUGUUAGUUUUGACGAAAAAACUAAUAAUGACACAUUAACUCAAAUCAUGAGGGGGUUAUAUAUAGUUUUUAAACUAUGGGGGUUAUGUGAGAAAAUACCAAACUAUAGAGGUUAAAAUGCAAUUUAGCCUAAAUCCAAAAUUUGGCGGUUGCAUAUGAAAAAAUAACAAGGUUCUUGACUUUGCUCAAUACAAUUCCAAGUCUAGAGACACAAUUUUUAAAUUCACUACCAGGAUAAACCAUUCUCCUUUUUUUUUUCCAUUUUUUCGGGUUAAAAAGUACAAACUACUUGAACUAGAAACUAGUCCUGACAAAGUUUGUGGGUUUUUUGCAAGAGUUUUAGUUAAAUAUUGGUUACUUCGCCUAAUUUGCACCUAUUUUAUCAUGUAAAUGCAUGCACACUUUUAAAAAAUAAUGCAUGCACUUAUAUUAUUGCCUUUCUUACAUUUAAAUACUUUUUUCAAUUUAAUUUUACUUUUCUGGCAAAACUAAAUCUGAAGCCCAUUUCAAGAAAUAUCCACCGAAUACCAGGUCAACAAACCCCCUUCGUAAUAAAGAACGAAAAGGACCGCAGCGGUCUUUAACUUUUUUUUUUCUGACAUUUUCUUACUGAAGUAAGAAAACUGGUCCACACCCUUGAACACGCAGCGGUCUUUAACACGCAGCGGUCUUUUUGCAUCUAAGAAAGCUUUUGAUUGGCUAGAAAUCCUUCUCUGAUUGAGAAAUGGGAAUUGACUUGAUGAUGGCAACUCCAUUUAGAAAACUGGUCCACACCCUUGAAUGUGGUUUAAAUUUAAUAACACCAUUUCAUCAUUUCUGACGACUGCUUCUUCUAUAUCCUAGCUCACUGCACACGCCAGUCGUGUGAAACUUGGCAAAAGAGUUGCACCCUCCGUCCUAAAAUUGUCUGUCGCAUUUCGAGAUCCAACUUUUUAAAAAUAGCAUGAUGAUGAUAUUUGUAGAUUUGUUUUAAAAAUUGUCAUCAAAAAUUCAAAUUUUAAAUUGAAUUUAGUAUGAAAUAUAGAUAAAGAUUGGAAUAACAUUGAAAAAAAGAGAUGAAAAGUUAUUUUGAUUUUGAUAAGAUGAUAAAUAUUUUAGAACGUUUCAAAAUAAAAAAAAUAUAUGACAUUUUCAAUGAAACAAAAGGAUGGAGAGAAUAUAUAUAAGAUACUGAAAACUAGCAUCCAUCAGAAGCAGUCAAAUCAAAGCCAACAUAUUACUUGUAGUUUGGGUAGCCCAAAAAUUUAGCAAAAUAAAUUAGGAAAUCAAGUGCGAUAGAGAGCUCACUGCACACGCCAGUCGUGUGAAACUUGGCAAAAGAGUUACACCUCCAUCCUAAAAUUGUUUGUCGUAUUUCGAAACCCAACUUUUUAAAAAUAGCAGCUUGAUGAUGAUAUUUGUAGAUUUGUCUUAAAAAUUGUCAUCAAAAAUUCAAAUUUUAAAUUGAAUUUAGUAUGAAAUAUAGAUAAAGAUUGGAAUAACAUUGAAAAAAAGAGAUGAAAAGUUAUUUUGAUUUUGAUAAGAUGAUAAAUAUUUUAGAACGUUUCAAAAUAAAAAAAAUAUAUGACAUUUUCAAUGAAACUAGGAGAGAAUAUAUAUAAGAUACUGUAGUUUGGGCAGUCAAAUAGCCAACAUAAAUUAGUAGCAGAAACCAAGUGCGAUAGAGAGCUCACUGCACACGCCAGUCGUGUGAAACUUGGCAAAAGAGUUACACCUCCAUCCUAAAAUUGUUUGUUAUUUCGAAACCCAACUUUUUAAAAAUAGCAGCUUGAUGAUGAUAUUUGUAGAUUUAAAAAUUGUCAUCAAAAAUUCAAAUUUUAAAUUGAAUUUAGUAUGAAAUAUAGAUAAAGAUUGGAAUAACAUUGAAAAAAAGAGAUUCACGUUUCAAAAUAAAAAAAAUAUAUGACAUUCAAUGAAACUGAUACUGAAAACUAGCAUCCAUCAGAAGCAGUUCAAAGCCAACAUAUUACUUGUAGUUUGGGUAGCCCAAAAAUUUAGCAAAAUAAAUCAAGUGCGAUAGAGAGCUCACUGCACACGCCAGUCGUGUGAAACUUGGCAAAAGAGUUACACCUCCAUCCUAAAAUUGUUUGUCGUAUUUCGAAACCCAACUUUUUAAAAAUAGCAGCUUGAUGAUGAUAUUUGUAGAUUUGUCUUAAAAAUUGUCAUCAAAAAUUCAAAUUUUAAAUUGAAUUUAGUAUGAAAUAUAGAUAAAGAUUGGAAUAACAUUGAAAAAAAGAGAUUCAAAGUUAUUUUGAUUUUGAUAAGAUGAUAAAUAUUUUAGAACGUUUCAAAAUAAAAAAAAUAUAUGACAUUUUCAAUGAAACAAAAGGAUGGAGAGAAUAUAUAUAAGAUACUGAAAACUAGCAUCCAUCAGAAGCAGUCAAAUCAAAGCCAACAUAUUACUUGUAGUUUGGUUAUAACAAUAUCUCAGCUUGCUGGUAGCCCAAAAAUUUAGCAAAAUAAAUUAGGAAACCAAGUGCGAUAGAGCAUAUUUCACCCAAAUAUAUUAAAAGUGAAAAAGAUUUAUUUUUAUUUAGUCAAUGUGAUUUUUUGCGUCCACAUGCCCAUAAAGCUCAAGGACCAAAAAGCCAAACAUACGAAGUGAAAAUGUGAAGAGCAAUAAUUUGAAUGCAAAUAAAAAAACGGGUAGAUGGAUAGAAAACCAUGUCGAAGGUCUCUUCUCUUUUGAGUACGUAAGUGGCAGCAAUCAAUUCCCAAAGAGUGGGCUCUGGAGUUGUUAGUUACGUUGAAAAAUCAUGAAGCAGAGUUGUUCGAGAUGUUAUCUUGGGCUAUUUGGCUUGGGAGGAACCAAAAGCUGCAUGAAGAUAAACGAGUGGACCCUUUGAGUUUAGUUAGCUUUGCUUCGGGUGCGCUCCAACAAUUCCAAGAAGCUAAUGUUACUCAGAAAUGUCCAUCCUUAUCAAAUCAAUCUCACUUGUGGCAACCUCCAGGCGAUGGCAAGUUAAGGUUUAAUUUUGACGGUGUGGUGUUUAAGGAAACUCAAUCUAUUGGUUUAGAUGACGGUGCGGUGUUGAUUUAUCUAGUUUAGGCCCUCCAAUUGUGGACGUCACGAGGGACUUAACUAGUUUAGAGACGUCUAGUAUUUGAGGGAUGAGUAGGAAUCACAAUAAAAUCACUCAUAUAUUAGCUAAGAUCGCAAAAUUCAUAUGUGAUCAUGUCUUUUGGUGGAGAGAUCCUCCAGAGUUUGUUGUGCCAUUUCUAAUGGCGGAUUUGUUAGAAAGUUAAUGAAAGUUCAAUGUUAUAUAUAUAUAUAUAUAUAUAUAUAUAUAUAUAUAUAUAAGCAUAAAAAACAAGUUAUGUUGAGUAAGACGUUGGAUUGAAAAUUUAAGAUUUUUGGACUGAAAGUUCAAGAUUUUAUGAUGAAAAUAAAAGAUCACACUAAACUUAAUGGAUUUAGAUCUUAAUAUGUGCAAAUGCGUUUGAUAACUAAAAAUUGGGCAUCUGAAUUAAUUAAGUGCCACUGCAUUUUCUAAACAAAAAUUGCUCUAAAAAAAUAAGUGAUAAACUACGCAUUUAUUACUGAAUGUGAUAUACACUUAAAUAUACUUGAUCUAAUACUUAACAAUCUAAUAAUUUAAUGGAUUCAGAUUUUAGAUUUCAAUUUUAUCAAAGUACCCUAAAAAUAUAGACUAUAGAUAAAAUAACUGCAGAUCAUGAUUUAUGUUGAGUAAGCUUUCAAAGCUGCGUUUGCCAAAACAAACUUUAGAGAAUCAUUCUGUAAUUUUUGCUUUCACUCUAGAAGAUGCAUACAAUAAUGGGUGUAUACAAAAAUGGAAGUUAAAUUGAUAACACUAAGCUCGCCAAUUCUCAUAAAAAAAAAUGAUGACAUUGCCUGCAUUAAUUCUAGUAACGGACUGAAGACAAUAAUUAAUAGGUGACUAUAUGGUGCCUAAGGCACACAAUAAAAUGUGGACUUGGUACCAUUAUUUAUUUUUGUGAAAAGGGUAAACCUGUUUUGUAAGGUGUCGCAAUUCAUCAUCAUGAAAUGAGUGGUAAUUUAAAAGCAUUAAUAGUGAAUUCACCUUCAUUUUUAACGUUCAUAUCGGAAAGCCUAUUAAAAAAUUUCCACCAGCACAAAUUCCACUUUUAAUAGGUUCAAAAAUUCACUCACAAAUUAAUCCACAAAUCCCAUUAACAAAAAAAAAUAGAAAAAGCAGAAAGUUCUCAACGGAACUUCUAUACUGCGUUGAUGCACCGUACGUUGAUUCUGACAAAUGCUCUGCACUUCAUCUGCAGAUGUGACACGUGUUGGUUGGAGAUUACUAGAUGGGAGUGGGGUGCAAAGGUGGUAUUUUAGUAGUGGGUUUAAGCCCAAAAACCACCGGUAACAAUGGUAUUGACCCAAUUUCUAGUGGAAUUGACCCACAUAAAUUGUGAAAGAUUAUUUUCUCAGUCAUUUAAGGCAAUUUCUGAACAAGAUUUAGGCCUAUAAUAAAGAAAUUAAAGAAAUUAUCAACCCCAACCCCCAAUAUGCUAAUAUGCAAUUGGAAAAAAUUAAAUGAAUAUUUACUUGAAGUAAAGAAACGGAUACCAAUCGGUAGAAAGUGUUUAUAACAUACUCUGAAAUGCCAAAGGACUUCCCAAAAAGUGAGAAGCAGGACAACAUCUGAAAUAGGGUCCAAGUUUGAAGUACUUUAUGUCAAACAUAUUUCAAUAUAGAAAAAAAAAAUUUACCGGUUAGCAGAUGUUUGUGCGCACUAUUUGUUGAUUGGGAGACGGUUCUAAGGAGGCGGUUUUGCAACAAAUAAGUAAACGGGGUGUCGAUUACUUGGAGUUGUAUCUUAUGUUGGAAAAAUAAUUAGAUAUGUCAGUUAAGAAAUAUUUCAAUUUAAAUAAAGUUAGUUAGGAACUAGAACUCGUAACAUGGUUGGAUAUGGUUAGUGAAUAAGAUAUGAAUGUUGGGGGAUACAAUACAACUAGAAUUACUAAGACAAAUUAAGCUUGACACUUUGAAUUCAAAUUUUACUAACAUUGCAUAAUAACACCUUUGACUGAUAAUUUUUUUUGAUAGAAAAACUGGAAAAUUUUUAUUAAGAAGAGGAUAGAUCCGUAUUAAUUGCGAAAGAAAGAAAAAUUGGUGGAGAAAAUCUCCAACUAUAAAUACCUAAAAUAGAACUAGCAUUACUAUCUAAGAAAUGAGUAGGCACAAUUAGAUUCCUAGAAAUCCAAUCAGCCUCCCAAGUGAUGAAAUUCUGUAAACUAAAAAAGAUAUCAUCUAAUAGCAUUCCAUAAGCUAAAUCAUCGGAUUCUAUAUUUUUAAGCAUGUUGAUGAUCUUCAAAGAGUCACCCUCUAAAACAAUCUUAGGAACCUUCAACUGAAGUAACGAGGAAAUUGCAGAUAUUGCAACAUAGGUUUCAAUUACUUUAGGAGAAAAGAUACCUAAGAUUUUGUGAAAAAUACUAGUAACAAAUUUGUCCCAUUCAUUCCUCACAACAAUUCCAACUCUAAAGUUGUCGUCUUCAUAGAAUAUUGCACCAUCGAAGUUUGCCUUUAGAAAUCUUGCAGAGGGCUUUAUCCAAUGAAGUUGAGCAGUGGAAGAGCAUAUUGGAAUGUUUGGAAAUGUGUUUAUUUCAUGGUAUUUCUAUAAGAAAAUGAUAGAGAGGGAGAGACCAAACUGAGAGGAUCACGAGAGGAACCAUCAAAUAAUGCAUCAUUUCGGUUAAACCAUAGAUUCCAAAGAAUUAUGGCUACCAAUUCCAUGUCCUGCUUUUUCAAAAGAUGAAGAAGGCCAGACAACCAAGACGAAAUUUGAUCGGUAGAGUCUAAUCUUAUCUUUAGUGUAAGAAAGCUAAGGGCCCAAGGUUGAAUUGCUACUGGACAGCACAAGAAAAGAUGAUUAACAUCAUCAAUAGGGGCCUUACAUAAAGAACAAGUAGGAUCAAAAUAGACUCCACGACUGUUCAACUUGGAAGUUAUAAGUAGAAUGUCUUUGCAAAUUCACCACAAGAAUAUUUUAACUUUACUUGGUAUGUUGAGUUUCCACAAGCAGGGCCAAAUAUCAUCCAUAGAACCAUUACUACAUGAAGCUACAUCUUGUCAAUUUGUAGAUUAUAUUUUGAUAAGAUGAUAGGCAAUUUUCACUGUGAAGGAGCCAUUUUUAGAAUAGUGCCAAAUGAGCUUUUCUUGAUUUCGUCUAUCACCCAAUGGAAUACUCAUAAUCAACUCGAUCACAUCUAAGGAUAGCAACGGGGGCGGUGCCCGCGGGGGGCUAUUAGGGCAGAGGUUGGGGCGGGGGGUGGGGGGAAUUUUUCCCCCCAUUUAGAAACGGGGCAGGGGGCCCACCCGUUUGGAAAAAAAAGAGAGAUAUAUAUAUAUGUACAUAAUUAUAUAUCUAAUGAUAUUAUCAAUUAUACAUGUCUAUUAAUAAAAAUUAUUAAUUAUUUAUACUAAAUUUAUUAAUACAUUUAUAUUAAAUUCCUAACUACACUUAAUACAAUAACACUUUUUUCUAAAAAAAAACACAAUAAUAAUUUAGUGAUUGUAUUUGUAUCAAAAGUAAAAAUAAUUAUUUUAGUUAUAUUGGUUUUAUCAUAUUAGAUUGUAUUCAAAUAACUUUUGUUUAAUUAUUUUUAUGAGUUUCAAUUGUAAAGUUACAAUGAAUAAUAAUUUGGUAAUGUGUUGAUAUUUUAGUACUUGAUUACUUGCUCAAAUUUAAUUAUAAUGAAAUUAUAUAAUAAUUAUUUUAACCCCGUGGGGGAAGCGGGGCGGGGGCGGAGGACGGGACGGGGACGGGGGGAAUUAAUAGGCAACGGGGCGGGGGUGGGGGAGGGGUCACCCCUAAUCACAUCCUGCCAAAAAAGCUCUUGAAGCAAAUCAUAUUUCCAUUUCCUGCUAUUUUCAUCAAUUAAACAAUCUAUAGUGGAGAUUUCUAGUAGCACAUCAAAACGAGAUAUAAUUUUGAAAUUAGAAAGACGUGGAGUCCACCUAUCUUUCCAAAUUUUGAUAUGAUUCCCGUUUCCAUCUCACCAUCUACUACCAAAAACACCUUUGAUUGAUAACUAAAUAGUUAAAAAAAUAUAUCUACUUAUUUUGUUUACUCAACAGUUAUGUGAACUAAAACAUAAAAAAAGAAGGUCAAUUAUUAUAUUAGUGUUAUAUUUGUAAUAUUAGUUCCCUAUAUAGUAGGUUGCCGAGUUGGGCAUAUUUAUAUUCUACCAAGUAAAUGCCCUAUCUUUUCGAAACGUGGCAAAAAAUUUGUGUUUGUUUUUUUGGUAGAUUUCAUUCUUUUUCUUUUUUGGUAACAAUUAAUUUACUAUUCAUUUUCACUUCAUUAUUUAUAGUAAAUUUCAAUCAAUCAUCAAUUACUUACCCUAUAUGCAUUUCUAUUAAUUAUACCUUUAUUUUUUUCAAUCAACUUAUAGCUUUCCUUUUUAAUUAGGCACUCGUUAAUAUAUAUAUUAGGUGUUAAAUUUUUAGAAAUAUAAGAUGAAUUAGGGAAAGCAUAUAAAUGUAAGGGAAUUAAUUAGAAAAAUAUAUAAAUAAAAGAAAAAGUAGUAAUUGUUACGUAUAUACAUGGCAGGUUAGAUGGAAUGCAGGUGUGUUAACGAUUACCCAUAGGUCACCCAUUAGAAAUACUCAUCAAAAUUUGGAUUAAUUUUUUUUUCCUUUCAUUGCAAUCAUUACUACCAUUUUUCCUAUUAUUUAUUACUAUACCUUCAUGUUUCUAAAUACCAAUAAAUGUAUUACUCUCUUACUUUUUAUUUGAUUGUGCUAAUUAUAGCUUUCCUUUUACUUAAUCAAUUAGUCAAUCGAUCAAUCAACCCAUGAUUUUAAUUCUCUUUUCAAUCACACGAUCUUUCUUUUAUCCAUCAUUAGGGAGAUUUACAAUUAGUCACAUAUUUGUUAUGUGUACAAUAAUUAUGCAAUCAUAAGCACAAACUAAUGCAAUUUUAAUAAUUUUGCAUAUAUGCAUUCAUAUUGUAUUGCAACACCUUUAAUAAUUCAUUAUAUGGUUAGAAAAGCCAAAAAAAAUCGAGUAUUACCUAGACCUUAGAUAGUCCCCAAUGUAUACACUGAUACUGUAUGAAAUGAUUUAAAACCCGUUAAUAUAUAUACUGAUUGCAUAUGAAGAUUCAUCCCUAGUUUAGACCUCUUAGAUAGUUUGCAAGCAUUAUAUUCCCUUUUUUUAAUUUCUUAUUUAGUUUACCUUAUUACCAUUUAUGAUUUUUUUUUUAAUUUAAGCAACAUCUUCCAAUAUUUUAUCACCAUUUUAAGUUAGUUCAUUUUUAGGAGAUAGUAGUAUAAGUGUGGUAGUUUGUCCAAAUAACUUUGAAUACGCAUAUACAACCCAAAAACAAAAUGAUAGCUGUUUAUAUUCUUAUCACUCAACGAUGAUAGUGUUAUGUAAUUUAAAUGAUUGAGAUCUAUCGCCAUCCAAAUAUAAAUUUAAUAUGAGGGUAUGAUAACUAAAAAUGACUAUAGAAUCCCCCUAAAUACUAAAUAAUGCGAAUAGAGAUAUUCCCUCAAAAACUUGUAAAGUACUUAAUGUGUAUACGGGUAAAUUCUUGCAAUAGUGAAAGGAAAAUAUCUUACUAGCCUUGAAAUUUUGGCCCGUGUACUGACUUUUGUUAGCUAAAUUAAACUAUCUUGGAGUGAAGACAUAAAAUCGGCGGCAAAUAUUGAGAGAAUUGUGAACAUAGCUAACUUAUCUAGCGUACACAUUUUUUUCCGAGUUUGAAUUCUCUCACUUACACUACAAAAAGAAAAAACUAUCAUACAUUUAACUUCCAACUAACAAUGAUGUAUAGGUAAUAAAUUAUAUGCAUGGGAUAUUCCCAUAAAUAAAUGAAAUAUAUUUACACGACAAAGAGUAAAUUCUUAAAUUAAGAAGAAAUAAUAUUAUAGUAGCUGUCAAUUUGUUUAUAUGACUUUUUGGUUUGUCAUUAUUCAUGACAACCAAUUAUGUUAUUUUGAUGUAAACAUAUCCAAAAACGGUUGAAUACAAUGUGGGACAUUAUUAUUAUUACUCGGAUACCUCAAUAUUUAUAAAAUUGAUUAAAUUGGAAUCCAAUUGGAUUCAACAGUAUUUUGAAAAAACUAUUUUUGUUGUUCAAGUCUACAGUGAUAAACUUUAAAAAUAACCUCAAAAAUAAUUUAAAAAUACAACAUAUCUCAAAUACAUUAAAAAAAUAAUUAAAAAAUUUCCCUAAUUCUUCUUCCCCACACUACCCACUACAACCACCACCACUACCCAUCACUGUCCACUACCACCGCCAUCACCCCCACACCCAUGACCCUCCUUCCUCUCUCCUCUCUCUCUCUUUUUCUCCCUUUCUCUCCUCCCUCCUUCCUCUUAUUCUCCUUCUCCUUUCUCCUUCCUCCUCUCCCUUGUCUUUCCUCCCUUCUCCCUUCCCUUUCCCCACCCCCUAAUCCCCCCUUCCCUCUACUGACUGUGGGCUUCUUGGUCGUGACCAGAAAGGUUGCAGCUAGAAGCCGCGACUAGUGGCUUCUGGUUGCAACCAAGAAGGUCACAGCUGAGGUCUCAGAUGGAGUCGCGGUUACCAUCCACGAUUAGGAGAGGGGUUUGAGGGUCGGAAACGAGAGGGACGGGGGAGAAAAGGAGAAGAAAGAGGAGGGAGAAGGAAGAGGAAGGGGAGAAAGAAAGGGAGAAAGAGAGGGAAAAAAGAGGGAGAGACAAGAGAGAGGAGGGAGGGGGUGAUGGCGGUGAGUGGUGGUGGUGGGUGGCGUAAAAUUUUUUAAAAAUACCCCAAAAAAGUUGUAAAUUAUAAAAAUAUCCCAAAAAUGUAUUUUAAAAAGCCCUAAAAAUACUUUUAAAAAACCCCCCAAAAACAUCUAUAAUACAAGUUAUUUAUAUAUAUAGUUACCGUAAAGUUUUUAAAAGAUACCCCAAAAGCAGUUAGUCCAAAUGGAGUCUUGAGUUUUGAGGUUAAGGUGUAAUGAUUGACCACAAUUUAGGUCAAAGUAAAACUUGGCCAAAAGUUUAGUGGGUUAAAAUAUAAUUUUAAAAAUUAAUCAUCUUCCCUGAUCCUCACAGUUGCAAUGGUGAACUGUCAGCCCCUUAGGACGCGUUCUAGAUGGAACGCGCGCAACCGUGGUAGAUUUCGGUCAGUCAUGGUCAAGUUGGAAGGCUGAAGGUGAACUGGUGGGGAAAAACUUGGACAUGUGUUUGAUGAUGUAUUCCAUACCUAUGUAUGGGUUUGGAAAAGUUUCAAGGCUAGGAAAUGUCUCUAAAUUAGUGGGGAAAUGAGGGGUGUCUCUACUAGCGGUCCGAAAUUUUUAGCUAGGACUACUAUAGAGAGGGAUAACUAUAACUAAGCCAAGUCAAUACCAAGGGCUGGGGGCUAAGGCUUUAUGGGUUAUUUCGGAUGGUUCCAAGCAUUUGGAGCCGUGGUGCCUAAGUUGCUAAGUGUUGGGGCAAGUUGGGCACGGAACUAAGCAAAUGGCGAGAAGCUGGGUGCGCGAAACUGUGUGACCAUUGCCUAUGCGCUCCAAAGAUGAACGUUGGGACUGUCUGGCAGUUGCUAGUCGUUUGCUGGAGUUGCGGAUGGUUAUCAGUCAACUCAGACACGUUCUUAUCGGUUUCCUGACUUCAUGUACAUUCGGGUCGGACCAACGGUUGGGUCUUGUCAACUAUAACAAUGCAUAUAAAUAAAUGGCUAGGUAAGGUCUAAAGGUAGAUAGUGAGAAACACCCUUAGAUGUUCUGCACGCCAAAUGUUUGUAGAAUUGUCCUUGUAAUCUCUAUAGUGAAAUACAAGGUUGGCCGUUUGGUUGUAACUUGUGCAUGUUGUUCCUUUGUUUUUGCCUAAGUAUUCUAAGUUGAAUACUUGUAUGCAAGUGUCAAUGUAAGGGCUGACUGGAAGCGCGGCUUAUCAAUGUCAUUACAUGCUUGUUAGGCUAGCAAGCGUAAACACCUCGUAAUAGUUUGGUAUCAAAGCACGGCUUUGAUCUAUUAGACUGUGCUUUUGUUAUGUGUUUUGUUGGUUAAUGAUGGUUGGACACAGGAAUUCUAUUGCAAUGCUAGGAAUGGUUGCAAUGUUAGGAAUUUGCAUUUGAGGACUUGAUGCAGUGUCUGGGAGAUGGCCCAGAAGGCUUCAACGUCAUAGAAGUUCUAUUGCAGACUAGAGAGAUGAUCAACACCCUGACUGCACAGAUGGAUGAAACCAAGCAGACAGUUUCUUUCGUUGGAGAUGUUGAGAUACUAAGGAAUGAAAUGACUUCGUCCCAUACAAAGAUCGUGACUUUACAAUCGAAGAUCAAUGUGUUAAAGAAGGCAGUCGGCUCUUGUAACACACAGACCUUUCAAAAAUCUUCGAAGGGAAAAGUGAAAGUCCUAGAUCCGAAACCGUACCAAGGUAGUAGGAGUUCUAAGUAUUUGGAAAACUUUCUGUGGGAUUGUCGAGUAGUACUUCAAGGCUAUUGACAUUCCUGAAGUAGAAAAGGUAUCAAUUGCAUCAAUGUACCUUAGUGGUGAUGUAAAGUUAUGGUGGAGAACAGUGCAAUCAGAUCUACCAAAUCCAAGAUCGGCACUUGAGAAGUACUGAAGGAGGAAUUGAAGAAACAAUUCCUUCCCACGAAUGUUUCAUGAAAAGUUAGAGGUGUAUUGUGAAACUUGAAGCAGAAUAAGAGCAUACACGAGUACUUACAGAGUUCCAAGCCUUGAUGUUAGAUGUAAGGGAAAUGUCUGAGGAAGACAGACUCUACAUCUUCAUCCAUGGACUUCAACCGUGGGUACAGAUGGAGUUGCAGUGACAAAAUGUUCAGACCGUGUCUCAAUCACUUGCUACUGUCGAGAAGUUGAUAGACUUCAAGUCCAUAGGAUCCAAAAGUGAAAAAAAAAGAAGGGCAAGGAUAAGGCUAAGGGCUCGAAAGGUGGUCAAUUCUCAAAGAAGAAUAAAAAGAAACAGACAGUGACAACGACCGAAACUAGCGGUGUUUCCUCUUCUAAGAAGAAGCAAACAUCCAACCCUAAAAAGGAUGGCUGCUAUACCUGUGGAAGACCACACUUAACUCGCAAUUAUCCAAUAAAAAGGACCAGAACAUUAGUGCCUUGGUGGCAGAAGGCAAUAGUGACCAGUUGGAGGUCCAGGAUGCACGGGUCAACCCCAUGUAAUUCUUGAACGCCAUCACAGAUACUAAUGUCCGUACUCUUUACAAUGGUUUGAUGUAUGUGCAAGUUACAUUGAAUGGUAACCAUAUAUUGGCGAUGGUUGAAACGGGAGCAUCAUAUAGUUCUAUGAUGGAAAAAGUGGUGAGUCGGUUCCGGUUACAGUUGAAAGACUUGGGUUUCAAAAUUGAAGGCCGUAAACUCUAAAAUCAAGCCAGUGCUAGGCAUGGCGACUGUAGAAUUGGAGUUGGGGCCAUGGAAGGGUUGGUGCAAUUUCAUGGCAAGUCAAUGGAUGAUUUUGACUUGAUUCUAGACAAAGAUUUCAUAGUUGCAAAUAGGAUCUAUCCAAUUCCGCACUUGGAUGGCGUCAUGGUGAAUGAUGGCUAGAGUCCAGGCUUUGUUCCUGCAGUAAAGUUGCAGAAACAAAAGAACAAUCAACAAAAGAACAUGGUAUCAACGAUAGAGAUUGAGUCAUAUCUUCUGAGGCGUGGUGAAGUUGUGCAUAUUGCUGCAUUGGUGGAAACCAAACCUAACAUGUACCAGGAAGUACCCAACGCCAUGGCCCAUGUUCUAGAGAAGUUUACAUAUAUCAUGCCUGCAGAGUUUUCGAGAUAGCUUCCUCCAUCCUGUGCUGUGGAACACAAGAUCGAGUAGGUUCCAAGAGCCCAACCACCUACCCAAACUUCUUAUCGCAUGUCCCCGAUAGAGUUGGCUGAGUUGCGAUACCAACUUAAUGAAUUGCUAGAUAGCCAAGCGCUGAGACCGUCAAAGUAUCCGUACAGUACUCCAGUGUUAUUCCAGAAGAAGGCUGACGGAACGCUGAGGUUCUGUGUAGACUAUUGUGCCUUGAAUAAGAUCACGAUAAAAAACAAGUACCCAUCCCAAAUGUGUACAACUUGUUCGACGAGCUAGUGAUGGCACGAUUUUACACUAAAAUUGAUUUGCGGUCUGGGUACUGGCAAGUCUGAAUAGCCCCAGGAGAUGAGGAAAAGACGACGGUAGUGACGUGCUAUAAUUCCUUUGAAUUUCUCGUUAUGCCAUUCAGUUUGACGAAUGCACCUGCUACCUUUUGUGGACUAAUGAAUGAUGUCUUGUACGAUUUUCUUGAUAAGUUUGUCAUAGUGUACUUAGAUGAUAUUAUUGUGUAUUCGAAAUCCUUGAAGGACCACAUAGAUCAGAGGGUAGUAUUCUGCAAGUUGAGGGAAUGCGAACUCCAUGUAAAGCAAGAAAAGUGUGAGUUUUGCAGGGAGCAAAUCAUUUUUCUUGGCCAUGUAUUGAACAAUGGUCGGAUCCAGAUGGAUCACAGAAAGGUUGAGGCGAUCCUUGACUAGCUUGCACCCCAGAAAGUCGCAUAACUAAAGUCAUUCCUUAGUUUGGCCAACUACUACAGGCACUUCAUCCAGGGAUACUCAAAGAUGACCUACUAAAGAAGGAUAGACUGUGGCUGUGAGAUUAUGAGUGCGAAGAUGCAUUCAGAAUGCUGAAGAAAGCGGUUGCUUCUGUGCCAGUGUUGCAACUUUCGAAAGCUUUUGAAGUGCAUACUGAUGCUUCAGAUCGUGCGAUUGGAGGAGUACUUAUGCAGGAGAAGCACCCGAUUGCAUUUGAAACUAAAAAGCUGAAAGAAUGCGAGCAAAGAUAUAGUACGCAUGAGAAAUAAAUGACAGUUGUUGUGCAUUGCCUCAAGAUAUGGAAGCACUAUCUAUUAGGAACCAAGUUUGUGGUGGUGACUAAUAACAUGGACAAUAUUUACUUCAAGACACAGAGAGAGUUGACCCCAAAGCAAGCUCGUUGGCAAGAGUUUCUGGCUGAGUUUGACUUUGACUGGAUUCAUAAGUUAGGAAGGGAGAAUGCAGUGGUCGACGUACUUAGUAGAAAGUAUGUCAAAGAAUACAUUGUUGUGCUUAGUACUGUUGAGACGGACUUCGGGGACAAGAUUAAGUGGGAGUCCCCGAGUGACCCAGUUUAUCAAAACUUGGUGUUCGUGAAGUCAAAGUUCGUCGUUAUUGGCUGGAGGAUGACUUACUCUUUGCCAAUAGUGGUCAAGCAUAUGUUCCAGCAGGAGGGGGACUUAGGCGAAAGUUACUACGAGAGACUCACGAUGCUUCUUGGACUGGUUAUUCUGGAGUUGAACGAAUGCGGGCAUUACUGUCGCGUAGCUUCUAUUGGCCAAAGAUGGAAGAGGAUAUUGAAGCAUACGUGAAAACUUAUCUUGUUUGUCACCAAGACAAGGUGGAGAGGAAGAAGGAGUCAGGCUUGUUGCAGCCUUUGCCAAUCUCUGAUCGACCAUGGCAAUUAGUUUCUAUGGACUUCAUUUCGAGAUUCUCUAAGGUCGAUGGUAUGGCUUUUGUCUUUGUAAUUAUUGACAGAUUUUCUAAGUAUGCUGUGUUUGUUGGUACACCAAAGGAGUGCUCGGUUGAUGUUGUCGUUGAGUUAUUUUCAAACAUGUUAUGAUGUAUUUCGGAUUACCCAAAGAUAUCAUAAGUGACAGGGACAUGAGAUUCAUAGGUAGAUUUUGAACCGUGAUGUUCAGGUUGCUAGGUUUCAAAUUGAAGUUCUCAACUGCCGCAUAUUCUUAGACCGACGGACAAACGGAGACGAUCAAUACCUUGUUAGAAGAACACUUAAGGCAUUACGUGACGACAAGUUAGAAAAAUUGGUUGGAGUUGCUGGAUGCUGCAUAGUUUUACUACAACCUGCACAAGUCAUUCGCAACUAAGUUGAGUCCAUUUGAGUUAAUGAAUAGGCAACAACCUCUGACUCCACCUGAAGUUGCUCUUCAAGAGAUAGUUUGUUGAUGAUACAACAACGCAUGAAGAAGUACGCAAACCAACAUAGAUCGGACUUAGAGUUCCAACUGACUCCCCAGAUUUGAAAGAAAGUAAAUAACAAGACAGUCCAUCGUGGGAUCAUCCCUGAGUACAAUAGACCAUUUAAGGUAAUCAAGAAGGUGGGUCAUAUAGCUUAUCGUUUGAAACCACUUGACAAGCUCAAGAUCCACCUGACCUUCCAUGUGAGUUUUCUGAAACCCUUUUACCAAGACGCGAUGGAUGGAGGACGGAGGCAAGCAAAGUGUGCCCCGCCAGUGAUUCGUAAGAAAUUUCAGAAAGAUGUGAAGGCUGUGCUGGAUUACAGAAUGAUGGGACAAAGAAAAAAGAAUAGAUGGACAAACUAUCUGAUCCAUUGGAACGGUGAAACAAAAUUAGAUGCUACUUGGGAAUGGAAUGUUACCUUGUGACAGUUUCAAGAUAAGAUUGCUGAGUACUUGAAGAACGUGCGAAAGCAAACCAAGUUGACGAGGGUGUCAACCUCUUUAGGUGGGGUGGUUUAUUAGCCCCUUAGGGUGCGGUCCAAACGAAAAGUGCACGACCGUGGCAGAUUUCGGCCAAUCAUGGUCAAGUUGGAAGGCCGAAGAUAAAUGGGUCGAGAAAAGUUUGGACACAUGUUUGAUGAUAUUUUUCAUGCCUAUGUAUGGGUUUGGGAAAGUUUCAGGGAUAGAAGAUGUCUCUAAGUUAGUGGGGGAAUGAGAGGUGUCUCUACUAAUGGUCCGAAGUUUUUAGCCAGGACUACUAUAUAGAGGAAUAACUGUGACUAAGCCAAGUCAAGGCCGGGGGCCAAGGGCGUGGUACGACUAGACUUUGUGGGUUAUUUCAGAUGGUUCCAAGCAUUUGGAACCGUGGUGACAAAGUUGCUAGGUGUUGGAGCAAGUUGGGCACGAAACGUAGCAAAUGGUGGGAAGCUGGGCGCGCGAAAUCGUGCGACCGUUGCCUGUGCUCGGAAAGACGAACGUUGGGACUGUCUGGCAGUUGCUAGCCGUUGUUGAAGUUGCGAAAGGUUACCAGCCAACUCAGACACGUUCUUAUCGAUUUCCUAACUCAUGUACAUUUGGAUUGGACCAAUGGUUGGGUCUUGUCAACCGUAACAAUGCCUAUAAAUAAAUGGCUAGGCAGAGACUAAGGGCAGAUACUAAGAAACAUCCUUAGAUGUUCUGCACGCUAAGUGUUUGUAGAAUUGUCCUUGUAAUCUCUAUUGUGAAAUACAAGGUUGGCCGCUUGGCUUUAACUUGUACGUGUUGUUCCUUUGUUUUGUCUGAGUGUUCUACGUUGAAUACUUGUGCACAAGUAUGAGUGUGAGGGCUGACUGGUAAUGCGACUUACCAGUGCCAUUACGUGCAUGUUUGGCUAUCAAGAGUAAACACCUCGUAACACGAACACUAGUUGCCUAUCUUCAACCACCAUCUAACACUUCUUUUCAAGAUCAAUUUUUGCCCAACACUCAUUUUAUUCGCUUGAGUCAUGAUUAUGGCAUCAUUUUUCUUCAGUUUAAACCCUUUGACGAUACAAAAAUAAGGUCAUAAUUGAAAUUCUGAUUCGAAAAUUUGAAACUUUCGGGAUUGCCUUCUGCUAUGGGCUUUUCUCAAACUCGAUCAUAUGCCCAAACAAAUUCAUCAACCAACACUCACUUUGCCUUUGGGGCAUCUAAUUAACCCCUUUAAAACAAUUUUGAAGACACCUGAAACUAGGGUUGGGCAAAAAUACCUGUUAAUCCAAAAAUCUGCCACAUCCGAUUCGAUUCGAUUCAACAAAUAGGGUUCCGGUGUGUAUUAUUUGAUCGAGUCAAAAGAAAGUUGGAUAAUUACUUGUAUGCGGUGUUAGUUGGAGUCACCUGAUUAAGAAUCCGUGGGAACCCGAUUCUUCCCACAUAUAUAUUUUUUAUUUUUACACACAUAUUACAAAAUAAUACUUUUGGAGGUAAAUAAGUAAUUUCAUUAAACAAAAUACAUUAUAAAUAUGAAAAAUUAAAGUUUAUUUAUAAGAUUCAUUUAUAGAUGUCAUGAUUUCUUUUUUUUUUUAAGGAAACAGUUUAAUUAAUGUAGAACAUAUAUUUGGAAAGAGGUAUUAUUUAUUUGAAUUUUCAUUGAUUUUGAAUUCUUUUAAUUUUCUUUUCUCGUAUUCUCUUUGCAUGUUCAUUUUUUUAUUGAGAAAAAAUCUUUAUUAAGUUUUAGAUGAAUAUUCAAAAUACAAAAUUAAAUUACUAUAAAUUAUUUUUAAAAAAAAUUAAAUGAUAACCAGCGUGAUGCAGAUAUCUGUUGACUCAACCCUACUUUAAUGGAAACCCACUCAUAUACGGGAUGGUUAAAGAUCAGAAGAUAGCUGUCUUGCAAGGUACGGGUCUAGUCAGCCAAAUGAAGCAUAGAAUGAGUACUACUUGACCUGUACCCACCCCUACCCAAAACAAAUCUUAAUAAUCAUAAAAUAGCAACUUGAACUUGCAAAAUCCAAUUUUCAAUUUUCUCCUCAAAAUUUAGCAUCAAAUUUUACAAAAAUUACACAAAAACAAUCCAAUCAACAAAUAAAUACUCAAGCACUGAAUUGACAUUACACUGUAUUUGUGCAGCACCGAAUUGACAUUAUUUGACUUGUAUGUAUGGCAAAAUAAAGGAACUAUGAAUAGGAUGGGGAGGAGGGAGAAGGAUGCUGAGAGUAAGGGAGGAGAUGAAUCGGAAAAUUUAGAUAUUUUUUUUUAAUUUUCUAUAUUUUCUAUUAACCUGAUUUAUAGGUAACUAGAGCUGUUAAUCGAACCGGGUAGCUCGCGAGCCGAGCUCGACCCAGCUCGAUAAGGGCUCGGCUCGGCUUGUUUACAGAGAGAAACGAUCCGAGCUCGAACUUUACUCAAUAUUCGUUUAAUACACGAGCCGAGCUAUGCUCGGUAGGUUCGAAGAGUAGGGGCAUUAACGUCAUUUCAUUGUGUAUGUGGUACGCUAACCUAAGUCAUUCUCUCGUUUGUAGCCCUAAUUUUUCUUUCCUCUUUUGGUCUUAUUUUCUCCCGUUCCACAGCCGUAGCCACAGUCGCACACCCACACCCUCCAUUUUCACCACCGUCACCGACUCACCAUUCACCAAUUCAUCCAUUAUCUCACCUCCAUCAGGACCAUCAUCUAUCCGUCCACUAUCUCACCACCAGGCGCAAUCCCUAAUUUUUUCUUUCCUCUUUCGAUCUUUCAUUUUCCCGUUCCACAGCCGCAGCCGCACCCUCCAUUCUCACCACCGUCACUGACUCACCAAUCCAUUCAUCUCACCUCCAUCACCAAUCCGUCCACCAUCUCACCACCAUCAUUCAAUCCACUUCUCGUGAAUCCGUGAGCAACGCCAUACGGAGCCACCUCGGUAAAGCCAGGGGCUUCUACCAUAUCCCGAUUCGCUGCAUAAUCUGGUAACCAUUUCUUCUCAAUUUUUGCAAUUUAUUUUGGUUUUAAGAGGUUGUGUGGAUUUUGGUUAAUGGUGGAUAGCCCCGUAUCCCGUAUGGCUUCCCCGUAUCCUGUUGGCUUCUUGUGUUUUAUCUCUGUGUUUUAUCCCGAAUUUCACCUGCACGGAUUGCUUAGGGACCGCUUAGUGGAUUUUUGGCUUCAAAUAGCAUGUCUUUUACCAGUUAAAUAGCCUUUUUUUUACCCAUUGUUCUGGAUUGUUGCAUAAGUGUCAAAUUUCGCCUGAAAUGCUCACAUAUUCUUUUAUGCGAUUACGUGCAUCACUACUGCGUUACCUUCCUUCGACACUUGAAGCGGGGUUUGAUGUUUCAUUUCGUUCAGACCAUGGAAUAGUUGCUGCGAUUAAACUUGUGUCUCUAAGAAAAUAAAGAAGGAAACAUCACUUUUUGUCUCUGUGCUCUUUGAUUUCUACAUUUUCUAAUCCAUGUUAUAGAACUGACUGUUGAUGAUACCAAACAUUUUGUUAAAAGAAAGCCAAAGUAUUCAAUUCCCAUACAUUUAACUCUUCCUGGUUAAAAUGUAACUUUCUCUAUUGAUGUCCAUAAAUUUCCUCGAAAGAGCUUGCGAAUUGCAAAAGUUUCCACCAGUCGUCUUAAAAUGGCAUUCUAAACCGUCUGCUAUGAUACUUCUGAUAAGUACCAUGGUUGUUAAAAUUGCGAUCCGGAUCGUAGGAUCGUACGAUCCUACGAUCUGGAAAGGCAAAAUCGAUCCGGAUCGCACUUAGAAUCGCAAACUCCUUGAAUCUACGUAGGAUCAAGGUAGGAUCGGUAGGAUCGCAUAGGAUCGUACGAUCCUACGAUCCUACUUCGAUCCCACAAAAAAGGGCUAAUUUGUGAAAUACAAGGUUCAUUUUGCAAGUAAAAAUCAACAUUUGGGGUAGGCUUGUAGUUUAUCAAGAAAUUGCAGGCCUUAGUUGCAAUGUUUUAACAAAUUUUGCCUCAAAGUCAAAAGGUUCCGUCAAAAAGCUUCGGUCUUCUUCAUCUUCUCCUCAAGCAGACCUUUGUCAUUUCUCUUCUCCUCUCCGCUGCCCAAAUCAAAUCCCUAAUUUAAACCAUCAAACCAUCUCAAGCUUCGGCUACAGCUCUUACCAAGACCAAGUACUAACAAGACAAAUUGCUGCGGCUUCUACCAAGAACCCACAAGCUACAGCCGACAGCUUCAAGGCUUCAAGCUUUAAAGCUUCAAGCUCCAGCAGCCAUUGCUUCGGUAAGAAUAUCAAGCUACGAAAUCCUCUGUUGCCGCUGGAUUUUGGCCGUUUCAAGCUUCAAAGCUUGAAGCUCCAGCACCCGUUCUUCUCCAAUUUUCGUGCUGCCAGCCUGCCACCACACUGAAGCUCAAGCACCAGCACUUCAAUUAAAGUCAUAUGUGAGUGUGGUUAUUUUCUUGCUUAAAAAUUGAUACUUGGGGAGAUAGUGAUUGAUAAAGUUGUGAUUUGUAUUUGGUUUUCUUGGUAUUUGAACAUAUAUUGCUUUUGAUUGAAUUGAGUUGAAGUUGAAGGGAAUUAUUGACGGGUCCAUUAGGAUUUGUGAAAUUUUGGUUUUCUUGCUUGAAAAUUAUUGACGGUUCUGAAGCACCAGCACUUUGUCUUAGGAUUUGUGCUCUCAGAAUCAUUAACGGGUCCAUUAGGUACACUUUUUUUUGCCUUCUCCAUAGGAAGCUCUGAUAAUCGAGACUCUGCUACCACAUAAAUCUUCCCAUUGAACUUGUUGAAGAAAUCAAAGUUAGGAGUAUUAUUAUUUUGUAAUAAUGAAUUAAUGAGAACUCAUAAAAUUAUUUAAUAUAACAUCGUUUAAAUCUUCCCAUUUUGUCAUGCAUUUUGCAGCAGUUGGACAGUUGAUUUUUCAACUGUUAUCUUUACAGUAAAACAUGUCAGUUGAUAAUUUUUCUUUCUGUUACAUGACUCCUUAAUAAUCUGUUUUCACAGGAUUGUUUUUCUGUUCUACUCUAGUCCAGGUUAUUCCUUUGACUAAGCUAUAUUAAGUUGUGAUCCCAAAGAUGCUUCAUGUACUAUAAGAACUCUGUACUGAUCUAGACAUCAGUACAGGGUAUGAAGGAUCACUAAGGACACAUAAAAGAAUUCCCUUUUCUGGUAGGACGCAUAGCAAAGUUUUAUUUUCCAGAAAAAUUCACACAAAUACAAAUGUUUGCUGUUCAAGCAUUAAUUUCUAAACUUCUAUUGUUGCUGCUGUUAUGUCCUUUACCUAUGUUUUCAUUGGAUUUGCACUCGGCCUUGCAAAAAUCAUUGGUAAUAAGACUGAAUUUCUUGUGCUGGUCUGGUCUGGCUUAUUUUUUGAAUGCUAGCUUUAUUUUCUUUUAUCAAGUGCUGGUCUGGUCUGAAUUUCUUGGUUUUUUAUGAAUAUUCUAAUAUAUUUGGCAGUGCUUAAAUGUCUUCAUCCGCUUCAAAGAAACAAAGUACAAAAAAUGCACCGGGUGCUCGAUUGGAUCCCGGGUGGGAUCAUGGAAUUGAAAUUGAUUCUAAUAAAAAACAAUUUCAGUGUAAAUACUGUGGAAUUACUCGAGCUGGUGGUGUGUAUAGGCUUAAGCAUCAUUUAGCUUGUACACAUACAAAUGUUGAACCAUGUCCUAGCGUUCCUGAAGAUGUUAGAACCCAAAUGUUUGAUUUACUAAGUGCAAGUUCUGAGGAAUCAAGGAAAAAAAAACAAAGGGUUAGUACCAUGUAUGAUUUAAAAGAAGAAGAAGGUGAAGUUAAGCAGCAGGCUAAAAAAUGUUCUAUGGACAACUUUGUUGUGAGAAAAUCUGGGGGGUUGAAUGUGAGACAAACAACCAUAAAUGAGAAAUGGAAGAAACAAGAUAGAGAUGAAGUUUGUCAAAUAAUGGCUAGGUGGUUCUAUACAAGUGCCGUUCCAUUUAAUGCUGUAAAUAGCCCAUUGUUUCCUUUAAUGAUUAGGAAAUUGGGAGAAUAUGGAAAAGGAUUUAAACCACCUUCAUACCAUGAAAUGAGAGUGACCUUUUUGAAAAAAGAGGUGCAAGAGACAUUGAAUUUGCUCAAUAUGUACAAAAAAGAGUGGAAAAAAAAUUGGCUAUACUAUUAUGUCCGAUGGAUGGUCUGAUCAGAGAAAGAGAACAAUGAACAAUUUUCUUGUGAAUAGUCCAGCUGGUACUGUGUUCUUAUCUUCGGUAGAUACCACUGAUAUUUCAAAAACAGCUCAAAAAUUAUUUGAAUUGUUAGAUGGUAUUGUGGAAAAAAUUGGAGAGGAUAAUGUUGUGCAGGUCAUCACCGAUAAUGCUUCUAAUUAUAAGGCAGCUGGAAAAAUAUUGAUGGAAAAGAGAAAAAGAUUGUUUUGGACCCCUUGUGCUGCUCAUUGUAUUGAUCUAAUGUUAGAAGAUUUUUAAAAGUUUGAUUCUCUCCACAAAGUUACUAUACAAAAAGCGAAAUCAGUGGUUACAUAUAUUUAUUCAUGGGGUACAGUUAUUAAUUGGAUGAAACAGUUCACUAAUGGCAAGGAGUUGAUUAGACCUGGAGUUACUCGUUUUGCUACUUCAUACUUGACCAUGAGACGUCUUAGCGAGCUGAAAGGGAAUUUGUUUAACUUUUUCUGUUCGGAUAAAAAGAAAACAAGCAUGUAUGCUAGGAGAAACAAGGGGAAAAAAAUUGAGAGCAUCAUUUUUGAUAAUCAACAAUUUUGGCCAAAUGUGGAGUUAUGUUUAAAGAUAGCUUCGCCUCUUAUCAAAGUAUUGAGGAUGGUUGAUUCUGAUGAAAAACCAGCCAUGGGCUUUCUCUAUAAAGCUAUUGAUCAGGCAAAAGAAGAAAUCAAACAAAAUGUGAACAAUAUUCGAAAGAGGUGAAUUUUAAAUAAAUUGUCAUAUUAAUUAUGAGUUCAUUUAUAAUUUCUGUGUUGGAUAGUAGAAUGAAUUUUUUUAGUUAUUUUUUUAACCAAACUCAUGUUUAUGUGCUAGAUUUGAAUCGGCAUUUGCUAUCAUUGAUAAAAGAUGGGAAGAUCAAUUGAGUCAUCCUUUACAUGCCACGGGUUAUUAUUUGAAUCCUCAAUUUCAAUAUAGUCCAGAUUUUCAGUCGGAUGCAAAUAUAAAACGUGGCCUUUAUGAUUGCAUUGCUAAGAUGGUUCCCGAAUCUGGUGAAAGGGUGAAGAUUGAUUUGCAAUUAGAUGAUUUUCGACAUGCAAAUGGAUUAUUUGGUCAUGAAAAUGCUGUACUAACAAGAAACAAGAAAUCUCCUGGUUAGUUACUAGUUGAACUUUGUGUUUUUAUUUUUAAAACCUUUACUAAUUUGUUAUUUAUUUUAAUUUCCUACAGCUGAUUGGUGGGAAUCUUAUGGCGAUGAGUGUCCAGAGUUGAAAAAUUUUGCCAUUCGAAUUCUCAGUUUAACUUGUAGCUCUUCUGGAUGUGAGCGAAAUUGGAGCGCAUUUGAAUUGGUAAUAAUGUUUUCAUAUAAUAUAAUAUCUCAUUUAGUAUAAUAUUUUGUUUAGCAUUUGAAUUUAAGUUCGUAGUAUAACUGUAUAAGUUCUUUCAAUUUCAAUAGGUACAUUCUAAGAGAAGAAACCGUUUGGCUCAAAAACGAAUGAAUGACCUUGUGUUUGUGAUGUACAACUUGAAGUUGAGAGAGAGACAAAGGCAAAGGCAACGUGUUAUUGAAGAAAUUCCUUUUGAGAAUUUGCCUUCAGAUGAUGAAUGGGUGACAGAGAGAGAAAAUCCAACUCUUCCAAGAGAAAAUAGCUGGUUACGAGUUCUAGAUGACAAUCCCAAAUGUGACACUUCAGAUGAAGAGGGAAAUGAAGAUGAUGAAAUUGAAAUACUUACAAGAAAUGUGCAGAGAGUUUGUAAGUUUCUUUCUUUCUUCCAAUUUAAGUAUAAAGUUUAUCCUUUUUUUUGUUUUUAUAGUUUUAUUUUUCAAGUUCUCUUGUUUUUGGUAACUUUCAUUAUUAUUGUUUGUUUAUUUAGAUGAUCAUGAAGAUCGUCAAACCCAUGUCCGUCGAAGACAAGUUAAUAAAAUGAAAGAGAUUCAUGUUAUUGAUGAGGAUGAUGGGCCUUCAACUGAAUUCGACCGCCAAGAUGAUGAUUAUCUUGAUAUGGUUCCCGAAACUGAUCUUCAAAUGGGAACUAAUGAUUUGGAUGAUACUAAUUUGGAUGGUGAUUAAGAUAAUGCCGAAGAUGAAUUCCAAGAGAAUUGGGAUGGUGAAGAUGAUUGGGAAAAUAAUGAUUUUGAUAAUAUGGAUUAUGGGAAUAAUGAAUUUGAUUCAAACGAUGAAAAUGAUUGGUUAUAAAUUAAUGUAUUUCUGAAUUAUUAUGAUACUUGAAAAUGAUGAAUUGUUGCUAUUUUAUUUUUUAUUUUUUCAUGUUUGUUUAAACAUGACAGAUGACAUUCUAGUAGUUAAUUUUGAUCUUGAAAAUCUUUUUGGAUGUUUUGCUUUUUAGUAUUUGUGAAGGUUGAUGAUUAUUUUAUAUUUGAAAUUAUGAUUGUGUAAACUGUGAAGCAUUUGAUUUUAAGAUUUGAAAUCAUGACAGAUAACAGGUUUACAUUCUCUUCUUUAUUACUUGUCAGAUAGUAAGUAAAAAAUACUAUAUAUUUAUGAGUAACUUAUUUAUUUGAUAUCUUUUAGGAUGUACAAAAUGAUAUAUGAAUUUCAAAUUCAUUAAUUUAGUAAAUUUAGGAGUUUUUGGUAGGAUCUUACGAUCCUACGAUCCGAUUCUGUGAAACUAAAAUCGAUCCGACGUGGGAUCCCGAUUUUACAAACCUUGAUAAGUACAGUUAUACUACCAGGAAGGGCAAGUAGGCAUGCAUCAUGGACCAUGAAAAUGCCAAUUUUCAGAAAUCAAUUACAGCUUUGAUGAGCUGCAAACUUCUUGGACAAUGAAAAUGCCAGUUUCUAGCAAUGAAAUGAUAGCUUUCACGAUCUGCAACUUCUUAUUGAUUAAUGAACACUAAAAAGUACGUAUCAGCUCAAUAUUGCCUCUCUUCGUAGUACCUGGAAAAGAUGUAAUAGUCAACCAUAAGUGACAGAACUUUAACAGCGCUAGCCAUAUAACAAACAAUGGACAAAACUUUAAUAAAGCUAGUCAUCUUCUUUUCUUUAGCAUGUGAUAUUUCUUCAUGUUUUGCACUUUUGUUUAAGCUUGACAGUGAAAGCAUUUUUCAACCUAGAAGAUUCUGCAAGGCAAAACUUUCUUCAUUUUAGUUUCUUCAUUUCAGCAAAACUAACUUUUUGUUUGGAUUACCAUUUUAAGAGUUUUUCACUGUUAUUUCAUUAAUCUGAGUGCAAGCUUGAGAAUUGAGAUAGGAACAAGUUAAAGAAAUGUUAAAACUGGCUUGAAGUGGGCAUUAUUUCUUGGAAUCUGUUUUAUUACUUUUGUACCUUAUUUCUUAGAAAUGUUAUUCGAAAUUUCUGUUUUAGCUAAUCAGAAUCUGUAUUGGUUAUUAAAUGUGUUUUGACUAAGGAAUGUACAACUCUCCAUUCAACUCAUUUCAAGAUUCAUCAUCAAGUCCUGUGAUGAAGCAAAACAAUGAAGACGUGGAACAAUUGAACUACAACAAAGAAAGAGCUGAUGAGAUGAGUGAAGAAGAGAUAGAAAUGAUAGAAAAUGAGGGCAAUGAAAGAGGACAGCAAGAGAUGGAGAUGAAGGAGCUGGUCCUUUUGAGAAAAAACAAAGGAAGAAGAAAUCUAGUAUAUGGGAUGAAAUGACAACAAUAGUGCUAGAUAAUGGGACGGUCAAAGUGAAGUGCAACAAUUGCAAGGGACUUUUUGUCAAGAGUGCAACCGGAGCCACAUCUCAGCACAAGAGACACUUGAUUCUUGCUUACAAAGAAAAAUAGUCAUUGGAGAGCAAAGCAAACAAAAGCAACAAGUGCUGUCAUUCAUCGAAGGCCCAAGUAAUUGUAUCACUUCCAUCACAAAUUUCUUGUAUGAUCAUGCCAAGGUAAGAGAACUUGCAUCACACAUGAUUCUUGCACAUGAGUACCCCUUUUCUAUAAUGGAUCAUGUAGUUUUCAACAAAUUCAUGAAAGCAACUUCUCUAUUUUAUAAAAGGAUUAAUCGGCAGAUUGUUAAGAAAGAUUGCAUUAGUACUUAUACAAUUGAAAAAAGGAAGCUGAAAUCAUUGUUGAAAGGUGCUGGUAGGAUUAGUAUUGCCACAGAUUUGUGGACAUCUGGUCAAAAAAUUCAAUAUAUGGUUGUGACUGGUCAUUUUGUUGAUUUUGAUUGGGUGCUACAAAAAUAUUUGUUGAAUUUUUGCAAUGUUCCUCCUCCUCAUACUGGAGUUAUUAUAGCUGAUACUCUAAGUAAGUGCUUUAUUGAUUGGGAGAUUGAGAAUAAGGUUUUUAGCAUAACUGUUGAUAAUGCUUCAUACAAUGAUGUGUGCAUUAGGAGAUUUAGAGAGGAUUUUUCUCUAAAAAAAAGAUUAAGUAUUGGAGAAAAAAUUUUCAUGUUAGAUGUUGUGCACAUAUACUUAAUCUCUUAGUGCAAAAUGGUCUUGGUCAACUUGGUGGUGUGAUUGAUGUUGUUAGAGAAGGGAUAAAGUACUUGAACAAUUCUGAAUCUAGGCUUCUUGAAUUUGCCAAAAUUAAAAAACAGUUUCAGUUGCCCUCUAGAAAGCUAAUUUUGGACUGUCCAACAAGGUGGAAUAGCACCUAUUUGAUGUUAGUUUCGGGUUUAGAGUUCAAGGAUAUUUUUCCAAGAUAUGCAGACAUUGACCCCGGAUUUCACUAUGUUCCUACUGAUUUUGAGUGGAUGAAAGUGGAAGAAGUGUGCAAAUUUCUAGGAAUAUUUCAUGAAAUCAUUGAUAUGAUUUCCGGGUCCGAGUAUCCAACAGCUAACAUUUUCUUGUGGAGCUCUAUAGGAUUAAAGAGCUUUUAAAUGAAAAAGCUCUUGACCCUUUUUAGCAUAUUCGGGCUAUGGCUGGAAGUAUGUCUGCUAAAUUUGAUAAGUAUUGGGGGAAAAGUAAUGUGCUGCUAUCUUUGGGUGCAAUUUUGGAUCCGAGAUACAAAAUAUUUCUUAUUAAUCAUGCUUUUCCGGUGAUUUAUGGUGAGGAUGCAGCUCCUAGAUUCGUGGCUGAAAUUAGAGACACUCUUUAUGAGCUUUACAAUGAAUAUGUUGAUUGUCACAUUGUUUCCCAUUCUGAACAACAACAGAGGCAGGUUGUAAAAGGGAAACAAAAUGAAGGUUCUAGUUCUUUUAGUAAGAAACAGAAAAUGACUGGACCUGUCAUUUUAACUGGUAAAGAAAAGUUGCACAUGCAUGUGAGUGAAAUUAACAGGGCUCCACCAGAAAAAUCAGAUUUAGAUGUUUAUUUAGAGGAAAGUAAGUAUUGUGACGCCCCCACUUCUCCCUAAGACGAACCAAAAGAUAUCCACGGGACGCCUGCCCAACUCUUGCCAGGAUUCGGUACAAUUUCCGUUCAAACUUAUUACAAUACUAGCUAUCAAGACAAGAUAAAGUAAGAAAGAUAAGUCACUUCCAUAAAUAACAUUCAAACUUACACCAAGAGUUCCAAAAUACAUCAAAUUUCCAAAAUAUACAACUGUCAAAAGUCUAGUCGAUUACAUUUGGAACCCUAAUACAAAAGUACAACAAAAGGGUUUCUCCGAGUUUCACUCCAUGUCCAUGCCUGUUAAGAAAAAUAAAUCUACGGGGUGAGCAAUUGCUCGUGAGGCCAAGAAACACACAUAUAAGCACGUUGUCCAAUUAACAAGAAAAUGAUAAUAUUCGAGUAAUUAACAAUUCAAGUGAAAUGUAAAUAGAAACAAUUCAAGGAUAUGGGAGCUCUCAGGAGCUAUUGUCCACUGGCACGAUCAAGAACCUCCACGAGUUGACACUCCGUCAAUCGGAUAGGUCAUAGUCCGUAGAAGCUUCACUUACGCGUUCCCCGUCCACCAUACAUACCGCACCGGCCCCGAACGUCAUUUAUAAGGUGAUACUCCACGAGUAUGCCAAGUGAAAUCUCUCCAAUAGAUCAAGUUUAUCAUAUUAUUCUCAUGACUCACCAAGAUUCCCGACCAAACCCAUGCCAGCUCGAUUCCCAGGUCAGUUUAUGAGUUUGGGCGUCCCCCAUGUAACAUUUGUAAGUCGAGGAGAUUCACUCCAACGACGUAUACAGCCAUAGCAUACCAUUUCAUGCCAUUCAAGCAUUCGAUACAUUCAAUCAUUCAUUUCAUUUCAAUCAAGUCAUUCAUGAUCCAUUCAUUUCAUUUCAAUUAAUUCAAUCAUGAGUCAUUCAUUUCAAAUGAAAACGAGUGCGGUAAAGUACACACUGGACUCCAUUUUCAAAAUCUCCAAUCAUUAAUAACAGUUAAGCAUGUAUCAAGUUCACAUACACUUGACACUCACCAAGUAAUUCAAGAAGUAAAGCACAAGCGGUUGUUUAGGCGUCUCCUGUGAGAUUUUCUUGAAAGUCCUCUUGAGUGCCUGAGCAAUAAUAAUGAACUAUUACACACUAUCGUUUAAAACCCCUACUUAUCGAGAAAGAUUGCACUCGUGUACAAUCUAAGAAGAUAUUAUGAGAAUGAGUCUUAAUUACUUGUAAAUCGAGGCUCAAAAGUGGGGUUUUAAUAAUACAAGGAAAUUCGAUUUUCAUCUUUGAAAUCAAGUGUAAAAUGAUCAAGCAAUAUCGAGGAAAAUGGUGAGUUCUCAAAACUCAAUUUCCUUUAAAUUCGGAAAUUUCAGAUUUGACAAGUAAUCUUUGAAAAAUUGUAUCUCACUUUCUGUAGGUCCAAAAUUCGAAAAAUUGGUACCGUUGGAAACUACUUCUAAAGUACUAAAAGUUCCUAGAAGAUAUUUUUCCAUGAUUCCAAAUGAAUGACAUUCAAAAUUUGGCUCAAAGUUGCUGUUUCGGGCUACCAAGACAGUUUCGGGGUUGGUUUUUGCCAACUUUGAAAAUUCGGCAAAAUUCACAAAAUGUAAACUAGCCUCUGUAAUUUGGAACUCAAUUAUAGUUAUAAACAAAGUUUAAAACACAACAAACAGAACAAGAAUCGGAGUUUUGAGCGCCAAGAUAUAGCAGCUCAAAGUUGCUGAAAUUUUCUCAUUGAAUAAGGAUUUUCCAGAUUUGAAACAUGAACUUUGGGAUUUCAGUUGAGCAUCAAAAUGAACUUGGAAUGGCACCAAAUUUGGUAGUAUUACCCUACCAUAGAAGGGCUAUUCCUCUGUCAAAUUUCAUGCAAAAAUUCGUACGGAAGGUCAGUUGACAAAGCCGCUAAAAUUCCAAGAAUUUCCAAGGCAAAUCUGCCUUGUACUUCCGUUUUCCUUUUUCAAGCAUUUGGCCAAUGAAAUCUUCUCAAACAUGGUUCAUUUAUGAAGACAAGGUCUAAGAAAUAUCCAAAAUGUGUUUGGUAGGUGAUUAACACCAAGAGUUCCAAAAUAACGAGUCCCAAUUCGAGUUAAGGCAUUCAACUAGCCAAGAUUAGGGUUUCCUUUCACUGACACAAGUCUGGAAUUCGGCCACAACUCAUUCAAUUCAACUUGGAAUUGGGCAUGGUCAGUGGUGUUGGAAACUACAUUCAUAGGGAUACAAUUUCUCAGAAGAAAUUGUUUGGAAAUUCUGUCCAUAACUAGUUCAUAUUCGAGCAACAAGUUGCAGCACACAAUAGGUUUUCUAACACAGCCGAGAAACAGGGCAAGUGAAUUUGAAAGGCUGGUACGGCUCACUCAAGUGGAAUCAGGGGAUGUAUUUUAUACUGUUAGAAAACUAGAAGUGUCUAGUUUCUAAUCCCGCAAACAGCACUCGAUUUUGACGUUGGAGCAAAGAGUUAUAGUGGUUUGAAAUUCGCUGCCAGAGCAACUCUGGACACGUUUUCCAGCCAUGAAGAAAUUUCGAAAUCCAAACAUUUACCCAAUCAAAUCAAGUGAUUUUUGGUGGAAACUUUCCAAACAACCUAUAAAACAUAUAUACACCGAAAUAAAGUCAAUGGGACCACAAAAAAUUGCACCAAGAGGCGCGGCAAUGACAGGGCAGAUCUGGCCCUUCUUCCAUUUCAACUUCCUUAGAGUUUCUUUCCACUCUUUCAACUUAAAUCCACUAGAUUAACACUUAAUUAACAUAAAUAACACUCAAAAUCAUCAAAUCAGAUCAUCAAGUCCAUUGUGGGAUUUGAUAGAGUCCACUCACAUGAUUUUUAAUAAUCCAAAGCUACCCGCAUGAAGUUACAAGUUUCUAAGUGUAAUCUAACUUACAAAAGCUAAGAUUUAAAGGGUGGAUGAUCAUUACCUCUUAGAUGUUGCUAGAGCAGAAAUUUCGGUCCUUAGAGCUCCAAGAAAACCAUGAGAAUGAAGCUCUUCUCCUAGCCCAAGAUGGUCUCCAAGUUAUUUGUAAGGUGUGGUAUGAAUUUGAGAGGAUUUGGUGCAAGAUUGAGAGAUGAAAUGGUGAAGAAACUUGGUCUUCUUCUCCUUGGUGUUGCACAGCUGCUUGAGGGAGAGAAAGAGAGAGUUGUGGCUGAUGGAAAGCUUCUCUUGGAAGCUUAAGAGUUUGCGGUCAAAAUUACUCCAAAAGUCAACUAAGAAUAAUGCGCGCGUUUCGUGCUCGUUUCCUCUCGGCUUUGUUUUACUUGUGCACUAAAUCUCUAAUGCACUUCCAUUCAUACUAUUAUUAUUCACUCUUAAUAGUCUAAAAAUAAAGGUUUAAAGUCCCUCAAUUAAUCGCGCGUGCGAAAAUGCAGACUUCCGAUUUGUGCGCGAUAGAGUAAAAUUUCUAAGAAAUUCUUACAACGAUAUUAUAACUGACUAGUACUUGAGUACUUAAACAUAAAAAUACCUAUUUUGAAACUAAUGUAUGAGUCUUCAAUCUCCAAGCUCACUGUAUUUUCAAAUCGAUUAUUGUCUCCAAACGCGUAUUCACUAUUCUCACUAAACGAGUUUUCAAAAAUUAAAUUUUUGCAACAAGUAAUUUUAAAAAUAUAUGUAAGUCAUAAUUCCAUAUAAUUGAGUCUAAAAAGGUUGGAAUAAAAUAUUUGGAGCAAACGGGCAAUUAAAUAUUUAAAUAAACUAGUAAUAUGAAUUUAAAAUAAGUAAAUUUGUGGGUCCUCACAGGUAUGCUUGUGAUACAAAUGCAAAUCUGGAUGUUUUGGGUUGGUAGAAAUAGGAAAGAUUGAGAUUUUCUAUCUUGUCGAGGAUGGCUGCCGAUAUACUCUCCGUUCCUGUUACAACUGUGGAUUCAAAAUCUACCUUCAGCGCCAGAGGUAGAGUAAUUGAUGAUCGACGAGCUUCUAUGUCAAUUGAGAUGGUGCAAAAUGUUGCUUUGCGGCAACGAUUGGAUCCGCAGUCUUCAUGGCCUAAAGAAUAAGUCUCGCGUAAGUAAUUGAUUAGAUGUUUUUGUUAUUGUUACAGUUUCUUUAUAUCUGAUUUUGAAGAAUUUUAUAACUUUCAUACUUUUGUUUUGUAGGAAUCACUUGAUGCGACCGAAUUAAUCACAUUUGCGAAAGUUGAACUUCCUGAAUCAUUCACAACCUGAUUUGACGGCUGUUGAUGUUGCUUGGUUCAAACUGAUUCAUUCACAUGUUGAUUUCGUUCAAAAGCUGCAUCGUUCACAAGUUGUUUUCAUCCAAAAAAGUUGUUUUUAACUCUUGGUCUAGAGUUUAAACAUUUUAGAAACUGCUUAAAACGUAUUGAUGGCUGAUGUUUAAUUGUUUGGACUCUUUUAUGUAAUUUUCAUUUUGUAAUCUGAUCUGGUCUGAUGUCGAGUUUGGACAUUUUGUUCCUCCAUUUGAUAGUUUGAGCUGCAAUUUUAACUUCUUUUUCGCUACUCGUGCUUAUGAUGCUUCUGUUUUGCGUUGUCGAAUUGAGUGGAUGAUAUAUCAGGGAAUGUGUUGUUCUUUUUUUGUCAAACUAAAUAUGAGUGUAGAAGAAGCUGAUAUGCUAUCUUCCGUAAACGAGCUCGAGCUCUUCCGUAAACGAGCUCGAGCUCGAGCUCGAGCUUCGAGCUCGAUAAGCUCGACUCAAGUUCAAAAUCAAGUUCGAUCUUGAGUUUCGAGCUUGAUAAGCUCGGCUCACUUUUUGUACUCGAGUUCGAGCUCGAGCUCGAAUUUUCUACAUAGUACAUCGAGUCGAUCUCGAACAGCUUGUGAAACUCGAAUUACUAAUCGAACGAGCUCGAGCUAGCUCGAUUAGAUGUUCGAGUCGAGCUCGAUUGUUAUGUGCUCGAGCUCAACUCGGCUCGUUUAACAGCUCUAAAGUAACAUGCAUCAAAACAGGCUUAUUCUCUUAGUACUUUUUUUUUCUUUUUAUAAAACACAGGUGCAUUAACGCACGACAGAAGCACCCUAUCAAUCUAAGAUCCCAGCUUGCUUGUAGCUUUCGAUAGAGUCAACAAGAGUUUCUUCCACUGGCCUAUACCUCCAGCCCAGCCUCUCCAAUUUUUCUGAGCUAAUAUUCCAUCGGCUUUGAUCCUUCACCUCUAUAAGUCUGCGAAGAAAUGAGUUAUAUCAAGAAAAUAUGCAGACAACAUAAAUGGUUCUUGUAGAGACUCGUAGAUGCCACACUUUUGGAAAUGGAAAUCAUGACGGACAUGAACAAACAAGAAAAUCAGGACAAACGGGGUGUCUGAAAAAUGAGACAAUUAAUUUCAAAGAUGGUAAUCCACCUCUUAGGGUACUUGUAGUUGGCAUAGUUUUUCCUCAGAGUUUCCACCAUAUCUUUUGUCGUGGUGACGUGAGGUGAACAUAUGUACCGGCCUUCAGCUUCAGGCCUCCCGUAAACCAAAAGCAGUGCCUCGGCCACAUCACCCACAUCUACUGUGUUGUAGAAUUUGUUUUCUGUUUCUUCACAUCCGUCUGUGCAGCCAAGGAGUGAAAAAAAAGAGCAGUUUAAUCUCAAAAAAGGAGAUGUUAUCUGUGCUAAUCUCUGAGUUCUUUACAGCAUAUAUGAAACCUACAAUCCCUUUGACAAAUAGUACAGCAAUAAAUUCAUGUGACUUUUGAAUUGCAAAGGACCUACAGGUCACAAUGUUAACCUUUUAUAUCUUCAACAAUGUUCCAAAGCAAAUCAAGCAAACAGUUGAAAGAUGCAACCUCUUCAGAUGUUAUGCCUAUUGUCUGUCUCAUCUUCCAUUAGGUCAAACUCACAAUUUUCACAUCAAUAAAAUUUGAAUCGCUUGUGCAUAUGUCUGGAAAGAUUACAUUUGCACAAUUUAGUAUUUUUGGCAGCACUGCUCGUUUAAAUUUCCUUGCCAUCAAGCAGAAAAUUUAAUUCCAUUCCAACAGUAAAAACCAAACACCACAAUCAGUUUUUUUUAGAAAACUUUGCAAGUUUUUAGAGCAUUGCCAAAAUCAUAAAACUAUCAGAAUGGCAGAUAGCUUACAGGUUUAGAAUCUGAAAACCUCAGCUGGCUUGAAGAUUAAAAAAAAAUGCCAAAAGACGGCAAAGCAGUUAUCUCCAUGAAUGUAGUUUCAUUCCUAGAAGGUCAACCGCAACCAGAUAGAUGGAUUUUGUGAAAUUUUAUUGGCAUCAAUUCAUUGUGUAUCAUGUAAAUAACACUGGAAGCCAGAAGCAUAAAAAUGAUGGGUUACUUGGAAAAUUAGCUGAUCAACCACAUGAAGAAAUUCAAUUGUUUGACCUUUCAAGUACAAAAAAAGGAAAAAAUUGCUAAGCUUUAGAGGUCAUCUGAGUUCUAGAGUGACAUCCAUGCUCACUUAGGCACAAACCAAUAUCAAGGAGAAAACUGUAUCAUUUACACUUCCAUGCAGAAGGUGAAAGAAAGAAAAAUAAAAUAUAACAUAAUGGAAUAGUUCUCUAAUUGAUUACGAACACUAGUAAAUCACCUUUCAACAGCUUUAAAAGAAUCAGGCUGCUAGCAUUUGCAUCAUGCUGAAGCAUGGGGCCAAAAAUAUAGGAUGGGCAUACAGUUAAAACAUCAAGGCCAGUUUCUUUUGCAUAUUGUAAUGCCUCACUUUCAGCAACCAUCUUGGAGUAACAAUACCAGUUCUGGAGCAAUAUUAGUACUAGAUAGUCAGCCAGAAACAGAUGAUAGUAGUUGCAAAAAUCUGAUUUCUCAGCAAUCUUAGAAACAGUAUGAAUAAGACAGUGAAUUUUCUGCACAAUUACAACACCAAGGUGCAACUGCAAAAGUCAAAUUAUGUUGAUGCAUACAUUUAUUGCCUUGCAGUAUUCGCCGUCUGACCAACAAUUCUCAUCUAUGAUUUCACCUUCAGGCAGAUUAGGACUCAUUACAACAGCUGCAGUAGAGGAAACAACUACAACGCGCUUGACAUUUGCUUCAGAACAAGCCUUCAGUACAUUAAGGGUACCCUUUACAGCUGGCUCAACAAGUUCAACCUGCAACAAAUCAUCAUGUUGGCAGAGGUACUAGCACUCAACUCUUCAUGCUGAACUGCUUGUUUUUGCAUAAAAUAUAUCCAGAUAGACAGCUAAGUAGUGUCAGUUAACCUGACAUCUUUGGAGUGAAUGAAUACAAAGUUAAAGACUCAUGACUGCUUAUGCCUGUGAUUUAACUUGGUUACCAGCAUAGGUUAUUAUUAUAUGCAUUUAUUCACUCAUUUCAACAUUUGAAAAAUCCUUCCACGAAAUGAUAGAAAGACAAAGAGCCCCAGUGACUUCAUAAGUUUGUACAAACGCUUUAACAAGGUUCUAUUUUAAACGAUACCCAACUUUAGCUCAUGUUUGGCAAAACGCAAUAAAAUAUUAUCUGUUAUGACAAUAGCUGUCUCAUAAACAAAAGAUAUGUUAAAAAUGUUAUUCUGGGGAAACGAAAAGGAAGAAAUAUCAUAGCAAUUGAAACGAUUGAAAAUGGUCUUGCCUCAGGAUUGGGAACAGAGCCUGAAGGAACAGGACUAGCUACAUGAAAUACGCCAUCACAACCCCUGAUGGCUGCAGAAAUGGAAUUGUAAUCGAGCAAAUCAGCCUUAAAGAGUUUCAAAUUCUCAGCUGCUUUGUCAAGUUUCUUCAGAUGAACAUAUUUCUCAUCGUCUACAAAACAUACACAGCAAUGCCCACAUCAUCAAAUAGCGCAGCACACAAUUCACAGCAGGUGCUUUUAUAUAUUUCUUCAAUUUAACAUAUUUCUCACCCUUCACAAAACAUUUACAGCAAUUCCCACUACAUCAAAUAGGAAACAGCCAAUUGACAGCAGGCAAAAAAUCAAUUGCUGUAUUAAAGGGAAUGAAACAAUCAUACAAGACCCAAAACAAAAACAAAAAAAAAACGAGUAGUAAAUCAGGAAGGAAGGGUUAUAAGGAUGAAAUACGUACUGGGCUUUCUGAGGGUGGCAUGAACAGUAUAAUGGCGGGAAAGGAGUAGCUUGACUACCCAAGAUGCCAGGUAUCCCCCUGCUCCUGUAACACACACUGUCCUGUCCUUCUCAGCCUCCCACGCUGCCAUGUCUGAUUGCUUACCAGUAGCAGUAACGGGAUUAGUAUUUUAGCACCAAAUUCACUAUAGAC
rnacentral:lncRNA from 1 species